AAGGGAGAGACAACUAGGAUCAUAGCCGGUAACCAAGAUGCAUGCAGAAUCAAACGUGAACCUUUGGAAAAUGUCUUCUAAGUUUAUGACCAAGCCAUGUUUAGCAGCAUGGUCAAUUGUUGGUGCAAGAGGUAAUAGCAAGAUGGUUUCAGCUUGCUUGCACAGCAAGUGUCGAGCCUUGCUGAAUAAACUAUUGAAGAAGAAGAAAGAAAUUUUGCAAUGGAGAACAGAAAAGAAAGAGAUAAAAUUGAAUAAAAAUGAGCUGAAUUUUCAUUGAUAUUUUUUAAGGCAUAAUACCAAUACAUAUAUAUGAGAUAACAACAGCAAAACAAACAAGUUACCACCUAAUAACAUACCUAACACCACUAAAUUGCCUAGUAACUUGGUAAACUUGAUUGAAAACAUAAACUUCUACCUAAACUUGUCAUUCAGCACCUAAUUACAUCAAAAUACAGUUACCAACUUAGUUCAAAACAAACUAAAACACAAAAUGUUCAUUUGAGUAACCAAAUGAAACAAUGCAGUUUCGGUUUGUUGUUAAAGCACGAUCUCUGCAUGGCCACCUUGCAUGGUCACCUUGGCUGCUGCAUGGGGGUUGACUUCAACACUCCUCCUCAGCUUCUAUACAGCAGACUCCUAGUUGCUUUCUUAGGUUUAGAAAUCUCGAUGCACCAAGUGAUUUUGUGAAGAUAUCAGCGAUCUGACCUUCUGAGCUGCAAUAAAUUAGCUUGAUCUCUCGAGCUUGUUCCAUUUCUCUUAUCACAUGGAGUUUAAUGUUGAAAUGUUUUGUCCUGCCAUGGAAGACAGGAUUUUUAGCAAUAGCAACUACUGACUUGUUGUCACAAUGUAUCACAGUUGCAUCAUUCUGCUGUAGAUUCAAAUCGCUCAAAAUUUUUCUCAGCCACAUAGCUUGAUUAACAGCAUUGGCAGCUGCUACAUACUCUGCUUCUGCUGUCGAUUGAGCCACCAUUGUUUGUUUUCUUGAGCUCCAAAAAAUCAUAGCUGAGCCAAGUGUAAAAGCAUAGCCAGAAGUGCUCUUCAUGUCAUCCUUUGAACCAGCCCAAUCGCUAUCAGUGUAGCCAAUCAGUUUCAACUCUUCAACCUUUCUAAACUGUAUUCCAUGGUUUAAGGUACCUUUGAUGUAUCUUAGCACCCUUUUCCCAGCCUUGUAAUGUUGCUGGUUACAGCAGUGCAUGAACCUUGAUAGCAUGCUCAUAGCAAACAGAAUGUCAGGUCUUGUUGCUGUUAAAUACAGCAAACAACCAACAAGGCUCCUAUAAAAUGAUUCAUUGACAGGCUCAUGUUCUUCUUGGCUCGACAGUUUUAUGCCAACUGCCAUAGGUGUGCAUGUUGGCUUGCAAUUUUGCAUUGAAAACUUGGAUAAAACUUUCAAAGCAAAUGCCUUUUGUCCCAAAAAAAUCCUUGAUCAGCUUGUUGUAUCUCUAUUCCAAGGAAAUAAGUCAUUAACCCCAAAUCUGACAUCUCGAACAUCUCCUUCAUUUUUCUUUUGAAAUCUUCUAACAUAGUCUUGUCUCCUCCUGUUACAAGGAGAUCAUCCACAUAAAGAGACACAAUAAGCUGUGUUUCUGCUUGAUCCUUCUUAACAUAAAGUGUUGGCUCACUAGCACUCCUUUCAAAUCCUAAACUGACCAAGUAUGAGUCAAUUCGAGCAUACCAGGCUCGAGGGGCCUGUUUUAGGCCAUACAAGGCCUUUCUUAGCCUAUACACCAAAUGUUCCUUACCAGGCAUUAUAAAACUUGGGGGUUGCUCGAUGUAUAUCUCCUCUUCUAGGAAUCCAUUGAGGAAUGCAGACUUGACAUCCAUUUGGUGGAUUGUCCACUGGUUCUGAGCAGCAACUGCAAUCAGCAAUCUGAUUGUAUCGAGUCUGGCUACUGGAGCAAAUGUUUCCAUGUAGUCCAGACCAUACCUUUGACUGAAGCCCUUUACAACUAGCCUGGCCUUUAGCUUGUUUAAACUUCCAUCCGCAUUGUGCUUCACUCGAUAGACCCAUUUUACACCAAUGGUCUUUCUGUUGGCAGGCUUUUCAACCAACUCCCAUGUCUGAUUCUUCACAAUCAUGUUGAUUUCAUCAACCAUAGCCUGUUUCCAACCUUCAUCUGCUUCAGCUUCUUCAAAACUACUAGGUUCUGCUAUAGCAACUUGUGCUCUUUCAUAAAUCUCAUCUAGGGGCCUUGUGCCUCUCACAGGCACAUCAUCAACAUCCAUUUCAGGACCAAGGUGCUCGAGUUCAGCUUGAUUAGGCACCAAGUCUUUUGAAGCAGCUUCUGGUUUACUCUUCUCCCAAUUCCAGCAAGCCUUCUCAUUAAAGAUGACAUCUCUGCUCACUUGGACUUUGUUUGUCAAAGGAUCCAGCACCCUGUAGCCCUUUUUAACUGAGCUAUAGCCUACUAGAGCACCUGGUUGAGCCCUUUCAGAGAGCUUAUCUCUCUUUGCUGCUGGUAUUUGUGCAUAACACAGGCAACCAAACACCUUCAGAUGUGCCAAGGAAGGCUUGAAACCAGACCAAGCCUCGAAAGGUGUUUUGGAUGCAAGAGCUUUAAUAGGAAGCCUAUUUUGAAGGUAGACAGCAGUGUUUACUGCCUCAGCCCACAUGGUCUUGGGCAGUUUCUUCUCAAACAGCAGGCACCUGGCCAUAUCCAUCAAGCUUCUGUUCUUUCUUUCUGAUACCCCAUUCUGCUGAGGUGUGUAGACAUUUGUAAGCUGGUGUUUGAUACCAGCAUCAUUGCAAAUGGCUUGAAACUGAGCUGAAGUGUACUCAGUGCCAUUGUCUGACCUUAUCGAUUUCAGCUUGCAACCUGUUUCUGUCUCUACAGCAGUUUUAAACUUCACAAACACUUGAGCUACCUCAGACUUGUGUUUUAAGAAGAAAAUCCAGCAAAACUUUGUAAAAUCAUCAAUGAAGAGGAUAAAAUACCUGUUUUUGCUGAGUGAUUCAGUCCUCAUCGGGCCACAUACAUCAGAGUGCACCAGCUGCAGUCUUUCAGUAGCUCUCCAUGCUGCAUUUGUAGAAAAUGGCAAUCUUGCCUGUUUCCCCAUCUGGCAGACCUCACACACAUCAUCAUACUCCACUGAGUUGGUGAAGUUCUCAGCCAAGCCCUCACUGGCCAUUCGACCUAUUGACCUGAAGUUGGCAUGUCCAAGUCUUCUAUGCCAGAGUUUGGAGUCAUCUAUAGAGGCUGUAUAUGCUGACUUUAAGUCAUUUGACCAAUGAACCUCAAAGCAUUUAUCAGUCAUUGUGACUGUCAUAAGGCUUGAUCCACUUGGAUCUGCAAUGUGGCACUGUUUAUCCUUGAAUGCAAUAGAAUAACCUUUCUCAAGCAAUUGGGCUAUGCUGAGAAGGUUUCUGUCAAUCUCAGGCACCAAAAGCACAUUUGGUAUGACCUUGUUACCUGUAGGAGUACAUAUCAGCACCUCUCCUCUUCCUUCAGCCUUUAUAAACUGGCCAUUUCCAACCUUGACCUUGGUUUUGCAACUUCUAUCCAAGGUUUUAAACAAGGAGGCAUCUGGUGACAUGUGGUUAGUGCAACCACUGUCCAAUAGCCAACCUUUUGAAAAUUUCUUCUCAGCAGUUAAGCAAGAAACAGCAAAGACCUGCUCCUCUUGGUCACUACUGUCCUCAGCUACUCGAGCUUCAACCUUUGGUUGUUGAAAUUGGCUCUGCCUUGGCUUGAUUCUAUUUUUGCAAACCCUUUCAACAUGGCCCUUCUUCUUGCAGUGCUGGCAUACUGCUUCUGGCCUGAACCAACAUCUGUCUUCUGGAUGGCCUAACUUCUUGCAAUAUCUGCAGGGCUGGUCAUUGCUCCUUGCAGCAUCAGACUUAGGCCUACUUUUCUAAGGCUUUUUGCCUCUUUGAGCAUUGGUGCUCGAGGCUUCUCUGGCCUUGGCUUGAAAUGCACCUUCUUGGUGAUCUUCAGCUCUGCUAGCUCUCCUUUGUUCCUGAGCAUAGAAGGUGUUGAUUAACUCAGUCAAAGAAAUGCUAGCAAGGUCUCUUGAGUCCUCUAGGGAGGAUAUCUUUGCUUCAUAUUUCUCAGGCAAAGUGGAGAGGACUUUCUCCACAAUUCUUGCCUCAUCAAAGUGCUCACCUAGGAGCCUUAUACUGUUAACCACUGCCAUAAUUCUAUCUGAAUACUGCUUCACUGUUUCUUCUUCCUUCAACUUCAAAUUCUCAAAAUCCCUUCUCAAAUUCAACAGCUGCUGUUGCCUUGUUCUCUCAAUGCCUUGAAACUCCUCCUUAAGCUUGUCCCAGGCCUGUUUUGGAGUCUCACAGGCCAUAAUUCUGGUAAAGAUGACAUCUGAUACACAGUUUUGAAUGCAGGACAUGGCUUUGUGCCUUUUGGUCCUCUCAUCAGCAUGUUGUCUGAUCUGAGCUACUGUGGGAUUAGCCCUCAAUGGUGCUGGCUCAGCAUCUGUGUUAACAACUUCCCACAGAUCAAAGGCCUGCAGGUAAGUCUUCAUCUUUACCAGCCAUAUGUGAAAGCUUUCUCCAUUGAAGACUGGUGGGGCUACUGGUGAAAAUCCUGAAGAAGCCAUCAGGUUCCUUGGUUUGAAGCAACAGGUCCACUAAGACAACGGCUCUAGAUACCAAUUGUUGGUGCAAGAGGUAAUAGCAAGAUGGUUUCAGCUUGCUUGCACAGCAAGUGUCGAGCCUUGCUGAAUAAACUAUUGAAGAAGAAGAAAGAAAUUUUGCAAUGGAGAACAGAAAAGAAAGAGAUAAAAUUGAAUGAAAAUGAGCUGAAUUUUCAUUGAUAUUUUUUAAGGCAUAAUACCAAUACAUAUAUAUGAGAUAACAACAGCAAAACAAACAAGUUACCACCUAAUAACAUACCUAACACCACUAAAUUGCCUAGUAACUUGGUAAACUUGAUUGAAAACAUAAACUUCUACCUAAACUUGUCAUUCAGCACCUAAUUACAUCAAAAUACAGUUACCAACUUAGUUCAAAACAAACUAAAACACAAAAUGUUCAUUUGAGUAACCAAAUGAAACAAUGCAGUUUCGGUUUGUUGUUAAAGCACGAUCCCUGCAUGGCCACCUUGCAUGGUCACCUUGGCUGCUGCAUGGGGGUUGACUUCAACAUCAAUGAUGGGCAUCAGCCCCAUUUCCACCUUGUCUCGGGUAGUCCUCAACAAGAAUUGGUGGAAAUGGUGAUGUCUCAUGAAUCCUUGAGCUGCUAUCCGCUGGUUUUUCCACAAAUCCAUGUCGGAGUUAAAAAUCCCGUCUCCUAAGAAAUCGAACAUCUGCUUGUAUUCAGGGCCUUAGGGGAAGUUGUCAAAGUUGGAACUCAUAACGUACCGAGCAUUGGCAGGGUCACAUGUCGCCACCAAGUUCAUCUUAGCAAACCAAGGGCCUUCCCUUGCAGCUUUCUAGACCCGAUGAACGUUGAGGAGAAGCUCAACAAUGCCAGCAAAACUCUUUGGACACCCAUUUUUAUAUCUCAUCAAGCGGUAUAGAAACAGAAAGGAAAUGAGAGCCAAGAAGAAAACUUGAAGAAAACUCUGAAAUGCCAUGAAAUUGAUAUCACCAAGUUUAGGCAAAUUCCUUGUAAUUGUUAAUUCUAUUUAUUAAGUGAAGUUUUCCAACAUUAAUUACUCACCGUCCCUGUAAUGCCCAAUUUUGACCCGGGCCUACACAAAAAAAAAUAAAAACCAAAUCCAAAAAUUAAUCACAGUCUAAUAGCAAUCCAAACACUAGCCUAGCCCAAUAUCCCCAACCCAACCAGCCCAAUCACCUAACCCUAAGCCCACCACUAGCCUUAACCACAAGCAGAAACCCUAGGCAUUCAGCCCUAGCACCAGCGCCGCAGCCAGCACACUCCCCUCACGCACGUAGCGUCACCACAAGCCUCAAGCUGGCCUCUGUACGAUUUAUGUACCUGUACCUGCAACGCAACAAACGCAACAAAGGCAGCAACAGCAGCAGAAUACAGGGGAAUAGCAAAGAAAAAUAGCAGAAAUUUAGAAAAGAAUUUCCUGUAAAUUUCUAUUUUAUUUCCGACUAUAUAAAGCCGUUUUCGAAUUUGUAAAGGGAGAUUUUUUCUUUUUCUUUUUUACACACACGCAUUCUAUAUAAAAAAAACACGAAAUCAAUACAAAGAAAAAAGGGUUUUCUUUUUUUUUUCCUCUUUUCCAUUCUGUUCUUUUUCCGAUUACUUUUCUUUCUUUUUCUAUUUCGUUAUUAAUCAUAUAUAUAUAAGCAUAUAUAUAGUAUAAAAGAAAGGAGGAGAGUUAGAACUCAUACCUGGUAACGCCUCCGGAUCCGCGCGAGAAGGAGCUAAAAAGCCCCUAGGGGUGCAGCUCCGAUCACCGUUGACGGUGUAAUCACAACAAGAGCAAUGGAGCCCCCGAGCGGCGCAGCCAGGCAUGAGAGGGCCUAGGGUUUCCUUUUUUUAAAAACUUUUGUUUUAAAAUGAGAAAGGGCUGCUGAUUAGGUUAAUAAGGCAUUUAUGCUAGGCAUAAAAUGGUACCGUUUGGGCCUUGCUUCAGUGGCUCCAAAACGGUGCCGUAUUGGCACUGACCCAAUGACCCGACCCGUGCAUGGCCAGAUCCGCGCACUUUGGUCUCGGAGGGAAUAUUUGCGCCAUUAAUCCUCCUGAUUUGUUUCAUUGCUUUAAUCCAGUUUUCCUUUAUUUUCUAAUUUUGCCCCGCCCUUUUAAUGUUGUCUCAUUUUGGCCCAUACUGCUGCUAUGCUUUUUGAAGGAUAGGGAAUAUUUCCCAUUUAAUCUCUCAUGUAACGCACAAGCUUCAUUUUGCCUUUUAAUUUUGUUUUCUUUUUCUUUUUAUUUAUUUUCUUUUCUAAUUAGGUAUUAAAUCCAUUUUAAUUUCUAGUUUAAUUUGUUCAUUUUAAUUAAUUUAAAUAUUUUGGUUCUCUUCUCCUUAAUAUAUUUUAGUUUUAGAUCUAAUGUUAUUUUAAUAAUUAAACUUAUUAGUAUAAAUUCAUUAUUGAUACUAUUUAAAUCUAUUGAACCAUUAUCUAAAAGUUUUCUUUCGUGUAUUAUUCUGAGUUUUCAUAUAUUAUUAUUCAAAUUUAAUACUUAUUAUUUUAAUUUUAUGUUAACUAAAUAUAAUUUGUACACUUUUUAUAGUCUUAUAAUAUUUAUUUUUAAAUUCUCUUUUAUAUCUAUGUAUUUUAAACAAAAUCUAUAUGACAGUACUUUACACUAUACCAUUAUAUAUGUAUAUAAUUUUUAUUAAAUUCUUUUUAUUUUAUGAAUAUAUUAUUGAUUUCAUAUUAUUAUAACUAUUAACCCUUAGUUUUCUUUCGAAUAUGUUUAUAUGUUUUUAAAUCAAUCUAUCUAAUUUAUUUUCAAACCCUACUUUACAUAUUUGGUUUAUUUCAACCCUUUUGCUAACAUUAUUAUAUAUAUCUCUAUUAUCAUUUGUAUUAUUAUUAUGUUUUUUAAUACGUAAUAUUGUUUUGUAUAUUACAUCUUUGAUUUUAUAUUGGCGCAAUUUCAUGUGUGUUAAUUUACCUGAUGUCUCAAUUAACCUUUUUAAAAUAUUAGUAAUUUGUAUAUGAUGUGAAAUAAUUGCUUUUACGUGUAUUGUAUUGCUUGCUCGUACCUAUUGGUUCUUUGUCGUUCAUUAGCGUACAUUUUAAUUUACGAAUCACCAUUUCGUGUGUACGUUAUUAUUUCAUUGUUUUUAUUUAUUCAAAAGGUUACGUUUCAUAUUAUUUAAAUAUCAAAAUCAUUUUAUACAAAAGACUUUCGAAAUGAUGCAACAUUCGGAAUUUGGGAUCCUCGAAAAGAUUGUGCCCUAACUUACUGGAUUCCAAUCUUCCUCGAGAUCUAAGAGACCGAACAUCCUUUUUAAUCAAAACAUAAAUAAAAAGCUCAUUCUCGGGAAUUCGAUACGUGGUAUCCUAACGCAUUAGAUAUGACAUAUUGUUUUCUCAAGACGAGGAUUCUUCUAACAAAUGAAAAUAAAGACAAUAUUCGAUAUUUAGGAAUUUUGUGAAAUCGAACCCUAACUUACUGGGUUUUGAUUUUCUCAUUUGACCCAAAGAAUCAGACAUCCUUCUCAAAAUGCAUAGGUUUUAAAAGUCAAAAGAUAAGCUUAAUUUUGAGAAUUUAAAAUGUCACACUCUAACUUACUGAGUGUGACAAUUUAUUUCUUUGAAAUAAGUGAGUCUCAUCAUCCAAUUCAUUUUAUUCAAAUUUCCUUUUCAAAGGAUCAUAUUUUAAAAUCUUUUCAAAAUUUCGACACUAAUACAUUAGACAAUCAAUUCGGUACCAAUUUUGGGCGUUACGAGGGUGCUAACCCUUCCUCGUGCGUAACCGACUCCCAAACCUAUUUUCUCAAAAUUCGUAGACCUAAAAUUGUUUUCAAGGUGAUCCGAUCACACCUCAAUAAAAGAUCGGUGGCGACUCCGAACUCUAUUUUGAAAAUCGAUUCCCAUUUUUCAAAUAAAAAAAAUGGUUUCGACAGUCCCAACCAUCUGAUCUCUUGUGUAAUCGUAAUAAAUAAAUUAGAUAUGCAGGGUGGGAGUUGGAUGCAUUAAUCGAGAGAAAAACAAGAGAUUUCUAAGAAAAACAAGAAGUUUUUUAAGACAUCUUUUUCCGUUUGAGAGAAUGGAGGAAGAAACAAACAUCACGAUCUUACUAGGAAGACCUUUCUUAGUCACUUCAAGGUCCACCAUUGAUUUAGAAAAGAAAUGAAUUAAUCAUAAAAAUUAAUGGUGAGACUGAAAUCUUUAAAUGUGGUAAUCAACUAAGCGAGGAAAGUAGAAGGAACUUAGUAGAACAAAUCAAAGAAUUAUUUGUUUCUGACACUCUCAAGUCAAGGGAUAUACUUCUUUUUAUGCAUACAGAAAGAAUAAAUAGGUUUAAAGAAAGGGACAAGCGGGCAAAGGUGGAAUGGCACAACGGAUGAUGGACUAAUACUGAUAGAACAGAAGAAUCGCCCAUCAGUGAAUUGAAUCCAACAGUAAAAAUUAAAUUAUUUAAAUUGAUGCUAAACUUUUGUGAAUUAUUGUAUAUUUAGCUAAAUGUUUAGGAUAGAUUUUAAUUUUCAUUAACUUUUCAUUUUAUAAAAAUCGUAUCACUCAAGAAAAUGGAAUUUUUUACAGGUGACCCAACCCGACAAUGCAACCCAAUAGCAUUAAAACCCAUUUCAAUCGUCUUUUAAACACCUAAACCUCUAAUUUUAACAUAAAAACAUAUUAUUUCACUCAUUAAACACAUCUUAACACCUUAUCCUCAAACCCCUCUUAAAAUCUCUUACAACUCCUUAAACCUUAAACCCCCAAUCUUUACUUCUUAAAACCUCCAUACCUCAAUCAUACUCGAUUCCACAAGGAAGGGGAACACUCAAGGAACAAUAGACACUGCACGAAACGAAGAAUUCAAACAACUUCUACGAGGUUAAGGGUUCCUAAUUUAAUACUUUUUACUAUUCCAUUGAAUUUCUUGAUAUUUUGCUCUCGUUCCCAGUCUUGUAAUAAUGCCUCCUAGAAAAGUUAGAAGAACUAUGGAAAUGGAGCCAUUGAUGGUUCAAAAGCCCUCCAGUUUUUCGAAUUCGAAUGUUGAAAAAUAUUUUAAUGAACUUAAAGGAAAAACAUUCAUUCAAAAGAGGGGAUUUGAUCCAUCUAUGAUUCUCUGCAAGGAAAUAUAACUUUUGGUUAGAUAUCAUAGGUGGGAGCAUUUUUGGAUGAUCCUAAAAGAUAAUGUUGUGGUCCUGUUGUUCAAGAGUUUUAUGCAUCCUUACGGGACCAAGAGUUUGGAAACACUAAGGUCAUAUGUGGGAAAUAGUACCUGUGCGAGGGAUGAAAGUGCAAAUAACCCAUCGAAUUAUUUUUUAUUUUUAUAAUACUUUAUAUUAUGAAAGAGAUUUUAUCGAUGAAACUGAUUUAGAGUAUUUUUGAGACAUAGAUAUGGAUAACAUUAUAAAAUUUUUAACUGAAGGAAGGGGAGAAUGGAAAUGUUGCCUAGGUACCAAUAUUCUCACAUCAUUUCAUUAAGCUAUUAUGUUUCCAAUGGCUAAAAUGUGGAUCCAAUUUGUAUACACACGAGUUUCCCCUACUUUAAAUGUCUCUAACAUUAAUACUUUUCGAGUUGUUUUACUCUAUGUUAUUUUGCAGAAAAAGCAGGUAUCUAUUGGCAGAUGGAUCCACCAAAACAUGAAAAGAUGCAUUAGUGGCUAGAAAGUGAGAGUUUUCUUUCCCCGCUUAGUGACGACCUUAUGCAAAAAGGCAAGUGUACCUAUGACAUCCACUAAGCAGUCACUCAAACCUUCUCGAAGUAUUAUUGUCGACACCAUGUUCCAAUAGUACAUAAAAUUAUAAGCAAAACAAAUAAAAGAUUGGAACAAACAACAACAAGAAGCGACGACUACACUAGCUACAUCACAGAGGUUGACACGAGCUUAACAAGAAAUUACUGAGAGUAGUCAUCCAAAGCUAGAUUUGAUGAUAUAGUGGAUGCAAGAGUCGUAGCCAAUAUUUCAAGAAUUUGCUAGGAAAAACAACAUCCAAGUCCCCAAUCAUACACCUGACAUGUUUAGGCCAACACAUCUAGAGCAAGAGGAAGAAGUCCAUGAUAGCAAAGGGGAAUGAGAGGAUGAGGAAGAAAAAAGAGACGAAAGCAAGGAGAUGGAUUUUGAGGAGGACGAUUGAACAUUUUUAUAAUUAUAUUUUUAAAAAACUUGUAUUUAUUUUUGGAUAAUUUUAAUUUAACUUUGUAUGAGUAGGACUAAUAGUAGAUUCUUAGUUAUGUUGCAUUUUGUUUAAGCUUUCUAUGUUGGAACCCAACAUGAAGAAGACACAAACAAUUUGAACUUCAUAUGGUCAAAAGAGGAAGCACCACCAUUAGCAGUUGGAGUGACCACGAUCAAUCGGGUAAUUUCUCUCCUUAUCUUUUUAUGGGCCACACAUUAAGGAUAAUGUGUCGACUUAAGCAUGGGGGUAACAUAGAAAAUUUGCUUUAAAUUUUUAUGUUUUUCUUUGAUUUUUCUUUUCUUUCGUGUGCUUGAACUUGUAUGAAUACAAGUGAUUGGUUACGAGCACGUACAUAGGUUGCUUGUGCUUACAAAUAAAGUUGGCAUGAUGAUAGGUGAUUUUAAAUUUUUUAUUAUUAGACUACUAAGUUCUAUAUGAUACACUGUAAAUAGGCAUUAAGUAAUCAAUUGUACCAAAUGAUAUAGAAAAUACAAGGAAACGAGCAUACUAGUAUAAAUGAUAAAUGGUUGAAUUUGAGUUUGUUUGGUUGAUUAAAUUUGUGCAUAUUGAGAUAUUAAGGGAUUACCUAAGGCAUUAUUUGGAACAAAACUAGAGCCAAAAAGUUGUCCUAUAAUUUAUUCAUCUUUAGUACCAAAUUUUAAGCUUGUUGACACUUCUUAAUGAACCUUAUUACAAAACCUGAGCCUAAAACAUUAAUUUGUAUUUGCCCUUUUCCUUUGGUCCUGAACUGCACGACUAUAGACGCCUGGUUAUAUAUAUUGAGGGUUAAGUAGAUACAUUACGGUAGAUUUUGAAAAAUUAUAUAUAUUGAGGGUUAAGUAGAUACAUUACGGUAGAUUUUGAAAAAAUAGAGUGAAAUAGGAAAGAUUGGUGUGAUAUAGGAACUAUGGGUUAGCUUAAAAAGUGCAAAACAAAAGAAAUAUUCAAAAAAAAAAUCAAUACGAGUAGAAAAUUUUCUUGAAAAGAAAAAAGCUUUUAUGAGUGAGAUGAAUUGAAAAAGAAAGUGACAAAGUCACAAAAAUAAGAAAAACUCGUUCAUUAGUGCACAGAAACUCGUAAGCUUGCCGUAGUUACUCUGUUGUGUUAUGAUUUCUUAUGUGGAGAAACAAGGAAGGUGAAAGAAGGAGAAAUAAGGCGGUGAGUGGGUAAGGGUCACUAAAGGGGAAGAAUAGGGAUCAAUAUGAUGUGCCAAACUAUUUUUGUGUUCGUAACCCUUUUUAUGCUUACUAUUUUUUAAUUUCAUACAUGUCCUAAGCCUCAGAACGUUACAAGCUGAAAAGUCCUAUGUGACCUAAAAAUCCUUAUGCAUGAAUGGACAUUACAUUAAACAAAUCAUAAAAUUGACUAUUUGUAUUCUGCUUGGAUAAUCAAAUUACUUGUAUGAUUUGUUGAUGGAUUCUAUAGGUGAGACCCUUAAUGUUUGUAUAUUUUGUAAUGUACUAAACUUAGAUGUUUGUGGUAAAUAAGUGGUAAAUAAGUUAUUCAUCAUGUUAAAGUUGUUUGUGAAUUUGAAAUACCUAGUCAUGUGCUCUAAAGUCAAUACUUGUAUGAUAUUUGCUCAAAGGACGUCUCUUUUAUUUUUUUUUUUGUUUUUGUUACUUGAGGACAAGCAAUGACUUAAGUGUGGGGGAGUUUGAUCUGGCGUAAUUUGGUGUAGCAGAUUAAACUAAUUUUUGUACUUUAGGAGCUUGAAAGCAAUUAUUUUCAUUAGGUUUUAAUUGUAUUUUUGCAAGAUUUAUUAAAGUUAAUAAAAUGUACAAAUUGAGUCUUUUAUUGACCUAAGGGGUCGAAUGAGGCCUAAGGGGGAGCUAAUGAAUUGUGUAAGUGUGCAGAGACCAUUAGUAGGCAUAAUAAAUAGAUGAUAGUCACUAUGUCGCAACACGGAAUAAUCAAUGUCGCAACAUAGGGAGUAGAAUGAAGAAGUCACGAAACUACCUUCGAUGUCACGAUACAAACUGGGGGUGUCGUAACAUACCCCUGAAGAUAUCCCAAGAGGAGUAUACUGACUCUUAUGUCACGACACAAGUCCUGGUGGUCGCAACAUUGACUUUGGACAGAAAUUAACAUGAGCUAGAGAGCGUUUUGGUCUGCACAAUCAAACCUAAAGCUUGGGAGCAUCAGCUAACCUAGGGUUAAGGACGACGACCACUUAAAAUAUAUAAAUAGGCUCCUUUGUCACAUGUUAUAGACAUCAAUUCCUUAGUGUAGUUUUCUACUUUUAAUUCUAGUUCAGAAUUUCUUUCUUUUAGGUUUUUAGAUUUAUUUUCAAUUUGUUAUCUAGAAUUUGAUCUGUGGAGACAAUCAAACUCUAUGGAUUUAUAUUCAUCUUUAAUGCAAAUCAGACAUUUUCUUAAACCCUACACUUCAAUUCAUUUAUCAUGUUCUUUCUUUACAUCAAUUCUAUAUUGUUUAUAAAAUCAUGAGGAUCUAAUCCCUCUAUGGGGGAUUAACGAGUAAAGGUAUGAACUAUUAACUAUUUUAUAGGGUUACUCAACAGAUUAGCUAUUUGGGAAAGGAAGAACCUAAACCCUACACCUGACAACUCUGGGAAGUCAUGAAGGUGUGAAUUAACCCAAAAUUGGUAUGGCCUAUCUGUGAACACCUUCACCCCAAACCAGUUUGGACUAUGAGGUCAGAAGAUAAGUAGUCAUUGCUAACUCGUCAUUUCAAUGGAAGAUCGAAAGGUCAUGCUGAGAUAGUGACUAGUUAUUAAUGAGGAACUCGAAGCGACAAUUGAUGGGGAUUGUCAGAACGAGCUAAUCACCCAUAACCAAAUUUGAUUUAUUAUGUUCUUUGAUCUCUUAAAUUUUAUUUCUUUAUGUUAUUUUAUUUUAUUAUUAUAAAAAUCUUAAAAACUCUUUUUUUUUACUUUUGUACUAUAACUAAAUUAAAGUACUAAUUAAAUCUUUCGGUCUUUAGGUUAAAAUUGAUCUAGCACUCGCCUCCCUUGGGUAAGAUCCUCGGAGUACUCACCUACUUCGUUGUAACUAUAUUACAAUUGGACCUGUAUACUUGCGGAUACCGCCUUAUAUAUCCAUAUUUUUUACUGUAGUAUUCAUACUUUGAACGUUAGUACGUCCGAAGGCAGUCAGUAGCAUUAUGAGGCCAGGCUUCUGAAGCUAAAAGGAUAUUAAAAAAGUCCAACCAGUUUAAAAGGCUAGUUGCCCGAAAAUCAUUUGGAAUCAAGUCAUGCAAACAGUAUUGGAAAACAUUUCUGACUGAAACCACUUCAACCAAUUCCAGUACAUGUCCUCUACUUAGUCGUUUGUAUUGUUUCCAAGCAACUUGGGAGUCAACUGGUUGAAUCUGUGCACAUACAUUCUUCCGAGGAAGGGAGGGAAAACCAAAACCAGAUUUAAGUUUACAGAAAACCCUCACAUACUUAUCUUUCUGUAAAUAGAGAUCUGAAUUGUUAUUUUGAAUUAUAGGCUCACAACCUGGGCGUACAUUGAAUUGGGCAUUUUUAGCAGAAGUCCCUUGUCUUUUUUCUUCAAUUGGUAAAAAUUUUGGAAUACACCCAGUAGUGGUGGCUCUUGGUGCAUGCAACAAUCUAUGAAGUAAGCUAUUAAGGUCCACUAUGAAAAAGUUGAUAUUUGUCCAAGUGCGAUGCCAUAUUCAUUUAACACUGCGCAAAAGAAAGGGUGAAGUCACAGAUGGAAGCCGACCUCCAAUAAAAUUAAGGGAAAGAUAAAGCCUAGGGUAUUAUCGCUCAGGUGAAAGCUUUGUGGCCGUCUGAAACAAUAAUCAAAUUUUGAAUGGAGAAUACCUCAAGCUCCUAAGUAUCGAUGUAUUUCGUCUUGGGUGAACUACAAUCGUACAGAGAAGUCUCCACGCGCAGUGGAGUAUCAUCGAAACCUUGGGAUCUGUAUGAGAGUGGAUUUAUGAGAUUGACAUUUCGAUUAACUUGGUCUCGACCCUCCCUCUAGUUUUUGUUCUAACCAUUUUGUAUGAAAAAAAAAGUGAAAAGAAAAAGAAAAAGAGGAAAAGAAAAUGUUACCUUUGAAAAAGAAGAAGACUAAAGACGAAAAAAGUAGAAGGAUUAAGAAAAAAAAAUUAGGGUUUCGAUUGAUUCGGCAAAGUGUCUACAAGGGGUCUUUGAGAAUCUACUUUAUAGAGAGAAACAAACAUGUGCAAGAAGUUUAAUUUGUGAUAACUAUUCAAGUUAUCUAGUAUAAGUUCGACAUCUGUCAAAAGGGUAAGUUAUAUAAGGUUUGAAAUUUCGAAAAUGACUUUCAAUCGUUGAACUCACCAAUUAAAAUAGACUUUUGGCACUCCUACCAGCAGGGGAUUUCUAAAGUGUACGUCUCUGAAAAGAAGUCAUUAUGAAUUUAAAGAACAGUUUGCCAAUUCAUAUUAUAUGCCUGGCGUAAGCAGUUAGUUAUAUAGUUUUUGUAGUUGAAUUUUCCAUGUUAUAAAAAUUUUGAGGGCGAAUUUUUAUUAAGGUGGGGAGAGUUGUGACACACCAAAUCUAGUGGAUCCAAGUCUAAGGCGUAGAGUUGUGAAGUUAUCUGUUUGGCGUAAUGUAAUCCACCAUGUUACAGUUUUCUGGCGAAUGGGACUGUGACGUAUAUUAAUCAUCGUAGAGGUGAAUAGAUGUUUUAGGCUAUUAUCAUUCUAAAAGAAUGGUAUAUCAAGUGAAGUAUAAGCCGAUUGAGUGACAGCCAUAUGCAUAGUACGUCCAGUUUGUCUGAGUACUGUGUGUUGGGUUUUGUAAAAUGAUUUGGUUUAGAGCCAACUAGAUAGACUGGUCAAAUAUCAAAUAUAUAGGAUUCUCAUUUAUGUUCCUCUCAGAAUCUAUAGGCCAUUAUGAAGGAAAAACUCUGGAUUCAAUUGACACUUGUAGAGUCCCACUAAAGGAAACUGAAUAUAUUUAUAUUGCGAGAAGGAUUAGCUUGGGGGUUCUUUCUUCAAAAUCUAUCCUAUGGUUCUUUCUCUUAGAACUUAUAUGUUUUCUUCUUUUGAAGCUAAAGAUUUUGAAUUUAUGAGUGGAUGUUCCACCUCUUGUUGGCUGUUGGUUUGAGAAAGGUGCUCGAGUUUGGAGUUCAAGCUACAGUUCAGGUGAGUCCCUAUCCUACUCUUGUAUGAAAAUUGUUCAAGUAAAAGUAUAUAUAUAAAUGAUAAUGACAUCUUUGAUAAUUGAUAAGUAUAUGAAGAAUAGUAAAGAUGAUAUGUGUGAUAUGAUAAUAUAUAUAAAGUUAUGUUUGAAAAGAAUGUUGAUUAGAAAAUACGUAAGUACAUCUAAUAUAAGGAAAAAAUAAUAAUAUUUAAUCACAACACAUUGCACAUAAGUCAUAUCAUAGGUGUCAUGUUAAUUAAUAUUUAUAUCCUUUUUAAUAAAUUUCUUUAUUUUUAAUUUAAGAAUUGAGUCAUUUUAUUUUUUGUAUUUAAUAAUUGAAAUUUAAUCGGUUAAAUUGGAUUAUGUGAUUGUUUUUUUUUAAUUGUUCACUUGACCAAUGUUACAAUAUUGAAUCUAAUAUUGUAAAAAAAAAAGGAAAUUACUUACUAUGAAAUCCAGCACGUAAACAAUUUUUUAAGGUAAAAUAAUUCAAUUUAACAAGAUGUUAUCAAUUAAACUUUAAUUAUUAAAUUAAAAUAGUAUAAAUAAAAUUCUUUAAAUUAAAAAUAGAGAAAUUAAAAUUUAAAAGUGUUAAAAGUAGAACCACCUAGCAUGUUAGACCCAUCAAUAAAGUAGUUAUAUAUACAUGUUAUUCGAUGAUUAGGAAUGAUAAUUUUAUAUUUAUUUAUACUAUGAUUAAAGAUAAAUUUAAUAAUUGAACAUUUGUUCGUGAAUGUAGACCAAAAACCAAAUAAAUUAUUGAUAUUGCGAUCAUUAUUUUUAAAUGCAAGUAGUCUAUUUAUAAUUAUUUUUAUUAAGUUUUAUAAUGUAAUAUAUAUAUAAGCAAUUUUCACUCACUUUUUAAAUCCACUCAUUAAUCAUAUUCAUUAUUUUAAUAUAAAUGUUAUAUGAAUUACAUAUAUAAAUUAAUAAUAAAUGUUGACACCAUUGUUUUGAUAAAACGGGGUCGACUUGGAUUUUGAAAAUGAAAACGAAAAUGGGAGUCGCCACCAAUCCUUUUUGAUAAGGUGUGAUCGGGUCACCUUGAAAAGUGGUUGUUUUUAAUAAACAAUUUGAUUUUAUUAAAACAACGAUUUUGGUCCACGAAAUUCAAAAAAACAGGUUCGGGAGUCGGUUACGUACGAGGAAGGAUUAGCACCCUCGCAACGCCCAAAAUUGGUACCUAGUUGAUUAUUUAGUGUCUUUAGUGUCGAAGAUUAAAAACUUUGAAGAAUUUUAAAAAAUACGAUCCUAAAAAUUUUCGAAUAAUGUGGGUUGGAAUUUAGGAUUCUCUUGUUUCGAAAGAAUAUUACAUCCAGCACAUUAGGAUACGAUACUUUAAACUCUCGAAACCAAGAUCACCUUAUGGUUUCCAAAACCAGUACUUUGAAACUUUAAGAGGGUAUUUGGCUAUUUGGCUAAACGAGAAAUCGAAACCCAACACAUUAAGGCACGCUUUCUCAGAUUUCCAAAUGCAAAAUAUUGCAUUUAUUAUUUUGUAGAAAAAAUCCUCAUCUCGAGAAAACGUGUCAUAUCCAAUGCAUUAGAACACAACGUAUUGAAUUCCCGAUAAUGAGCUUUUAUUUAUGUUUUUUGAUUAAAGAUCGUUUUCGAUUAUUUAGAUUCAAUGAAGAAAAUUGGAACCCAAUACGUAAGGGUUCAAUCCUCUCGAAUCUAGACAUGAAAUUUUUCUUAUUUGAAAGUUGAAACUUAUGCUUCGAGAUAAAUUAAUCUAACUUGAAAUAGUAGAAAUGAAACACAAGGUUAAUAUGCGUACAAAGCAAUAUUGAAUGCAAUAGCAUAAAAAUAAUACAAGCAACAAUAAUAAGAAUGAAUAAAAAGGGGCAAAUGGUAAUAUGCAAAAUAACAAGUAUAAGCAAAUAAAAUUAAAAUAUUCUUUUAAAGUAAUAAUAAAAAACACGAAUAAAUAAAUAAAAAAAUGAGAUGAACAAAAUAUAAAGUAUGUAUAUAUAUAUUAAAAUUGUGAAAUAUAUAAUAUAUAUAUGUGAAUUGUAGAAUAUACGAAAAUAUGUAUGCGUAUACGAAUUAUAAAAUAUAAAAACUAUAUAUGUAAAGAAGGAUAUAUUUUACGAUAUAAAGAAUAUAUAUAUAUAUAUGAAAGUAACAUAUGUAUGUAGAUAGAUAGAUACAUGUAUAAAUUAUAAAAUGUACAAAAAUAUAAGCGUGCAAUGCACAUAUAUAUAUAUAAAGAAGUUAUAAAAAUAUGUACGUGUAUAUAUAUAUGUAUUAUAAAAUGUGUAUAUGUAUAUAUAAAUUAUAAAAUAUAUAAAAAAAAUAAGUAUAUAUAUCAAAGAUGUAUAUUUAUAUAUAUGAUUAAAUCUAAAAUUAGAUGGUAUAAAUGAAUAAAUAAUAAUAAUAAUAAACCAAUUGAUUCAUUCUUUAAAAGAAAAAGAAAUAAUGCAUAUAUCAAGAAGGACUAAAUUUAACCUAAAGCAAACAUUGGGGCGAAUCUGAAAAUAAAUAAAGUAAAAGGACUGAACUGAGUGCGUGCAUAAAGAAAAAGGACUAAGGGGGAAUAUUCCCGUCCUCCAGAACGCAACACUUCACUUGAGGCUAAAAUGAAGUUAAAAUAAAUUUCAGAGCCAAAAUCAGGAAUAAAAUAAACUUAAUUGCCAAUCCCUAAAUAUAUUAAAUGUACAAACUCAAACCCUACAAACAAAACUCUAACUCUCAUAGAGUUUGUAAUACCUCAAAAAAAUUUUUACAGUAAGAUAUUAUCUUUGAUAUAAUAAAGUAAGAAAAUAAAGCGACAAAAAAGGGAAAUUUUGGAAUUAUGUCAACAUUGGGAAGUAUAUUAUGACAUAUUAGUUCAAGAAAGGAUUAAAUCGUAAAAGUGAGAAAAGUUUCGUUGCCGAAAAGUAAAUAUUCAAAAAUUAAAGGGUUAAAGUGUAAAUAUAAAAAAGUUGAAGGACUAAUGGUGUAAAUAUUUUAAGGGUGGAAUGAUCUAGAAACUAAGGAAAAUGGAGGGAUUAGGACCAAAUUGAAAAAGGUGAAGAAUUUUGAGGGACUAAAUCGUAAUUUUACCAAAUUAAGUAAUGACUCAAGGAUGGAAUUUUAAAAGAUCAUAAAGGGAAAAAUGGUCAUUUAGAAGAUAGAGAAAUCUAGAAGAUAAUGAUGAUGUUGGAGAUAUUUUAGAUUAAUUAAUUAAAUAAAUAUUAGUUUAUUAAUAUUUUAAUUUGAUUUUUAAAUGAUAUGUUAUUAUUUUAUUAUUUUAAUAUUUAGUAUAUAUAUAUAUAUGUGGAAAGAAAGAUGAGAAGCAACCAACCCACCAUCUUUUCCAUGCAAUUCACGUUAGAAGAGAAGAGAAGAAAGAAAGUUUUACUUUCUUUACAAUUUAGUCCUUCCACCAAAAAUUCACCAUUUUCAUCUAGAAAUCAAAAGAAUUUCCAUAUCCAUCAAGAGAGAAAGAUAACAAUGAGACUAUGGGGAGCUAGAAUAUCAAGUUAGAUUCAAGAAAUAGAAGCUGGAGGAGAGAGAAAAUCAAGUUAAAGAUUGAAAUCAAUAUGACAAGGUAAGUACAUCAAGAUUUUAAUAUAUUUUUAAGUGAUAUUAUUGAAAAAGUAUGGAAAAGAUGUUAAUGUAAAGUUUUUGUAUAUAUGGUCCUAUGUUCUUGAUAUGUUAGUGAAGAGAAAAUAAGAGAAAGUGAUGAGAAAUAGUGUAGAGAAAGAAAAUAAGGGUGUUAUAAACAUGGUAAUAAACAUCUUGCACUAAAAUGGUUUUGGACAGUAACAGUAGGCUCACUAAAAUGGUUUUAUAAACAUGAAAAUCGAACUAGAGUAUGAAUAAAAUAUGGAAUUAAAUCUUAUUGAGUCUAGUUUAUCAUAAAAGAAACGAUGUAAGUAAUUGAAUUGUAAAUUAUGAGAUAUAAUAAAUUUUGUGAGACAAGGUCAGAAUGAAUUCGGGUUCCACUGUUCUGACUUGGAAAAAUCAUUAAAAAUUGUAAAAAAAAUAUUUAUGGGUUAUAAUUUAUAUGUUUAAAAUCCUUGAUGAGUCUAUUUUCAAGAGAAACAAAUGGGGACAUCAUCCGAAUUCUGAACAAAGAGAUAAUUAAUUUUUAGUGAAGAAGGGUCAGAAUUGUCAGACAGCAGAACAAAGGUGAAUUUAAAGAAUAAACUGUACUUAUUGGCUGAACCAAAAAUUAUGAAAAUUUUAUGGUAAGAAUAUAUGUGAGUCUAGUUUCAGAUAAAAUUAUCGGAUCCUAAUUUGGAGUUCCGUAGAUCAAGAUAAAAAUAAUUUAGUGGCUAUGACUCAAAUGGACAGCUUUGAAUAAAUUUACAAGUAAAUUGUGAAAUCAUAGAUAAUGUUACUUAUAAGCAUGUUAUAUAAAUUAAGGAUGUGAAAUGGAGAGGAGGAGGAGAAGGAGGAAAAUAUAUAUAUUAAUAUUCAGUUAGCAUGGAUAAUUUGCACGUUUUAGACUCAGGGACUAAAUUGAAUAAAAGUAAAACUUUAUGGGUAAUUUUUAAAAAAUUAAAAAAUGACUAAAUUGCAUGAAAUGGAUUGUUUAUUUAUUAAAAUUACAAAAUUGAAUGAAAUUUAGAACAAGAUUGGGUGAAAACAUGUUUUAGGGAUUAAAUUGGAAAGUGUUGAAAUUAUGAAAAAUUUUGAUAUUUUAUAGAAUUCAUGGGCUGUUAUCAAUAUGUAUGGGAAUAAUUAGGCUUAAAACAAGGAUUAGAAUUACAAGAAUUUAUUUUUCUGAGCCCAAGGAUUAAAAUUGUCAUUAAUUAAAAGCUUAGGGGCAAAAUGGUAAUCUUGCCUAGAGCAUUAAUUGAAUAUAUCAGAAUAUGAAAUGAAUGAAAAUGAUGAUCAAAUUUGUUUAGAAAUAUCCGAAUGACUCAAAUACGAGACUUGAACGUGGAAAAGAAAAGACGUCGGAUUAGUGAAAUUGUAAACUCGAACAAGUAACGAGGUAAGUUCGUGUAACUUGAAUUAUAUUCUUAAAUGCUUGAAAUGUUUGUUAUUGAUGUGAAUAUGAUUUGAAUGUUUAUUGAAUGAAAAUUGAUGAAACAUUGAUAUAUUUGAUAAAAAGGGGAAGAAAUCCCGGUUGAAUGGAAGGAAAAUUCGAUGGAUCUCUGAAAAGGAAUUGACGGUAAAAAGGAUCUAGCCUGGAUGGGUGAUCCUAUCCUGAUAUAGCCCUCCCGAAGAAUAUGUGUGAAAAAGAUCUAGCCCGGAUGGGUGAUCUUGAUAUAGCCUUCCUGAAGAAUAUGUGGAAAAUGGACCCUUUAAAAGCUAAAAAAAAAAAAAAAUUGGACCACCUUAAAAGUUGGUAUUUUUUUAUUUUUAAAAGUUAAAAAAAUUUUGAACCCUUUAAAAAUUUAAAAAAAAUUAUCAAUCAAAUUUUUAUUUAACCUUAUAGAAUUUAGAACUGCUCAUUUUUUUUUAUUUUUAUAUUUAAUCAAAAAAUCAAAGAAUCUGUCAUUUGUUGUUCUAUCGCAAAAUAGAACGUAAAGAUAAGUAGAGUCUUAUUCUUAUUAUUCUUCGUCUAUAAAUAUCCAAGUUUUGAUUCCUAAUACUCCAUAAAUAGUUCGAACUCUAUAAGAGCAAUACUCAAUUUUCGCUCCAAUAGUUUGUAGAGAAAAUAUUUUGGAUCCUUGCAACCUUAGGUCCUAGGUGGCCACACCUACAGACGACCCUCAAGGCUGGGCCUGGAUUGCUGCUAAUGGUAAUUAAAAACUUAAUCCCACCUAUAUUUUCAAUUGUAUGAUAUUUUUAGAAGUUUUUUUUUAUUGUUUUGGAUUUCUUUUUUGAAAAUUAAAAGUAUCAAAUUUAUAUUUUAAUUAGAGUUUAGGGAUCAAAUUAGCUACUAAACCCAUUUAUGAACAUGCCAUGUCAUGAGCUUGUUGUUGUGUUAAUGGAUAAGAGACCAAAAGGUUAUAAGUUAAUAACAUUAAAUACUGUUUGUAAUUUUCAUAAAUGUGCACUAAAGCUACAACGUAAGCAUUAUGGGUUGUUUGAUGCACAUGCUUGUUAUAAACAUUGUUUUGCAUACUAACGUGAGUGAUAAUAGACUUCUUGCACAUUGCAGACUGCUCUACACUAAUUUAUUCCGAAGCACACUCAUAACCGAUUUUAAUAUUUAAUUUAUAAUUAAUUUUAUUUUUAUGAUGUAAAAAUAAAUUUUCAUAUUUACAAUAAUAAAAUAUCCUAAAAACACUAAAAAUUACUUUUUCAAAAAAAUACAAUGUAAAAGUUAUUAUCUUGUGUACUUGAAAAAUUAUUUUCUUUUAAAAAUAUUUAUGAAAUUUUAUCAAAUAAUAUCUAAAAAAUCAAAAAAUAAUAUCUAUUUUUGAUAAACUAAGUCCAUAAAUUCAAAACUCAAAAUUAAUAUGAAAAAAACAAAAAUCAAAUCAAACCAAAUUAUUAUGAAUUCGAGUAAAUCGAAUUCACUCCUAGUAUAGAGAAGGCCGAUGCCUGUGGUGUUCUUUUUGUAUCGCACUAUGGUUAAGUUAAAGAACAAUUAUGGCUUGUUUCCCAAAGGGAAAAUCUAAAUCAUCCCCUAAUUCCUAAACCCAUUUUCAGCCAUCCUAUCAAUCCAAUCCAACUAUCAAAAGACACUGAUACCUGUAGGCCUGGUCCGAGCUGAACUUGGACAAUAUUAUACUCACAACAGUGAAUUCAAACCAGGCCAAAAACAGGCUUAAACAAAGAAAAAUUCCGGCUGCACAUGAACAGGUCCUAUGUGAAUACUAACUUGUGAAGUGAAUACUCAGGAAUGUGUCAUUGAGUGAGCUAAGAAUCAAUCAUAAUAGUAGGAUUAAAAUUGUUUGCAACUUGUAAAAGUUUUUUUUUUUUUUUUCAAGAAACGCACUUCCUUGCAAAAGUCAAAUAUCCAGUAUGCCCUCGUGUUUCAGCAGAUGGCCGGGCCAUAACUGCAGAAGAACUUGCAUUGUCCCCGACACUUGCUUCACUCGAAGGCUGCCUCCUCUUGCGUGGAGGGCAUGCAGUGGAAUUACCAUCAUUGACUUUCGAGUGAUCCAUUUUCCAUUCACGGACUUCGUACGUGCGGAGCAGUAUUUCAAAGGUCCGUAUAUCUGUGCAUAUUACAAGCAAAGUUCAUGAUGCUUUAAAAGAAAAACUGCUUGAACAAGAUAGGAUAACUCGUUUCUAAUAUGUUACCUGUAAAGUCAGAUCUAAGAGUUUCACAUGAACGUUGCACUUGUUCGAUGCAUGGUGAGAAGGAACACAGAGUUCCAUCUUGUUUCAACAUGUUUCGAGCUGAAGGAAUGGCUAACCAAGGUUGCGGUAGGUCCAAAAAUACAGAAUCAGCCAAUCCAGAAAACUGAUCGGGAAAUCCAUCACCCUGAAUAUCUCGGACUCCCACAGUGACUAAAGUGCUUAUUCCAGUCCUCUCGAAGUCCUCUCUGUUGAAGGAGCGAAAAAUUGUAAAACAUUCCUUCUUUCACAAACCGACACAUAGAAGAAUCAAAAAAAAAAAAAAAACUAACCAUCCUUGGAUCUUUCUAUUAUCAAUUAGACAACCAAAAACCAUAUAGUGGGAUCAAAUAUGCAUCAUAAAUGAGUCCUACGCAAGGUUCCAUAAAACCGAGAUAAUGUUGAGACUAUGAAGCAUGAAAGCAACAGAAUGUCGAUCGAAGAAUACAUCUACCCGAACAGACUUCUGAAAUCUACCUAGAAUUCAAGCUCAACCUAAGCAGUUACUAAAAUCAUAUUUCAUAACUUGAAUCUUUGAAACCAAAAUUUCAUAACAAUGCACUCACUAAUGAAACUAAUAAAGAUCUGUAAACCGAGACAAUUAGAGACAAUGAAGUACCACGGCAACAAAAUGUAGAUCUAUGAAGACAUCAACUCAAGAUGACCCAGAAUUUAAGUUCAACCUGAGCAGUUACUAUAUCAUAUUUCAUCACAAUGCACUUUCGGAAACAAUAAACAUUAAGGCUUACCUAGCUGAGGCGGCCCUCUGUUCAUGGAAAUCAAAGGUAUACACAUGUCCCAUUGGAGACACAGCCCUUGCAAACGAUGUUGUUAAUGAGCCACUACCGGUCCCAGAUUCAAGAACCAAACAACCCGGAACUACUUCCAAGUACAUAAUCACAAAGCUAAUAUCCGCAAUAUAAAGAAUCUGAGUCCUAUGACUUAGAACCAAAGUCCAUAACUCCGGUGUCGGAGCCAAUAGGUAAACGAAUCCACCUUUGUUGCUGAAAACUUUGGAACCAAACGGCUUCCCAAUCCAAUCCGAAUGUUUAAAUACACCGAAACGAUUUUGAAGAACCGAAUUCUCGCACACUUUAACAGCUUUCAUAGUAUCAUGCCUCUCAUAUACAAUAACCAAAUCUCCAUCUCUAAUGCAACGAUUGAAAGAUAUCUUCGUCGAGGAGUCCAUAAGCAACAUCCUUACAAGACGGAAAACAUAUUCAAUUAAAUACACAGAUGAUGUUGGACUAAUAUGUAAUUUCUGUACCAAACUUUACUCCCCAAAAAGAAAAUAAUUACCACAUACCCAAAGUUCCAUUAAGAAUAAACAAUUACCUAGAAUACCAGGAAGACCCGAAUUCAUCAAAAAAAAUAUAUGGAUAUAUAUAGGAAAAGAAUGUGAGAUGAAUGGUUUAAUCAAUAGUUAAGGUAGAAAAUUGAGAAAAAAAAAAGACUUACCCAGAAGUACUUCUGAAUUAGGUAGCAAUAUUUUCCAGAUAUGAAGAAGAAAAGAGCAUGGAAGCAGCCAAAAACCCUGGGUUUUAUUCAACUUCCACUGUUAACCAAAUAGGGUUUUGAAUAUUUGAUUAUAGUGUUAUUAAAGUACACCGUGGUCUGUGGGUCACUGAGUUAUAUGUGGAUUUCCGUUUUAAUCUUUAAACUGUGAAAAAUUACAAUUUAGUCAUUUAAUUAUUUGAGAUUAUAUGUUUUGUUCACUCAUAGUUAAAUAAUUAAAGAUGACAUGACUUUUCUAAUUGGUAUAUAUAUCAUAUCAAUUUGCUCUUAAUACUUAAAUAUUUAACCCUUAACAACAAUUUAAUCUUAAUUUUAAAAUUUUAAAAAUUAUAAAAAAAAUACAGUUUUAAAAGAAUUCAAAAAAUUAUAAUAAAUUAAAAUACAGAGAUGACAACUUGAUCCGACUAAAUAUGAGUAAAUACAGAGGGAAGAAGGAGGUCUUAUCUCUUGGAAGCAGAGGUGAACCGAAAGACUAAAGAUUUCUCAGCCUCUUUUGGCCCUUCACUUGGAUAUAUUUGUGGAUAACAACCACCCUGUCCUCUUUCUUUCUCUUUCACCCCACUUAGGCCUUCAUCAUUUUUUUUUUUGUUCUUUUUAUGCCUUUUCCCUAUAAAACCCCAUUCUAAAUAUCUUCCAAAAAUAUCUCUCAACCCUACACUUCUUUUUCUUUUCGCUCUGUUUUUUUGGUUUUCUCAAAAAUGUGCCAUAAGCAUCAAUUCCCUUGUUUGCAUUGCCACCCACAUGACUACAUUAGAAUGGUAUAAGCUUCAUAUUAAUUACGUUACUAUCUCCCAAUCAAAGUCUUGGGGAUACUUUCAGAAUCUUGUGCUUUGCGUGCAUAUUUUAAACAUUUAAAUUAUGGUUUCCUUUUUCCAAAUGUUUUCUAAGAGAAGAUUUGAUUUCUUUUGUAGGUUCAACAUAUGAUAGAGAGCUGUCUGGUUUUUCAGAUGAGCAAAGAUAAGUGCGUCGAAGCACUUGCUAAGCAUGCCAACAUUGAACCAGUCAUCACCCUAACAGGUAAAACAACUUCCUAGCUUAACCUCCCGUUUGUAUUUUUCAUCAUAUCAUAAUCAUGUUUAAAGCAUUUUUUUAUUUAUAUUUUUACCUUUAUAAGUUCAUUUUUUGCAGUUUGGGAGGAGUUGCUUAAAGAGAACAAAGCCUUCUUUCAAGAGUAUUUCCAGGCUUUAUCUCCGAGGCAGAGCUCUGUUGAUUGAAGCUCUGCAUGCGGAUGAUUGAUGCAGUUCAGCAGAGAGUUUCCACUCAAAAUAUGACUGCUUUCAGAAAAAGAAAGCAUUGGCAAAGAUUCAAAUAGCAAAAACAUCAUUAUCGAAAGCUCCAUGAAUGAACUUCUAGAUGUAAGACCUUGUUUAGAAAUUUAAUAACUGAGCAGGAACUUGAGAGACCUGAGAUACAGCCUUCAGACUACAAAUUAUAACCGCGUAUAAUAUGCAGGUUUGUUUCUGCUUUUAGGACCUGAUAAAAAUUGUAAGCACGGUACCAGCUAUUUCAAUCGGAUUCAGGGCCGAGCAUCUUUAGUACAAGUUGAUUCAAUUUUAUCUAUUUCAUUUCAUACGGUUAUAAGGUAAUAUCAUAUACCCAUAUCUGAAUAUAUCUCUAACAAACAUUAAAAGCCAUAAUUUAAAGCUUAGUUCUUAAAAUUUGGAAUGAAGUUGUGAUAUUUGCUGUCGUAUAAACCAGUUCCAGUUCCAGUUCCUGUUUUAUGUUUAUGGUAAAACCAGUUAACUGUCCAAGCCAAUCUUUAGGGCAUCCAAGGCAGAAGUCAUGAAGAAAAAAGCCACAGGCAAAACAGCUGAAAUCACAUAGGACAAACAUGACAAAUCUCUAAUAUUAGAUUCAGCUGUAAAAAGAAACUUGAACAUGAAAAUAUUACUAGGAAGUUCAACAGCAAUUCAGUUCGAUGUCUAUAUGCUAUAUUAUGGAUUCAACUUAAAGUACAGAAUCAACAUGAAAUCGAACUUGGUAUUCGUUUAUUAAUUUUAGGGGAGACAAGCAGCUUAACUCUAUUCUAAACAGAUGAUUUUGUAAUAGCUCCAGCUUCAGUUAGCAGAGGAACCAGCUUACCUUCCUUGUGCAAGGCCAUUGUAGCUGCAAAAACGUACAGAAACACAGUAAUUAGUAAACAAACAGAGAUGGUACGAGGGAUUUCAUUUGUAUAUGAAUAAAAUAUGAUAGCAUAGAGUUUAAAUGGCAUACAAUCACAGCCACCAAUGUGUUUCCCACCAAUGAAAACGUUUGGCACAGUCCGCUGGCCGGUCCACUCAGCCAGAGCUGCUUGAAUAUCAGAUCCAUCACCUGGAAAAAUACAAAAAACGAAAGCUAUAUUUACUUUGACAACCAAUGUGGAUAUAUUCUCACUAUUUAUUUUUAAAGCAAGAAAGAGUUGCAAAUCCAACCUUAACUCAUAUUGACAAUAUAAAAUUUCCAUGUAAGCAUCCACAACAAUCCCGUGAGGAGCAUACUGCUUCACUACAUCAAACUACGAUACCAAAUCCCCAAUUGAAGAUAAUGUACUCACACUUUUAUAAGGCCAGGAAAAGACAUUCAAUCACUUUAAAGGCAUUAUUAUAGAUAAUGGAUGGACUUGCAUUCCAUUACCUCAUACCCAAAACCAUACACUUGUGCUGUCCAAAUCUACGUCUCAAACCAAUGGAACCACAAACAAUGAAACCAACCAUGCCUAACAGUCUUAUAGGAUCUUUCAAAGCAAUAUUCAAAACAAUCGAAUUUGGCUUCAAAUUCAUUUGUUCAACAUGAUCGAGACAUGGAUAUUGAUAACGAGACUACAGAUUUUCCUAUUCAACCAUGUAAAUAGACCUUCAAACUCAAGAUUACAGCCCACAUAAAGCUUCCAACUGCUCCUUUUUCUUGUAAGUUCAAGCAACCAACUAAAAAUGGCAGCCAAGUUGAAUCAACAUGAUCCACAUCAGUUAAUCAAUGUUUAAUAGAACGCAAAGUUUGGCUAACCAAAACAAUCCUAAUUGUUCUUAAAAGACUUGGGUUAAAAAGCUGAAUAACUUUGGAUUAAUCAAAUACUACAAAUAAAUAAAUAAAACAUGAAAAAUUAACAUGAGCGCAGCAUGAAUAUACAUAAUUUCUCUGACUGAAUUGACGUUGAGUUAACUCAUAAGACCAACUCAUUUAGGGCUCAAUAUUAGUUUAGAUGACAAACUUUAUGCAAGAUUUUUCAUUUUCUUUUCCUUUCUUUUCUUUUUUUUUUUUUGGCUAAUUUAGCUAUAAUUCAUUAGAUUAUAAAAGAACCGUUUCCUAAAAAGUGGGGAAAACACUUUCACACUUGAUAUAACCCAUCACGAACAAAAGUUUUGUUUGAUUUUACUGAAAGAUAUCACAAUAUAAAGACACUAAACAGAAUCGAAUCAAAUUAAUACUCAUAAAAUUCAAGCAAUUAAAAGUAUUUUCAUUUCAAAACCUAAAAAUCACAAAAUUGUUACGAAACAACAUCGUAUCUCAAAAAGGGGAAACUUGAAUAAAAAAGAAAAAGAAAGAAAACUAACUUUCUCUGUCGAGCUCAAUGGCCUUGAAAGAAGCUCCAAGUUGUUGAAGCAAUUGCUUCACAUCCACACAGAACGGACAGUAGGACUUGCUGCAUCAACGAAUACGUAUAAAAUACCACAAAAAAUGAACAAAAAUUGUAUACGAAUACGUAUAAAACUACGGAUACCUGAAAACGACGACAGGAUUGGUAGAUACGAUGUCCUUCGCCUUUUGCAAAGCCAUUUUUUUUUCUCUUUCUUAGCCCUGAAAAAAUGACUUCUUUUUUUUUUUUUGGAUUUAAAGAGGGAGAGCGUUGAGGAUUUUAUAGUGGAGAGAAAAUGAGAUAGAAAAGAGGUGUGGAUUUCGUGAGAGUGGUGGAGUGAUGAAGAAGGAAGGUUCCUAAAAUGAUCUGGGCCGUUGAUUUUAUGCCAAUUAAAAUAUUGGUGGACCCUUUUCAGCUUUUCUUUUAAAAUAAAAAUAUAAUUAAUUAAUAAGUUGAUUUUGAUUGGAGAAACGUGAACUAAACGUAACAUUCUUCUAUUGCGAAUGAUUCCGUCGAGCCCUUGUAUUAUUAUUUUCUUGGACCGAACCUUUUCAAUCGUAGAAAAGGGUCAAAUUCCCAUGCAAAAUAUACAAUCGGUACAAGACAAACGGGACAAAAGAAGUUCCAACAAACAGCAAACUUCACUUGAGUCAGGUUGUCAUUCCUCAUAAAAAAACUAAGCAAGGGCUAAAACUUUCAUAGAUUUGUUGGUGUUCAGCCGUUAGAUGAAAACCACCAUGAUGCUUAGAGCCUUUCGUCUCCUUGAUUUUGUUGCAAUUGGUACAUCUAUGCUAAGUUAAAACUAUUAAUGCGAAAAGCUCAAGCAAAUCAGGUAAUCUCGGGAUAUUCAAAAAUCCCCAUACAACCAAACCUUUCAAAUGGUGACAUCUUGUACCAAAAAAGACAAAAACCACCAUGACAAUAACGGUGGCCACAAGCGCCGCCUACAACUAAUAGAUCAAGGCCUGUGCAUUAUUGUGCCCCAAAAAGGUAGACUCUCAUUCUCAUCUCCACUGGGGACCAAAGGUUGGCAUCUGGGCUGGCGAAAUAAAAGAGGUCGGCAAGGUUAAAAGAGAAAACAAGUUGAAACAAAGAAAAAGAGUGAAGCUGGAAGGGAAAAGAAAGGACAUAAGCCGACAUACUCUCUCACUAUGUGUUGUUGCAUAAGCCGCUAGCCCAAGCCUCAUCCUCGGUAUACUCUGGUAAAAUUGUAACUUGAAUUCUCUAUGAAACUCUUUCCAAGCGCAUUUAGCAAUAUCACCUCGUCUCUCAUCCGUGGACCUACGACGCCACCAUAACAAAGCAACAUUAGUAAAAUGUAUGGCAGCAAUAUUUACCUUAGUAACAUCAUCUAUGAUGCCUUUGGCACGGAAGUAUUGCUCCAUCCAUCACAUGAAGUUGCCCACAUCCUUUGUGGACCUCGUCCCAUUAAACUCUUUCGGCUUCGGGACAUCUAUCUUAGGCAUAGGUGCCACAACUAACACCCCAUUAUCCAAAGCAGCUUUGCAGAUAUUGAGCUCCUCCUUUAGCUCCUCGAUUUGUUCCUUCAAGGCUGACACCAUUGCUUCGAGAGCAUCAUUCUUCUCAGUUACCUCGCCCACAGCAAUAUUCAGGACCUCUUGCAUCGCAUCCAUUUUGUUACCGAGGGCCUCUGUGUCACAUCCCAAAUUUGGCGGAUCCAAGAGAAAGGUGAAUAGAUGGGAAAAUUAUUUGUUUUGACGCACUUUGGUAGUUAUUCCGCCAAUUUAUAAGCUUUUGGUGAACUAAUGUUUGGCGCAUAGAGUACCCACCCAUAGAAGUUUCUUUGGAUUUAAUUAUCGUAGUAAUCUUCAAUUGAAUAAGGAGUAUGUUGUAACACCCCUAACCCGUAUUCGUCUAAAAAUACCUUAGAAACGAUUCGAGACUAAAUUGAAAACAUAUGGAAAGUCUAAGAAAUAUUCACAAAAAUUUGGAAACAGGGUCACACGGGCAUGUGGCCAGCCGUAUAACCUUCGAACUAGGGACACAUGGCUGUGUCCCAGCCCGUGUCCUCACCCGGGUCACAUGAUCGUGUCACACACCCGUGUACCAGGCCGUGUAACUCUCUAAGUUGCCCCAUAUGCCCGUGUGCCAGACCGUGUGCUAGGUCGUGUAACUCACUAACUUACAUACAAAGGAAUUCCCAAAUGACACACAGCCGUGUCGCCAGGUUGUAUGUCACACACGACUGAGUCACACACCUGUGUCUCAGGCCGUGUGGACAUAAAUUUGCCUAAAAACAAGCCAUUUCCUAUACUAUAUCAUGCAUAACCAUUUGAACAAAUUGUGCACACUUACAAGGCAUCAACUCAUACCUAAACAUGCAUAUAUUUCUCAUUCCAAAUGUCUUAAUUCAACUAACCAAUAUGUCAUUCAAAGGCACCUCAAGAGCAAUCAUCAUAACUUACAUAAACAUGUCAACUUUACCUAAAUUCAAACAUCAAUAUCUAGUUUAACAUUUAACAAAACAUGCCACAAACAUAUCCAUUAACACACCAUUUCAAACAUACCAUUGGAACCAUUCAAACAUGCAUAGUAGCAUAACCAAGUUACACAAUUUGACAAAGUAUCACAUGGUGCUAAAACAAGAUAACAUCCAUAACUUAUACAUACCAAAUCAUCAAUUAAACAUUCAACUAAACAUCAUUAUAAGUCCACCUAUACAUGUCAUUAUAACAUUGGCCAAAACAUUCAAAAACUGUCGAUAUUUAUGCUGGAUAGUGUGAUAGUUUUCUGACGAGCUUCUGAUAAUCUAUAAAACAUAGGAAAGAAACUACGUAAGCACUUAAUGCUUAGUAAGUUCGUAGAAAAUAAAACAUAACUUACCAUUUCAUUUACAUAACAAUAAGUAUAAGCAUAAUAUAACUCAAACCACAAGCUUGGCACAAGCCUAUACAUCAUCAUCAAUACACAAGUUAGUGCAUUUAUACAUAACUCACUUGAAUUAACCAUAUGAUAAGUCAUUUGCAUAUGAGAAUGCAUCAUUUGAUUCAUAUAUCCUUUUCAUGAACAUAUGCAUAAUUCCACUUGGAAACUUACCAUUUCAAUCCAUUUUUCUUUCCCGUCGAACCAUUUAGAAUAUCAUCGAAUACUUGAGAAAGCUCACAUGAAGUGUGACUUUACAUAAUUGUAACAUUUCCUUUACAUCAUUGCUCACACGAGCUGUGAAAUAGGUCUGCUCACACGAGUUGUGGGUCAGAAUGUAAGCUAUACGAUGCUAUUCACACGAACUGUGGAGUAUCCGUACCAAAUACAAGACCUCAGCCAUCAUAGGACAUUCAAGACCAGCACCCAAAACAUGAAAUCUCUAAUGACAUGUCAUUUGUAUCUUACGAAUUCCUAGGGUUCAACCGGGACUCGAUAACCGUUAUCGUAUUGAUUUAUUUAAACAUCGAUAAAUUCUCACGAUAAAUAUCAUAUUUACAUACAAUUUAAAAUAACAUUAAAAUGAUAAUUAUUCAGACGAACUUACCUCGACAACUAGGGGCGUAGAAGUAAAAAUGAGUUAUUCUGAAGCUUUUGGUUUGCCACGAUUUAGGUCCUUACGUGGUCUAUCUUGAUCAUGCAAGUACUUAAGUUAACCGACCUUCAAACCCUAAAAAUGGCUUCCUUUCUACCAAAUUUCAAUGGUGACUUUCAUUUAGGAAGAUGAUACCAUCUUUCAUUUAGUUUAAUUUUAAGUUAAUUUAUUAAUUUACUAUUUUAACCUUAGUUUUUAACUUAAAAUCACUUGAACUAUGUCCAAAUAUGUCCACUAACUAUUCAAAUGGUCUAAUUACCAUUUAAGCCCAUUCACUUUAAAUUUUCAUAGCAAUUUAACUCCUUUAACUAAAAGAACUCUAUUUUUUGUAUUUUUUACGAUUUAGUCUUUUUUACUUAAUUAAUCAUGCAAACAUUAAUCUUUAUUAACGAAAUUUUAAUAUGAUCUUACUAAUAUCCCAUAUACGUUAAACUAAUAAUAAAAUAAAAUUUUACUCAUCAGAUUUAUGAUUCUAAAACCACUUUUUUGAUUUCACUAAAAACGGGUUGUUACAUACGCCUCAAAAGUUUUGGUUAAGUAUAUCACGCCAUAUAUGAGUUAUCACCAAUAGGUAUAGUACGCCAAGUUUACUCGAACGAUGUUCAAAAUAGGUUCUGUAAUGUGAUUGGUUGGGAGUCAAUUGUGAAUUUUAUACUUCUAAUCAUUUAAAUUCAUGUUUUUAUACUUAGUAGAGUAUUUGAGAGCAAAAUAAGUGAAAAUGAGCGACAACUAAAAAAUCGAAGCAAGCUAAUCAGCCACACGAGUUGACCCAUUACACAUAACCGUGUGAGCCACACGGGCUACAACAUGACCAUGUGGUAGGUUGUGUUGAUAGUGCAAAUUUGCACUUUGAAAAGUGAAAAAUGCGAUUUUUAGGUUUUUUGGGACUUUUAAGACAUAUAUAUGACAAAAAUAAGAAGAUGGAAGUGAGCCAUCAUAGAAUAUUCAAGAAAACAACUCAAAAAACACAAUUGAAGUUAAUUCUAAAGUAGAAUUUCAUUAAGAUUGAAGACUCCCAGUUGAUUUGUUAGGAGAUUAUAAUGAGUUUCUUUAUUUAUUUUGGUUAUACUAUUUUUUGGAUAUUUUUAUUUCAAGCAUGAACUAAUUUUCUAAAUACCCAGGGAGAUGAACCCUAUGAUGAAUUCUGUUGUUUGAUUUUUAUUUUACACAAUAAAUUAUUAGUUUCUUGUUCUCAAUUAUGUGUGCUUAAUUUCUUGGUUUAAUAUUUCUAGACUAUUAAUCCAUGUUUGAUGUGCUUAAAUUAAAGGAGAAAUAAACCAUGUUUAAGAGUAGAUCUUGCGUAAUUGAGUGGAGUUGCAUGCAAUCCUAGAAAUAAGACGACAUAAAUCUACCAGAUUAGAGUCAAAUAUAAUAGGGGAAUCGAUAAAUCGAGUUAAUGCGAUAAUAGGGGUUUUAAUUAGAAAGAAAUUCCAAUUAAUCAACCUAGAGUUAGUUGCUCUUACUCUUGAAAAAGAUAUUAGCAUAAUUUAGGGAUUUCUACGGAUCAAGUUACUAAGUAAAGAAAUUGUGUAAUUUAGAUUGAUAAUGACAGAUGAAAUCUAGGUGAAUUCUUUUCUUAGUAUUAUUUUACUUAUUGGUUGUUAAUCGAUUAUUUUCUUGAUUUGUUCUUUGUCGUCUUCGUUAGUUUAUUAAUUUAGUUAAUUUUAGUUUUUAAUCAAUCACUCAAAUUAUUUGGUUAAAUAAUAGAAAGAUAGUAAUUACUAGUACUUUUAGUCUUCGUGGGAAUGAUAUCUUUGCUCACCAUAGCUAUCUACUAAUUGAUAGAUGCAUUUGCCUUAGUCGAAUUUUUAGUUAGUUUCAUGGAUAUCAAUUGACUGGUCAAAUAGCAUCGACUUCGGAUUUUCUUUUAUAUUUUCUCUGAUUUUUGUAGGACAUUAAAUGGACUAUAUUUGUAUGCAAUUGACACUUUUCAAGAUCCACUAUGAGGUAUUCAGUAUAUAUAUGGUACGAAGGGGAACGUCUAGAUGGUUUUUCUCCCUUCAAUAUUACUCUUUGGUUCUUCUUCUUAAACUUAAACAUUCUCUUCUUCUUUCAAGUUGGAAGUUAAAGUUUUGAAUUAACCAGUGGAUAUUCCACCUUCCGGUAAGCUUAAUAGUGUUGCAUGUAAGUUUUUGAAAGAGUAAGGAUGUUAAGAAGCUUGUAAACAGUAAGUUAUGAGUGGAAGGCCCUAAAUGCGGGUCGUCUGUAGUUCAGAUAAUAGAAAAUUGUCAAUAAAUGGGUUUUUAAUGGUGGUUGCAUGUUCUUUUAAAUAGUUACAGCUAUUGAUUCAUAAAGGACGUUCAGGUUUAGAACUUUGAGUUGCAGUAAAGGUGAGUAUCAAAUGAGCCUCUACCCUGACUCAUGUAAGUUAAUUUUAAUUGUAAAGAUGCAUGUUGAUAUCAUCACGGAUAAUUGGUAAGUGAGUAAAGCACCGUAAUGUUGUUACAUGUCCAUAAUUGAGGUAAAUGAGUUAUUGUAUUAAUAGAAUGAUGUUUGAUGUAAAUACAUGUAAAAAUUAGGUAUGGAAAGAUAAAUUUUGUUAAGAGAAUAUGAACUAGUCAGGUAUGUGGAUGAAUUUGGGUAAGUAUAUUUUGUAUGGGAUAAGCAAACAUCCAUUUAUGAUGUCUCUGGUAGGGCAAGUACAUUGAUAACUGGAUGGGAAGAUCACGUUGACUACGAAUAUGUUGGGAAAUGUACCCAUAUUGUAGUAAACAUGUAACUAUUUUUUAUUUAUUUGAAAGAUGAAUAAAUAAAUAAAGUUAAUUUCAUAUUUCACUAUUAUGUAUUUUGUAUUUUAUGUCUUUUAUAUUUUGCAUGCAUAACGAAAUUGUGACAAGCAAAUAUUAGUUCAUUAAUUGUCUAAAGUUCAAACUGAAGAUAAGUGGCAUUGUAAAGAACGCUUACAUUUCGAGAAAGAUAACUUAUUUCAGUAGAUAAUCUAAAUGAGUCCGCAAUCUUGUAAAAGAAUAAAAGUGGGCAUUGGAUUGAAAUACUGAGAAGGAUUAUUAUGUUGUCUACAAUUCCAUUUGGGAAGAUGGCUAGUCUUGGCUAUCGGAGCAGUUGACUUCACGAGUAGAGACAUAGAUGUAUUCAUUGGUAGAAUGAUACAGUUGACUCCAAGAUGAAUUAAUUUUGAAUCUGUUUGUGAAUUAAUUCACUUGUGACAUUUAUGGUGUGAUUUACCUAAAUCUUGAGUUAGUCACAAACCAUGCAUAUGCAACUCAUGUGCUUUGAUAUAAGUGGAGGUUUAUGCUCUAAAGAUGAUCGAGCCCAUAGUCGGUAUAUUGUGUACAUGACUUGUAUAUAGCAUGACUUUACUAGCAAUAGUGGAAUUCAUAGCUAAAUUAAAGAGUUAAUAAUAUCCUCUCAUUGGUAUUGUAUGGAUUGAUAAAUAUGAGACGUGGUCAUGGGUUGUUUGUUUUUGAACAAGUAAUUUGUCACAGUCAUUUGUUGAUAGUGAACAUAUUAAUCAUUAAGAAGACAUAAUGGUGACAAUGAUAUAAAAUAGGAUUGUAUUGAGUGAACGAAUUUAACUCAAAGGAAUCUUUGAUAUCAGAUGAGGGUAACACACACAUGACGAGGUCAUUGGACAAAACAGUUGGAUGAAUUGCUUUCGUAACGAGUAUACAAUAAGGAGUUUUCAAUCAUGGUACUUCUUGUAGAUUGACUCCAUGAUUAAGUAAUUACGAAUUAUCGGAACGAAGUUUUUGGACAUAAUUGCAACCACUAGAGUUGUAUAUGUCCGAUUGGUCCAUCAGCUAGCAUAACAAAAACUCGACCGAACUGUAUUUGAAUCAGAAGAAAAUUCUAUGACCUUUGGAAUAAUUUAAUGAGUCGAUUUAUUCGAUUUAGAAUUAAAUUAUAUGGUUGUGAAAAUUGUUCAACUAGAGAAUUUAAUUAAAGAAUUUUCUUGAAAAAUUAAUUUGGAAAAUCUGAGUGAUUUUUAGAAAAAUUAAUUUUAAUCAAGAAAAAUUAAAUUAAUCAAAUUAAUUAAAAUAAAUAUAAUCUUGUUGGAAGUUAAUUUUCAAGUCAAACAAUUGGCCCAAUGGGUAAUUGAACUUGAAAAUUGGACCUAAUAUCAUAAAUUGGACCUGGGAGCCCAAAAUUGAUACCAAGACCCAAAAACUGGUCGUACUGGGCCCGGUAUGUGAAAACGGACUGACAAUCCAACCAGUGGCUAGACCGAACCGGUCGAGUCAUCAUUGACCUGGACUGAACCGGUAGCAGCCGAACCGGCUCAGGGUGCCGUAAUGGUGUCACACCUGCAUCACCAAACACGACGGUGCCGGUGGUUGCGACAGUGGCGUUUCGGUGGCCGACGAUGGUUGGUCAUCAAUGGUUGAGCCGUGGAAGAGUUACACUCCUACUGUGACUCUACCAGAGAAUUUGAUUUUAGAUUAAUUAUUCCAAAAAUAAUAUUAUUUUAAUAGUUUAAUAUUAUAUUUAAUUUAAUACUUAUCUUAAUAGUAUUUUAUUAAUUUAAUAUUAAAGUGAUUAUUUUAAUAUAAAAUUUAAUUUAAUGUUUAUCUUGUCGAUAAAUAUUCUAUUAUUUUAACAAGAUUUAAUAUUGAAUUUAAUCUAAUUUAUACCAGACUGUCUCGAGGAUCUGAGGAUUGGGUUUGGAAUGAGAUAAUCGUAAUUUGAAAUUUGUAAUAAAAAUUUGAUUAUUGAUUAAAUUUUGAAAAGAAAAAUAAUUUGAAACUUAAAUUUUUGCAAGCUUGAAAAUUUGGAGAAACUUUGGAAUUUUGGAAAAAACGAGGGCUAUUAUCUCUUUACAUCAUUUGAACCGGGAAAUUUUUUCCCUUACAUCAUUACAUAAUUGAGACUUUGAUUAAAACUUUUCAGAGAAUAUAUUCUCUGAUUACAAAAAUACAAACUACAAAGAAUAUUUACUAUUCAUGCGUCUUUUCUUGCAGGGAAUAUUUACUGUUUUCGCCAGAGAAUAUUUCCUGUACACUUGUCUUUUCUUGUAGGGAAUAUUUACUGAUUUCCUGUUCACUUGUCUUUUCUUGCAGGGAAUAUUUACUGUUUUCGCCAGAGAAUAUUUCCUGUUCACUUGUCUUCUAUUGCAGGGAAUAUUUACUAUUUUCUCCAGAGAAUAUUUCCUGUUCAUGCAUCUUUUCUUGCAUCAUUUUUUCUUGGUCCUGGUGAUGGUUACUGAAGUGGUAUCAUCUGCAAGAUCUACCAUUUUGAUUGAAGACUCUGAAGAUUUCUCAUCUUUGGAUUCUGAGUCCAAUCAGCUAAGCAUUUCAGCCAUGAUUUUUUUGUAUUCCUUCUUGGUCUUGGCUUGAGCUAACAUCGCACUAGCUAUCGACUUUGCUUGAAGGAAUUUUGUUGUGGUUUGAUCUGGGGCUACGGACUUACAUAAUCUUGGAUUUUUGUUGAAAAAAUUAUCCAAAUAUUUUGAAUCAUAUUUUUCAUCAUUAAACUUGUUCCACCAUUUAGUUCUAUAGUUUCGAACUAGUAAUGAAAUUCUAGUAUAUUGAUCUUACUCAUAAGAAUAAUUCCAUGAAACAAUCCAAGAAAUACACAGUUUUGAGAAAAAAAAUGGAUUGUCCUGUAAAUGUGUUUUGGGUCUAGUUCAGGUUGAAAUUUGUCAAAGAAUUUGGGCCAUAAGUUUUAAAUUUUUUCUGGUGGUAUCUCAAAGGAUGAUGGUCCAUACCAAUUCCACCAUUCUUGGAACCAGUUUGGGAAUUAGAAUUGGGUACCAUAUUUGAAAUAUAUGAGCCAAGAAUGCCUCAUGUGUUGAUUGUUCAUUAAGAAGGCAUUGACCAUGCCAUUUGGUAAUCCCAAUAUGUAAAAUAUGGGUGAUGGUCAAUUUUGGUGGUAAAUUUGGCUGGGAAUUUCUUGAUAGAAUUUGGGUUUUCACUUCAAUUCCUUGGUCGAAGAAUAUUUAGUAUUUGGGCUGUGGAAUGGGUAAUAAAAUUUGGAUUUCUUGGGUCUGUGUAGUGUUUGAACAGUACUGAUCCAGAUUGAACUAGUAUGUUUUCAUAAUACUGUUGGGGUUUUUGAGAAUCCAAUGGUUUGAAAUGUCAUCCAUUGAAAAGUUCUUUUGCAAGUAUAUGUAGAGGUUUUUCUGAAAAUUCUUCCUCCAUAACAAGAAUUUUUUUCAAAAUAUUUAUUUGAAAAAUAUUUUGAGGAGUUUUAUGUAGCAGUCUAUGAAGACACUGCUAUUUCUUUUGGAAAAACAUCUUGGAGAGAUGUCUCUUUUAAAACAUUUUUUAGAGAUUUUGGUUUGUGUAAAAAAUCUCUUUAUUUUUUGAAAUCUUUGCCGCUUCAGCAGCAAUUUGUUUGAGAGUUUCCUCUUUCAUUUGUGAAAAGGCCAAUGCUACUUCUAGGAUUGAGAAAGGGACUCAAUCCAUUUUUUGAUUUGAGAACCAAUUUCAUUUAGAUCUUGUGCAUCUUGAGCUAUUGUAUUUUUAGAGGAUGUUGAUGAUGAUGAUGAUUUCUCAUUCUCUUCUUCAUGGCAAAUUCCAUACCAUGACUUAAUUGGUUUUGAAGAAAUUUGGGUUUUGGAUGACUCUCCUAUUUUCCCUUUUCCUUUGUCUCAGAGUUUGGGUGGCAUUUUUGAAUAAACUCUUUGGUGAGAAAAUCAGGCAAAGAAUUAGUUUCUCCUUUGAUAUAUUCAAUAUCAAAAUCAAAUAUGCUCAAAAUUGACUGCCAUCUUGCAAAAAUCUAUUUUGAGGCAAUAUUUUAACAUCCUUUUGUAAAACUUCUUUUGCUAAUUUGUAAUCGAUUCGUAAAAGAAAUUUUUGAUUUAAUAAAUCACUUUGGAAUUUUUUAAUGCACAAAACAAUUGAUAAAUUUUCUUUUUUAAUAGUACUAUGAUUUUGCUGAGUUGGGUCCCAAUGUCUGGAAGUAAACUGGACUAUUUGCUCUUUUCCCCCUUUAACUUGUUUUAGGAUCCCACCGUAUCCUAUUUCAGAAGCAUCUGUUUCUACAAUCUUGGGGGCAUCCGAAUCGGCUAAAUAUAAAUAAGGAAGCUUAGUGAUUGGUUUUUUAAUUUGGGUGAUGAUAUUGGUAUGGUCAUCUGUCCAAGGUUGUGGAUUCUUUUUAAGCCUAUCAUGUAACGAUUUACACAAUUUUCUAAACCCUGGAUAAAAGUCUAUGACAUAAUUGAGGCUUCUUAAGAAUAUUUGUAAUUGGACUUUGUCAAGGAUUUAAUCUGGGAAUUUGCUAGCAAACUCUGUGGACCGUUCUAUUGGGGUAAUGGUUCCUUGGGUAAUGUAAUGACCUAAAAACCUUACUUUGGUUUGGAACAAACUGAUUUUGGAUUUAGAAAUUACUAAACCAUUAUUUUUUAUGACUUUUAUAAAGAUGAAUAAAUGCUUAAAGUGUUUUUUCUAAAUUUUCUGAUGACACUAAUACAUCAUCAAUGUAUACUAUUGUGAAUUGAGAAUAUUGGUAAAAAAUAGCAUUCAUUAUUCUUUGAAACUCGGAUGGAGCAUUUUUUAAUCCAAAAGGCAUUAUAUUCAUUCAUAUUGUCCAAAUGGUACAGUAAAUACCGUUUUAUAUCUUUCUUCUUCUUUUAUUUGGAUUUGCCAAAAUCCAGAUUUCAUGUCAAAUUUUGAGAAAAUAUUUGUAUUACAAAGUUUUUGUAGCAAAUAUUUCUUAUUUGGUAUUGUGUAUCUAAUCCAUUUUAAGGAUUGAUUGAGAGGUUGUAAUUAAUUACUAAUCUUAGUGUUCCUCUUUUGAGUUCUGUAUUUUUUAUCACAUAAAAUGCUGAACAACUCUAAAGAGAAUUGCUUUUUCUUAUUAAAUUUUUAUUAAGAAGGUCUUGUAUUUCUUUUUUACAAAAUUCUUCCAUUUCUUUGUUCAUUUGUAUAUGUCUUACUUUUGUGGGUAUUCAUCUUUCAUCAAAAUUGUUUUCAUAUGGUAAUGUUACGUCGUGUUUUUUCCUAUUCCAAAAAGCAUUGGGAAUGUCAGAACAAAUUAUCGAUUCUAUUUGCUCUUUGAUUUGAUUUAUCCUUUUUUGUACUUCUUUUUUUUCUAAUUGUUCAGUCAACUUUUUAAAACAUAUUCCUUCUUUUAGAAAAGAGAUUUGUUUUUGUUUAUGAUUAAUUAAAUUAUUGAUUUGCCCAUUAUGGAUGGAUAAAGAUUUUAGUAAGUUGAGAUUUCUUAUUUUGAGUUUUUCUACAAAAGGAAAUUCUACUUUAGUGUUUAAAACUUUGGUGGAGAUAGAAUUAUUUGUUACUUUAUAGGGUUUGAGUAAGGAUAUGAAUGGGGUUCCUAAUAUGACAUCUUGGGUAAUAUCUUUUCCCAUUAAAAAACAUGUUUGAUAUUUUAUACCUUUGUUGGAUAUUUCUGCAUUGGGAAUUUUGUAAGUAAUUUUUAGUUUUUUACCAUUUGUAGCUUUAAGAGAUUCUGAUGUUUUGUCAUAAUAUUCUGUUGGAAUUAUUCCUUCUUUAAUGCAGUUUUGGUCCGCUCCUGUAUCAAAAAGGGCUAUUGUUUCUAAUUGAAAUUCAUUGUUUAUGACAAUAUUUAUUUUUAUUAAAUAUCUUUGAUUAGAUACUUCAGUUAAAACCAUCAUAUAUUCCUAUGUAUUUUCUUUAGGUUCGGGUUUAGUUUCUGACGAACUUUUUUCUGAGAUUUCAUGUUUUAAGGUUUGCAUUUGUUUUUUCAUUUCUUGUUGUUCCAUUUUACACUGAGAAAGUUCUAAUUUAAUUUGUUUUAUUUCUACCUGUAAUUCAGAAUUUGUAAUUUGUCUUGGUUUUAUCUUUUCAUAUUUAUUAAAUAUUAUAUCUUGUAUAUUAUACAUUUGUGAUUGACUAGAAAUAAUUUCUUUUUCUUUUUAUGGUUUCUCUUUUAAUGAGGAUUUUAGUUUCAAAAGGUAUUCUCUUUUAAGUUCUGGGUCUUGAAUUUUAUCAAUAAUUUCAAUCAUAAAUUCUUGGUCUUUGGUUAACAUAUUAAUUGAGGGUUCAUUUUCAUCAUCAGAAGAUUGGGAUGUUGUAUAUAAUUCGUCUAUUUGUAAUUCAUCUGUUUCGGUAGAUGUAUCAUUUUCAGAAGAAGUUGUUUCUAAUAGGAUCUCAUUUAAUUUUUGUUCUAUUUCUUCAUCUAGAUUUGAAUUAUUGAUUUUUCUUUUAAUUUUACAAUAUUUUGAGAUAUGUCUUGGUUUUCCACAUCUAUAACAUUUUAUUGUUUUAUCAAUUUUGCUUUCUUUUUUUUGUUGUUUUUUUCCUUUUCUGUAUUUUCUAUAUUUAGAUUUUUUAUAAUAUUCUGAAAUAUUCUUUUUCCUAUUUUUUGGUUUUACAAGGCAAUAUGUUUUUGAAGAAGAAUGUUCAUUUCUAAUAUCAAAUUGGUGGCAGAAUGAUCCUAAUUCCUUUCUACAUUGAUAUCUUUUUUUCUUAAGUUGUUUUUGUAGUUUUAAAUCUUGACAAAUUUUUAAUCCUUAUUUUUGGGUGAAACUAAUUAGUUCACCAUAUGUAAGCUUUUCAUAUGGAAUAAUACCUCUGUAAUUUUCUCUUAUUUGGUUUCUAACUUUUUCUCCUAAUAAAGUGGGAAGUUCUGCUAGAAACUCUUUUUUUCCAAAACGGUUGUUGAUUAUCAGAUCUUUGCAUAACUCUAGUCAUAAAGACAUCUUUAUACCAUUUAAAAUUAGUUAAUUUUUUGCAUUUUAAAUUUGAUAAUAGUUAUGAAUUUCUAUCUUUAAGAUGAGAAGGAUCUCCUAUAAAGUGUUUAAAGAUUGAGAAAAUUAAAGUUGCUACUGCAUCUUGGAUUUCCCUUACUUGUUCAUCUAAAAUAAUUCUUCCUUGAUCAUCCUUUUUUAUUUCUUUUAAAAUUUCUUCCUGUUGGGUUUUAGUGAGUGCAUGAUCCCACCAUCCUUUUAAUUGACCAGUAAAUCCAGCAACUAAAAGAUUAGCUGUAGCAUGAUCACUGAUUAAUCCAUUUUGGUUUUGGGUUUUAUAAACAUUUGAAAACAUUGUCAUUUGUUGUAAUAAACUAAGAAUAUUGUAUCCAGACAUUCCAUCUAUAUUCCAUUCAUAAAUCGUAUUAGCAUUGUACUUAUUUUGGAAAACAUGUUUUUCUUCUAUAUUAAGAUCAGGUGCAGUAUUUCUUGGAUAAUAUAAUCUUUUUGGUUCUUUCCAAGCCAUCUUGUUAAGUUGUUGUUCAUCUGACUGGUCAGAGUCAGAUUGGGAGGAUUGGUGUAAUGUAUUUACUGAAUGUUGGGCUUGUAUUGGGGUAUCAGGUGCAUUUAAUUCAGACUUGUAAAGCAUCAAGUCUAUUUUGGAUUUUUGUUAAGAAAUCAUUUUGGGUUUUUUGGAAAGGUUUUGGAAUCUCAUAAGGUGUGAAUAUUGGUUCUUUAAAACUUUUUCUGUUAUCUUUUUCACUGGUUCUUUCCUAAUUGGUUGACAUUCUACCAAAUUCUCAAUAUAAUCUAAUUGUUUUCCUAUUGUAUGAAUGCUGAUAUUUGUAUAGUUAUUUUGUUCUACUAUCAUUUUAACAUCUUUUGAUGAGAUUUAUUCUGCUGCAUCAGGAGCUCUCAUUCUUAAAGGAUUUGUUUUUAUUCUAGUAUUUUUGUGAAGAUAUUGAACCUCCAUUAAAGGGGGAUGUCGAGAUUCAACUUCUCUUUUAUUAGUCUACCAUCUAGUAUUAUGUUUUAUUGUACUAACAGAUUCUGAAUAAUAUUCUUCAAACCAUUCAAAGAAUUUUAUAUGGAUUUUAUGGGUAUUCAUAAAUUCAUAAUAUUCUUGAAGAAUGCUUUCUUUUUUGUCAUUAUAUUUUUUAAAGUAACCUUCGCUUUUUUGCUUUUUUUUUGGAAUAGAAAUGUUUUCUACAACAUUCUUUGUUUAUCUCAAAAGUUUUUUCUAAAACAAAUAUUUCUGAUUUUUCUCCUUACCUUGCAUUAUUAGUCUUUGAUGAAUAUGUUGGUGACAUAUGAGAUGAAUUUUGGGGACUCUCUUCCUGUCUGGCAAAGAUAGGUUGAGCUAUAUUUGAGGAAUUAUCUAUUCCUUGUAAAUUGGUUUUAAAUGUUGCUGGGAUAGAAGAGACAGAGGCUCUAGCUGUCCUAAAGUAUGUUGUUUGUGUUUCUAGAUUUGACUCUUCUUCUAAAUUUAACCUCCUAAAAGCUGUGCUGGUACUCCCUAUUUCGAAGGAAUAUCUUGGAGGCAUUCUUUGUGGCCUGUUGAAUAUUGAGAUAUUUUUAGUGGCUUCAACACUAAGAGGUUUGACACCAACCUGGACUAGUAAAAAAGAAUGUGUCUUUGGUCUCUUAAGACAUUUAAAAUUGAGAUAUUUUUAGUGCCUUCAACACUAAGAGGUUUGACACCAACUUGGACUAGUUCAAAAUGAAUAUAUUUAAAUUUUUGUUCUUUAAGUUUAUUAAUGACGGCUCUAUCUAAUAAUUGGAUUCUUUCAUAUUCUUUUUGAAUAGGUAAACUCUUUUUUUUUAUGACAAAACAACAAAAAGUAUUUAAAUUUUCAAAAGUUGUUUUCUUGUAGACUUGGUUUCAUAAUGUUCAUAUCUUUGGGGGAUAUUUUCAUAAUGUUCUUCUUGUUAAUUAAUAGUGUUGUUUGAGGUUUGGUCGGACUCUUGGGAUUGAUUGGAAACAAAGCUUGCAGAGGAAUUGGUUCUUCUAAGGAAAUGAAACAAUCUUAGUUUUCUUAUUUUCUACAAGAGGGUUCUAAUAUCUAAAUUUUGGAAUUAUUAAAGUUUCCUAAAGGGAUAUUUUAUCCUUGACACGCCUAACCCAUGGCUAACCAGACAAUGUAUAAAUACUCAGCAAAAUUAGAAUACAUUAAUGAUGACAGUUAAGCCAGAACUCGAAAAUAUUGAAAAUAAGUUGAAUAUUUUAAAAACUUAGAAAUACCUGCUCCUCCUUGGCUCUGAUACCAGACUGGUGAAUUUCUCACCAGAGAGAUUCUUCCAAAAUGCCACCUAAAAUCUAAGACAAAAGAAAGAGAAAAUAGGAGAGUCAUCCAAAACCCAAAUUUCUUCAAAACCAAUUAAGUCAUGCUAUGAAAUUUUCCAUGAAGAAGAGAAUGAGAAAUCACUAUCAUCAAAAUCCUCUAAAAAUAUAAUAGUUUAAGAUGCACAAGAUCCAAAUGAAAUUGGUUCUCAAAUCAAAAAAAUGGAUUAAACCUCUUUCUCAAUCCUCAGAAGUAGCAUUGGCCUUUUUCACAAAUGACAGAGGAAACUCCUCUCAAACAAAUUACUCCUAAAGUGGCAAAGAUUUCAAAAAAUAAAGAGAUUUUUUUACACAAACCAAAAUCUCUCAAAAAAUAUUUUAAAAGAGACAUCUCUCCAAGAUGUUUUUCCAAAAGAAAUAGCAGUAUCUUCACAGACUGCUACACAAAAAUCCUCACAAUUUUUCCUCUUAAACAAAUUGCUCCUAAAGCGGCAAAGAUUUCAAAAAAUAAAGAGAUUGUUUUACACAAACCAAAAUCUCUCAAAAAAUGUUUUAAAAGAGACAUCUCUCCAAGAUGUUUUUCCAAAAGAAAUAGAAGUGUCUUCACAGACUGCUACACAAAAAUCCUCACAAUAUUUUUCAAACAAAUAUUUUGAAAAAAUUCUUGUUAUAAAGGAAGAAUUUUCAGAAAAAAUGUCCACAUAUACUUGCAAAAGAACUUUUCAAUGGAUGACAUUUCAAAUUAUUGGAUUCUUAAAAACCCCAAAAGUAUUAUGAAAACAUACUGGUUCAAACUAGAUCAGUAUUGUUCAAACACUACACAGACCCAAAAGAUCCAAAUUUUAUUACCCAUUCCACAGCCCAAAUACUAAAUAUUCUUCGACCAAUGGAUUGGAGUGAAAACCCAAAUUCUAUCAAGAAAUUCCCAGCCAAAUUUACGACCAAAAUUGACCAUCACCCAUAUUUUACAUAUUGGGAUUACCAAAUGGCAUGGUUCAAUGCCUUCUUAAUGAACAAUCAACACAUGAGGCAUUCUUGGCUCAUAUAUUUCAAAUACGGUACCCAAUUCUAAUUCCCAAACUGGUUCCAAGAAUGGUGGAAUUGGUAUGGACCAUCAUCCUUUAAGAUAACACCAGAAAAAAUUUAAAACUUAUGACCCAAAUUCUUUGACAAAUUUCAACCUGAACCAAACCAGAAACACAUUUACAGGACAAUCCAUUUUUUCUCAAAACUGUGUACCUCUUGGAUUGUUUCAUGGAAUUAUUCUUAUGAGCAAGAUCAAUAUAGUGGAAUUUCAUUACUAGUUCGAAACUACAGAACUAAAUGGUGGGACAAGUUUAAUGAUGAAAAAUAUGAUUCAAAAUAUUUGGAUAAUUUUUCAACAAAAAUCCAAGAUUUUGUAAGUCCGCAGCCCCGGAUCAAAUCAUAGCAAAAUUUCUUCAAGCAAAAUCGAUAGCUAGUGCGAUGUUAGCUCAAGCCAAGACCAAGAAGAAAUACAAAACACUCAUGGCUGAAAUGCUCAGCUCAUUGGUCUCCGAAUCUGAAGAUGAGAAAUCUUCAGAGUCUUCAAUCAAAACGGUGGAUCCUGCAGAUGAUACCACUUUAGUAACCAUCACCAGGACCAAGAAAAAAUGAUGCAAGAAAAGAUGCAUGAACAUGAAAUAUUCUCUAGCGAAAACAGUAAAUAUUCCCUGCAAGAAAAGACAAGUGAACAUGAAAUAUUCUAUGGCAGAAACUGUAAAUAUUCCCUACAAGAAAGGACAAGUGAACAGGAAAUUUUCUCUGGUGAAAACAGUAAAUAUUCCCUGCAAGAAAAGACACAUGAAUAGUAAAUAUUCUCUGUAGUUUGUAUUUUGGUAAUCAGAGAAUAUAUUCUCUGAAAAUUUUUAAUUAAAGUCUCAAUUAUGUAAUGAUGUAAGAGAAAAAAUUUCUCGGUUCAAAUGAUGUAAAGAGAUAAUAGCCCUCUAUAAAAGGCUAUCAGAUUCAGAAUGAAGGGGAGGACUCGAGAUACACAUUUCAGAAAUCAAAACUCGUUACUCCAGAAUUCCAAAGUUUCUCCAAAUUUUUAAGUUUUUAAAAAUUUAAGUUUUAAAUUAUUUUUCUUUUCAAAAUUUAAUCAAUAAUCAAAUUUUUAUUACAAAUUUCAAAUUACGAUUAUCUCAUUCCAAACUCGAUCCUCAGAUCCUCGAGACAGUCUGGUAUCAGAGCCAAGGAGAAACAAGUAUUUCUAAGUUUUAAAAAUAUUCAAUUUGUUUUAUUAGAUUAAAUUCAAUAUUAAACUGAUUAAGUUUAAUCAUAGUUGAACUCUCUAAACUCUGCCUAUAUAAAGAAAGCCUUCGUGGUGUGUUCUGUAAUGCCUUUAUGGCAUAUUCGAUGAAGUCUGCAUGGCUUAUUCUGUGUUAUUUGUGUUACGUAAUCUGUAACGCCCUUGUGGAGAAGUCUGGUCGAAUGCUUUUGUGUCCUGAUCUGGGUAAACUUCGAGACUUCUUUACCAACUAAUGUGAUGAUAGAGAAUUGGUAAGUUUGAUGAUCUCUUAGCUUUGUUGGUCUUAUAAAAAAAUUUGAAUUUGAUUUAUGUAAAACUUCUAAAAGAGUCUCUAACAGUGUUAUGGGAAUGGUGAAUUCACCAUAUUAGUCUGUCAGUGUACGAAAUUUGGUGUAUUUUUAACUAUGAAUAAGUAAGUGAUCGACAGUCCUAAGUUCGUCUACGUUAUUUAAGGAAGUCAUUUGAGUUAUCUAGUAACCGCCAAAUCUGAAUGAUUUUCACGUCAUGUAUAGAGGUCAUUUGGAAUCUAAGUUGUUUUGUCAAUUUGGGUGUUCUCGUGAUUUGUAACAUAGUUGUCUUGAAUUCUUUAAAUUGAUUUAGAAUGUUUUAUUAUCAGUUUAAGUUAUGAUUUUUUGGUCGAUUUGAGAUACAAUCUGAUUAGUAUUAUUUUAAUUACCAGAAUCAGUAUGAGAAUUUUCAAAGGUAAGGUCAUUAUGAAGUUCUUCUUAAAAGAUCAAUUAGUUUAAUUAUCUGCCAAAAAUAAUACCUGUGAGAACACCAUCUUGGGUAGAGUAUGCAGUGUUGUCUGAGUGAGAAUCCGUCGAAAGAGGUUCUAUUUUGUGUAACAGCUCGAUUUUUUAGUGGUGUCGAAAACAGUAGUUUUGAGGCCACCAAAUUCGAUGAGUAAGUUCGUAAAUAUUAUUAUUUAAUAUUUAUGAGUCAAAAAUAGUUUUAAAAAGGUUUUUGAAUUGGUAAUUUAUAUUUUAUAAUGAUUUAUUAGGUUCGAGUGGUAAUACCCUAGAUCAAGUGGUUUCAGAAAGUGAGGUAUUGGGACCUCGUUUCUAUAAAUCGAGUCGUAAAUAUUUUUAUAUAUAUUUACAGAGUUUCAUUAAGGUGGUAUUAAAUUUUAGUUAAAAAAUUUUAACGUUUCGAUAGUUAAUUAAUUAAAAAGGACUAAAUUGAAAAAAGGUAUAAAACUUGCUAAAUAUAAUAAUUAAGUGAUUAAAUGGCUUGAUUAAUAAAUAAGAAAGGACUUAAGUAAUAAAUAUGUCUAAAUUAAAGUGAUGAGGCGGCAUAUGAAGAUAAAAUAGUUAAAUAAAGUGAUGGUAUGACAAAAUGGUAAUUUUGAUGAAAUUAAAACAACAAAUUGAAUUUUAUAGCUUUCUAUGCAAUUCAUCUUCAAUUUUGGCCUAAAUCGCCAUAGGAGAGAGAGCUUUAAGUUGGUUUCUCAUAUUUUUGCUUCAUGUGAGUUCAAUUCUUACUCGUUUCUUGUAAUUUUUAUGUUUUUAAGAUUAUUGCAAUUAGGUCUCACUAAAUUGUACCUUCAUUUUUAAUUUUAUUAACAAUUUUGAAAGUUUCCAUUGAUAAAUAUUAGAUUUUUUUAUGAAUAACAUGGAUUUAGAGCUUUUAUUGUGUUGUGUGAUGAUUUUAUAAAGUGAUUUUGUUAAAUAUUGAUUUUAGGAUUAAAUUGUGAAAAGGUUAAAAUAUUAGGGUUUUAUAGUGAAUUUUGGGUUUAUUAGGGGCUGUUUGAAGGCCUAGAAUAUUUGGAUAGAUUAUUUAUUGAGAAAAUUAGUUAAUUUGAUGGAUUAAUUAAUUAAGGGAUUAAAUUGUAAAAAUUGUAAAAGUUUGGGGUAAUUACGUAAAUUUCAAAAAGGUAUUAAUUGUAAAAUGAAUUGGAAAUGAAAUAUGUGCUAAAAAUUAGUAAUUUUUAUAUUCUAAUUCAAGAUCCCGUAGAUACUCGUGAAAAAGAAAAAAUAGUGGAAUAGUCUCUGAACUUCUACAAUUACUAUAAUUCAAUCUAGGUAAGUUCGUACAGUUAAAAUUUAAUUUUUCGUAUAAAUUGAUGAAUGGUAUUAUGCAUUUAUUCUAUUGUUAGAAAUGAAUUAUUGUUGUAAUUAUAAUAUUGAAUUGGAUAUUCAGUUUGAAUUGAACGCGAGAUUUGAGUACAUUCAUAAUUUGGUGUACAAUGGUACUGGAGGGAGAUAUCAGCAUUUUAUCCAAGUAAAUCAGGGUUCAGUAUUUGUUGCGAACUUUCAUGUUUUACUUUCUGUUUGGCGUAAUUGAGUAGAUCAACUCUUAUGAGCUUCUGUUUAGCUUUUGAGCUUCUAUUAACGAUGUACUCUUAUCCAUAAGUUGUUCUUCGAAUGGAGAAAUCUCAUUAAGGUGAUUUAUUUAUUAAAUUUGAAAGAUAUGUUAUUUAUUUUUAUUGAUUUGAAUACAGAUGUAUUUAUCGAUUGAUGUUGUAAAUGACAAGGAACUGUCAUGGAUGAUUUUUAAUAUCUAAAUUAAUUAUAGUUAGUUCGGUAAGAUUUUUGUUUAACCUGUCAAACUUACUAAGCUUCAUUAAGCUUAUUUGUAUUGUUUAAUGUCUUCGUAGAUUUUCAGAAGGUUGGACGAUCGGAUCGGCACUCAAGUUACACUAUCCAGUUUAUUUUAGUAGUUUUUGAAACAUUAAAUACGGUUUAUUUGGCAUGUAUAGGCUUUUGUAUGGUCUUGUUCAAAGUUUAAUUAAUGUAAAUAUUAUGAAUAAUAUUUUGUUUAUAUAAUCAACCUACAUAUUGGUAAGAGAUUAAGGCAUAAUUGUGAUGUUAGUAUAAAUGAUAUAUGUAUGUAUGUAUUUGAAUUAUAGUGAACGUUGGUAACUUGGUUAGGUAAAUUAAUUAGGUAAGUUUGGACACUUGGUUGACAUAUUUUUAAGUUGUCAUUUGAGGUGCCUAAGGGCAUAUUUGUUGUAUGCGGUGAUAAUACAUGUUUAAGAUUUGAUUUUAGCUUGUGUUGAAUGCUUUGUUAUGACUUGUUGAUAUGCAAUUUGUUGAGGCUAGGUUGGUGUAACGCCCUGAAUAAUUUAAGUUUAUUUUUAUGAAAUUUGACACAAAUAUGUAUCUAUUUCUGUGAUUUAGUGUUUUGGGUGUAUGAGGUCUUGGGUUCAAGUCCCACAUUUGGAAAUUUUGUUAUUUUUUAUCCAAGCCUUAUCCCUGUUGGGUGGGCUUAUAUAAAAUUGUCUGUAAAUCCAUAUCAGAAUGAGUCUGCUGGUUCGAGUGGUAAGGAAUUAGUUUGUUGGAGGUCUUGUGCUCGUGAUUUUGUGUUUGAAUCCCGGUGUGAGCGGGGGUGAUAAUAUUUUAUUCGGGUGAUUGAAUGGGUAGGAUAUUGAGGGAUUAAGUCGUUAGUGGAUGAGAAGGGGAGUUAAUCCAAAUUUGUAUUUUAUUUUAUUUUAUUUUAUUCCUAUUCUCUCUCUUCCAAAAAAAUUUCGAUGUAAGUUUUUGCCUUCUUCCAUUUUUCUAUUUUUCUUUCGUUUUCCCCUAUUUAAUUUUGCACUCCCCUUUUUGUUAUUCGCCUGCACUUCAGGAUUUUGGUGUUUUACCCGCGAUCAGGUAAGUGGGGGCUUUCACUUGUCGAUAGGUUUCGAUUUCAGUAAGCUGUUUGGGUUUUUCUUUUCGGUUGAAUUCCAAAUGUGUGUAGUAAGGGAAGUUAAUUCUCUGUAAACGUAUUGUGUAGAAGAAAAUAGUGAAACGGUGGUUUUCGCUCCAACGGUCUAAUCGGUGUAUGUGAUCGGGUUUGGUAGCGGUAAGUGUGUGCGCGUUGCUCAAUUUUUUAUGGAUAGAUUUGCAAUUUGAUUGCUAAAAGGGUUUUGGUUAUUCUAUUUUUAGGUGCUGGUGGUCUCGAGAGUGGUUUUGCAUCAAAAUCAAACCAGGUGUGUACUCCUAACACAAAAAAUAGAGCUUUGGCGAAAGCCAAAAAUAGAGUCUAUCGAUGCCACACAGGUGUGUGGCCAGCCGUGUGGUUGGCCAUAUGGGAGACACGGCUGUGUGACCGACAAAGGCGUGGCCGUGCGCAAGACACGACCGUGUGACAGUGUGACUGUGGCCAUGUGGGCCACACGGGCUAGGCCAAGUUGGGCGUGUGGGUUUUGGGCCAGGCCGUGUGGGCCACAUGGGUAAGGCCAAUCUAAGCGUGUGGGCCCAUACGAGUAUGUGGGCCCAAAAUUCUAAAAAAAUUUCUAGGGUCGCUCGGGUCAUUUCGAUCGACUGUAGGACUAUCGUAAGGUCGGUAAGGGCUAACCAAACCCUAUUUCAUGUGAUUUGUUAUUCUGAUAGACUGAUCUAAGUAGGAUACUAGUAUGUAUGUCUAACUAUACUGUUUAAGUAUGUAUCUAUCUGUAUUCGAGCAUGUUAAGCAUGUUAAUUCUGAUAUUUUUGCAUCUGUAUUAUGUAUCUGUGUUUGGGGUAGGAAUUGUAUAUGUGGAGGAAGUAAUAUGUUUGGUGAAUUUUCGCCUAUAUUUUGGUAGCUUGUCUACAUAUUAUCUGUUAUGUGUCGUAUCGACACUAUAGAGUGUGUAGGAAUGGGUGGGUGUUCUUAACCCCACGUGGUAUGAUGGGAUGGACGGAGAUGGUAUGUAGAGGAGAGGGUAGGAUUCUGUUUAUCUAUUCUGUACAUCUGAUUCUGAUAUCUGUUUCUGUGAUGGACUUAGGUUCGGAUCUGUAUCUGACUGUAUAUAAAACUCUGUAUAUGUUGCAUGUCUAUCUCUGAUGGGUUACACACUGUGUUUACGUAAACCCACAUCUGUUUGUCUGUUCUGUUUAGGUAAUCCACAGGCAUAAGCGGGUCAGUGCGACGGAGGCUCAGCAGUGACCACUCGAUUGGAAACUGUUUUCAGUUAAUAUUAUUUCAUGGUUUUUACUUAAAUUUCUGGCUUUUGUGAAAGUUUUGUAAUUAUUGGACUCUCCGGACUUUUUGGACUGUUUGGUUUAAAUUUUUGGUUUGGUUGUGUUAUAAUUUCCAAACUGUGAUGAUUUGACAAAAUAUCGAUUUCACACAAACAAAUGUUAUUUUUAAAAACACGAGCGUGGUUUUUAUUUUAACAGUUUUUUAAACUUCCGCUACGAAAUGAUUUGGUUAACUUUAAAGGAUAAUAUGUAACGGUUUUAGUAAUAAAUAUAUAAAUGAAUACGAUUUAUAACUUGGAUGUUUUAUCAAAGUAUCAUCGGUUUCAAAACCCUUCUUCGUAAUACUCCCGGAUUCGUCUAUAAUGUCUAGGCCGGGUAUAGGGUGUUAUAGUUGGUGUCAAUUUGGGUAAGAAAUGUGGUUUAGAAAAUGACCUAUUUUCGUCCACACGAGUAGAGACAUGGGUGUGCGUCUCAGCCGUGUGUGACACAUGGCCAAGUGACACGGUCGUGUGUCCCCUGUAUCUUCUUAAUAAUGCAAGUCAGUAUGUUCACACAGCUUAGCACACAAGUGUGUGACUUGGCCAUGUGACCCAAGUUAGAGAGUUACACGAGCACAAGCACUGGAUGAGACACGGCCGUGUGUCCCUAUUUCAAAUGCCCACACGGCCUGAGACACGGGCAUGUCUUCUGACCGUGUGAGUCACAUGGCCUGGCCACACAACCGUAUGACCCUUGCAGUGUUGAAAAUUUUAAAUAUUUUUGAACAAUUCUCUGAGUUUCUGAUUUAGUCCCGACUUGUUUCUAAUAUGUAUUUCAGGCUUUGAGGGCUCGUUUAAAGGAUAAUAUAUAUGAUUUUGAUUGGUUUUAUUACGAAUAUUGAUAUGUAAUGAAACGUUUGAAAUUUUUGUGUGAUUGAUCUAUAAACCUCGAUAAUGCUCUGUAACCCUAUUCUGGCAAUGGAUACGGAUUAGGGAUGUUACAUUUGGACAUUCUUCUGAGGAACACAUUUGUUUUCCAAGUAAGGAAAUAAGGUAUGUAUUAAUUUAUGAAAUCUAGUAUCUGUCAAAAGGGUGAAUAGACUAGUCAAACAUGGAAGUGGAUGAAUAUGUAUACACCGGUGUGAGAAAGUAUCUGUCAAAGACAGAGAUGAAAUCCAAAGCCUUCAAUAUGGUGAAUUCAAUUGGAAUUACUUCAAGGUAAUUUGGAAUUUAAACACACUAAGUUCGUUUGAACUUACAGGUGUUUGUUUAUAUUUCAGGUUCUGUUGUAAGAUUGAGCGUCAAGAGGGACCAAGCAAAAAAUGCGUCAGGGUAGUAGUAAGUUGGGAUAUUAUGCAUACAGAGGACAUCAUAGGUGUAACACCCUUAACCCGUAUCCACCACUGAAUUAGGUUACGAGGCAUUACCGAACUAAACAUAGCUCAAAACCGACAUACAUUACUAAUAAAUUAAACAUGUUCCAUAAUUACUGAGUCGAACCAUAUAGUCCUCAACUUAUACAUUCGUACAUAUGCUUUACUUAACCAAACAUAAAUCAACAUGAUUUACCAUUUAUAAAACAUAUACCAAUCAUGCUUUAGAAAUCUAAACAUAUCCACAUUAUUUAUUUACUCUCUUUGACAAACUCACUAAUAAAUAUAUAUAUAUAUAUAACAUAUCAUAUUUCAUAUACUUUAUAUAUCUAUCAGCCAAACCUAUUGUCUAACAAUUAUGGGGUACAUUCAUUUAUAAACUUUCCUACUUGCACAUAUUAACCUAAGUUGAAUUAUACCUCACGGCUAAAUAGGCAAAAUUAUACAAAUACAAACAAGCAAUUCUAAACGGCCGAAUUUCAAUGCAAAUAUGACUAGUUCAUAAAUUACUCACUUAUCUAACAUUAGCCAUUUUCCAAGCACUUUAACCGAUUCAAACCAUGUCAAUUCCAUAUGCUAUAAUCCAUGCCACAAUUUCAUAUACACAACCAAAUUUAUUAAACACAUUUGAUUAAAUAUACUUCUUUUAUUAUUACAAAUCUAUACUUAUAUGACCAUAUUUAAAAUGAACUAUCUUGAGUACAAAUAACAACUAAAAAAAAAUACAUCCAAUCACAUGCUAAUUACCGCGCCUAAAAUUACAUACACAUAAUCAAUUAAUUUGCCAACAAUUCAUUCAUUAACAAAUAUGUCAUACUUAUAUAUAUACAUAUUCAAUCAACCUAUCAUUAACCGAACAAAUAAUCACAUCAUUUAUCACUUCUAAACGAAUUCAUAAUACAAAUUAUACAUUACAAUAAUGAGCCAACAAAAAUCACAACUAAAACACAUUCAUCAACCAUACCAAAUUCACUUGAGCCGAGUUAUAACAAUCUAUAUUUGCAAAUCCUACCAUAUAUAUAUAUAUCAAACUUACCAAAAUGAACUAAUCAUAAGCCAUAAGUAUUUCACUACUUCAUGCCGAAAUCAUAUACUAAGCACAUCACAUACAUAUAUACCAUGAAACAUAAUUUUCCAUCAUGAAUUUAUACCAUGACCGAACAUACAAAAACAUAAGCAUCAUUUCUAGCCAUUUUCGCAUGGCUUUAUAUUUACAAUUUCAAAACCAACCAAAACAAGUACUAGCCUAUACAUGUCAUAGGUUUGUAAUUCAAGCUUUUAAAAAUACCGAAAUAGUAAUCGAUAGUGUGACGGAUUUCCCUGACGAUCCCCGAGCUCAUAACUAGCUUCCAAAAUCUAUAAAACAACGAAUGAACACACACACAGUAAACUUAAAUAGCUUAGUAAGUCAUAAGCAAUUAAAUCAUUUCAAUAUCAUACAUAAUUCAAUCAAGCUAGGCCAAAUCAAGAAAACCUUAACCACAUAUACAUUUAUCAUGCUUGCAAAUUCAUAUAUCAUCACAUGAACAUUAACCUUAUAAUGUCAUUUGGCCGAAUAAGAAUAAUCACAUGUACAUAUAAGCAGCCUUUUAUAACAAACAAAUUUCAUAUCUUCAUCUCAAAUACUAUACUUACCUUACUUUAAUAAUCAUUUAACUUCGUACGUACCUGAACCAUUUAGCUCGUUUUCACAUUCGAUCUUAACUCGAUAUUGUUCGUUGAGCCUUUUGGAAUUAAAUAGGAUACUCGGAUAACUCGAAAAGCUCGUACAAUGCCAACGUCUCAGACAUGGUCUUACAUGUAAUCAACUAUCAAUGCCACUGUCCCCGACAAGGUCGUACACAAACUCAUAUACGAUGCCGAUGUCCCAGACAUGGUCUUAGACGUAAAUUACAAAUCGAUGCCAACGUCCCAGACAUGGUCUUACACAUAAUUACAUAUUGGAAUCCUAUGUCAUGACAUAUGUAUCCUAACUAUUCCUAAGGUUCGUAUAAGGCUUUUGGACGUCAUAAUUCGAUCGAUUCAAACUCAUAAGUAAUACUCCCAUGCUUAAUUCAAUUUGGCAUAUACACAUACAUUUGUAAUAAUUCAAUUCGACACUUAUAAAAUAUAUACAUUCAAAUUUAAUGACAUUUAUUUACUUAUGUACUUACCUCGGACGAAGACAAACGAACCGGGACGACUAUUCGACAACUUUAGAUUUCCCCGAUCCAAUUCUGAUUUCCUCUUUUCUUGAUCUAAAUUAAUAAAAAUUUUACUUGUUUAUCAACAUAUUCAUUCAAUUUCAUCGAUAAACACAUAAAUGGGUAAAUUACACUUUUGCCCCUAACAUUUCACAUUUUUCACAAUUUAGUCCCUAUUUCACAAAACACAAUAUACAUAUAAUUUCACUAAACUCUAGUAUAGCCGAAUUUUACUAAGGUUCAUAGCAGCCCAUUUAUUUAAUUUAUUUCACAUUUUUACCCCUCAAUUUAUAAAAUUUAUAAUUUAAUCCUUAAUACACAUUUUUACCAAAAAUCACUUAAUUAAACAUAAUAACCUAACAAUAUAUUUUUAUUUUUCAUCAUUAAACACAAAACUCAUCAAGCUAUCAACAAUGGCAAUUCAUGCAUACAUCAUCAAAUUCAAAAUUCAAGCAUGGGCUAGCUAGUAUUCAAAGUAAUGAUCUCAAAAACGUAAAAAUCAUUAAAAAUUGAGCAAAACACAUACCCAAAUUAAGCUCCCAAAGGUGCUGAAUGUUUAAAGCUUCCAAAGCUUUAUUUUUUUUUCUUCUUAGAAUCGGCCAAGAAAGAUGAACACGUGCAUGGCCAUUUAUUUUUUGUUUUAUUUAAUACAUAUUGAUAUACAUUUUUCAAUUUUAACCUUAAUGAUUUAAUUAGAAAACUAUUUAAUGGUUGUCUAUUUUUGUCCAUGCAUAAUUCUAAUGAUUAAAUUACAACAUAAGGACUCCAUAUAAUAAAAACCAUAACAAAUAGGUACCUUUACAAAUAUCAUGCUAAUUUUGCACCUUCCGCAAUUAAAUCUUUUUAAUUAAAUCGAGCACACAAACGAUAAAAUUUUCACACGAAACUUUCACACACAUAAAUUAACACACUGUAGACUCCAAAAAUAAUAUUAAAAUAUUUUUUGACUCAGAUUUGUGGUCCCGAAACCACUAUUCCGAAUAGGGUCUAAAGCGAACUGUUACAAUAGGUGUAUGGCGACAUAUAGUACCCUACACCAUAAAGAGUCUGUUUUAAAUAAAAUUUUAUAUUGUAAUGUAGUUUACUGUUUAGUACUGGAAUGCAAUUCUUUAAUAUCCUAUUUUAUAUUAAAGAAUAGUUCAAAAUAAAUAAUAAAUAUUUUUUAAAUAAAGUUUUCGAUGGUAGUCUAAAUUUCUGUUAGUGUUUUGUGUUGUAACUUCAAUAUCUGUAUUCGAAAAUUCGGGUCGGGUAAAAGGUGUUACACUCUACCGCUUGAUCCUUGAGCUAAACAUGCCUUGAUUCCAGCUCUAUGGUAUGCCCAUCAUCUUUCUUGAGGGUCUCCUUCACAUCACUCAUAAAGCCCUCAAGUUUGGCAACCUAUCAUCUAAAGGUAACAACAUAUUCCUCGAUUGGCUUACUUUCUUAGCCCUCCUACAAGUCUCCAUUGGCUCUUUCUCAUCUACUCCUUCCAACAUCCCAAAUGGUGUCUUCAUAACCUUAGCUCGAAUACCAACUGUCACAAGCCUAGACCUUUAGUCUUACAAUCCAUGCGACCUUAGGCGAUUUUUUUGCUUCAAAUGCACCUAAGUUUGCCUAGCUCUCGAAAGAUGAAAAUUAUCCCGAAAAUUCUCUAAGCAAUAAAUGUACGAAUGGGGAGAAAUUUAUUAAAUUCCAUUCAAAAAGCUGCCAAUUUUCAAGUUUAGAAAAUCAAUCGACUUGCGACAACUUUUUGAAUGGGAUCUAGACAUUUUUGGGUUAAGAUAUCUUCACAAAAUUUGAAGAUCUAUCUCUUAGUUUCGAAACUCAUUUUGAAUCACUAGAUUUUGAGUUUGAGAACUCAUAUUAUGGUUGUUUUAAUGAAGACUGCGUGAGCAGAAUUUCUGAAUGGGAUUAUUAAGGAAAUUACGAGUUUCGGGCUUUUAAUUUGAGUUCAAAUCAUAUUAGGUUUGAUUUUUAGCUUAAUUUUUAUUACAUAUGAGCCCAAUAUUGUAUUUAUUAGAUUUUAUUAUUUUAUUAUUUAUUUAUUCCAAAUUUUUUAUAUUUUUAAGUAUUUUAAGUUAUUUAGGAUUUUUAUAUUUAUCAGUUAAUAAUAAAGUUAAGUUUAAAACUAUUUCUUAUUUAGAUUAAUUAGAGUUUUAGCAUUAUUUAGAGUUUCAUUUGGUAGUCUAUAUAAAGGCCUCUUUAUUGUUCAUUAGAGACGCAAUUGUAUUCAUUAAUAUGGUUUUCAACCCGAGAGUUAGUUUGUGCAAGAUUUUUUUUUAUGAUUUUUAGUAGUUUUUUUUCUCAAAUUUUUUUCAAGGACUCAUAGGAAUUCAUUCUCCAUACUUCGAUUUUCCAAGAAUUAUUUCUUAGAGGGUUGAUUAGAGUCAUUAAUUGAGUUUAUUGAGAUUUAUAUCUCUGGUUCAAUUGGACACUUAUCCAUCUAUCCAUUAUAUCCAUCGGUUUACUCAUUCCAUCUUCCACUUUGUUUUUUUUUCUUCUAAUUUUCAUGUAUUUAUUUAUUAUUUUUAUUUAUUCUUUGUUCUUAAAUCUUUUAUUUUAGUUAUGUUUGUUUUCGUUGUUUUUCUAAAUUUAUUUGGUGUUUUCUUUUCAGGUCAAAUUCAAAUAUUUCUUUUUUGAGUCGAACAACUUGAAUACGAUCCUCCUUCUGCCUCUUCUGCUUCACUCUUUUAUCAUUAAGGCAUCGAAAAAUAUAGUGAAAGCAACUCGAAACGAAAUAAGCAACAAAGUAUUGAAAAACCACAAGAAAACAAUGCAUACCACGUAUUUGAGUAAAUGUUAUCAAUAUAUUCUUAACUCAAGAAUAAUUGAAUAUAAUGGGAUGAAAACAAAUGAAGGGGGAGAUUUCUACUUAUGGUCGAGCUCCCCGAAAUCAACGGUACAAAUUGAAUUAUAUCAACGUUCAAGAUUAAAGUUUAUAUACAAUUGAGAGUUCUAAAGGAUUUAAACUCUAUACGAUCUUAUCCAUUUAGGAUUUACCUUAUUUACCUUGGUAACUUUAGUUUGACUAAAGUGUUUCACUAGACUACCAAGACUUUAAGUAGAUAGGCUUCUCCAUUAAUUCCACGAGUCGGGUUAGUUUAAGCGGGUUAAAUGAUUCACAUUUAAUAAGUUAAGUUGACAUUUAUGGAUUGUUCUAUGCGCAAUAGUCACAGGUUUUGAUCCGCAGUCCAUGACAUAAACACCUUGUUGCAUACUAUGUUGCACCAGAGUUGUUAAACCAGAAAUAUGGCAAGGAGAUAGAUGUGUGAAGUGCUGGUGUCAUAUUAUACAUUCUUCUUAGCGGUGUGUCUCCAUUUUGGGUUGAUAUGUACGUGGAAACUUAUUUUGUUUUUCAGAUACGUUCUUUUGGUUGUGAUACCUUUUCAACUGUUGAUGAUAAGUUUGUUGCAGAGACUGAGAAAGAAAUCUUUUAAGCGGUUUUAGAAGGUAAUCUUGACUUGAAAAGCUUGCCAUGACCAUCUAUAUCUGAAGGUGCAAAGGACCUCAUCAGAAAGAUGCUAGCAAGGGAUCCUAAGAAACGGAUCACUGCUGCUCAAGCUCUAGGUAAAAACAUUAAGCUUUCUGUAGACAAAACCCUUCAAAAUAAUGAAAAAAGGGAAUAGUUGGAUUGGCAGCAUUGAACAUUGGUUCAAUCCUUACUAAAGAACACAAUUAUUAGAUAUGUGCCACUAAUGUUUACAUUUUGUGAAUAUGAACCAGAACAUCCAUGGCUGAAAGAGGGUGGUGAUGCAUCUGACAAACCUAUUGAUAGUGCUGUCCUUAGUAGGUUGAAGCAGUUCAGAGUAAUGAACAAGCUCACUCUAUGACAAAUUUACUCGACCAUAAAAGCACAAAUUUCUUUUUCUCUGUUUUAUGUUCCCACAAGGUGAUAUUUUUGUCUGUAAAUAUGGUUUGUGGAAGGUGAUAUCAGAAAGCCUAUCAACGGAAGAAGAGAUCAAGUGCUUGCAACAGAUGUUCAAAAACAUCGGCACUGAUGGAAGUGUUACAAUAACACUAGGAGAACUCAGGGAAGGAUUAGCUCGCUUGGGAUCUAAGUUAACUGAAAAUGAAAUAAAGCAACUUAUGGACGCUGUAAGAAUUAUCCAAUUAUAUAAUCCCUUCCCUCCACCAUCCAAAUUAUGUUAUUUAUAUAUAAUAGUAACCAUUUCCAUAAUAAUGAAACAAGCUGCAACUUCCGAAUGCCUGAACCCCAUUCUGUCAGGAUGAUGUUGACAAUGGUGGAAUUCAUUGAUUACAUCGAAUUCAUAGCUGCUACAAUGCAUCGACAUAGGCUUGAGAGGGAAGAAAAAAUAGUCAAGGCUUUUCAUUCUUUGACAAGGAUAACAGUGGGUUAUUAUAUUGCACUAUUGCUUUUUUCGGUUUUGAACAUUAUAUUACUUGAUUGAUUGACUCUGCCUAUUAUUCUUCUUUUCAUUCAGGUUUAUUACAAGAGAUGAACUAAGACAAGCUAUGACACGGUACGGAAUGGGAGAUGAGGCUACAAUAGAGGAUGCUGAUACUGAGAAGGAUCUUCGUUUGCUUCUUUUAUUUAAAACAAAUAGUUUGUUUGUUAGUUUUUUUGCUUGACAUGAUUGGUUGGAUAUGAUGGGAGGAUCAACCACGAGGAGUUUGUAGCCAUGAUGAAAAGGGGAACUCAUGAUGGGGAUGGCAAUUGGCAAAGACAGACGAACAACUAAGGGCUUUCUUUAGUCGGCAAUGGCUGCUGCAUUUGUUGCAAACUUAUUUCCAUCUUCAAUACUCCUCAUCUGUUAUGAUGCUGAAGCUAAACAAUUCAUUUCGUUUAUUUGGAUGGGAUUAGAUAACAAUCAUUAUUACCAAUAUUAUUAUAAUUGGAUUCACUUUCUGGGUUGAUUAACUUACAUUUGCCAAUUUGGCACCAAAUUAUAAACUUCUAUGCUUGGUUACAAGUUCAGCAAACUGCCAUGGAGGCAAUGCAAAGGAACAUUUGUUUCCCCCCUUCAAUUCAAUGUUCAAUCGACGCCAACAUACAAAGGAACACUGCAGUAAAAUCGAACUUUGAUUUCCUCUCAAUUUUCUCAUCAACCAACUUCUGGAUAUGCGGGAAUCACAAUCGAACAAGGCUAACGCAUAAGUUCAGAAAUGAAUCAAUUUUUAUAAGACCAAAACACAACAUUUGUCCUUCCUCGAAAGGAUAAUCAAAUUCAAAAUCAGAGAGAGUAAAGAAAUGAAUCAAUCAUCACCGACCAUCUCCCCGCUCCUUCUGAAUCUGAUGCCUCUGCUUCUCGGCUAGCUUCUCCAAUGCGGAUUCAACCGCAUCACGCCCACCGAUAAGCAAUCGGGUCACAACUUCCGGAUCCUUCUCGAAGCGAGCUUCCUCGAACUCCUUCCUCGCGUUCUCUCUCAAUAUGUCCCUCCACAGAACGCCCCGAGAAUCGGGCCACAUGAAGAAUCGGGUGGCUCGAAGGAUGUCGCGGUAGAGACUCAGUGCCUCUCGUCGAGUGCUGGUGAGGCGCUGUCGGUUCAGCGACUCUUCCUCAUCCUCUAGGGAUUUCUCCUUCACUACGUGUCUGUCAAGAAGCUCUUCCACGGUGUCCGGACCAUUGUGUAGAAAACGCUGGAGGAAGACAACAUCGGUUCCACAUACGAUAGUUAAAUUUGGACAUCUUCGUAGGUAUGAGAUCAUCCUUUUUACUUUAUUUCUCUCACAAGCUUAUUUUCCGUGCUGUUUGACAGCCAUAAAUGGUGGAGUUCAACACGAAACAAUAAGCAAACAGUUGAGAAUUGGGUCGGUGUUUUUGUUUCAGGCCCAAAAUAAUUCUAAGCUUUGAUCCAUAUAUAUUUAAGGGAUAAUAACAAAUUGAACCCUAGACCCUAGCCCUAAGCCAGUACAAAACUUAUAUGUGAAACCUCAUAAACGCUACAGAAUCAAAAGGAAAGUAAAAAGAAAUAUCUGGGAUUGGAAAAGCUGCUACAAAAUUCUUUUCAUUUUUGCACACCACAAACAAAAUAGCAAAAUUAUUGAAUUUUGAAAAGGAAAAAAGAAUUAAGCUGACAUUGCCUUGGCUCUAAGCUAGAAUCCAAAGUACCAAGGAUUACAUACAAUUAGAAGUACUAAGUAACCAGUUCAGCUUAAAGGGGAAUUCUUUAAAAAAAAAUAGUUAACUUUUGAGGAACUAAGCAAAGAAAAGCAAAGGGAGAAUAAUAAAAGAAAAAGAAGAAGAAAAAACAAAGAAUAAAUGGAAUAAUGAAAAAGGGCGCCACAGUAGAGGAUCGGAAUGAGUUAGGGUUUUUAAGACAUAGAAUGUGUAGUAAUAGGUUCUCAAACGGCGUUGUGUGCAAGGAUUUUAUUUGUCACCUUUAUUCAAAUAUGAAAGUUUGAAAGAAAACUCAUUGUACGAUCAAAAAGGCAAAUAUAUUGUUUUCCUUAUAAGGAAGAAAACAACACAAAUAGUCAACAUCUUCUAAUGCAACACCAUAACCAUUCGUAACUACUUUGUAUUAUACAAUAGCCUCUUUGGUUUAAUUACAUCCCUAAUUUCAACCAUGCCAUGCAUUUAGAUAUUACCUGAAUAUUUCAAUCAAAAUGCAUUUUCAAAUCAUCUACACACCAGCACGCAAACAAUCCCAACAAAUUUCACUGAUGAGCUCCACUCAACCGUUUUAAAGAAAACCUACCAAAAUCCUUACUGAUAAGUGCAAGCACCUUGCAGUAUGAAAAGAAAACACAAUAUGCAUUGAUCCAUGAACUGACUAAUAUGCACCACCUUAGCACCAGAUAAAAUGCGAGACUAACUAAAAAAAUCACAAAUCUUUCACUCCAAAUAUGACCACAUUUGAUACAUGCAUGGAUGGGGUGAGAUUUAUUAAAUUCCAUUCACCAAAGCUGACAAUUUUUAAGUUUGGGAAAUCAGCAGACUUGCGACGACUUUUUGGAUGGGAUCCUGGCAUUUCUAGGUUGAGAUGUCUUCAAGGCGUUUGAAGAUCUAUCUCUCAGCUUUGAAAUGCACUUUGGAUCAUUCAAUUUUGAGUUGGAAGCUCAAAUUAUGACUAUUUUAGUGAAGAUUGCGCAAGCAGAAUUUCUGAACGGGAUUAUGACGGGAAUUACGAGUUUCGGGCUUUUAAUUUAAGUUUAAAUCAUAUCGGAUUCAGAUUUUGGGCUUAAUUUUUAUUAUAUAUGAGUCAAAUAUUGUAUUUAUCAACUUUUAUUAUUUUAUUAUUCCAAAUUUUUAAUAAUUAUUAUGUAGUUUAAGUUAUUUAGGAGUUUUAUGUCAAUAAGAAAGUUUAAUUUAAAACUACUUCUUAUUUAGAUUAAUUAGAGUUAUAGUAUACUUAAGAGUUUUAUUUAGAUUUAUUUAGCUAGCCUAUAUAUAAACCUUUGCAUUGUAUACAAAUUAGACAAUUGAUAAUUAUUAUAUUUCUCUUUUGAGUUAAUAAAUUCUAUUUAAGUUUUUCUUUUCAAGUUUCUUUUAGAAGAGUUUCUAACAAUCUUUUAGAUUGUGGGGAUCAUCUUCAAACAUUUUCUUGUCAAGGUUUCUAUCUUGAAGGGGAAAUUAAAACCGCUUGAAGAGAAUUAUGGAUUCUUCUUAUUUCCAUAGCUUCUUAAGACUUCUACAUGCGAUGUUCCAUCUUUCCAUUAAUCUUCUUUAAUUUCUUUUUUGUUACUCUAAUCUUUGAUCUCAUUAUUCUACUUUAUUCAUUUUGAUUAUUUAUUUUUAAUUGUUCUCUUUAUUUUUUUUAUCUGACUGGGAUUCAUUUGUGUUUCAAGUUGUUUCAAAAUCUAAAUUUCUUUCAGAAUGUCUAAAGCCUCAAGUCAAAUCCACGACUUUGACAAACUUUACGAUCCGCUUCCGCAUUCAUUUACCUUAUUCUUUAUUAUUUGGUAUCAGAUUUGAACGUUUUUGGGUGUUCUUUUUAUUUUUAUAAAUUGAUUUCUAGCAAACAGCCUCAAAACAAUUUUUUUACCUCGACAGAUUUUAGAAAAAAAAUAUUUUUCAUUGGGUAAACGUUUUUUAAACGAUCUAAAAUUUUACAUACUAUUUCUUGGUACUAUUUUAGAGUACAAAAAAAUAUUUCCCACAAAAAAAGUGAUCGAAAAAGUAUAGAAAAAAUGAAAAAAGAAUUUUUAAAAAAAUAAAAUAUUAUUUGGGUUGAAUUUUUUGUCGAAACUUUCCAUAUCAGAUCUACAUUAUUUGAGGAGGCUCAAGUCUAAAUUUCAUUAUCUUUAGAAAUCAGGAACACCUCGAACAAAGUUUGUCAAGUUGCUUCACAGUUUUUCGGGUUUUCGGGUUUCAGUAAUUUUCAUUUACUCUUAGCCUUAGAAUUUCAUUUUCUUUGUUUUUUAUUGUUCCUUUACAUGUUCUAACACUUUAUUGUUUCUUCUGUUAGUAGGUUAAAGCACGUUGCAUAAUCCUUCCUCUGUGCAACAGAAUUCUUUGAUGUCUAGUCGUUUUUGGACUCAUAAUGCUAUUAGGUUUUCUUUGUUUGUUUGAUUCUAAUACAUUUUGCUUAAUUGAUAUAGAAAUUUUUUAAAUGACUCACAAGAUUAAUUCUUACCUCAUUGAGAAUUUGUUUUUCACUUUGAGUGCCGAACAAAACGAGGUUUGCUUAAUUUUUCUUUUCUUGAGUGUUGUGUUCUUUUCAGGCUAUCAUAAUUAUUCACAAUACUAUAAUUAGGAAGUUAAGAAGGGAUCAAGUGGUUCAAAAUGCUCAAGUUCAGCAACGUGACACUAUUCUAGACACGAUCAACAAAAAUUUAGAACGUCUAAGUACCAAAAUUAAGCAUCAAAAUUAUAAUUGGAGAGAUAAGGUUGAUUAACCUCGCCUUUGUGCAAAUAAUGUUCGACGUGUCUCUUAUGCAAAUGAUGAGACUUUGGUUAAUAAUGACCGUGGGCAACAUUGUUCGACGUGUCUCUUAUGCAAAUGAUGAGACUUUGGUUAAUAAUGACCGUGGGCAACAUUUUUUUAGCUAAACCAAAAUUUAACAUUCCACAAUUCCGAGAGAAGUAUGAUCUUGAAGCAUAUUGCGAGUGGGAAUCAAAAAUUGAACUUAUGUUUCGUUACUAUAAAUUUUGGGAAGAGGAAAAGGUCCCAUUGACGACCCGUGAAUUUUCAGAUUAUGCGCUGAGUUCAUGGAUUCAACUUGAAAUUAAUCGUCAAAGAAACUACGAAAGAGUAAUUGCAACAUGAGAUGAGUUGAAGCAAAUGAUGUGAAAGCAUUAUAUUCCUUCUCAUUACUAUAGAGAGGUCUCAACGAGACUUCAACGCCUUGUUCAAAGUAAUCGAUCUAUUGAUUAGUACUAUAAGGAGAUAGGGAUGCUUAUGCAAAGAGCAAAUAUACGAAAGGAUGAAAAGACUACCAUGGUACAAUUUGUAGAUGGUUUGAAUGUUUCAAUAGCCAAUACUCUUAAUCUUCAAACCUAUAUUGAUCUUGAGGAGAUGGUACAUAAGGCAAUGGAGAUUGAGCAACAAUUUUAGCAACAUCAAUCUCAUCCAUUUGGCGCAUCACACAACAUGUGUAACACAUUAUGAUUACACUCCAACUCUGGUGGUAAAUCCAACCAAUAUCCUAUUGAUCAAACUCUCUCAAGUAUCAUGUAAAGCCCAAUAAAACAGGAGCUCAACUUUCCUUUGUGACCAAACUAAAAGACCUUUUUUCUCGACAACACUUUCAGAAACACAUUACCCUUAACAUUGAACUCAAUCUUCUUGCACUUCAAGUCAACAUAAAACUUUUAUCUAUCAGAUGUCGUUUUAAGCCUAUCUCAGAUCAAUUUGACUUUCUCCUUGGUCUUAUGAAUCAAGUCAAGAUCCCCCAAUUUCCUCAUGCUUAGUUUAACCCAAAACAAAUAUGUUUGAUACUUACAACCAUAUAGUGUCUCGAAUGGUGUCAUCUGAAUGCUCAUUUGAUAACUAUUAUUUUACGUAAAAUCAAUCAAUGAAAGGUGUCCUUCCCAACUACCCUCAAAAUUGAUAACACAACAUUGAAACAUGUCCUCCAAAAUUUGAAUUACACAAUCAGACUAUCCAUCAAUUUAAGGAUGGUAAGCAAUAUUGAAGUUCAACUUUGUACUAAGAACCUCAUGCAACUCUUUCCAGAAUCCAAACGCGCAUAUGAGGUCUCAAUUAGAUAUAAUAGAAAUAGGAACACCUUGCCUUCAUACCAUUUCAGUAGUGUACAACUCGACCAACUUUUCGAAAGAGUAAUUGGUAUGAACUAGGAAGAAGUGCGUUGACUUAGUGAGUUGAUAAACAAUUACCCAAAUGACAUCAUGCUUCUUUGGAGUAAGUAGCAAGCCCACAACGAAAUUCAUAGCUACUCAUUCUCACUUCUACUAUGGUAUUGUGAUAGGUUGUAACAAGCUCAAAGGAACUUGAUGAAAAACCAAGCACUUUGACACAAACUCCACCUCACAUUUCAUUCCAAGCCACCAAUACAAUUCUUUUAGCUCAUGUUACAUUUUAUUACCCCUAGAAUGCAUGGCAUAAGAACUAUUAUGCACCUCGUACAAACAUGUCUUAACUUCGUAUUAUUCAACACACAAAGCCUCUUUCUGAAACACAAUCCACCCUCGACAUCCAAACCAAAACCAUUCGGUUCGUUCUGUUUAAUUUGUCAAUAUUUAGCAAUCAAUUUCUCAUCUCUUAAUUUUUUCUUCCUAAUCUGCUCCGAUAAAGUUAAUUUAAUUCAAAUUUCCACCAAUAACUUACCAUUUUCAAUACUUCAAGCUUGACAUUCAUCAAUUUAAGGGCAACAAAGGACUUUCGAUUAAACACAUUAGCGAUUUUGUUGCUUUACCAAGAUGGUAUUCGAUAAAUAAUCGUAAUCAUUUUAAAACUCAACCCAUCGUCAUUACCUCAAUGUAUAACUUUCAAAUAUACUUCUUUCGAAACAUCGAUAGGAAGUACUCCCAAUUAAUCCUCCCCGCAAGCGUAGUCUAGACCACAGUGAUCCACCACUAAUAAGCCUCUCCUUUAGUAAGGAGACUACACAUUGAACUCUCUCAGUAGGCGUACAUUCCAACUAAUCAAUGACUCUUUUAGUCGUCUCCAACCAAUAUUUUCUGGCCAUUGGGUAAAACUCUUUUGACCCUUCAAGUCCUUAGCACCAUAUUUCUUUAGUUUCUCAAUUGGUGCUCUCCUAACUAAAACAACGAAUUGAACCUAAGGGAUUGCUCCAACAACCCUCUAUAACGCAUCAACCAUCGCACAUGAAAAUGUGACUUGAUUAGGUUUGUAACACCCUAAGCUCGGCCCAGAAGCCAAAUUGAAUCAAGAGUGUCACAAUGGUCGCUGGAGUGACCCGCUCAAUCAAACAUUCAUUUAAUACACAAUAAAAAUAUAUAUAUUUAAAUCCUUCAAGUAAAAACAAAUAAUAAAAUCAUUUAAUAAAAAUAAGUUCAAAAAUUAUUUAACAACAAUAGCAAUACUCCUGAAUGCACAAGGCAACUUGCACAAUACAAUAAACAAUAUGGAGAUCCCUAUUCUCUAUGACAUGCCAACUAUGUCUAACUGUCAAAUUUUGCCAAAUUGUUUUAUAACGAUAAAAACAAUUUAUAUAUACAUCCAAAAUCAACUUAAUUCAAUUUCACAAAAUAAAUUUUAAGCCAUGCAUUUAAAUUAACCACAAUAUAAGACAAUCGAACUUCAAAGAUCACAAAUUGAAUUUUUCAAGCGUUCAAUGUUUAGAAGCGAGCAUUCUUCGUCAAUUCACCAAUCCACUAGCAAAUUAAAGACCUAGACUUUCCUGGACUCAAAUUAAUCAAAAAUUCAACCAUACUCGUAUUUUGAAAGAUUAAAAAUAUUUCAAUCGAGCCCAUAAUUAAUCAAAAUUAAUGUUAAUCUAAGUUAUCGAUUCAAUUUAAUCAAGAUCCCAACAUAUCAUGUGACCAUUCAAUAAUGUAAUUAAUCUUUUGAAUAAAUUAUUCCUAAGUUAAAACUAAAUUAAUAUAAUCAAAUACUUAAAGAAAAUUAAAGCAUUUAUUCAAUUAUCCUAAAGCAUAUGUAAUAGUUAGUCUAAUAAAUCAUCUCUAAACUAAUUCAAAAUAAAAUUCUAAAUGUAGCAGAUGUUAAGCAAUAUAGUUGGCAAGAAUGCAGCUGAUUUGGAGGCAAAGAGGCUCACGGCAAUACCAAAAAUUGAAGUGGGCAUAGCAGCAAACUGAGGGCAAAGCAAUAGCAAAAGUUUGUAGCAAUUUUUAGGAGAAACUAAGAGAAGCAAUUGUUGGUGGCAGCAAGGAGAACCCAAAAAAAAAAAAAAGAAUGGUCGGUCAAUUGGAGAUGAGGCCUAAUUCAAUUCUACUUCUAUUUAUCAUAAUAAUAUAACACACACAAAAAAUAAAUCCUAUUAAAAAUCUAGUAGAAAGAUCCUCAUUCAAUUAAACUAAAUAAGAAUACAUUAAAAGAAAAUUAAAAGAAAGGUUAAUUGCAAUAUUAGUCUCUCGUUAAUAGUUGAAAUUUCAACUUAAUCCUUAAAAUAUAAUCAAAAUUCUAUUUAGUCUUGAAAUUAAACUAAAUUUAUCAUUUCAUCCGAAAUUUCCGAAAUAAUUUAUUAUAAAAGAAUUCUUUUACUAAACUUAUCUUGAUUUAGUGUGAAAUGUGAUACCAAAAUUUUCAAGACAUUAUAAAACGUUCAAGGUGAAUUACUAAACCACUAUUAUACUUGGUGUUAACACCGUUAGUAAAUUACUAAACCAACCAAUGAUAAGUUAGCAAGUAGAAUUUUCUUUUCCAAAUUAUCAAGUCUAAAUGGAUAAUAUAACAUCUGAAAAACUAAAUAAAAAAACUAAAUUAAAUUAAAAAAAUAUAACUAAACAUAUGAUUAAUAAAAUAAAAAUAAAAAUUAAACUUACAUAAGCUAAAACGUCACAUUCUCAGUAAAUGAUACUCUUCUUCAAAGAGUUUUUCAUUUGAAAUAAUAUUUUUAAUUGAUUUUUUUAAAGAAUUGUUUAGUCAUCACUAUUUAAUUUUUUUUAUUAAUCAUAUGCUUAAUUAUUUGUUUUUUAAUUUAAUUUAAUUUAAUUUUUUUUGUUUUAUUUAAUUUUUUACAUAAUGUUAUGUUCUUCAUGUGGACAUUGAUGAUUUGGAAAAAAAUUAUACGUGUCAAAUUUUCAUUGACAUGUUUAGUAAUUCAAAUAAAGGUGUUAACACCAAGUAUCAUAAUAAAACACAUAUUGAUAGUUUAUAUAUCACAUUGGAUAUUUUCAAAGUACAUAUACGACAUUGGACAUUUUAUGAAAGUACAAGUAUCAUAAUAAAACACAUAUAGAUAAUUUAAGUACCACAUUAAACAUUUUAUAAAAGUACAUGUAUCAAAUAUGAGACUAACAUAUUUAUAAAAGUAUUUAAUGUUAAUAAUAAAUGAAAUUUGGUUAAAUGGUAAAGUACAAAUGUUGUAAACUCUUGAGUCUUGGUUCAAAUAUUAUUAUGUGUGCAUAUUUUACUCUUUUUUCUUAUGUAAAAGAAUAAAAUGGCAAAAAACCUUCAAAAUAAUAAAAUUUAUUUUGUAAAGUAAUGGUGUUUUUGUCAUUACCUAACUGAAUUGAUACUCGAUUGACUAAUGACACCAACUCAAUCAUGUUCUUAAUAUAUAUAAUGAGCCUAUUCUGUAACAACUCUUUAUAACAAUUCAUCAUAACAAUUAAGUUUGUUGUAGAUCUGAUUUUUUUUAUAUUUUUUAUAUUUAUCAUCUAUAACAACUUUCCAUCUAUAACAAUUAUAAAAUAUGAAAUACGCUCUUUAAAAAAUUAAUUCUUUACAACAAUUUAUCUCAAAUUUUAGUAAAAUUAGUUCUAUUACCAAGUGAAAUAAAUAUAAUAAAUUUUAAUUAAGUUAUUAAUUCAAUAAAAUAUUUAAAGUUUAUAUAGAAAAUAUAUUAACAAUAUUUUAUUAAAUGAAAUGUUUAAUAAAUUGAACUACAUUUAUAAAUUUUAUUAAAGAUACUAUUUAAAUCUCACUAAUUAAUAAUAUUAUUAAUAUAUUAUAAUUUUUUUAAUUUUAAAUUUUAAAUAUUUAAUAUAUAAUCUAUAUCGACAUCAACAUUUUGAUAGGCAAAUAGAAUUGUUAUAGAAAAAAGUUGAUUGUGAUCGUAACAACUAAAAGAAACGUUUAAUCAACUCCUAGAUUUUUUCCACUUGGUUCAUCUCUUUCCGACGUUCUUUCUAACUAAAAACGAAGUAAAAAAAAAAAUUAGCUAAAAUUAAAUCAUGUCACACUUACGAUGCGUGUGAAAACAAUAAUUUUUAAACAUUUUAUGUAAAAAAAUACUUUCUUUAAUUUAUUCAAUUAUGAUUAUAUCUAGAAUGAUAAAGAACUUGUAUCUUAUUAAACGCGUGUUUUUUAGUUCUUUUAUUAAAAGAAAUGGUAAUAGUCUUUUCCCGAUUAAGUUUGUAACAAUUAACCUGUGACAAUAACUCAACGAGGGGUUUUAUAAUUGUUGAGGGGAGAUCGGUCUCAAACCCUCAAACAAUGAAAGUAUUAUGCUCGAGAUGUCUAUGCUCUAUUUUAUCCUCCGAUUGUUUCCUAACUUUGAAAAGAACCCUACCGAAUUCACAGAGUUUAGAGAAUGCCUCACCAUCAAGGAAAUGUGAACAUUUGGUCUUGGUUGGGUUCAAACCCAUGCCCUUAUAUGGCAUUAGUGGGUAAGAACACUACAACUUAGCUAGGCUAGCCAAAUAGAUAAUAAAAUUUAGGUUUCCAAUGCUACCUUAAGAAAAAUGAAAAUUGCGAACACAAACAUAAAGCAAAGAAAAACACAUUAAAGGAAAAAUAAUACAGCAUAACAAAUAAUAUACUAUUAAAAAAUUUCAUCUCAAAACAGAAGGAAAAUCAGAGUGAAACCACACGUAAAUGAAGAAACAAUCAAGAGAUAGAAAAAUUAUAUCUAACAACUAUUCAAGGGGAGCAAAUGAUAUCAAUAGAUGUCUCGCCCACCAAUAUGAUUCCUCAGUUCAUAUCAGAAAUCUUAGUGCUUGCAUUGCCAAAUAUAUGGACCUCAUGGUGCUAAUAAUCCUUGCAUACAAAGCAUCCCUAUUGCACUAUAUUCAUCAUUUCAGCAAAGCCAACAGACAGAUCAAAUUCCAUUUAAGUUCUAACAAAGGAAAUCAUUGAAAAUAGCACUUAACAUGGAAGUAAAGAUGAAAUAGAGCAGGGGAAGUCUUUUUCUCACCAUAGGCACCAAGAAUAAUUAUUGAGGUAAUCUUAAUACUUGAGUAGCAUCUGAGCCUAAUCUUGUUUUCAUUUAUUUAUAAAUAUUCAUUCAAUAUUUUUAACCUUAACUUACUACUUUACUCUUAAUAUAUGUAUGCUUAAAACACAAACCCUAAAUUUUGUUGUUUAAAUAUAAAAAAAAUUAUAUAUGAAAUGAAUGAGGUCAAACUUGAGCUCGGGUAUGUAUAUCAUGUAAACAAACUCAAACAAGCCGAGCUCAAAUAAUUUGAUUUUACCUCAAGCUCAAGCUUCUAGAAUCAUAUACUUGAUCAAGCUUGAAUUGAGUUUUAAGCAGCUUCAAAUAGAUCUCAAGCUUCUCACUGUUCAAGAUCGGUUCAGCUUGAUUGCAACCCUAGUUUGUGGUUAGUGUUACAUGAAGCAGGCUCAUUAUUCCUGUUAUCUAGUAAUCACCUGUCGAAACUAUUUUGUGUAAAUGGAUUGAUGCUAACUAGUUGGCAUUUUUAAAUCAAGGAGGGUAAUGAAUCCUAACAGUGUAUGCUAAACUUGAUUUUUUUUGGAUAAACUUUGCUUUUUUUAUUUAUCCAAAGGAAGCAACAAAAGCUGCUACAAGUGUAACAAUCAAUAAAAGAAACUCAUCUCGCCAAAAAUCUUCAAAUCUCAGGGAAUCACCUGACAAUAUAAGUAUCUACUAGCACAUGGUUGGUUGCUGAAGCUUCCGCUCAAGAUUUAUGGCAAUGGCAUCAACGAAGUCUCCAGUGGUCAAGUAAAACUCUUUUGAUACCCUGAAUUCAUAAGAAGUACCUUGGUGACUUUAAAGCCAUAGCUUGGUUUUAGAUUACAAAGUGGUAGUUGUGAGAUAAGGAAGAACCGUCCAAUGAAAGGUCACAUCGAGGAAGUAAAGUUCACACGGAAAAACAUCGACAGUGGAAAAAUAUCAAACAUCAGGAGAAAGUGUAUCAUACUUGGGGCCAUGGAUUAAAAUGGCGAGAUCUUUGGUCAUUUUUCCUGCCUCAACUGUCUCGAUGCAAGCAGCCUCCAACUUGUGAACAAAGUCCAGCAACCUUUCGUUUUUAUCUAGUUUGGCCCUGCAAGAGAGAUCACAACGAACAUCAAAUCAAAGCUGUACAAAUGUUAAAAAAGAGAAACAAAAACAGCAAUGUUGUACAAACAAUAAAACAGAAAAUAGAACUUCAUAAAGUGACCUACAACUUUUGACCAAAACUAUUUUUUGAAUAUUUGACCAAAAAUAUUUGAUAAAUCAACGGAAAGCAUGAAUACAAUCAAAUAUUCAAUGGUGGAUCUCGAGGUUUGAUUUGGAGGGCCAAAUAAUAUCAUAAUUUAUAUCAAACUCCUUUUAUCAUGUGUGUGUAUAUAUAUGUACAAACAAUAUAAUCUUAAGAACAGAAAGAAUAGAACUUUACGAUAGUGUCAACAUAGAAUAGAAACCAAGAGUAAAAAUAAAGGUGAAAAUUUACAUGAAGAUGAAAAAAUGUAAUAAGCUAGAAAUGGAGGAAAACAAACAUUUGGUAUUUGUUUAAAACUUGAAAGUUUUGUUCAAAGUAAAAAAGUUAAUUUGGUUGCUGUUAAGUUCACAUGAUUGUAAUAUAAAAGUAAUGACAAGUCUCUUAAUUUUAAAAAUUUGUAAGUAAUUAUUUUAAAAUUUUGUUAUAUUAUUUUAACUUAUUUUAAAUUAUAAUAAUAUAAAUUAAUAUUAUGAGAAAAAAAGAGUAAAAUUAACAAUUUUAAUAUAAAAAAAUCAAUUUAAAUUUAUGUAAUUAAUCUAUAUGUUAUAUAUAAUUUCUUUUUAAAACUUUGGCUCCCUUAAGUUCCCAUGAGGAGCCGCCUCUGAAAGCAUUGUUUAUGUAUCUAUUACCAAAUUCUUUACAUAAAAUAAGCAGAAAGAAACACAUGAAGGAGUUUAUUUGGAAUGGAUACUAAUCAAAUAAAAUUCAAAAGAAAGCUGCUAAAUCACUUCGAAUGCAGAAGAAACAUAAAGUACCUAUGCUCCAGUCCUCUUGUCCAUGCAAAUAUAGAGGCAAUACUGUUUGUACUGGUUUCUUGUCCCUUUUGAUAAAGCCUGAAAUGUCGAGUUACAGUCCCAUGAGCUGCCUCGGCUUCUAGUGUCUUCCCAUCAGAUGACAACUGCAGAAUUUGUGAUUUUAGAGAUUUUCAAUAUUCAAUGGCCAAAAUGAAGAGACCGAUCUAAAACAAUGAAAAACAAAGUCAUUUGUUACAAACCAACACUGAAGUCAUCAAGCCCAAAGAGCCAAAUCCUGCAUACAGCAAAAAAACGAUUAGACUCCACGAAAAAAAGAGAGAGAUCCAGUUAAAGUUGAGCAUUGACUUGUAAAUGAAUAGAUAAUUACUGCAAAGAAAUGCAUCCGUCUUUUCAGUAGGAAAUUCAGAGAGAGAGAAAAGAAAAUUAUAUGAAUGGUUCAUUCAUUAAUGGAUGAUGCUAGACAUAUAAUUAAACUAUGAGUACCCCUUUAGACUUUCUUUUCUUUUGUGUUUGUGUGAGGGUCUGGUGGUAGGUAUUAUAAAUUAUUUAAAGCCUCCAUCAUAAAUGAACCUUUAUUUUUACUGAGGAAAAAAGAAACUCUGGCCAGCUAAAUCAGAAAAAGCAUUAAACAACACCUUGAGCAAGUAGAUCACUUUGGACAUCUCCAUCAUAAUUUUUGCAUGCCCAAACAUAUCCCCCUUCACUUUUUAGGGCAUAUGCCACCAUGUCAUCAAUUAGUCGAUGUUCAUACCUAGAUACAGAAUCAACCAAAUAUUUAGAAAUACCUCAAAAGAAAUAUUAAGCAUAGUUCACUGAAGGGACAAAUCCAACCAUAUAGAAUGUGCUUCAAACUUGUCCUUCCAAUUUUUCUCAUACACAUCCUGGAAUAUGUCCUUAAACCUGUAAUGGACUUCUCAGAUGAGCAUUGUGCAGUUCUUCCACAAGUAAAAAAUCAGACAAACCUUGAGUAAAGAAAUAGUCCAAGAUACACGGACAUUGGAGGAGGGCAAAUUAGAAAAGAAAAUAUUACCUGCCAUCAUACUUCUUGAGAAUAGUAUUCUUUGUGCUCAGGUAAAGAGGCCACUUCUUUGAAAAAGCCAAUGACAUAGAGGAUUCAGCAAAUACACGAAUUGACUGAAAAGCACACAUGAUUUUUUAAACUAAUUAAUCAAAAAAAGGCUCCACACAUCUUGAAUAGUGGGUGGGUGUGAGUACAAAAGCCUUUAAUACAUAGAUAUAUUCAUAUGGGAAGAGAUAAACGCAAAAAAUUUACGAACCUCAUCAACAUUAUACAUAGAAAGUGCUAUGCCAGGGCCUUUAAAAUUGUAGACAUCAAGCUCCACCGGCUUGUCUCCACCUUCUGGGACUAAGAAAAAAAACAACAUGCAGUGAAGAAUUAAAAUUUUAAGAAAUAAGGUUUUCCGGUUUAGUUACAUGACACCAUGCCAAUCAUGACAGUUAAAAAGCUUACCAAAAACCAUCUUAAGCUUUCCUGGUCCAGUAAUUAUUGUAUCAGUGGCACGAUACUGGUCACCAAAUGCAUGUCUGCCAAUACAUAUGGGUUUCUUCCAACCUAUAACAAGGGAAAAGUUCAUAGCAGCUUUCCACCACAUUUCAGUUACACAGUUACUAUGUGGAGAAAUCAUUACCGGGAACAAUUCUUGGAACAUUCUUGCAUAAGAUAGGUUCACGAAAGACAGUACCUACAAGAAGAAGAAACCCUUCAAUUAGGAAGCGCUGAAACAAGGAGAAAACAUCUUAUAAAUACUUAUGGUACUAGUAGAUGAUUUAAAAUCUUGCCUAAGCACAUAUCCACAAUGGCAGCCUAUGGAAGAUAAAUCUUACAAAUUUCAGGAUAAUAUUUAAACAAAUAAAAGAUGAAUCCACAUAUGUCAAACAUUCAAAAUUUAUCCUUGAAGUAAGAGCUACAUGAGAGAUUAUUAAGAAAUAACCAUUCAAGAUGUUUCUAAUAGUCCCAUUAGGACUUCUCCACAUAGAUUUCAGCCCAAAUUCCUUGACUCUUGUCUCAUCUGCAUAAUCAACAUAACCAGACUUUAGCAUUAUAUAUGCUGAAGAUUUUUUUUUUUAUUUAAUGAAAAAACAAUGCAAAUCCUUGGAUAUUUGUAGACCUGUCACCGGCCUGGCCCGAAUUAGAUUUAAAUGAUAAAUUUAUAAUUAAACUAAAUUAUAAAAAAUUUUAGGUUUAAGUCACAAUUUGGCCCCUGAACUAUACUUGUUUUACUACUUUGGUAGUUCAAACUUUUUAGUCCCACUUUAACUAUCAUUUUCGUCCCAUUGUAACUCCAAAAAUUACUUGAGUUCAAUAAAAAUAUGCCAUGUGUCAUGUUCUUAUUGGUAAAUUUUAUCUUUUUAGUUGAACUGAGACAAAAAUGAUAGUUGACCAAAGUGGGACAAAAAAAAAUUGAAGUACCAAAGUAGUAAAAUUAGUUUAGGGGCUUCUUUCAGAAAAAAAGAGUUUUAAGAGCCAAAAUGUGACAUAAACCUAUAUUAAUAUAUAAACAAUGAAACGGGCUGCUGGGCUGGGCCAAAUUUCGGUCUGGGCUUAGAAAAUUUUUGGGACCAGGCUAGAGCCCAUUCCAAUCGACCCCUGGACAGGUCUAGAUAUUUACUAUAAAUGAUAAGGAAAUACACGAAUUGACAAGAGUAGUAAAGAUUAAAGAAUCACGAGAAUGACUAACCAGGAGUUAUUGUUGCACAUUUGAUAGCAACAUUAUACCUAAAAGAAAUAAGGAAAUUCUUUACAACUGCAGACUUUAAGUGCAAAUAAAGAUACCAUAAAAUUCUUCAAAUUUUCAAGCAUUCGCUUUACAAUUGCAAAACUUUUUGCUUGAAUGAUGGAAAAUCUUAAAUCUUCCAAACUAAAAGGGGAAAAAAACACACCGUUUUCCAAUUGGAUGCUAGAACUCUGUACAAAUCUCUCUUAACAAACCUCAACCUAGGCAAAGCUUUUUUUAUCAUCCAGCCUUAGUCCAAUUACUCAGCAAACAGAAAAAUCACAAUCGUUAAUAUUAUAACACUACUCAUCUUCGUCAUGAUACUACAACUUAUUUUAUCUAUUUACAAAUGGAUGAAUGAUAAUGUCUCGUUCGUAGCCCUAUUAUGUUAAUAAUGCAAUUCUAGACACCCAAGCUUCUUUCAUAUCUUAUCAGAUCAGGUAUAUUAUCAACAGAAUCCAUUAGUUACUUUUCAAAAUUAAUAAUAAUAUAACAGAACAAUGAUCAUGUCCAAAGAGCCUUCAGUAAAUACUACAUACUUCAGGGCUGCUUCAGCAGCUUCGACAGUAACUUUGUCAUCAGUCGCAUCCCGACUCAGUAUCCCUAAAUCGAAGUAUUUUAUGUCCAAAUCAAGAUAAGAGAAUAUAAGCUGCAAUUAAAUACAAAAACACUCGGCAUUCAGCAUUAAUUACAAAUAAAUAAUUAGCGAAAUGUAAAAAAAAAUCAUGAAAUAUGCUUCCAUACUUUAUCUUUUAUCAUAUUCCAGAUAAUUCUCGUCAUUUCAUCACCUAAGAAUUACAAACAAAAAGAAGUAACAGUGAUCACAUUUUUUUAAAAAAUAAGAAAAAGCAGAAAAAAAAACAAUUAAAAACAAACAUAAAAACUAAUUUCAACACGAUUCUCAUCCUUUAUCGCCGUUUGGUCAAUUGUCUCACCAUCCAUCUCGACGACUGGAUUUCGAACUUGAACUCGAUCGAAUCCGCUGGAAGAAGCGUAACACCGAAGGGAAACGGCACGAGGGAAUUGAGCGGUGAAAACGACUCGGUUGUUGAGAGCUCCAUUUCUCAGAGAUAUAAGAAAAUUAGGGUUUUUGUUUCUUAGAGUGAGAAUCGUCGAAGAAGAAGAAAACGAAGAAGAGAGCAUUUGUAAAGGCGGGUGAAGACGAGGAGAUAGCGCGGAGUCGAAGAGCGAGAGUUUUCCAAAAUUUUCCUUUUUUGACGCUCGCGUUUUAAGGACACUGCUUUGCCGUUUUGGAUGGUUUAUGUUACGGCUUGUUUGACAAUGAAAAAUGUCAAGGACUUGCUUUUGGGUAUUGUGAUCCAACGGCUACGGAUAGCUAAUCAACUAUUGGAUUAAUUAAAAAACUUUUUAAUAAUAAAAUUCUUUUUUUCUUUAUUUUCAAAUGUACUAGUUUUAUGAAUUAAUUAGCAAAAAAUACACAAAGUCAGCACUUUGGGGUAAGCCUGUCCAUGGCCGAGCCACCUGAAAAGUGGGAGAAUUUAAGUAAAAAUAUAAGCUUUAAAAAUGGAGUUGGACAAAAAAAUAAGGCCUGUUUAAAAAAAGGGUUAGAUCUCAGUUAAGGCUUUUUUUGCCUGAGCCCGGCUUGACCUGACUCGAAUAAAGUUUUUUUCUUAUUUUCUUGUUGUUUUUUCACUAUUUUGUUACCAUUUCAUAAUUAUGUUUCUAUUAUUUUGUUGUUAUUAUUUGGAUAUUUAUAACUCUUGUUUUAUUGUUAAUUUUGUUACUAUUUUAGAGUUAUUUGUUUGUUAAAUUGCAGCUAUCUUGGUGUUAUUUAAGUAUACAUAUUUUUUAAUUUAUUGUCAAAUUGUUGGGAAACAUUUAUUUUAAUAUUUUUCAUAUUUUUGAUGUAUUAUAUUUUUUAAAUAUAUAUGAAAUAUAAAAGAAAAUAAUACAGUCAGGCCAGACCCGAGUUUUAGCAUUUUUAUCUAGACCGAGCAUGGAUAAAAUUUUUAGCCCAUUUUUUGGACUAAACGGAGCCCGAACCUAGCAAAUAAGCCUAAAAUUUUUGUAGGACCCAGCCUUACUCGGCCAUGGACAUCUCUACUUGGGGGGCAACUUCACUAUUUUAAAACAUAAAAGUUGUUUACAAGUAGCACAACAGAAAGGAACCUAUGACAACAUGCAUGAAAGAAGCAAUAAAAUGCAAUCUUUUGUUUGCAUGCAGCAGAGCAAAGAAAUAAUGGAACCCGUGAUAAUACAAGCAUACAUGAAUGCAGUAGAAAGUUGCAAUAGAAAAAUUAUACUAGCACGCAACAGGUAAAUAAUUGAGGUAGGUAAGUAUGGGUAUAUUAUUAUUUUUUAAUAAUAGUUUUAAAUAUUAUGUAAUUUAGUCCUUUUAGUUUGUAUAUAAAUGCACAAUCACUCUUCUCUCAUUUUCUGUCAAAAAAAAUUAUUCUCUCAUUUUCUCCCAACUUAUUUUUCUUCUUUCAUUUUCUCUCCAACAUAACAUAUUUGUAACAUAUUCUCUACAAAUCCAUCACUAACAAUGUUACACCUGCAUCUAUAUGGGGCCACGUGGCAAGCCAAAAGGAGACUCGAACAACAAAACAGUUGGUGGCAAACCGAGAAGUCACCCACAAGUCCUACCUUCCAAGACAACUAUCCAACAAGUGCAAGCCAUCCGAUACUCGGGUCUUCAGGCUUUCGUUGGGAACAUGGUGUUGUUAGUCACUAAACACCAAGUGGGCUCAACCGCUCUAUACCAUCAAGUCAGAAUGAAUGAAAGGAUAACAUCCUCCUCACCUCCAUUCUUUACAACCUACAGCUCACCGUCCUGACUGGGUGAAUCAACCUCUGUGACAACCACCACCCUCUCCUACAUACCUCUUCAUUGUUGUAUCAUUGCAUCAACAUUUGGUACAGUGAACAUGGACAACAUGGCUUUACAACCCCAGAAUGGUAUUCCUUGUUGACCUAGCUAACCAGGCCAAUAUCCAACCAACCAGACCAACUCCUUUGCUCUACUCAACACAUCCAUCUUGCCUAGUUCAAGAGCUUCUUCUGACCUAAAGACUAUUUAAGUUACUUCUUCUAUCCCUUUAGGAACUUCUCUGCAAUAUGCACAUGUUCUCCUUCCUACCUUAGAGCAACUUGUAAAAGCUUUAGGUGUCCACUCGAAUUCUGACCCUACAACCUUCACAAUGCCAGCUGGAACCGUCCCUCCAGCUACUUCAACCCCCCCGUACAAAAAAACAUCAAAUGUCAGUUGGUGUAUCUCCCCUUAAACCCAUGGAUCAAAUAACACACUAUUUGCAAGAAGUUAUAGCUUGCCUCACAACCACACCACCCCCGCCUACUAUGAUCUCCACCCAUUUGAUCAAGGUUCUCAUUUUUGGAUCCCAACCUCAUGAUUUAGAAACCUAGGAAAAAGUACUACAUUUGGAAAAACAUUUUUCUCAACAAGAGUACCACUUUAAGGAACAUCAAGAACAACAACACAUCUUUGACCAAGGGAUUGUCAAAUUGGUAAAUGCGUUUAUCAAAUCAAUUAUAAGCUAGAAAUUACUAAUCUAAUCAAGUUGGAAAUUAUUAGUGCAAAAUCAAAUAUAAAUUGUUUAUAAAUUAAAUUUAAACCAUUAACUAAACAAAUUAAGCUAACAUUCUACCUAUUUUUUUAAACAAUGUAAAUGAUAUAAUGAUGGUCAAUUGAUUAAUCGAUUGCUAGUUAAACUAAAAAUCUAUCACAAUUAUAUUACUUGCUAUUCCUAACUAGGAACCUCCUAUCGGUCUUAUCCUAAUUUGGAAUUACCAACUAAGUUCUCCUCUCGAUCUUACUUAGACAAGUAACUCAUAAAUAUAGGACAUAGAAGGCUCAAACAUGGAACUAGGGAUACAUAUCAUAAAGGUUGGUCAUUUAAGCUCUUGGCUAAUUAAACUAUACUUUAGGUCAUCCCUAAACAUUUCAGAAAACACAAUUUCAAUCAUGCCUACAUUACCCAAUGAAUAACAAUUGAUUCAAACACUAUUUAUCUACAAGCAUCUAUACAAUCUAUCUAUCAUUUGGCACAAAAAUCAAACGUAUUUACAAAGAUUAAUUACCUCUAGUCAUUAUGCAAUUUAACAAAGUGAACUAACUAAUCUACCUUUAAAAGAACCAAAUUAUCUAACAUCAACCAAAUUUGUAUGCUUGAAAGUUAACAAUACAUAAUUCAAUAUCAACAACCAAUAAUCCCAAUGCCAACAUACUUCAAGCACCAUAUAUCAAAAAAGCAAAAGAAAAUUUUUUUAAUUUUUUUAUAUAUUUUUGAAAAAUUUUAAACAAAACAUAAAAUAAGCAAAUAAAACACAAAAAAUAAAAUUGUACAUCCCUACACUUAAGUUACACAUUGUCCUCAAUGUGUCAUCUACUAAAGAUUAGUUUGAGAAAGCAUCCUCAAUUUAAGAUUAUGUGCAACAAAAUGGUGGAGUAGCCCUCAAACUUCGUUAAAGCUCAAUGUUGGGUAGCUCUCGAUGGGUAGACCUACAUAGAAAAACAAAACAAACAUACACACGAAAUGCAAUAAUAAGAAAAUAAAAACAAAAUAAGAACUAGUAAUAAGAAAACUUAUUGGGUGAUCUAUAUCUUCUCUAUAGAAGAUCUUUCGAGAGGUCUUCGACAAUUUGAAUCAACAUUUGUUCUUCAUGACCAGAAUAAGGAUCCCCUUUUUGCUCAAGCCCAUUGUCAUCAUCUUAUUUUUUACCUUCUAGAUAGCCACAUCACGAGCCAUUUCUUUCCAAAUUCUAACCAAGUCCAAAAUUCAUUCUAAGGUAUUAAAGCCUCAGGCAUCACAAACUCAAUGUCGCAAUAAGUCGUAGAUACCCGGUCUUCACUUUCUACUUUGAACCAGAAAUAGAUAUGUUCAUUAAGUCUGUCGGUUGGCUCCUCUACAACAAUGAUUGAAAAAUGUAUUGGCUCCUCCACACCUUCACUUAGUUUUAGUUUAAGUUCAUCCUCAAUAUCUAACUCUACUUCGAGUCUUACUCAUCCACACUUAAGGCAAUCCUCUCAUCUUUCAACUAAUAUUGGUGUGACAGGUCAGUUGUAAUAUUCAUAAGUGUUUCAAUAGAACACUCUGAGUAUUCCAAUUAUUAAACCUAAAGGAUUUUCAAAUUGGUAAAUGUGUUUGUCAAAUUAAUUAUAAGCUAGCAAUUACUAAUCUAAUCGAGUUGGAAAUUAUUGAUGCAAAAUAAAAUAUAAAUUGUUUAUAAACUAAAUUUAAAAAAUCAAUUAAACAAAAUAAGCUAAACAUUCUUCCUAUUGUUUUAGACAAUGCAAAUGAUAUAAUAACAGUUAAUUGAUUAGUUGAUUGCUAGUUAAAGUAAUAACCUAUCCUGAUUAUAUUCCUUACCACUCCUAACUAGGAAUCUCUUCUCGGUCUUAUCCUAAUUUGGAAUUACCAACUAAGUUCUCCUCUCGUUCUCUCUUAGACAGGUAGUUCUUCUCUUGGUCUUACUACCCAAUACAAGUAUAUUGAACUAUCAACGAUAAACUUCCCUCUCAAUCUUGUUUAUCUAGAUUUUCCAUUAGAGGCGUUAAUUCUAGCAUAUUAAGUUUCGAUAUAAUCAAGCAAUCAAUUAAAUAAGAAUAAACAUUAACUUAAACCAAAAAAAUUAACAAAGCAAUUAACCACCAACCAAUUUAGCACAUAAUCAUAAUUUAAUUCCAAACAAGCAUUUUAUCAAACACAUGGUAGGCAUAAAAUAAAUGUGAAUGUUUUAGAAAAAUUCCCAUUUAAUUGAUGGAAACCAAAUGAAGCCCAAGAGUUUGAUCAUCUCACUUUUGCAUAGUCUUCAACAAGAAAUGAAGAAAUAGAAGACAACAAAAAUUAAAGUCUAUUCUAAAAAGAUAAAAAGAAGAGAAAGCCUAAUCUAGUCUAACUCUCAAAACUAUUAUCUACUACUCAUCCAUUUCUUUUUCUUCUCCCAUUCAAAAUUAAAGCAAAAUGUUGUUUAUAUAGGAAACAAUUAGAAGACUAAAAUUCCCUUAAUGUUAUUACAAAGUUUAAGGCUUAAAAUUGAAGAAUGAGCACAAAAUGCCCUUAAACACAUAGGUCCACGUCCCUUGAAAUUGUCACGACAUCACAGCGUUGACUACUCCUCGUCAUGACAUAAGGCUGUGAAGUCGUAACGUCGACUGUUUCCACAUCGCAAUGAGAUGGCUUGACUUGCUCCCCCAUGCUUUUGUUUCAACGUUGUAGCUGCCCAACCUCGUGGUUAUGACCUUAGCUACAGUUUAGCCCUUGAAAUGCACCUUCAGCUCUCAAUUGAUCUUAUAUAACCACACAAAUUUAUUUAGAUAUCCAAAACAUAAAAUAACAUAAAAAUUACUCAAAAAAUCAUACUUUUACUACUUAAACUCCUAAAACUGUAAAUUAACAUUAAAAUGACUCGAUUCUACUUAAAAUAUGUUGAAAUAUGUGUAAAGGAACAACAAAUAAACAUGCCAAAUUACAUUAGAUCACCUAUCCAUAAGGGGAGGCGAAGACCAACAACCUUGAGCCUUGUACAACCAAUUUAGGACCUAUUAUGAGCUCAACUUCUCCCAGCCCAAGUAUUCGACCAUGUAUAAUAUAAGGGAAUCUUGGUAGUACCCCUGCAUCUCUCACCCAACCAGCAUUGCAGUAACUCUAAUCAUCACUACAAAACCUAACACUAGAGGGCAUCGAACUGAGCAACGUAUGCACUUAAAGAAUGCUAUUGAAAUGGCAAUUCAGAAAGGGCAUCCCAAGUUUCUAGCUCAGAACCCCCAUCAGCUAAAUAAAACUGAAGAUAAUAAAGUAAGACAAUCAAGGUUGGAGCGCGAUGACAAGGGAAAGAAACUAGUGAGUGGAAUUAAUGAUUUGCUAGUAGAGGGAAGCAAAUAGAUUAGGUCCAUCAAACUUAAAGCAGAAGGCUCAUUUAGGAAGUGUCUUAUUGGUUUUAGCCAUGACUAAAAAACCAAAGCCUUCUCCAUGGGAUUUUUAAUUUUCAGAACAUGAUAAUAGGGAUAUUUUAGAUAUGAAAAGUGAAGACCUUCUGGUGGUCUCGACCAAUAUCUCCUUUUCCCAAGUCAUGAGAAUCUUGGUCGACAUAGGCAGCUUGGUAAAUAUCUUGACAACUAAAGUGUUUUAUCAAUUGGGGCUCAAGUUCACACAACUUAAUCCCACAAGCCCAAUAUAUGGCUUCACAAACAAUCCAAUCAUAGUUAAAGGAUAUUAGAUCUGGUGCCCUAAGUGUAGUAUAUUAUUUUGUAAACUUGUAAUUUUUUCAAAUAAAUUGGUUAAAAAAAUAAUUCAUGAAUUACAUUAAUAUACUUUGUAUAAUUUUCUCAUGUGGUUUUUUCAUGCAAAGUAAAUAUUGAGUCACUGGUUGUUUAAUGUUAAACUAAUACUAAACGAUAUUGCAUGUUCGAGUCGUAAUACAGAAAGAUAACUUAUAUUAGUAGAUAAACCUAUGUUUGAAAACCGGGUUUAAAAAAUGCAACAAAAAAUAAAUUUAGGAAAAAACUAUAGUUUUAAAAGAAAAUUCCAGAACAAGACUUAAUUGUGAUAUUUCAAGUAGUAAACACUUAAUCAAAAUUAUAUCUUUUCGAUUCGUCUAGGAUGAAUGCUUUGACCGAGUAGUCUUCUCCACUAUCCUCAAGCUCACGUCUCCCGAUUGUGGGCUCACUUCGAAUAAAAAAAUCACAAAAAUUACCAGUAGGGUAAUUUUACAAUUUCUCUAAACUCUUAGGCCAAGUUGUAAAUAAGAAAAAUAUCUCUAGAAAUUUUUCUGAAACAAUUUCUUUAGAGAAUUUUCUCUUGACAACUUUCUCUUGAAUUCAAGUGUGUGAAAAAUAAUGAUCCAAGGCUUAUGUAGAGUUUAAGGAGAUCAACUAUAAUUAAACUUAAUCACUUUAAUAUUAAAUUAAUAUAAUAUUUAUCAAGAUAAAUAUUAGAUUAAAUUUAAUAUUUAAUCUUAUUAAAUUAAUAGAAUAUUUAUCUACAAGAUAAACAUUAAGUUAAAUUUAAUAUUAAAUCUAUUAAAAUAAUAUUAUUUUUGGAAUAGUUAAUCUGAAAUAAAAUUCUCUAGUAGAGCCCCAGUAGGAGUGUAGUUCUUCCAUUGCUCAACCACCGAAGACCCACUGUCGACGACCAUUUUUCAGCCAUUGAAAUGUAGCUGUCACAGCCGCCGACACCCCGAGUUGGUUUGGUUUCUACCAGUUUGAAUCGGGCCAAUGACGGCCCAAGCGAUCCAGUCCAGCCACUGGUUGGACUAGGGGUGUUCAGUCGGUUAACCGAUCCGAAAUAACAUUAACCGAAUUAAUUGACCUUUCAAAAUUUUUAACCGUUAACCAAACCGAAUUUUUUUCAAAAAAAUUAACCAAACUGAAAUUUUUUGGUUAAUUCAAUCGGUUAACCGAAUUAACCGAAAAUUAUAUAUUUUUUAUUUUUGGUUAAAAAUUAACUAAAUUAUCCGAAUUACCCGAAUUAACCGAAUUACCCGAAUUACCUGAAUUGAAUCACUACAUAAUUAAAAACAUUACAUAAGUCUUAAAAUUAACACAUAAAUUAUUUGUAAUUUUUAUUAAAUUAUUAGUAAUUUUUAUGAUUGGGUUGGGUUGGGUAAUUGGGUUGGAUACUUGGGUUUAGGUGAAUAGUGGGCCUAUUUAUAUAUUAUAAUUUUAUUUAUUAAUUUUUUCGGUUAAACAGAAAAAUUUCGGUUAACCGAUUGGUUUCGAACCGAAUUAACCGUUAACCGAAAAAUUAAAAAAUAAUUAAUCGACCCCGAACCGAAAAAAAUCGGUUAAUCAACCGAUUAACCAAAUUCGAUCGGUUAACCAAAUUUUUUUGGUUUUACCCGAAUUUUGCAUACCCCUAGGUUGGACCGUCAGCCCGUUCCACAAACCAAACCCAGUUCGACCAGUUUUUGAGUCUUGGUCUAGGUUUUGGUUCUCGGGCUCAAUUUACGAUCUUAGGUCACAUUUUCUGGUUUAAUUAUUGUAACAGCCGAUUUUCAGUGAUGUCGAAAAUAGUGGUUCGAGGCCACUAAAUCCGACAAGUAAGUUCGUAAAUAUUAAUAUUUAAUAUUUAUGGGUAAAAUAUGAUUUUAGAAAGAUUUUUUUGAAUCAGUAAUUAGUGUUUUAUGAAGAUUUAUUCGGUUAUGUGGUUUUAGAAAAUGAGGUGUUCUAUAAACCAAGCCGUAAAUAUUGAAGUUUCAUUAAGAAAUUUUAACGUUUCGAUAGUUAAUUAAUUAAAAAGAACUAAAUUGCAUAAAGGGUGAAUGUUGAAUUACCAUUGCUUAAAGUUGAGCGGCAUAAGUAGAUAUUUAUUUAAAAAUCUAAAGUUAAAAUAUAUUAUAAUAUUAUAAUAAUAUUACUUAAAAGUUAAGUAUAUAUAUUAUAUAUUAUAUUAUAUUAUAAAAGAACAAACAAAUAGAAAAGAAGGUAAGAAACAGAGAAGCAAAACGAAAACAGGGGAGAAAGGAAAGAAAAAGAAAAAGGGAAGGAAAGAAAGAAAAUUUGGGAUUUCAAAGUUCAAAGUUUGAUUGGUAAGCCAAUUUAGUCUUUUUUCUUGUAAUUUUUGAGUUUUUAGAAUCUUAGAACAAAAUACUACUUGAUUUAAGUUGAAAUUUUAAAAGUUAGUAAAUUUUUAGAUGUUGUUCAUGUUGAAUAAAUUGAAGAAUUAGGGAUUAAAUUGAUAAAAUUUCAAGUUAGGAGUUAGUAAAGGAUUGAUUUGUAAAAUAAAACAUAACAUAAGUUUUGAAUUAAUAGGGACUAAAUUGAGAGAAUUUCAAAAUUAGGGAUUUACGGUGAAUUUAGAGAGUUAAAUUAGUUUAAAGUGGGAAUGGAAUGAAAAUAUGAAAUUAGUUUUGAGAAUAAAAGUUAGUCUCGAUUUAGGGACUAAAUUUGAAUUUAGGCAAAUAUUGAGUAAAAAAUAAAAUAUUUAAUGUGAGAUUGAAUGGUGUUGUAUUGAUGAUUUUUAAUUGUUUUAAUUCCAUAGCUAGCGUCGUACCAGAAUUCUCGACUAAAAAGGGGAAAAAUAUAGUCGACGAGGAAUAGCUCGGAAUUCCUGGUUUGUAUUUCUAUAAUCCGAAUCUAAUUAUUAAUUGUUGUAUUUUAAUUAAAUGUUAUGGUAAGUGAUUGAGGUGAGAAUUAUUGUGUUUUACAAUUGAAAUGGAUUGUUUUGGUAUGUGAUGAAAUUAUAUUGGUUGAAUUGAAUUGGAAUAUAUAUAUUAUAAAUAUAUAUCUGUAAAUGUGAAAUUGUACAAAUAUGAUAAUUGAAUUAUUUUUUAUAUGUAUAAAAUUCAGUUUUAAUGCCCAAGUAGACGGAAUUUAGAACUACUAGGAUAUUAGUGGCAUGCCAUUAAGGAUCCUUAGCGUGCUCUCUGAUUAUUAGCACGUCAAUGCUCUCUGUUUAGCACAUCUGUGCUUUUUGUAUAACACUUUAGUGCUAUCUAUUUAUUAGUGCAUAAUAAUGUACCUCUGUAUUUGUUCCGUAUAUCUAGUGUGUUCUAUAAAAUCUACUCUGGGCUAAGAACAUGAGAUAGUAAAUUGAAAAUAGAAUGUGAAAUAUGUUGUAAAUACAUGGAAUACACGAGUUAUAUAUUCAUAAAUUGAAUAUGGAAUGGAUAGUGCCAUUGUUUAAAUGAUACGUGAAUAAAUUGUGGAAAUGUAUUAUAUAUAGCAAGUGGUGAAAAUUGAGUAUUGUGUGAUUUUAAAUGUUCAAUUGUGCUUAACAUUUUAUUAUACAUAUUUUAUUGUUUUAUUUUUUAAAAAAAUUCAGAUUAUAAAAAUACCACUGAGUUUUUACUCAGUGUACGGUUUUGUUUUCCGUACGCAGGUUAAGUACAUAAGUUUAAUCGCUGAUUCAACAUCCAACAACGAUCUCGAACUCAAAUAUGGUGAUGUUUAUUUUUUUGUGUCGGCAUGUAACUAGAGUGUCUAAAUAAUAGUUAUUUUGUGGUUUGAUUGUAAAUAAAGUUAUAAGAUUAAUUUUGAAGAGUUUAUAAUUUGGAUUAAAAUGAUGCUUUGAUGACUUGUUUCAAUGAUAUAAAAUGUUUGAGAUUUUUGUCUGCUUGAUCUGUAAACUCUGAUAAUGCUCCAUAACCUGGUAUAGGCAAGGGAUACGGGUUGGGGUGUUACAAUUACCCACUGGAUCAAUUGUCUUAUUUGAAAGUAAUUUCCAAAAAUAUCAUAUUAAUUUCAAUUAAUUUGAUUAGUUUAAUUUUACUUGAUCAAAAUUAAUUUUCCCAAAAAUCGCUUAUAUUUUCUAAAUUAAAUUUUCAAGAAGAUUCUUUAAUAAAAAUCUCUAGUCGAACACUUCUUAUGAUCGCCAGAUUUAAUUCCACAUCAAAUAAAUCGACUCAAUUAAAUUAUUUCCAAAGUCGGAGAAUUUACUUCUAAUUCAAAUGUAGUCCGUCUGAGCUUUUGUUGAGCUAGUGAAUGGACCAAUCAGACAUAUACAAUUAGGCUUUAGUAAUUGCAAUUAUGUCCAGAAGCAUCAUUUCGAUUAUUCACAAUUACUUAAUUAUGGAGUCAAUCUAUAAGAAGUACCAUGAUUGAAAACUCAUUAUUGUAUACUCUUUACGAAAGCAAUUCAUCCAAUUGAUUUGUUCAAUGACCUCGUCAUGUGUAUGUUACCAUCAUAUGAUAUCCUUGAUUCCUUUGAGUUAAGUCCAUUCACUCAAUAAAUCGUAUUUUAUCUCAUUAUCACCAUUGUGUCUUCUUAUUAAUUAAUAUGAUCACUGUCAACAAAUGGCUGUGAUAAAUUGCUCAUUCGAGAACAAGCAACUCUUGGCCACGUUCUAUAUUUAUCAAUCUACACAAUGCUAAUGAGAGGAUAUCGUUAACUCUUUCAUUGAGCUAUGAAUUCUACUGUUGCUAGUAAAUUCAUGUCAUACACAAGUCAUGUACCCAACAUACCAGCUAUUGGCCUGAUCAUUUUUAGAGCAUAAGCCUCCACUUAUAUCAAAGCACAUGAGUUAUAUACGCAUGGUCAGUAACUAACUUAGGAUUUAGGUAAAUCAUGCCAUGAAUGUCACAAGUGAAUUAAUUCACAAAUAGAUAGUCAGUAUCGCAUAUCAUUCAGAAUAUAGCAAGCCAUUUGUAUCGUAUAUCCCGAGAAGAAAGUAGGGAGUUGUGAAUAGCUUAAUAUUAAAUGAACCAUUUCAAGCAACAUUAUAUUCCUUCUCUCAGCUAUACCAUUAUUUUGUGGAGUGCUCAACCCAAUCAACUGCAAUAAAAUCUCAUUCUUUAUGUGGUAUUUGAAAAAAUCAUCAGAUAAGUAUUCCCCACCUCGAUCAGAUCAAAGAUUCUUUAUAGAUAAACCUACUUGCUUUUCCACUUCUGCAUGAAACUUUUAAAAUUUAUCAAAGGUUUUGCUUUUGCGGUGUAUCAGAUACACAUAUCCAUAUCGAGAAUAGUCAUCAAUGAAAGUUACAUAAUAACCGUAACUUCCUCGAGCAUUGAUGCUCAUAGAACCAUAUACAUCAGUGUGCACAAGUUCUAAAGAUUGGUUGGCCCUUAUACCUUUCACAUUAAAAGACCUCUUAGUCAUUUUACUUUCCAAACAAGAUUCACAUUGUGGAAGACUAACUUGCUUAAGCAUACUUAAGGGACCAUCUUUCACAAGUCUAGUGAUUCUUUCUUGGUUAAUAUGACCAAGUCUUAAGUGUCAUAGGUGCCCCUCAUUACAGUGAGAAGUUUUAAGCUUUUUGUUCAUUAUUUCAGUUUGAAGUAUCGGGUAGUUAUUUGGUUUGAUAAAGUAGUAAUUGUUUUUCAUCCAUUCAUUAUAGAUUAAAGAACGAUUUUUGUGAAUAACAAUCUCUUUAUUGAAUGUUACGGUAUAAUCGUCAUAAAAUAAAACAUGUUAUAAAAAUUAAAUUCCUCUUAAAAUGAGGUAAAUAAAAUACGUUCUUUAAAAUAAUCUUCCUAAAACUGUCAAAAUAUAAAAUAACUUUUCUCACAACUUCGGCUGAAACAUAGCUCCUAUCUUUUGUCCACAACGAGAGAUUUCUGUCACGCAGACUUCUCGUCUUGUUGAACCCUUGUAAAGAAACACACACAUUAUUAGUGGCUCCAGAAUCAAUAACCCAAUUUUCAAUUGUUUCUUCCACUAAUCAAGCUUCAACCAUAAAGAGUUCCAUACAUUUUCCCUUUUUGGCUAGGUAAUCUAAAUACUCAUUGCAGUUUGAUCUGAAAUGUUCAUUCCUAUUGUAGAAGAAACAUUUGAUCUUUUUAGGAUCUUUUGACUUCUUAGCCUUCUUCCUAUCCGCACGAGGUGCAACCAAAGACUUAGUUAGUUUCUUUUUUUCCUUAGCUUUCUACUUCCUCUUAAAGGACAAGGGACCCACAGCUAAGUUUGCCCUAGGUUUCUCCUGAAUUGGCUUACCACCAUUCAGCAUCAACUCAUAAGAUUGUAAUUUCUUCAUGAGCUGAGUCAAGGUAAGUGCCUUGUUCCCCAAUUUGUAAGCGACCCUAAAACCAACAAACUCAUUGGUUAAGGAUUUGAAUAUUAUUUCAAUCUAAGUGUUCACAUUUAGUUCAACCCUAUUUUCCCCUAUUUCUACAAAGAAUCCCAUAAGCUUAAGUAUAUGUUCUUUGACUGGAGUGUCGGGUUUCUGCUGAGAGUUCAUCAAAUUUUUAAUAGUGAAUUGUUAAGCCAAAGCGACUUGGUCUUCGAGCAAAUCCUCCAAAUUUUUCAUGAUCUCUUUGCAGUACAUAAAUUCUUGUUUUCUUUUGCGACACACUACUCAUGCUUGCUAACAUAUAACAUCGAAAAAUCGAGUCAAAGUCUCUCCAGCGACUUCUCACUUUGGGCUAAGCUUUAGGAGGACACGUUUUGUCAAGAACGAAUUUGUGUAUUUAACAUCUGAAAACUAUUAGCAAGUUCCGUUUCCAUUUUCGAAAGUUAUCUCCAUUCAAUUUAUUCUCAAUAAGAAUGCUAAUAAGAGGAGUAAGACACAUAUUUGAAUUGAAAAAUAAAGAUUCACUAAUUACUAUCUUUGUAUUAAGCAAAUAUUUUCAUUUCAGCAACAUAUCAAGAAUGCAGUAUGAUGCAUGUGUCUUGUAUUAAAACCUUGAAAAAAACAUUUUUCUAUUGCUACGAUCAUUCUCAAACCCAUCAACCAUGUCGCUUUGAGGUCCCAUGAUUAAUUAGUAAGAACAUGAACUCCACACGAAGCAACGACUGUUUAACGUUUGGUCAUCAUUUCUAGCUUAAAUAUCGUUUCUUGGAAAACUAUUUAAUAAGAGAAGAUCUUGAGUGUGCAACCAUUAACUCAACACCCAUCAUGAACACGCUUUCAUUUGUGAGUCAUCUUGGGACAAUCUCACUAAAAGUCAUGCAUGACUGGAUAUCCUUAAAAGGAAAUUUAUCUAGUGGACCCACAUGAUAAAGUUUACCUUGGGGUGCAGCCAGGGUAGGAAUCGGCUUGAAACUUUAUCAAGCUAUUAUUUAAGGAUCAUCAAUGGAGGUUGUAGGUAUUAUUCAAGGACAUUCACCCACUCAAUAUUUUAAAAUAACAUGCAAGGUUUCUUUUUAUCCCAUAUUUCAAGAAUGUUCAUACAAUAGUCCUAGUGGCAUUCUUACCUAAUCUAUAUGACAUGCUUCUAAUAUAUGCAUGGUAUGCUUUGACAAUUUCAUAAUAUGCAUAAGAAUCAAUCAAUCAUAAGAAGCAUGUACCAGGUAGGGUCCCAAGAAAAGGAGAUGAGUCAAAUUUGACCGCUUAAAUCCUAGCCAAAGUCAAUCUUAGACAUGUACCUUCUCAUUACCACACAUCUCACAAUAAUCGAAAAACCUAAAGAAGUGAAUAGAACAAUACAACACAUGUAUUUUCUCAAUACCACAUAUCUUAUUUUUUUAAUCGAUCAACUGUGGAUCAUCUCAUAUAUAUAUCACUAUUAUAAAAUUGCAUAAUAUAAAUAUUAUAAACAAUUAUAAAAUAUAUAUAAGGAGAUAAGUAAUUAAAAUAAAAUUGCCAACCAAGGUUUCCACGAUUCUAUUUUUAGAAAAUAAAUGAAAAAAAUAAAAUUACAUAGUUUUUCACCAUAAGGAAUUCCUUGGGUCUUCAACCGCCAUCACUCUAUCUUCUCCUCAUCAUGAACUUCUUUUGUAAAAAUUACAUUUAAGUCAAAUGUUCAUUUUCGGUUCAUAAUAAUUCUAUGAACUAAAAAAAAGUCAUACGUGGAGAUGAUAGUUCACUGUCUAUUUCCUAAGAACCACAACCUUGGCAAAAAAACAAUUAUAUAACAAAUAUAUAAUAUCACAUUCAUUCCCAUAUAUAACUCAAAACAUGUAUAAGAUUUAAAGAAUGCAACUUUCUAUGUAAUCAAAUCAUUCAAGAAGAAGAAAAAUUUAUUUUGAUUUUCUGUUUAUACUUAUAGAUAGAGCACAACCUAGCUUUGAUACAAAUUGUUGGAAAAUCACAUUUGAAAAACGUAUCAAAAAAUAAAUAUAGGGAAAACCCAAAGUUUUAAUUUUUUUUUCAAAACAAGAACUUGGUUGUGAUAUCUAAAGUAAUAAACACUUAAUCAAAAUUGUACCUUUUUUAUUUAUCUAGGAUGAACGCUUCAACCGAGUAGACUUCUCCGUUAUCCUUAAGCUCACGUCUACCGAGUGUGGGCUCGCUAUUAAUCUGAAAAUUUUUCACAAAAAUUACCAGUGGGGUAAUUUUACAAUUCCCCUAAAAUUUUGGGUCAAGAUGUAAAUAAGAAAAAUAUAUUUAGAAAAUUUUCUAAAAUAAAUUCUUUAGAGAAUUUUCUCUCUACAACUUUCUCUUGAAUUCAAAUGUGUGAAAAAUAAUGACCCAAGGCUCUCUUUAUUUUGGGAGAGUUUAGAGAGUUUAACUAUUAUUAAACUUAAUUAAUUUAAUACUAAAUUAAUAGAAUAUUUAUCUAAGAGAUAAAAUUAAAUUAAAUUUAAAUUUAAGAUAAUUCAUUUAAUAUUAAAUUAAUAAAAUGCUAUUAAGAUAAGUUUAAAUUUAAUUUAAUAUUAAAUCUAUUAAAAUAAUAUUAUUUUUUGGACCAGUUAAUCUGAAAUUAAAAUCUCUGGUAGAGUUUCAAUAGGAGUAUAAUUUUUUCACUGCUCAACCAUCGAAGACCCACCGCUGCCGAUCAUUUUUCGACCACCAAAAUACCGUCGUUGCAACCACUGGCACCUCGAGCUGGUUCAGUUUCUACUGGUUUAGUCUGGGCUAAUGAUGGCCCAACCGAUCUGGUCCAACCACCUGUUGGACUAUCGGCCCAGUUUCACAUACCAGACCCGGUUCGACCAAUUUUUGGGUCUUGGUCUCGGUUUUGGCUCUUAGGCCUAAUUUACGAUUUCAGGUCCAAUUUUCAAGAUCAAUUACCCACUGGGUCAAUUGUUUUACUUAAAAAUUAAUUUCCAAAAUUAUCAUAUUAAUUGUAAUUAAUUUGAUUGAUUUAAUUUGACUUGAUCAAAAUUAAUUUUCCCAAAAAUCACUUAGAUUCUCCAAAUUAAAUUUUCAAGAAUUUUUUUUAAUAAAAUUCUCUAGUUGAACACUUCUUACUACUGCCCAAUUUAAUUCUAUAUUGAAUAAAUUGACUCAAUUAAAUUAUUUCCAAAUUCAUAGAAUUUACUUCUAAUCAAAUGCAGUUCAAUUAAGCUUUUGUUGAGCCAGCGAAUGGACCAAUCAGACAUAUACAAUUAGGCUUUAGUAAUUGCAACUAUAUCCAGAAGUAUCAUCCCGAUAAUUCGCAAUUACUUAAUCAUGGAGUCAGUCCACAAGAAGUACUAUGAUUGAAAACUCAUUAUUGUAUACUCUUUAAUAAAGCAAUUCAUCCAACUGGUUUGUCUAGUGAUUGCAAUUAUGUCGAGAAGCAUCGUUCCGAUAAUUUGUAAUUACUUAAUCAUGGAAUCAGUCCACAAGAAGUACCAUGCUCCUUAUUGUAUACUCUUUACCAAAGCAAUUCAUCCAACUGCUUUGCCCAAUGACCUCUUCAUGUGUGUGUUACCCUCAUAUGAUAUCAUUGAUUCCUUUGAGUUAAAUACGUUCACUCAAUACAAUCAUAUUUUAUCCCAUUGUCACCAUCGUAUCUUCUUAAUGAUUAAUGUGAUCACUGUCAACAUAUGACUGUGUUAAAUUGCUCGUUUGAAAACAAGCAACCCGUGGUCACCUUCCAUAUUUAUAAAUCCACACAAUGUUAAUGAGACAGUUAACUCUUUAACUGAGCUAUGAAUUCCAUUUUUUCUAGUAAAUUUAUGCCAUACAUAAGUUAUGAGCCUAACAUAUCAGAUUUCGGCUCAAUCAUCUUUAGAGCAUAAACCUUCACUUAUAUCAAAGCACAUGAGUUACAUACGCAUGGUCCGUGACUAACUCAGAAUUUAGGUAAAUCAUAUCAUGAAUGUCACAAGUGAAUUAAUUUACAAAUGAAUUCAGAAUUAAUUUAUCCUGGGUUUAGUCCGAUGUAUCACUCUUCCAAUGAAUACAUUUAUGUCUGUAGCCAUGGAGUCAACUGCUCCGAUAGCCAAGGCUAGUCAUCUCCUCAAUUGGAAUUGUAAACGACAUAAUAAUCAUUCUCAAUAUUUGAAUCAAAUGCUCACUUUGAUUAUUUUACGGGAUUACAAACUCGUUUAGAUUAUCUACUAAAGUAAGUUGUCUUUCUCACAAUGUAAACAUUCUUACAAUGCCACUUAGCAUCAAUUUGAACUUAGACAAUCAAUGAGCUAAUAUUUGUUUGUCAUAAUUUCACUAUGCAUGCAAAAUAUAAAAGACAUAAAUACAAAAGAAAAAAUAGUGAGAUGUGAAAUUUAUUUAUUCAUCGUUAAAAUACAUAGAAAACAAUUACAUGUUUACUACAAUAUGGGUACAUUUACCAACAGCCUAAAAAUGUUCUUAGUGUAAUCAAAAAUGAGAAAACUAAUUGAAAGACUAAUAUGUCGUCUAUCAAGUUCAAUUGGGGAGAUGUAUUGUCUUGGGAUCGGAGAGGAUGACUCCCAAAAGAUAGAGACAUAAAUGAGACUGACUGGACUAAUAGUACAUCGGGUUGAACCCAAGAAGAAUAGAUUUUUAAUCUGUUUAUGGAUUUAUUCACUUGUGACGUUCAUAGUGUGACAUAACUUAAUCCUGAGUGAAUGACAGACUAUGUAUGCAUGAAUCAUAUUCUUUGAUGUAAGAAAAAGCUUGAGUUCAAAUAGAUAAAGAAUCGAAAGCUGGUGCGUUGGGUAUACGACUUCUGCAAUAUGGACCGUCAUUCGCAACAGUGGCUUUCAUAUCCCGAAAUAUGGGUAAAUGAUAUCCUCUUAUUGGCAUUACAUGGUAGAUGAAAACUAAACAUGGUCAUGAGUCGUUCAUCUUUGUGAUGAAUGACUUAAUUACUAUUUGAUAGUAAUUGACUUUUUUUGAAAGAAGAUGUAAUGGUUACCAUGAGAUAAAAUAAGAUCAUAUUGUGAGAGUGGAUUUAUCCCAAAAAGAUUAAGGAUAUCCUAUGAGGGUUACACACUUAUGACAAGGUCAUUGGAUGAGCAUUAGUCGAGUUGCUUUCGUAAUGGUAUGUCAUUAGGGAGAGCUCAGUCACAAUACUAUAGUCGGAUGACUUCGUGACUAAAUGAGUUUAUAAUUACUAGGUGAACAGCUAAAACUUAAUAAUAAAUCAUUUGAGCCCUAAUCACAUAUGUCUAACCAGUUCCUUUGCUAGCUCGUUGAAACUAGAAAUGAAUUGUAUAUUGAAUCAAAUAAACAAAAAUAUAUAGAAAUGACAAAAUUAGAGAAAUGAGAAACAUUUAGAAAUGAAAGUGGUUUUCUCUAAAUGGAAAUUACUUGAAAAUUAAUUUAUAGUUUUUUGAAUUUUUAAUUAAUUAAUUGAAGUUCAAAAAUAGAAUUACAUUAUUUGUUCAUUUGAAUUCAUUGAAUGUAGAAAUAUUAAAUAUAUUUUCCCAUAGAUUCUUUUAUGGUAAAGUUGUCAUGAUUUUAAUGGAAUUAGAAUCAAAUUGAGAAAAUUAUUUAAUUAGAAAGUUAAUUAAUUAAUUAAAAUUAAUUUAUAAUGUUUAUUUUGGGAAAUAGAAAAACAUGUAUUGAGUUAGAUUGAAUUAUAAAAUACUGGGUUAAAAGUCUAAGAAGUACUUAUAAUAGGACCCAAUGCGGGAGAGACCCAAAAGCUUCUCAUAUUGAUACAUGAGACGGUAAGCCCUAGUUUAUUUAACUAGGGUUGUCUCCUCUCUCUCUUCUAGUUAGACUAGAAUUUUGUUUUUCUAUUGAAAUACACUUAUACUAAAUCAACAAGGGUUUCAUUUCUUCUCCCUAUAAAUAGAUGGCCUCGGUUGGGCUAAAUAAACAACUUUGAGAUAUUGUUAUUCUGCCCGAAAAUAGUGAGAAUUUAUUUUCUAAGUAUAAAUUCUUUUUUCCGGAAUAACAAUUCUAUCGGUUUCUAUUAAAGAGAGAUUUGCUUUCCCACUAAAAGUAAGGUAAAUAAUUUUGGUUCUAUGUUUGAAUCGAAUUCGUUCGAGCCCAUACUUGAAGCAGUUCGUAAUACGAGAAUAGUGGAGAAGGUCGUUCAGUUGAAAGCCGGGAAUGAUAAUGAUUUGUCUAAUCGAAGCACAUGUGUAAUUUCGGUAAAGCGUUUAUUGAUAUAAAUAACAUAAAUUGGCUCAAUUUUCAAAAAAAAAUUAGUUUUCUACUGUGCAUGAAACUGUUUUCCAAUUGAUUUUUUUUCAACAAUUGGUAUCAAAGCUAGAUUAUGCUAUGUUUAUAGUAUAAAUUGGUAUCAAAAUUUUUCUUUCUUCUUCAUGUGUGAUUAAUUUUGAUAAAAUGUCAUGUUCUUGUAAUUUUAUGCAUGUUUAAGGGAAUGUAUGCGAAUGAAUGUAUGCUAUUAUUAAAUUUCCCAAAGUUGUGAUUCCUAGAAAAUUAAAUGUAAUUAUUAUUAAUUUUCGGGUAUUUAUAAAUUAGAUCGUGAGCUAUCAUCUCCACACAAGAUUUAUCUUAUUAUUUUAGAAUAAAUUAUGUGAGCUGGAAACGAAUAUAGGACCUAUGUAACCUAUAUUUUUCGACGAAACCCGAAAAAAUGAGACGCAUCCAAGCUGAUCAAGGCGACGUGAACUUGACCCAACCAAACUGGCACCUAGCCAAACCGGCGUAAACUGAUGGUGGUCCAGUAGCAAAAGGCUAUCGGUAGGCUAAUGGAGGUGACCGACGAUGAUUCAUCGAUGAGCUAAGGAGGUCUGGCGGCAAUUUAUUGGUGGCGAUGAUGAUGACACAGAAAUAGUGGCGAAAAAAUUGUGGUGACAGCGACCUAAACCAAUACCGCAGUGGAAGUUCGUGGUGGAAAAAUAGAAUACCCAAAGUAUGCUUUAGAGUGAGUAUUGUUAUUUUUAUUGCUAUUAUGAUUCGAAAACAAAAUAAACAAUUAUAAUCAAGUUAAACAUAUACUUUAAUAUGUAAUUCAAAUGUAAAUCUUAACAUGUCAACAUUUCUUGUCUCAUGCCUUAUUAUCAUGCUUUCAUGCUUAUUUAACAUAUCACAUGUAUUUACUUUGAAUUCAUCUAUGAUAACAUUUCAAUUACAUGGAUUUUUAAGCAUGUCAUUUACACAUUCAUCUAUCAUACUUUUAAUAUAUCAUCUCAAUCACAUGUAUCAUAUGACAUUUUAUAAUAACAUAUUCACUUUCUCAUUUUGUAAUCAAAUCCAUUGAUUUGUUUUAAAACCAUAUCGAUACCCUGGGCUUGUAAUAAUCGAAUUGCAUGAUCUUACACAUGCUAUCAUCAAUGCUAUAAUGUUCAUAUAUAAUUUCAAAAUCAACAUUCAAUACUCAGCAUCAUUAACCAAUUUACAUGUUUAUAAUCUCUAUUAACGGGACACAGAUUCAAGAUGGAUACACGGAUUAACCAACAAUCACACCAAUAACAGGCACUUAGUGUAUCAUCGGAAUGUCUGAAGUAAUCUGUUCUCCGCGCCUCAUCGAUAUAAACUAAAGUAAUCAUAUCAUCGGUAUGAGACCAAAAUAAAUCCCAGAUACAAAUAUUAUAGCAUGCCAACUAUACUUGACUUAAUUCGAAUGCAUUAAUAAGGUAUUUGAUAUUUCAAUGCAUAUAUGAAUCACAUGUUAUAAGUUAUUAAAUAGCUAUUCCAUCUCACACUCAAUUCAUUUGCAUAUAAAUACUUAUCAUUGCAUGACAUUAUCAUGCUUUCUCAUAUUACUUGUCACAUUCAUUUCAUAUGCAUAAUUUUGCCUCAAAUCUUCGAGACAUAUUAACAUAUAUAUACUUUCACAUUUAAUAUACAACCAAUAUGAUAAUUCACAUUAUUCACAUAUCAUUUACUAUUUGAAUUAAUUUUUUCACUUAUCAUUUAUCUCAUUAUACAUACAAUUACACAAACUUUCAACAAUUCAUCAUAUUGCAAAUACUUACCAAUCAUGAGGCAAGUAGUUUUUUUUACCUUAACUAAGUUAUUACUCAUCAAGCUAUAUAUAUUGGAUUCAAGGUCAUGAAAGCACAAACCAAAUUAGGCCUUGUGACAACCCGUUUUCAGUGGUGUCGAAAAUAGUGGUUCGAGACCACAAUUUCAAUAAGUGAAUCAAUAUUUUAUUAUUUAUUUAAUGUUUAUGAAUAAUUAUUAGAGGCAUACUAACAUUUGGUUAAGAAAUUUUAACGUUUAGAUAGUUAAUUAAUUAAAAAGGACUAAAUUAUAAAAGCUUCAAAAGUAAGUUUCUAUUAGUUAAAGGUUUCAAAUGACUAGGGAAAAAUAAAUAUGUGGACUUAAAUGGUAAAUAUACCAUUUGAUUUUAUAUUGGAUGAUUUUGGUGAUUAAAUGCAUGAAAUUUGAUUAAAUUUUAAAGGAUAAAUUGGUAAUUUAGUAAAUUAAUAACAUAAACUAAAACAAAAAAAAUAUGGUCAUCUUUUUACUUGAGAAAAAAUGAGAGUCAAAAACACCAUGGGAGGGCAUUGAAGGUUCGACCAAACAUCUUGCUUGCAUGCAUGUGUUUUUUAGGUCCAUUUUUAGUGAUUUUUACGUUUUCGAUAUUGUUUUAGCUUAAUUUAGUUAAUCUGGGGGUCAAUUUGUGAAAUUGCUAAAAGUUUAGUUAAUUACCAUGAAUGUUUUUGGUGUGUUUUUGAAUUGUGUUGAUUUAUUCAUGAACUUGAUAGUUAGAUAUAAGUAUUUUGUUAAGUGAUUUUUUGGUAAUUUUAAAAUCUAGGGACUUACUUGUGAAAAUAGUAAAAUUUCAUGGAACUAUUGUGAAAUAAUGAAAAUAUGGGCUGCAAUGGGUCCCUGGGAAAUUCAAAUAGCAUGAUUGGAGAGUAAAAGUGGUUAAAUUGCAAGUUUCGGGUUUAAGGACUAAGUUGCAUAAUGAUGAAAAUGUUGGGGGUUAUUUUGUAAAUAUUAUUGAAAGGGCUUAUUUGUAAUACCCCGAAAAUUACUAUAGUAAGAUAAUAUCUCUGAUAUAGUAAAAUAAAGAAAUAAAGUGAUAAAAAGGGUAAUUUUGAGUUAUGUCAACAUUAGGAAGUAUAUUAUGACAUAUUAAUUCAAGAAAGGAUUAAAUCGCAAAGUGAGAAAAACUUUGUUGCCCAAGAUUAAAUACCCAAAAUUUGAGGGAUUAAAGUGCAAAUAUGAAAAUUUUGAAGGAUCAAUAGUGUAAAUAUUUUAAGGGUGGAAUAAUCUAGAAACUAAGGAAAAUGGAUGAAUUAGGACCAAAUUAAAAAGGUGAAGAAUUUUGAGGGACUACAUUGCAAUUUUACCAAAUUAAGUGAUGACUCAAGGAUAAAAUUUCAAAAGAUUAUAAAGGGCAAAAUGGUCAAUUAGAGAGAGAGAAUUCUAGAAGGUAAUGAUGAUGUUGGUGAUAUUUUUAAUUAAUUAAUUAGAUAAAAGUUAUUUAAUUAGUAUUUUAUUAAGAUUUUUAGUAUUAUUUUAUUAUUAAAUGAUUAAUAUAAAAGGGAGGAAAGAUGAAGAGAAUUCAUCAUCUUUCCCAUGCACUAACGUGAGAAGAAGAAGAAAGAAAGAAAGUUUUCUUUUCUUUACAAUUUGGUCAUUUUUACCAAAAAUCCACCAUUUUUACCUAGAAAUCAAAAGAAUUUCCAUAGCUUCCAAGAGAGAAGAAUAAUAAGGAGACAAUGGGGAGCUAGAAUAUCAAGUUAGAUUCAAGAAAUAGAAGCUGGAGGAGAGAGAAAAUCAAGUUAAAUAUUGAAGUCAAUAGCAUAAGGUAAGAACAUUAAGAUUUCAAUAUAUUUUUGAGUUUGAUAUUAUUGAAAAAGUAGGAAAUUAAUGUUAAUGUAGAGUUUCCUUAUAUAAGGUUUUAUAUUCUUGUUAUGUUAGUAAAGGGAAAUAAGAGAAAGUAAUGGAAAAUAUUGAAGAAAAAGGAAAGGAAGGUGUUAUAAAUUUAGUUAUCAACAUUUUACAUUAAAACAGUUUUGAGACAGCAGCAGUAGUCUAACUUUGAAAACUCACCAAAAAUUGUAUAAAUUGAAUUAGAGGAUGAAUAAAAUAUUAAAUUAAAUCCUGUUGAGUCUAGUUUCUCAUUGAAGAAACAUUGUAAGCAAUAAAAUUGUGAAUCAUGAGAUAUAAUAGGUUUUGUGAGACAAGGUCAGAAUGAUUUUGGGUUCCCCUAUUCUGACUUUGGAAAAUCAUAAAAAAUUGGAGAAAAAUAAUUAUGGCCUUAAAUUUAUAUUUUUAGAAUCCUUAAUGAGUCUAUUUUCAAAAGAAACAAAUGAUAACAUCAUCCGAAUUUUUUACAAUGAGAUAAUUAAUUUUUAGUGAAGAGGGGCUGAACUGUCGAACAGUGAAACAGGGGAAACUUUAAAGAAUAAACUGUACUUAUUGGCUAAACCAAAAAUUCUUAAAAUUUUAUUUUGAGAAGAUAUGUGAAUCUAGUUUUGGGAAAAAUUAGCGGAUCUUAAUUUGGAGUUCUGUAGCUUAAGAUAAAAAUAAUUUAGUGACUAUGACUCGAAUGGACAGCUUUGAAUAAAUUUACAAGUAAAUAGUGAAAUCAUAGAUAAUGUUACUUAUAAGCAUGUUAUAUAAAUUAAGGAUGUGGAAUGGAGAGGAGGAGGAGGAAAAUAUAUAUUAGGGGUGAGCAUUCGAUCGAAUCGAAUCAAAAAUUUUUGAGUUAAUCGAGUUUUCGAAUCUCAUUUUAUCAUCCUAACUUUAUUUGAAGUUUUCUCGAAUCGAGUCGAGUGAGAUGGAAUUCGAAUCGAAUUGAAUCAAAUAUAUUUGUUCGAGUUAAAUUUUAAAAAAUAAUUUUGGGUCCUUGUAACCGUUGUCACCCAUCGUAAUAAAAUUUGUCCACUUUAAUCAAAUUUUUUAUUAACUUUCAUCACCUCAUAAUUUAUUUAUUAAUUUUUUAUAUACUGGUUAGCUUAUUUGUUUGCUUAGUUGUUUCAAUUAUCUUCAGAUUCUUGUCACUAUGUAUUUUGGAAUUAAAAAUUAUAUUAAAUAUAAAAAUAUGAUUUUUUAAUAAAAUUUAUUUUAAAAAUAAAAUGUGAAAUUGAUACCAAUAUAAAAUUUUAACACGAAUAUUUUAUGGCAUAAUUGAGAAUUCAAUUUUAAUAUAAAUAUUCAAUAUGACUAAACAAUUCAAUAAUAUAAAUAAUAUAAAAUGUGAAAUUUAAUUUAAUAAUAUAAAUAGUAUAUAUAAAUAAAAUUAUUACUAUUUAUGUUCAGUGAUUUUUUUGGAUAAUUUUGAUUUUUUAUUUGAGAGUAAAGGGUGAGAAGUAAAAGUUUAGGGGGAAAAUAAAAAGUUUUGGGGAAUAAAAGUUUGAGGGAAAGUAAAUAGGGGGAGUAAAAUUUUGGAGGGAAAAUAUUAAAAAAAAAUUGGAGGGGGGAGGGUUUGGGGUAAAUGGGAGGUGGGAUGGGAAGAGAACAAAAGUUUUAGGGGAAAAGUGGGAGGGAGUAAAAAUUUUGGGGGAAAAUAAAAUGUUUUGAGGGUUUUGGGGAGUAAAAUUUUGAGAAAAAGUAAAUGGAAUAGUAAAAUUUUGGUGGGAAAUGGAUUUUGGGUAGAUUGGGGGUUGGAAGGGGAGGGGAGGGGAGUAAAAUUUUUGGAGGGAAAGUGGGAAGGAAUAAAAGUUUUGAGGGAAAAGUAAAAAAGUUUGGGAGUUUAGAGUAAAAAUGUAAAAUAUUAUAGUUUGAUAUUCGAAUUAUUCGAAUUCGAAAACUCAACUUGUUUCGAACUCGAAAUUCGAAAAAAAAUUCGAGUUGAUUCGAAUAACUCGAUUAACUCGAAUAACUCGAUUCGUUUAACUCGAAAUUCAAAUUUGUUUUCGAUUUUUUCGAGUCGAAUUGAGUUUUGCUCACCCCUAUAUAUAUAUGAAUAUUCAGCUAGCAUGGAUAAUUUGCACGUUUUAGGCUCAGGGGCUAAAUUAAAUAAAAGUAAAACUUUAUGGGUAAUUUUGUAAAAAUGUCAAAAAUGACCAAAUUGCAUUAAACGGAUUGUUUAUUUAUUUAAAUUACAGGAAUUUAUUUUUCUAAGCCUAAGGAUUAAAAAUUGUCAUUAAUUAAAAGCAUAGGGGCAAAAUGGUAAUCUUGCCUAGAGCAUUAAUUGAAUGUAUCAGAAUAUGAAAUGAAUGAAAAUGAUGAUCAAAUUUAUUUACAAAGAUCCAAAUAACUCAAUAUGAGACUUGAACGUGGAAAAGAAAAGACAUCGGAUUAGUGAAAUUGUAAACAUGAACAAGUAACGAGGUAAGUUCGUGUAACUUGAAUUAUAUUCUUAAAUGCAUGAAAUGUUUGUUAUUGAUGUGAAUAUGAUUUGAAUGUUCAUUGUAUGAAAAUUGAUGAAACAUUGAUAUAUUUGAUAAAAAGAGGAAGAAAUCCCGGUUGAAUGAAAGGAAAAUUCGAUGGAUCUCUGAAAAGGAAUUGACGGUAAAAAGGAUCUAGCCCGGACGGGUGAUCCUAUCCUGAUAUAGCCCUCCCGAAGAAUAAGUGUGAAAAAGAUCUAGCCCGGACGGGUGAUCUUGAUAUAGCCCUCCCAAAGAAUAUGUAUGAAAAAGAUCUAGCCCGAACGGGUGAUCUUGAUAUAGCCCUCCCGAAGAAUAUGUGGAAAAUGGAUUUAGCCCGGACGGGUAAUCCAAAUUAGGGUCUGAAUUUAGCCUGGACUGGUAAUUCAGAUCCAAGCUCAUUAGAGUAAUUGUCGUUGUAGGGGAUUUAGCCUGGACUAGUAAUCCCGACAAUACUCUAUGAGUUUAUAUUACAGGGGAUUUAGCCUGAACUAGUAAUCCCGCUGUAAGAAAUGAGGUUCGCGGGAGUGUGCUCUCUUGCAGGGGAUUUAGCCUGGACUAGUAAUCCCACUGUAAGAAAUGAGGUUUGCGGGAGUGUGCUCUCUGAAUUGGAAAAUGUGCGCACAUGAAUAUGAAUUGACGGACCCGAAUUUGUACACUAAAGUGUACCCCUGAAAAUCAAUCGAAAUUUCUAGAAAUUCAACGGGAUAAAAAUAGAAAAUGAUAAGUACUUAAAAUCAUGAAAUUAAACUUGAAAUACAUAGAAAUGAUAAUUAUUUGAUAUACUGAAAUAUGACAUGGAAAAUACAUGUAUGUGAAACUAGCCUGAUAAUUAUGCAUAUUCAAGAUUAUGAACUGCUAUUGGAAUAAAUAUACAUUGAACUUAUAGAAAAUUAUGGUACAUGAAAUAUUGUCAUAAUGAAUUGAAUGAUUUAUAUUUAAGAAGAAACAACAAGAAAAUGAUAUGUGUCAUGACAUGUAAAUAUGAGACUAUCUUUGAUACGUUGAUACAAGGAAAAUUAUAUGUAUUAAGACGAGUAAUAAAUUUAAGUAAGACAUGGCGAGAAAAUAAGUUUGUCAAUAUUAAAGUACGCUAACCAAUGUCGUUUCUUGAAGUUUAGGCAAGUGCCAAAUUACUGUCGAAUGGUAAUAUGUUUAAUUAUAAGGUGCAUUGGAAUGGUAAGUGUUUAGAUGAAAAUAUAAUUGAGCUUAUGAAAGAGUGGAAAGUUUUCAGUUAUGCAAUUUCUUAUGAAAAGAUUUUUUAUGUGAUACGCCCGUAUGAAUCCUGCACCUAAUUCGGAAAUAAAAAAAAUUAAAAUCUAUAUAUAUUUAGGAUUCUGUGAAAAAUUGCCUAUGAUUCUGAUUUAAUCCCAAUAGGUUCCUAAUGAACGUUUUGAGCUUCGAGGGCCCAAUAGAGGGACGUUACGAUUAUUUUUAGAAUAAGAAUAAUAAAUGACUUAAAAUUAUUAAAAAUGUUCAGUAAACUCCGGUUAUGCCUCAUACCCUAUUCUGACAACGGAUACGAGUAGGGGGUGUUACAUUAUUAGCUUAAGAAUAAUUAAUUGAGAUGUUUGAAUGUAUUAAUCGAGUGGAAAUUUUCAUUUAGAUCAAGAAACAACUCAAUAAAACGUUAAUCGAGGAAAAGCUAAAGUAACAAAAUAAACGGUAGUUUUGUGUUCGUGAUUGUAUCUAUCUAGGUAAGUUCGUAUUUCAACUAAAGUAAUUCAUUUGAUUGCUUGAUGUAAAUUUGUGCUUAUAUACAUGUUUAUAAAUUGGUGAUUGGAUUCAUUGAUUGGAGAAACGAGAAAUACCAUGAUUGAAAGAUAUCUUGACAUUAUACUCGAAAUGAAAAAGACCAUAGUUGAAAGAUACUAUGGCAUUAAACCGGAACGGGUAAGACCCUAGUUGAAAGAUACUACGGCAUUAUACCGAAAAAUGAAUAAGACCAUAUGAUACGAGCCAAGGAGGUGACACUCAAAGGGUUGUUUUUCCUAGUGGUCCAAUCACUCAAAGCAGGGCACGACAAUUAAAAUAAAAAAUGAAUGCUUUUGCCCAAGACUUUGUUGCUACAAAUUUAAUUCAUCAUGUUCGUGACGUUGACAAAUACGGGAAUGUAAUUCACUGGACCAAUCUUGGAAUAGUGAAAGCCCAUAAAUUGGUGGAUUAAUCUUUUAUGUAUCUUAUUAUUAUUUACUUAAUUCUCAUUGGUUGGGACACAUCACUUAUGAGUUUUAAGUAAUUUUAUUGGUUAGGUUAUUAUUUAUUUAUUUUCUUAGAUAAUUUUAAAGAGUUUUAUUAGGGUUCAAUUACUCUUGUAUUUUGCCUAUAAAUAGGCUUGUUUUCUACACAUUGAGGGGGAGUGUGGAAUAAAAAUAGAGUAUUUGUUUUCUUCCAAAUUUGUGUGAGGCAAAUUUUUGAGAGUAGAAUGAUUCUUCUCUUGUUAUUUAGUUUGGAGUUUGUUACUUUCGAGGGUAUUUCGGAGUUACAAAUAUUCAAAUUUCUUUCCCGUUCAUCGGUGUUUCUAGAGGUUCUUUUUCUAGGGGUUUCGUAGGGAGCCGCUCAAUCAUUGGCGUUUUUGGUUGCAAGUUAACCAAGGGUUCCAUAGGGCAAACCUAUCCUUUUUUUCUUUUCAUUAUUAUUAUUUAACUAAUUUUAAUUAUUCUCGUUUUAUUUCUAAUUUGUGUUUCUCUUGUGUCUAGACUCGGGUUCUUUUGGCACCUCCAUUAUUUGAUCUUGUUUAGUAACCCUCUCCAAACAUAUUUACAAGUUUUGAAUCAUUCAGAGAGUUAUUCUUUUGAGAGCUAACGAGUGAGGUUAUUAUUAUUAUUUCUUUCUUGUUCCUGUUUGUUUGAUCUUUUACAGAUACCAUGCCGCUCACUAGAUCCCAAACUAGUAAAAAUGAAAAGGAUGAGCAAAAAAGAGAGAACGAUCCUUUGGUCGAGUUGUUACAAAAAGAGAUGAAAAAGUUGCAAACUCAAUUCGAACAUCGCAUGACUCAGAUGUUACAAGAGCAAAGGGAGUAUCUUGAUACAAAACUUACAACUCAAGAGAGAUACAUUGCCGAUAAUUACAAGAAGUUGAACGAAGCCUUUAUAAGCCGAUCAAAUUCGCGAGAUCGAACUUUUAAAUGAAGGGAGGACCAUGUUUUUGAUGAUGACUUUGAGUCCAAGUAUGUACCUAGAGAAAGGUUUGAACGAAACAAUGACACCCCCAAACCAAAAUUUCUUUCUUUCUCAGGGAAGAAUGAUCCUGAUGCUUACCUUGAUUGGGAGGAAAAGAUGGAAGCAGUCUUUGCUUGUUACAAUUACUCUGAUGAGAAAAAGGUAACAUACGUUGUUGCUGAGUUCAUUGAUUAUGCACUAACAUGGUGGAAUCAAUUAUGUAAAAGCAGGAUUCUUUAUAGAGAGCAACCUGUUACUACUUGGGUUGAAAUGAAGCGCAUCUUGCGAAAACGGUUUGUUCCACCAUACUAUUAUCGAGAACUCCAUCAAAGACUCCUACAUCUUGUUCAAGGAGAUAGAUCUAUGGAUGACUACUACAAAGAGAUGGAGACUAUUCAGAUUAGAGCCAAUCUUGUUGAAGAGGCUGAGGUGACUAUGGCUAGAUUCCUUGUUGGCCUAAAGCCUGAGAUUGCAAAUCGAGUUGAGUUACAACACUAUAUGGAUGUUGAAGAGAUGCUUCAAACCGCACUCACCAUUGAAAAGCAAUUACAAAAGAAAGGGACACCGAGGGGUGCUAGUUUAGUUUCUAAUCCUGCUUGGAGAGGAAAUUGGCAAAAACAAGAUGAUAGAUUGUGGAAUGGGAGAGAUGCACGGUUUAAGCCAAAUGAGCCUAGAACUUACUCCAAAGAUAGAGGUAUGCCUAAUUCAUUUAAAGGUUCUACUUCUACUAAUCGAGCUUCAUCUUUUUCUUCUACUUCUCCUAGUGCCAUUAAGCAGCCAAAAGAUAUUACCUGCUUCAAAUGCCAAGGAAGAGGUCAAUAUGCUCGAGAAUGCCCUAAUAAAAAGUCAUUGGUGAUUCGAAAAGAUGGCGAGGUUGAUUUUGAGUCUGACAACGAAGAUGAGAUGCCUCCUUUGGAAGAUGCUGAUGAUGUGCAUACUCAUGAUGAGUAUGAAGAAUACUUGGAGUAUAGUGAGAAAGCACUUGUUGCUCAAAGGGCUUUAAAUGUCCAGUUUAAAGAGGAAGGGCGCGAACAAAGAGAUAACAUUUUCCACACGAGAUGUUUGAUUGGUGGACAACCUAGUUCAUUGAUCAUCGAUAGUGGAAGUUGCACCAAUGUGGUGAGUUCUUCCCUUGUUGAGAAACUUGGCCUACCUUGUGUGAAGCAUCCAAGGCCAUACCGCUUGCAAUGGCUGAAUGAUAGUGGGGAGGUAAAAGUAUCUAAACAAUGCUUAGUUUCAUUUUCCAUUGGUAGAUACUCUGAUAAAGUUUUGUGUGAUGUUGUUCUAAUGCAAGCUGGGCACAUAUUUCUUGGACGGCCAUGGCAGUUUGAUCGACGAGUAAAUCAUGAUGGUUUCCUUAACCAAUAUACCUUUGUGUUCCUUGGAAAGAAGUUUACUUUGGCUCUACUUUCUCCUCAAGAAGUCUACAAUGAUCAACUCAAACUUGCUAGUGAGAUGAGUAAGGGAAGUGAAGUAAAAUCAUUGAAAAAGGCUGAGAGUAAAGAUGCCCUUAGUGUUAAAAGCCAACUUAAAAUCCCAACAUUGGUGAGUGAUUGCACACACAAGUCACGAGAUGAGAGAGUGAGUUUAUUCGCUAGGUUUUGAGAUAUCAAAUUUGCUCUUUGUACAAAACAAACAUUUCUAAUUAUUAGGUUUAGGGAAAACUUUGUCUUGACUAACCCUAAUACACAUUUGCCUAGUUGUUUUGUUGAUCUUUUGUAGGAUUUUGAAGAUGUAUUUCCUUCUGAAAUGCCUAAGGGAUUACCUCCUUUACGAGGGAUUGAACAUCAAACUGACUUUGUGCCUGGUUCGAAUAUUCUGAAUAGACCAGUCUAUCGAAGCAAUCCUGAAGAAACUAAGGAGUUGCAAAGGUAAGUUAAAGAUCUCUUAGAGAAAGGGUUGAUUCGUGAGAGUCUAAGCCCUUGUGCGGUCCCUAUACUUCUCGUCCCAAAAAAAUAUGGUUCUUGGAGAAUGUGUGUUGAUUGUCGUGCUGUCAACAAUAUUACGGUAAAGUAUCGACAUCCAAUUCCUCGAUUAGAUGAUAUGUUGGAUGAGCUUAAUGGUGCAUGCAUUUUCUCUAAAAUUGACUUAAAAAGUGGUUACCAUUAAAUAAGAAUGAAACAAGGUGAUGAAUGGAAAACAGCUUUUAAGACUAAGUAUGGCCUGUAUGAGUGGUUAGUCAUGUCAUUUGGUUUAACUAAUGCUCCUAGCACAUUCAUAAGAUUAAUGAACCACAUACUUAGACAUUUUUUAGGAAAAUUUGUCGUUGUGUAUUUUGAUGACAUACUGAUUUAUAGCAAAACUUUGAAUGAUCAUGUUGGGCAUGUUAAAUUAGUAUUGGAUGUGUUAAGGCAUGAACGACUCUUUGCUAAUCUUGGAAAAUGCACCUUUUGUAUGGAUAAGCUUGUUUUUUUGGGUUUUGUGAUAAGUUCUACAAGAAUCUAUAUGGAUGAGGAGAAGGUAAAGGCAAUUAAAGAAUGGUCUAUCCCUAAAACUGUUUCUGAGGUAAGGUCUUUCCUUAGGUUAGUCGGUUUCUACCGCAGGUUUGUUCGUAACUUUUCCACAAUUGCUUCGUCUUUGACUGCACUUAUUAAAAAGGAUGUAUCUUUUCAUUGGACAGAUAAGGAUGAAUUAGCAUUUAAUGAACUUAAAGAUAAAUUGUGUAAUGCUCCUAUUCUUGUUUUACCUAAUUUUGAAAAGACCUUUGAGAUUGAAUGUGAUGCUUCUGGUAUAGGUAUAGGUGCCGUCCUCAUGCAAGAUAGUAAACCACUAGCCUACUUUAGUGAGAAACUUGGUGGAGCACAUUUGAACUAUUCGACCUAUGAUAAAGAGUUGUAUGCCUUGGUAAGGGCAUUAGAAGUUUGGCAACAUUACCUUUUGCCAAAGGAGUUUGUGAUUCACACUGACCAUCAAUCACUUAGGUACUUAAAGGGACAAGGUAAGUUGAACAAGCGACAUGCGAGGUGGGUUGAAUUCAUUGAAUCUUUUCCUUAUGUUAUAAAGUAUAAGAAAGGUAAAGAUAAUAUUGUGGCGGAUGCUCUAUUAAGGAGGUACACUUUACUUAGUACUUUGCAUACUAAGUUAUUAGGUUUUGAGUAUCUCAAAGAUUUAUAUGCCACUGAUUCUGAUUUUGCAAGCAUUUAUGACUCAUGUGAACAUGGUGCAUUUCACAAAUUUUAUAAGCACGAUGGCUAUCUUUUUCGAAAUAAUAGACUAUGCUUACCAAAGUGUUCAAUGCGAGAAUUGUUGGUUCGAGAGGCUCAUAGUGGUAGUCUUAUGGGUCAUUUUGGAGUCACUAAGACUUAUGAUGUUUUACAUGAGCAUUUUUAUUGGCCUAACAUGCGAAAACUUGUUGAGAAAAAUUUCUCUACUUGCAUUACUUGUAAACAAGCUAAAUCCACUGUGAUGCCUCAUGGUCUAUAUACUCCUCUUCCUGUUCCUAGUUCACCUUGGACUGACAUUUCAAUGGAUUUUGUAAUAGGUUUACCAAGGACAAAGCGUGGACGAGAUAACAUCUUUGUGGUUGUGGAUCAAUUUUCUAAAAUGGCUCAUUUCAUUCCAUGCCAUAAGACUGAUGAUGCAACCCAUGUUGCCGAUCUAUUUUUCCGUGAAGUUUUGAGAUUACAUGGAAUCUCAAGGACUAUCGUUUCCGAUAGAGAUGCAAAAUUUCUUAGUCACUUUUGGAAGGUGUUAUGGGGUAAGUGAGGUACUAAACUACUUUACUCUACUACAUGCCAUCCUCAAACUGAUGGUCAAACCGAGGUGGUAAAUCGAGUUUUGGGAUCUUUGCUUAGAGCCAUAAUAGGUAAGAAUGUUAAAUCUUGGGAAGAAUGGAUACCCUAUGUUGAGUUUGCUUAUAACCAUUCUGUUCAUUCUUCCACAGGUUUUACUCCUUUUGAGAUUGUAUAUGGCUUUAAUCCACUUACUGUUUUAGAUUUGCUUCCUUUACCUUUGAAUGAGAUUGCUAAUUUAGAUGGUGAAAGGAAAGCUGAUUUAGUGAAAGAGAUCCAUGAGAAGGCUCGUAAAGCCAUUGAGAAAAAGAAUGAGUCCAAUGCACAUCGAGCUAAUAAAGGACGAAAGCAAGUCUUGUUUGAACCUGGAGAUUGGGUAUGGGUGCAUAUGAGGAAGGAACGAUUUCCUUCUAAGAGAAAUAAUAAACUUGAUGCACGAGGAGAUGGACCAUUCCAAGUACUCGAGAAAAUAAAUGACAAUGCUUAUCGCAUUGAUCUUCCUGGUGAGUAUGGUGUUAAUGCUACUUUCAAUGUUUCUAAUCUUUCUCCUUUUGAAUUUGAUGUAGGUUCAGAUUCGAUAACGAAUCUUCUUGAAGAGGGGGAGAAUGAUACAAGCCAAGGAGGUGACACUCAAGGGGUUGUUUUUCCUAGUGGUCCAAUCACUCGAAGCAAGGCACGACAAUUAAAAUCAAAGAUGAAUGCUUUUGUCCAAGACUUUGUUGCUACAAAUUUAAUUCAUCAUGUUCGUGACGUUGACAAAUAUGAGAAUGUAAUUCACUGGACCAAUCUUGGAAUAGUGAAAGCCCAUAAAUUGGUGGAUUAAUCUUUUAUGUAUCUUAUUAUUAUUUACUUAAUUCUCAUUGGUUGGGACACAUCACUUAUGAGUUUUAAGUAAUUUUAUUGGUUAGGUUAUUAUUUAUUUAUUUUCUUAGAUAAUUUUAAAGAGUUUUAUUAGGGUUCAAUUACUCUUGUAUUUUGCCUAUAAAUAGGCUUGUUUUCUACACAUUGAGGGGGAGUGUGGAAUAAAAAUAGAGUAUUUGUUUUCUUCCAAAUUUGUGUGAGGCAAAUUUUUGAGAGUAGAGUGAUUCUUCUCUUGCUAUUUAGUUUGGAGUUUGUUACUUUCGAGGGUAUUUCGGAGUUACAAAUAUUCAAAUUUCUUUCCCGUUUAUCGGUGUUUCUAGAGGUUCUUCUUCUAGGGGUUUCGUAGGGAGCCGCUCAAUCAUUGGCGUUUUUGGUUGCAAGUUAACCAAGGGUUCCAUAGGGCAAACCUAUCUUUUUUUUCUUUUCAUUAUUAUUAUUUAACUAAUUUUAAUUAUUCUCUUUUUAUUUCUAAUUUGUGUUUCUCUUGUGUCUAGACUCGGGUUUCCGCAUCACCAUAGUUGAAAGAAACUAUGGCAUUAAGUGUGAUUGAAUCAAGACCAUAGUUGAAAGAUACUAUGGCACCACUCCGGGAUUGUGUAAGACCUUGGUUGAAAGAUACCAUGACUUCCUCUAAACAAUGAAAUUAUCAAAAAGGAUAUCAAUUGAAUGGUUAUUAUAUUAAUUUUCUAAGGUUUGUCAUGUAAAUAAGAAUUUAUGAGUUACAUAAGUGAGAUUUGAGAUAAUGUAUGUUUUAUGUAAAGUAAUUUUACUAGGUAAGUUAUGUUUACAUAUAUUCGAACUUACUAAGCAUAUCGUGCUCAUGUUAUCGUGUUUUUCUUGUAGAUUAUGAAAAGCUUAGUUGGUCGGGAGUUCAAGUUAGAGCAUACACGCUAUCCAUCUCUCAUAUUGGUAGAUGUUUUGAGUUAUUUUGAAAGUUGGUUUUGAAUGGCAUGUAUUAGGAUCUUUUGGUUUUUUGUUCAUGUUGUUAUGUUUAGUAUUUGAAAUGGUGCUACUUUGUAGUCAUGUAUAUAUGUUUGGUAUUUUGGUUUAAUGAUAUUGUAAUAAAUGCUUUUGGUCUUUGGUGAAUGCUUUAUGAUUAUAUAUAAAAGUUGUUUAAAGGAUGUGAAGAAAUGGACUAUUUGAGUAGUGUUAAGUACAUAUUUUAGAUAUUACCUUGGGAUGAAAUUGUGUGAUUGUUGGAAGUAGUCAUGAAUGGUUUGAAUUAAUGGUAAAUUAGGUAUGUGAUUAUCCUUGUUCAAUGUGAAUUUGAAUGCAAGAUAGCUUGGUGUGUGAUAGGUGUUUGAUUUGGUUUAUUUUGGCAAAUAAAUUGUGGUGUCAAUGAGGGCACAUUGGUUAGACACCUAGGUUGAUUGAUUUUGGCAUGUUUUAGGUGUGUUUGAUUAAGUUUUAAUGUGUAAAUGUGUUUGGAAAUGGUAUGUCUUAAUGUGUAAGAAAAGGGCUAUUGAAUUGGUUUACAUCGGGGGUUAUUUUGGCAGCACACGACCUGGGACAUUGGUUGUCACACGGUCAUACCACACGACCAUGUGUCAUUUAAAUUUUAAGUGCAGGAUGAACCACAUGGUCACAAAGAGUUACAUUGCUUGGUGACACAGUUGUGCGACCCCAUUUCUAAUACUCACACGGGCGGAUUCACGGUCAGCGACAUGGCCGUGUGUCUCAUAGUUCAAAUGUUACAUAGUUGGCCAUACAACCAUGUUUUGAGUCACACGGCCUGGGCUUUGUUACACGACCAUGUGACCCCUAUUUUCAAAAUUUUCUAAUUUUUUUAAAAUUUUCUCUUUUGUUUCAAAUUAGCCCCUGAAUGUUCCUAAACUAUUUUUAAGGCCUCGUAGACUCAAUUUAAGGCCCGUAAGUGCACUUAUACUAUAAAUGAAGUGUGUAUUUCAAUAUUGGUUUGUAAAUUGAAUAAUUGUUUUUGUUUGAAGUUAAAUGUUUUGAAUUGUACUAUAAUACUCUGUAACCCUAAUUCGAUGACAGAGACGAGUUACAGGUGUUACAGGGCUACUCAUUUAUGGCCUUCGCUUUGCUUAAUCCCAUGACAUCUCAACCUCACCUUUAAUUACUUAAUUUGUUGACCGAAUGUUAAAAGGAGAAAAACCUAAAAUUUCAAUUUUUCUCCUAGCAUGGACGACACAAAGGAAGAAGAAAAUGAUACAGUUUUAUCUCUCUCAUCACUUAUUAUAUAUACUUGGAUUAAUGAACUAAUUAAACUUAAUUAGAAAACAAAUCUUAUUUAAUUAACUAAAUAAAUAACACUAAUCAUCAUUUAAUAUACUUAGUGGAAACGGAUGAAGUAAAUUGUUGUCAUCCACUAACACACGAAUAAUAAUCAUUAGGUCCUUUGCAUAAAUUUUAAUUAAGCCCUCAAGUAAUUUUUUAAAUUAAAACAUAAUAGCGAUCGUACAUUUACAAUUUAAUCUUUAUCCAAUAAUUAAUGGUUUUCUCGACUUAAUUACUUGACCGUUCAACAAGGUGUAUUUUUUUUGGUGACAACUGUUCAACAAUAUAUUUUCAUACUAAAUAUGUAGAUCCUUCUAUUCAUUAAGCCAUCAACUCAAUUUAUAAAAUUCGAUUUCAAAACUGUAUUUUUUGACAUUAGCUAAAAUCAAGUUAUUGCAAAAAAAUAGAGGAUAUCGAAGAAAGCGUAAGAGAGUUUUUAGAGAGAGAGAAAAGAAAUAAUAUGAAAGAAAAAUGUGUUGAAAGGAGAGAAGGAACAAGUAUCUUUUUUAUUUUUUGGCAAGAGAGUUGUUUUGAUUGGUUAAAAGUGUUUUUUUAAUGAAAGUAUAAAUUGAAUAAAAAAUAUAACGGAAUAAUAGUUUAAAUAUAUUUUAACAAAAAAAUUUAAGUACCUAAAUAAGAAAAAAAUCAUAGUAUAGGAAUAAAUUUUUCAUUUAAGUUUUUGUUUUUAAAAAUCCAAACACGUCAUAAGGCUUAACUCUAUAUUUGGAUAAAUAAUUAUAAAAUAAAUAAAGGAAUAUUUAUUAUCAUUGUUUGGUUAAAUCAUGAAAAAUUAAUAAAAUGAUUGAUUAUAAUGAUUCUGUUUUUCAAUUAUACCCUUUUGUAUAUAAAAUUGGUCAGCUACAAACAUUUUACUAGUGUCACGGGGCUAGACCUUUUGUCUUGCAAACCGUGCGGCCUUAGGCGAUCCGUUUGCUCCAAACUCGCCUAAGUCAGCCUUUACGUCCAAAAGUGAGGAUUCCUUAGAACUCCUCUAAGGCACCAAUUUGUAUAGUAGAAGCGAUUGUGCCAAAAUAAGCUACAAAAGAACAACAGAAAGCCAAAGAAAAAAUGCACACAAAGUGUUUGAGUAAAUGCUCAAGAAUUCUAUUACUCUUAAGAAUUUAAGUUACAAUGGAUGGAUACAAAUGAGGGGGAGGCUCUCUAUUUAUAGUUGAGCUCCCCCUAAACCGACGGUCAAGAUACAUUUACAUCGACGGACGAGAUUCACUAUAUCCCUUGAUUUUAGGGAUUUACAAGAUUUGCCAUAUCAAAUCUAAUCUAAUCUUUACAAGAUAUGAUUCUCUCUAUCUUCUAAGAUUAGUUACUAAAAUUAGCCUAAGUUGCCAUGUCUUCAUCAUCGGGCCAACCAGGCUUCAAUCUGACAGGCUUGUCCAAUAGCUCUUUGAAUCGGGUCAGGUCUCAUGGGCUAAAUGUUCCCCAUCUAAUCGAUAGACCUCCAUGGGGCGCUUCUUGUGGCAUGGUCACAGGCUUUGCACUUUGGCCCGUGACACUAGUAAAUGGUGAGAGAGCUCUUUUCUUAUUCUUCUUCAAUUUUCUCUAUCAGAUACGUAAUCGGAGCCUCCACCUGUCUAGGAAGCACCUCGUUGUGACAUCUGCAAAUGCAGCUUCAACACUUUCAGGCAUUGGGUAUUUUCUUUCUUUUCUCAAAUCUUUUACUUCUAAAAAAAAAUUCAUUUUCUAUAUGAAUUAAAUUUACCGAUUGUUUUUAUUUUACUCUCGGAAGGAAAGCAUUUUGGGAUUUAGUUUUUGAGUUCUCACUUCUCAAAAAUGAGCGUUUUGACCAAGUAGAGCUGUAACAGAGCCAUGAAUCCUUGGGUUCUUCAUCUCCAAAAACUGGGUCUCAAGCUUAAGUGUCCUCCCUGUUUGAACUUGUUUAAGCGGCCACUGUUGCUCCCUUGCAACAGUGGAAUCUAUAGAAAUUUGGAUUCUGCAAACAAUCUCAUUCCAUUGAAGAUGGGGUAGGCAAAAAAGAAAAUUUUGAUAAGUGCAACAUUCAAAGACGUGCUACAGAUGACGGAUAAGAUGGGGUUGAUUUGCUAUGAUCAGUUUGAACAGGAGAUGCAUGUCCACAACUUGUGUAUUGAAUGGGCACCUGGAACUAUGCUGACUUUCUUUUGUCAACUAACUAAGAAUGACAAUAGUUGAUUCUUUUUAGCUAGAAAAUGAUCAGUAACUUAUUAAGCUAAAUGCCUUUUAGAAGCUACAACUUGCUUUAGGGUGGAAUUGGAUGGGUUGUACGUUUACAUGUGAUUAAUGUAAAAAUAAUGGUGGCGAUGUGAUUAAAUACUGUAACGAUAUUAUAGCGUGAGAUAAAAAGUAAGCUAAACUCACUGCACUGCACCGCACCACACCCCACCGUCCAUCCAAAUCCACCUUAAACUCCUUUCUCUGUAUUGGAAUAGUCAUAAGAGCUCUUUUGAGUUAGGCUGCAUUGUUGGAGAAUUUGAUUGAAAUGUAAAUGUUCUGCGUUUGGCAAGCCUGGGAAAUAUUAUUUCUAUUUUCAAUAAAGAAACAUGAGGUUUUCCAUUCUUUUAAUUGCUGAUUCAGAGUUCUUUUGAAUGUAAAUGGAGUUUUUUUAUGAUGUAAAUUGGUGCUUUCCGAGUAUUGAUAACCCAAUUUGUGGCUAAUUUGAAAGAUUGAAUUGGGUGCAUUGAUGUUGUGAGUAUAUAAGUUCAGAUACAUGAUUUUGAUUUAAAGCGUUUUCUUAAUAAUGUUUGUUUCAUUAAAUAGUUUUUGAAAAAUUAUCAAAUAAUAAAAAAAACACUUUACUCAAAAUCAUUCAAAUAUCGAAAAAUAUUAUUCAGUGUUUGAAAUUGAACUUUGAGACAUUUUGGAUAGGUUGACCAUUUUAAAGGAACAAAUAUAUGAAAGAAUUAAAACCAUUGGAUAUAGGCAAUCGAUGGUUACGAAUUCAACUUUGAUUAGAAUAAUCAAACAUAUAUUAAAAUAUGAAAGAUUGUGGUUUUUAAGGUAUAUUCCCAGAGAGGAUAAUUAAGUUAUUGAUGGGAUCAUCAAAUUCUAACUUUAUAUGGAUGCAAAUGAAUCCUUCCUUUUUUUUUUUUCAAAAUAUUAGAAAGACCUCCUAAUAUAACUUACUUUAUUUAUAAAAAAUAUUUUUAUUAUUUCUCAAUUGAAUUCAUACUUAAUUAAUUCAUGGCAACACUUCAAAUAUAAAUAUAGAUAAAUAAAAAAUAUUCCUAUUGAAAUCUGUAGAAAGCGAACCUCAAAUUGUGACAUAUUAAUUAAGAUUAUGUUUGAUAAACUGAAAAUUUAAAUGUUUAAAAAAUAAAUACUAAAAAAUUAAGUGUUAAAUUUAAGUUAUAAAUUUUACUUAGAAUAUUAAUUAAAAUUAAUACAAAAUAUAAUUAGAUUUUGGAUAAAUAAUAAUAUUAUAAAAUAAAAAUAAAAAUUAUUUUUAUUAAAUUAUCUAUUUAUAAUUUUUAUAUAUUUUUAAAAAUAUAGACUGAAUUUUGUACACCUAUCCUAUGUAAAAAGAAUCAAAAACCGCAGAAAGUGUUUGUUUCGCAUGAAAAUGUCGCGCCCAAAGUAGUAAAAUACAGCUCAAUGCACCAAAUCAAACCCUAAAACCCUUCCAUUUUGUUGCCACCAAAGCGUUCUCCCCCCACCCUUAAACCCUAAGCCCCAGAAAAUUCGAAACCGAACUCCUUUCUUACUCUACAAUGGCAAUGUUCUCACUAGCUAUCAGGGCUCGAGCCAAAGCCAACCCUCUCCUAACACGGAGAGCCUUACAUUUUCGCAACUUUUGCAACGGCCGUUUUGGUUUAUCGACGUCGGAGUCCGACCCACCUGACCGGCCAGUGGCGGGGACCAAGUUUCUCGAGUCUUUCAAAGAAGAGUUCGAAAUUGGAUCUCGGGUAAUUUCACUUGAAACGGGUAAAAUUGCUCGUUUUGCUAAUGGGGCCGUUGUUUUGGGCAUGGAAGAGACAAAAGUUUUGUCCACUGUUGCUGCCGCUAAAGGCGACGCUGAUCGAGACUUUCUACCGCUUACUGUAAGUAAUAAUUUUGUCUUCUCUUUUUCUUCCUAAUCUAGGGACAAUUUGAACAUCUUUAAUGUUUUAGUUUUCAUUUUGGGUUAAAUGUAAUCUUGGGUCAUUGUUAUUUAAUAAUGUUUUGUUCCAGACAAAUGUUCUAAGUUUGCUCAGCUAUUUAGGUUCUGUUUGGAUUGUAAUUUUGCUUUUUGAUGUUUACUCUUUGAUUUUAGUUUUAUAUGUGACGUUCUUUACUUUCUAUUGAAACAAAUAGAAAAUAGAAAAAGCAUGAACCUUACUAUGUCCUUGAAGAGUGUCCUAAUUAUGGGUGAAAGAGCAAGUUAUUGAUUUUUUAAAGGGAUAUGAAAUCUGGGUUUGCAGAAUUGUGCUUGGUUAUUUGUUUAUUACUGUUUGGUUUUUGCUUCAUCAGAAGUUGUUCUAUAAAGAGUAGAAAGUAAAUUUAUGAUGAAAACAUGACCUAAAAUCAAACCCCAAUUUUAACAUAGUUAUUCAUAUAAAAGUAAAACCAUGUAUUUCCUUGUGUAGAAAAUACAAUUAUUCUUUUUUAGUUCUUAUGAACUUAUAUUUUCUGAUUUUGCAUCUAAAUCAAGAUUUUUUUGCAUUUUGAUCUUGUAAGCAAGAACGCCCAACAAAAUUAAUAAGGGGGUCUAUUAACUAUUGAAUAGUAAUUGCUCAUUUGGUUAUUCAUGGAUUAGACAUUUCUCGAAUGUUAGGGGCUUGCUAGUGUGUGGUCUCAUUGGGAAUUUUCUUCUUUUAAGGUUGAUUAUCAAGAGAAGCAAUUUGCUCAAGGUCUGAUUCCAAACACAUUCAUGCGGAGGGAGGGUGCUCCAAAAGAACGUGAACUUUUAUGUGGUCGUCUCAUUGAUAGGCCCAUACGGCCUCUUUUUCCUGCUGGCUUUUACCAUGAGAUCCAGGUGUUGUCACUUUUCAGAUUCAAACAUGUGCAUGUAUAAAUAUAUUUCAGUUUUCAAUUUGAUUGACAUUGCCGUAUUCAAUAGGUAAUGGCAAGUGUUCUUUCUUCUGAUGGCAAACAAGAUCCAGAUGUGUUGGCAGCUAAUGCGACUUCUGCUGCUCUUAUGUUAUCAGAUAUUCCAUGGGGUGGACCCAUUGGAGUGGUACGGAUGGGGAGAAUUUGCGGGCAGUUUAUUGUUAAUCCAACAAUGGAUGAGGUAUAAACAUAAGCUUUUGUUUAGUUAUGGAUGCUGAUUUAGGUGCCUCUUUUAUGAUUAUUACAGGUAGUCUUAGGUCAAGUGUAGAGUUUUGACUUAAUUGUAAUUUCCGACUUACUUUUUUUUUUGUAUAUUGUAAUGAGUUAGUUGUUAGAUGCUCAUCAUAAAGUCAUCUCAUUGCAAAGUUCUUGCUUAUGUAGGACAUGUUUAGUUGUGUCAUUAUUAAUUCAUGGUGUUUACCUUCUUUGUUCACCUCUUGAAGUAAAUCAUCAGGUUGGAAACUAGCUAAUAACUAAAACACUUAUUGGAAUCAUGGCUAGUUAGAAAGGCAUAUUGUAGGGGCAAAUAAAGGUAAAGACUGGUCUCAGUGGCAUGUGGUAUAGUUUGUUUAUUUAUUCAGGUUUACUCAUACUGCUAUCUUUUCUUAAAUUCUGGCGGAUUGUAUGAGAUGCUAUUGUUAUAGUUGGUCUAUGUUGGGAUGGUGCUUUCCGUGUAGCUCUUAUAGGCUUUUAGCUGAUGUGGAGUGGCUCAAGAUUGCUUUGGAUGCUUAUAUGAACUUUCAAUUUCCCCACCUCCCUUCCCUUAGGAUCUGGAUUAAAAUUUUUUUCGUUUAAUUUUCCCUCAGUUGAUGUUCCCUUAUAUUUCUCUGUUUGUUAUCAUUUCUUGGGUUCUGCUCUGGUCUCACCUUGAUGGCCUUUGAUACAAUUUUAAUGUGUCAUGCACAUUGUAUAUAAUGCUAUUUAUUGUUAUUUGGCGAGGAAAGUUAUUAAAAGUUUGUCUAACCUAUAUUGAAGUUGCUUUUAGGCUUUGUCAACCCUGUAAAUCUGGUUACAAUGAAUAUAGAUCUGUCAGUUACCCUCCUCUGAUAAGUCCUUAUUUGAUGUGGUUCAGCUUAGUUUAAGUGAUCUCAACUUGGUAUAUGCAUGUACGAGGGACAAAACCUUGAUGAUUGAUGUGCAAGCUCGCGAAAUCACUGAGAAAGAUUUAGAAGCUGGUUUAAGGCUGGCUCAUCCGGAAGUGAGUCACAGGCUUGUCAUAAACUUCUCUUGUGUAUCAAUUAAUGGAAAAUGGCUUUAAGAUGUUUUAUUGAUUCAGGCAGUUAAAUAUCUGGAACCUCAAAUCAGACUGGCUGCAAAAGCUGGCAAACAAAAGAAGGAAUACAAAUUAUCCAUGGUCUCAGAACAAAUCUUUGAGAAAGUUAGAAACCUAGCGGAGGCACCAAUUGAUGCUGUUUUUACAGAUCCUUCCUAUGGAAAGGUGAUUACAUUUCUCCUUUCACCUCUCUUUCUCUAGAUAUGAAAAUGUUACUUAUAUACACAGAUUCAUUAGAGUUUCUUGUUUUUAAUUUAUUUAUUUUAAUGUAUUAUUGGGUUUCAUGCUGUGGUAAUUUGUAAUAAUAUAGUUUGAACGUGGUGAGGCUUUAGAGAAGAUAGCACAAGAUGUAAAAAGUGCACUUGAAGAAGAAUGCGAUGAGCAAAGCUUAAAAGUUCUGCCAAAGGUUGUGGACACUGUCAGGAAAAAGGUGAGCUCUGAAUAAAGCUGUAAAAUGAGUUUCUUUUUCCUCUUUUUGGCUUAACAAAAGAUUUGAUUGCAUAACAAGUAUAACUUUAGACUUUUGGUGAUCUUGAGCCAUCUUCUAGUUUUUGAUGAUAAGUAAAAGGGAAUUUAAACUUCCUUAAAACUGAAGAAGGGGGAUGAAAAUUGGAUGAGUUUUGCUUCACCCUUAUAUUAUUUCCUAUCCUUGCUCUUGAACCUUUUGAAGUUGGCAUAGCUCAAGUUGAAUGAAAAUAUCAGGUUGUUCGCAAAAGAAUUAUUUCUGAAGGAUUUAGACUUGAUGGAAGACAUCUUGAUGAAGUUCGGCCAAUAUACUGUGAGGCUGGCCAUUUGCCUAUAUUACAUGGAUCUGCUCUUUUUAACCGCGGAGAUACUCAGGUUAAGGCACAGUUAUCCUUGUCUCUACUUCUACAUUCUAGAUAUCUGUAGGUUUGACCUUUCUUUGUAGUGGAGGCUUAUAUUUGAUGUUUUAUUUCAGGUUCUUUGUACUGUGACACUUGGAGCACCUCAGGAUGCCCAACGCUUGGACUCCUUGGUUGGUCCCCCAACGAAGCGCUUCAUGCUUCACUAUAGUUUUCCACCGUUUUGUAUCAAUGAAAUCGGUAAACGAGCUGGCUUGAACAGACGUGAAGUAGGGCAUGGUAAACCAAUUUCUUAAUCACAAAAUAUGUGUUGUAUGUAAAAACGUUUUACCAUUUAGCUGAGCUUUUGCUUGUCUCUUUUGUUACCCUUAGGAACUCUUGCGGAGAAAGCUCUUCUUGCUGUAUUGCCUCCUGAAGAUGAUUUUCCAUACACUGUUCGAAUUAAUUCUGAAGUCAUGGCUUCAGAUGGUUCAACAUCUAUGGCUACUGUUUGUGGAGGUAUCAAUUUCACUCUGUAAAUCAGUUAUAUUUAUUUCCUUUAAACUUUUAGCCUGAUGGGGUUUCCUAAUACAGGCAGUAUGGCUUUGAUGGAUGCUGGCAUUCCAUUACGAGAACAUGUUGCAGGUGUUUCAGUGGGUCUUGUUACUGAUGUUGACCCAGAAACUGGUGAAAUUACGGACUAUCGUAUAUUGACUGAUAUUUUGGUGAGAUGUUUUACUUGACCAAUUUUGGCAUAUUGUUUAGGUGACAAAUCUUGGUUGCUUUUAUUUUAUUGAAUAAUGAAACUUUUAAAAAGAUGUUAGAACCCAACACUAGAAACUUUUCUACCUUUGAUUAUGUAUGGAGUGGUUUUUUUCUUCAUUCUCUUAUUAACUUAAUGAUUGCCUCUAGUUCUAAGGAGUAUGGACCAAGGAGUUAGCUACAUGGUACCAAGGUCUUGUUGAUAAAUACUUUUGUGACCUCAAUAAUGUGAAGUUGGUAAAGUUCAUUAUAACAGUGAUCUCUCUAGGGUCUUGAAGAUCAUCUAGGAGACAUGGAUUUCAAGAUUGCUGGGACAAGGAAUGGAGUUACAGCAAUUCAAUUGGAUAUAAAACCUGCUGGGAUUCCUUUAGAUAUAAUAUGCGAGUCUUUGGAGCCUGCACGUAAAGGACGCCUUCAAAUCCUUGAUCACAUGGAACAAGAGAUUAGCGUGCCUCGAAAUCAAGAUUAUAGAAAUUCUCCUCGUCUAGGUUCAAGUUUUGAUUAUGUUUGUUAGCUUUUGGUUUUGUAUUUAAGUAGCUCAGAUACUCUGCAACAAUUCAUUUUAUACUCAACCGUAAAUAAUGCUCUGUGAUGCAGUAACUUUGAAGUUUAGCAAUGAUGCUAUUCGGCGAUUUAUUGGGCCUCUAGGUGCUCUUAAAAGAAAAGUUGAAGAGGAAACAGGUGGGUGUUGAACUUGAAAAACAUUUUGCAUUUGGUUGGGGAUGUAAUCUGAUUUUGGUUGUGGUUAAGUUUUUUGAUCAUUUCUGCCAUGAUGGUACUCUUCCUAGAAUAAUGAUAUGAACUAUUCUUUUAGUUCAUAAUUGUUUCCUUCAUAAAUACCAGUCAUUGAGUAUAUAGAUUUUCACUCUUCACAUUGAACAUGGAAGAGGAUUUAUUUUGUUAGACUCAAGCAUCAGUUGGACAGCUAUGAAAAUUAUAUUUAUGCUGAAGAUUAAGUAGUUCUUUUCAAUUAUGGAUGACUGAAGGACACAUCUUUUGUGUACUUUGCUGAUUACAUUUUAUUGCUGCAAAUUAUUGUUGCACAUUGUUCAUUCAAGUUGAUGCUUUUCAAAAUUCAGGUGCUCGGAUCUCCGUUGGUGAUGGGACAAUUACUAUAGCUGCUAAGAAUCAGGCUGUGAUGGAAAAAGUGCAAGAUAAGGUAUUCAUAGCAUUCCUUAUUUUAAUUGAUGUCCGAUAUUCCUGUAGUUUGUUUUAGAUAUAUGCAAACCUUUUAAUACUUAUUAAUUCCAAUUCUAAAAGUCGUUGAAGGCUUUUUUGCAAAUUUAAUGUACUAUAAUAUCAGUACUCACUUUGGCUAGCUAAAAGUAGACAAUUUUUUGAGGAAUGGUGAUUAUUUUCAAAUUUAAAUGCUUGAACCCUUUUGUUAUGCUGCUUCAAUACUUCCUGUUUAUGUUACUCGGACUCAGGAACAGAUGUUGGGUGCUGCUUUGUUUCUAGAUGUCUUACUCAAUUGUCUUGAACUUAAGACAAGGGGUUACAACAGAAAAGGGUCCAAGAUCUGGACACAUACCAUUCACUCUAGGAUUAAUUUGGUCCAUCUUGCUGCUAGUUUAUAAUAUUAUGAGCUUGCCUGUUCUUCAUUCUUUAUCCUAAUUAAGUUCCUUGAGUGAUCUUUUGUGCUACAGGUUGAUUUCAUCGUUGGCCGUGAAAUCGUAGUUGGAGGAAUCUAUAAAGGUAUUGUCAUGUCAAUUAAAGAAUAUGGUGCCUUUGUGGAGUUUAAUGGUGGUCAGCAAGGUCUGCUACACAUUUCUGAGUUAUCACAUGAACCGGUAGGUGACAAAACAUUUCCAUUGAUUUUACCACUACUUUUUCUAAAUACCUUUUCAGCCUUUCUGAUUUCUAGGUUUUGGAUCUGGUUCUCUCUUAUUGGUUUUUUGGCUCAUAUAUAUGGUUGCUCAGGGUCUUGGUGAUUUAUUUAAGUUUGAAGGAUUGGUGAACUUGAUGCCCUUUGUUUUGCUCUCAAAUUGGAUCGCUAUUUAAUAACUAUAAUUCACAUUAAGCAUGUAUCUGGUAUGAUAAUCAAUUUUUGCAUCAGUCAACAUGAAAAAAAUUCAGAAACUGAUGAGAACGCUUCAGAAUACUUAUCCAUAUUAUGUUUAGGGUUUAGGCAUGUUUUUAAUGGACAGUUUAUUUUACAAAGCUUUUGCGUCAAUAUGGAAGGCCACACCAACUUACAUGUAUCUUUCAUCAGGUGUCUCGUGUUUCAGACGUAGUGUCUGUUGGCCAGCAAAUUUCUUUGAUGUGCAUAGGACAAGAUGUUCGUGGUAAUAUAAAAUUAUCUCGUAAAGCAACUCUACCCCGACCUGAAUCCGAGACCAAAAGUGUAGUUGAAGGAUCUGCUCCUGUUACUAAAGAAAAACCUAAUAUUUGGGCAUCACCUGAGAACAUGUCAAAAGGUGAACAGCUGGAGUCCACUCUCGAGGAGUUGGUGCCGAGCAAAAUGGAGAAUACUGAAUCAAACCAAUCCGCCUCUUUAAUGCCAUCAGUAGUAAUUCGAAGUGCUGCCGAGUGUGACGAGGAGGAGAAGUCUGCUGGUUUGAGUAAGACUUCCAAAAGUGCUCCUAAACCAAAGGGCACGUUGAAAAAGGGUAGUAAACAGAAAAAGAUCCAGUCUUCUGAUAACAUGCCUGAUUUGUCUCUCAGUAUUAUGUUAUCGGAAUCCUUAUCUCAAAUGGGAGGGAAUAAAGAAUUUACUUCUCAAGAUGAAGGUGAGGCUAAUCUGAGUGAUCAGAAUGACAAGGAAACUGGUGGUAAGACUCCAGUGACACCUCAAAAACUGAAGCUAGGAACAAAAGUUACUGCUAAGAUUUAUCAAAUUCGAGCACGUGGUUUAGUUCUCGAUUUGGGUGGUGGAAUUCGUGGCAUGUAUAAGUUUGAGGUACGUGUCCUUUUUUCUGAUACUGCUACUGCUUUUUUUAAGUAAAAAAUCGUCUCUCCCUUUGUUCAAGUAUGACCUUUUAUUAUCAUUUUUUGAUUGGCUCAAUUCUAAUGUUCUAUGUUACUUGGGUAUCAGUGUUUGAUACAAGCAUGUGUCUAACACGAGAAUAUUCAAUUUUUUCGAAGUUUUAUUUAUGUAUUUAGAGAGUUUUUGGAGGGCCAUUUCCCCAUGCUUGUGUCUGAAAAUAUGUUGAAUACAGGUGUUGGGACACUGGUACUUCAAGAAAAAUAAAAAGUAGAAGCAACAUAGCUAAUGUUUUAAAACCAUUCCAUUUUCUUGAUAGGUGCUCUAUCAACUUACAGCUUAAUUAUUUAUUUAGUUGACUUUGGCAAAUCUAGAUGAUGAUGUCCAAUGAUCGUACUAGUGGAAUUUGUUGAUCUGUUUUAUCUCGGCACCCUGUGAUCUCUGCCCUCUUUUAGACAUUGGUUGAUUAAUUCGGGUCUUGUUCUAAUUUUCAAGUCCAUCCCAUUAUCGGUUUCCUUUCUAUAGACAGGUGCUCAAAAGAACAUUUCUUUGUUAGAAAUAUCUAAGUUGUGGUUGCCACACUGAGUAUAUUUGCUUCAGCCUUUGAACCUGCUAACCUAUUUUCAUUUCCUUGCAGCCCAAUGGUGAGAGGGAGUUUACUGUAGGUGACGAAUUGCUAGUCCAAUGUUCAAGUUUUACAAGUAAAGGUAUCCCGGUCAUGUCUAUGGUGGAUGAAGAAUGAUAGCACAUUGACAGUCCUUGCUGGGAAUAAUGUUCUUAUAGAUGGAGACGAGAUUGGUGUUCGAUGGAUAUUCUUGUUCUGAUGGCUGAAUAUUAUUGAAUUCUCGACACUGUUCUGGUGAACAAGCAUGUGCAAAGGUGGAUCAAUGAAUAUAAAUUUACCCUGAAGUACACGAGGAAGCUUUCUUGGUGGCUGUACAAGCAAGGUAGUCUUUACAGCUGGGCGAACCAUAAUACUUAAAAGAUUUCAUUUCUCGUUUUUUGCAUGACAUACUUUUGCAUGGGCCCUGUACGAUGCAUGGUUUGCACUCUUUAACCUCAGGGAUUUUGAAAUUUUGGAGAAUAGACUGUAUUGGGAAUUUGAAGAUAUUGAGGAAAUUGUAGCUCCUAACCAGAUUAGGUUCAUUGAUUAUGAGGUUGGAUCCUUCAUUAUUGGUAUAUAAAUAUUAUGAGUCGGGCAUAACAAUGAUUGUAACUUGUGAGCAAGGUUAUUGUAACGUAUCAAUAUUGAUAAAAUUAUUGAAGAUAUUACCUUUGUACCGUUUUGAUUUUUGUUGCCCGAGAUGCAAUCUUUCUCCCUGUUUAGAGCCCAUGUUUGUAAGGUGUGCCAAAAGUUGAAUUAAAAACGAAAGAUGUGCAAUUUUUGGUCUUCCAAACCGUUUAGUAAUGCAUAAUUAAAAAUUGUAUUUUUUUUUGUAAUUUUGUUUAAUCACAGGAAUCAAAUCACUAGCAAUAAGGGUUUGAUUCUUUGAAAUCCUGGGUUCCUAUUGGAGCCAACCUAAAGCUGUUAACCCUCUUUCAAUUUCAAGCAAUAACAUACAAAAGUUAAUUAAGCCUAUUUCUUUUAACUUCAAUAGCAUAUUCUAGCCGACAAUAGAAAGAUAAAAAACCUUGCCUACCCUCUUCCGUUAAAUUAAAUCCCAGAAAGUUCUUAGCUCAGAAGGGCCUUAGCUCUGACAGUUCCGGGAAUGAAAGUUAUUGUAGGGAGACUAGAACCUGACAACUCAAUUCUCCGAUCUUACACCAAGAAGCUCCCAAUCCUCCGAUCUUACACCAAGAAGCUCCCAAUCCUCUCUCUAAAUGUUUUAGCCAUAGCUGCAACAACUAUAUAUCAUGGCACCCUUAUAUACGGCCCUAACUGCCUGCUCAAAUUUUGCCGAUGCAAGGUUCCACGAUAAAUUAAAAAUGUACGAUGCAGCAUACAACAUCCUUGAAAUCUAGAUCAUUUCUGUGAGUUAGGAAAGAUUAGAAUGUCGGAAAAUGUUUAGGAUCCGUCAUUUCCAAUCUCAAGAGCUCCAAGAUAUCAUGAAUCUCUGCUGAUUUCAAGUGUGUUCCAUCUUCCGAAUAAAAGGAAUGCAGAUGGCUUCUCACCUCAAUCCAACUGAAGCCAACACUCUUUUUCAAUCCCUUCUCCCUCAUUAGUUUCCUCAUAUUUGAAACAUCAAUCCAUCUCCCCGCUGAAGCAUAUAUGUUGGACAACAAGAUGAAUCCAGCGGAGUUUUUCUCUGCUAGUUCGACAAGUUUUCUAGCUGUUCUCUCUGCUAUCUCCUCGUUUCUGUAUGUCUUACAACCACUUAUUAAAGCUGCUAGUGCAUUAGCUUCGGGUUGAAAUGGCAUGGAGUUAAUUAAUUCUUCAGCUUCAGAUAGGCGUCCAGAUCGAGACAGCAUAUCCACAACGCAUGUGUAAUGUUUUCCCUUCGGCCUUAUACCAUAUUCCAAUUUCAUUGCACCAAAGAACUUGAGUCCUUUAUCGACAAAUCCGCAAUGGGAACAUGCAAAUAGAACCGAUAAAAGCAUGAGUUCAUUAGGAGCAACAGAGGAAUUUCUUUUCAUUUCUUCGAACAAGGCAAGAGAUUCUUUUGCAAAACCACUUUCCGCUAGACCUUGAAUCAUAACGGUCCAUGAGAACUCAUUUCUCUCCGACAUUCUAUCAAAGACCUGCUUAGAGCUUUCAAUAUCUCCACAUUUUGCAUACAUAUCAGUUAAGGCAGUGCCCAAGUAAACAUCAUAUUGAAAACCAAGUUUUAAGAUCUUUCCAUGAAUAUCCCUGCCUUUCUCUAAUGAGGUCAGACUUGCACAAGCACAAAGCACACUUGAAAAAGUGGGCUUUGUCGGAGUCUCCCCUGACAAAAGCAUCUCAUUGAAAACUUCAAACACCAUAUCGAAUUGCUUAUAUUCUACAUAACCACCAAUAAAAGCUCCCCAGGAGAUGUUAUUACGAGUAGGCAUGUUAUCAAAUAAAUACUUGGCUUCAUCCAUUUGACCAUUCGUACUAUAGCCACCGAUCAUCGAAUUCCACAAAACAACAUUUUUGUUUUUGAUCGAGUCAAAAACUAACCGUCCGUCUUUAGUUUCCCCACUCUUACAGUACAAGUCAACAAGAGAGCAAGCAAUAAAAAGAUCUCCCUCAAUCCCGAUUUUCAUAACAUGUGCAUGAAGGUUCUUUCCUGCUUGUAAACUCUCAAGGCUAGCCAAUGCACAAAGAAUACUAGAGAAACACGAGAUUGUCGGCUUAAAUCCUUCUCGAACCAUGUUUCGAAAGAGUUUCAGUGCCUCUAUAUGAUCACCAUACUGACUAUACCUCGCAAUUAUUGCACUCCAAGAAACUUCAUUUCUUUGUGGCAUCUCAUCAAAAAUCCUCCUUGCCUCUUCCAACUCUCCCAUCUCGACAUACAUAUCGAGUAUUGCUGUCCAAGAAACAACAUCUCUUGUUUCCAUUCGAUCGAACACCCUCCUAGCCUGAUCAAAUUCAUGCAUUCUUAAACACAAUGUUAUCAAAGAGUUGGAAACUGAUACAUUAUUCUCGAACCCGGUUUUAAUUAUCAACCCCAAAACACUCAUUCCCAAAUCAAAAUCACCAAUUUCUAUACAUGCGCUAACUAUAGAACUAAAAGUAACUUGAUUUGGCUUAACACCAGAUUCAAGCAACCUUACAAAAAGCUUCAAACCAUGAAAACUUGACCCGUUUUUAACGAACCCAGUAAUUGCAGCUGUCCACGAAACCACACUUUUAAAUGGGUUCCUUUCGAAAUACCACAUUGAUUCUUCCAAUCUUCCAUAUUUCAUUAACCCCGAAAUCAAUAACGUCCAUGUAAUAUCGUUUCUUUCAGGCAUUUCGUCGAACAUUUUCCGUGCUUCACUCAAAUUCCCCCACUGAAUAUUAGCCUUAAUCAAACAAUUUUGAACAACUAAAUCAAACCCAUUAAAGUCCUUUACAAUCUGAUUAGCUUCAGAUAAUUUCCUGAAUUCAAGGUACAUUAUUAAUAACUUGAUAGCUAUACAUCUCUCUGAUAAAACACCAUUCUUGAGUAAAUGGCAAUGGAAGACAGUUCCUCCAGCAACCAAGCCUUUGUCUGAGAAUAUCUUUAACAAAGAAACACAUUUUUGAAUAUAGGAGUUGAAGCUUUUGCUUGGAUUCAUCAAGGAAAGGUUCUUCAACGCAGUUUUCAUCCCACUAAAAGUUGCGAGGGAAACAAUUUUUCUUUUAUGAAAUUUAUUUUCUAUUUAGAGGAGAGAGUUCCACGUGUUAAGCUGCUAUUGGUUGUUGGAAUGAAAAAGCCAUUAAAGAAAAUAUACCAAUUUAAUAGGAUCUAAGGCCAAAUAUCAACGAUUAAGGAUUUAAUAGCAAGUGCCUCUUCUUUGAUUGUCUUUUAACUGUCAAAUCAUUAAUUUUAAAUACUUCCUUAAAUUCAGUGUCAAUUAGUACUCUUGGUCUAAAUUUAAUUUUUAUUGUACAGACAAGCACAAAAUAUACUUUUAAAUUCACAGGAGAUUUUCUUUUAAAGAUCAGCUUAAAUUAAAGAGAAAAAUAACAUAAAAUAUUUAAAAAAACAUGUUUAUAUUAAAACAUGCUAGUAUUUUAUUGAAAGGUUCUCUACCCCUCAACUAAGGAUUCUUUCUCUUUAUAGAGAGAAAGAUUGGUCUUUCCUUCUUCUGAAGAUAAAGAAGGAAUCUUAUGACUCAGACUUCUUUUAUAAAUACUUUUUGAUGACUCAUACUAUUUUUACAGACCUUUAUUGAAGUAGAGAUUUAGAGAAUCUCAUAGUACAUGACUCAUACAUAAAACAAAACAUCAUAGAACAAUUAAACAUCUAAUUACUUUCAUAGUCUGUACUAAUGUCGGAAGUGAGGUUCAGCUCUUCAAUCUUUUUCGCCUUUUCUUCUUUAGCUCUAUAGCGAUUUGUCUCCAACUGUUCAAACUUUUGUUCAAGACUAUCAUGUGAGCUGUUAUAAUUUCUUUCUACAUCCAUAGGUGAUGUCCUUUCUUGUGAAUCAGUCCAAGCUGGCGUGUUUUCUCUUGCAUUGCUACAAAACCAUGGAUAGUAUUGUAACCAUUCUUUUGGAUCUGGUAUAUUUAACUGAUAGUCCUCUAAUGCUUUCUUCAUCUGUUCUUGAUAAGGUGUCGGUGGUUCAAUCCUUAAGUCCCAUUAUGCUAAUACAUCUUCUAGAGGCCAUAUGUCUGAUGGAAUGAUCCUAUUUAUCUGGCACAAAUAUUUUUGCAAAUCCUUGUAAUUGUAAGGAUUUGAAUUAACCUCUGAAAAAUAUGUUCUAUGAAUCCAGGCACUAGGAAAUGAUCCUAAUUGUGUUGUUGGACCAUUCUGCAUAAAAUACUGAGGCUUGUAAAAGAUAAUCAUAAUAUAUUCUGCCCUGGUAUCUUUGAGUUGUUCUUUCAUGAUCAUGUCAAUCCAUUGUUCUAAAGAAUAUAACUAGUUAAAGAAAAUAGCCAAAUUCUUCAUUUCUGGACUGGCUUCAUCUUGGGCGGCCAUUGUCAGAAAAUAUAAGAGUUCUUCAAUGAAGAACUCUAUUCCAAUGUGGAACAAGUGGGUCAAAUACCACAUCAUCCAUUUUAAUUUAUGAGGAAAUUCAGUGAAUUGAAUUUUAAGUGGAUGGAUGAAUGGAUAUUCUGGAUGGAGGCCUAAUGGUUUAAGAAAGAGUUUGCCUAAGUUUCGAAAGAUACUAAGCUAGUAAGAAAGCAUUAUAUUUCUGGCCUCUUUUUUCCAUAAUUAAACUCAACACUUUUGGAGGAUGUUCUAGGUGUGAAUUUGGAAGGUAAGACAUGGAAAAAGGAUAUGGUGGGGAUUAAGUUUUCUUGGAUUUUGAUGAUGAAGGUAAGGCCUAAUGGGUCUGAAUUUUUUUCUUUCAAAUUAUUAACAUUCCACUCAAUUUUUUUAUUCAAGUUAAGCACUGAAUUUAAAAAUUAUUUUCAUAUUCGAGUUUGAUUUUAUAUUAUUCGUUUUCAAAAAUUUAAACUACAACGUGAAAGCAAUUAUCAAGUUAAAAUUUUAAUGUGGAACAAUUGUUAAGUUCAAAGUCUAAAUAAGAAAAAAGUUUAGGUCUCAGUAUAGAAAUAGUUGAUAAGUUCAGGCCCCAAAUGUUAAUUUAACCUUAAAAUAUAGAUAUUUCUUUUUCAGCUGAAGGAAAAAUAUCUCUCCAUACAUAACAAUCUUAUGAGAAAAAACAAAAAGAAAAAUAAAAGAAGAAAAGAAACACAGUGAUAAAUCAAUAAUGAUAGCCUGUGGGGUUCCAAUUUACGAACUAUCAGUCCCAAAAAGUUGUAAUUUUUAUGAGAAAUUCAGUUCAAGCAAAUCAAACCCAAGGUAAAUUCCAUGAAAAUCUUUCAGAAUUUUGUAUAAACUAAAAGAUUUAUGAUUGAUUUUUUUUUUUAAAGGUUGGGGCUGAAAUGGAGUGAGGUAAGAUGUUGUAGAAACCAAAAGAUUGGAGGAAAAUCAAAAUCAAAAUCAAACAAAAAUUACUAUGAGUUACUUGGAAUCCCUUUCGAUUCCAAUAUGCAGCAAAUUAAAGAAGCUUAUAGAAAGCUGCAAAAGAAGUAUCAUCCUGAUAUUGCAGGCCAAGAGGUUAGUUCACUUCCUCUCAAUUUCUUAUUCUAAAUUUUUAUUAAAUUGAUAGCUUUCUUUAUUCAAAAACUCGAAAGUAAGUGUUGGAUAUGGAUCAUAUUUUCAUUCAAAUGAUUACUAUUGUUAAAAGUUUUAAUUUUUGCCUCAAUAUAUUGCUCACUUUUAUUGUAUAAUUAUGGUAAAAGUUUCGUGGAGGGACUUAAAUCGCAUUUUGUCAUUUUUACUCAAAAAAAUAGGAAUUUAGUCUCAAUAUCUCAGAUUGAAAUUCUUUUAAAUAUCUAUUUAUAUUGUUAAAAAUUAGCGCCACAUGUACCUCAUACUGAUAUACAUUCACAAUUUUUUAAUAAUAGAAAUGAAUGGAAGUUUUAAUAGAAGAAUUAAUUUGUUUUUCUAUCUAAUGUAUAAGGAUUAAUUUGCUCAUCUUUUUAGUAGAGGGAGUAAAAUACAAUCUGACUAGCCUGCAUGGUACUUUUAUCAUAGAAGGACUAAUUCGCUCUUUGACCUAUAAUAUUGGGAACUUCCAAAUGGUUUAACUAUCUAUUCCUUAUAUUAAUGGUUUGAAUUUAAUACAAAUUUUACUUUUGCAUUUUUGAUGGGUUAAUUUUGUUAUAUUUGUUUAGGGACAUGAAUACACUCUAAUGCUGAAUGAAGCCUAUAAAGUACUGAUAAAAGAUGAUCAAAGGAAGGAAUAUGAUGCUUCCAUUGGUUCAAUGAAAGCAAAAUUUGGAAGCAAUGUAUCUGGUUUUAGCUCUUGGAAAGGGCCCUUAAGACCCCAAGCUUUAUUUGUUGAUGCAAACAAUUGCAUAGGUUGUUCCUUUUUAACCUAUUUUUAUGUCCCAUUUAUUGCAAGUUUUAUGUUUAUGUUCCAAAUUCGAGCCUAGCUCCAUUGACAUCCACGUUUGCAGGUUGCAGAGAAUGUGUCCACCAUGCAAGCAACACAUUCGAAAUGGACGAGGCUCUCGGAUGUGCUCGAGUUAAGGUUCAAUAUGGAGACGAUGAUCGUAAAAUCGAUGUAAAGAAGCAUGUUAAUGCUGUGUGUAGAAUCUAAUUGUUGUAAAAAUGCAUAAUUUUGGAACCAAGUUUUUGCAGGUUUCAGUUGAUUCAUGCCCAGUGAACUGCAUACAUUGGGUGGACAGUGAAGAACUGGCAGUGCUUGAGUUCUUGAUACAACCUCAGCUAAAGGAAGGGUAUGGAGUAUUUGGAGGAGGUUGGGAAAGGCCCUCAAAUGUAUUUAUGGCAGCUAAGGCUUUCACCAAGCUGUUAAAACAACAAGCUGAGGCUGCUCAAGGACAACACAAAAAUGGUAAUAAUAUUGGCAAAAAAUGUUCAUGGAAAUGAAUGCUUUCAACAUUCUAUUUUGUACUUGUCUCAUUCCAUUGCCAUCCAUAGCUUUAAUCUCUACAUUACUGAAUUCACUGUUGUAUAUGGUUUAUGGUGGUACAAGUCCUGUACUAGGCCUCUACUAAAAAAAAUAAGUAAAUUAGUCUCUAUACGUUAUAUCAAAGAGCAAACUGAUCCAUCUGUUAAAAGUUUAAUCUAUUUCCACGAUUAAAAAUUGGUCCAUGUACAUAGGCAUGAGGUAUAUGUGGCACGUCACAUAUUACUAUCUGAUUAUUUUGUCAACCACGCCAGUUUUUAACAUUACAAAUGGAUGGAAUUUUUAACAAAAAGAACCAAUUUGCUCUUUGAUUUAACGUACAAGAAUUAAUUUGUCUAUUUUUUGAAUAGAGAAGGUAAAAUGUAAUCUAACUCCUAAUACAGGGCCUCCAUGAUACUUUUACUGGUUUAUGGUAUUUGUUUAUCUGGUUAUUUUAACUGCUGCAGGGAGAGUGAGAUCAGUUGAAGAAGAAGAGACCCCUGCUCAAGCUGAGGCUCGAGUCAAUGCUACCAUGAAAUUGAACAUGGAAAGAUUCAACAAAAUUUGGGGUAAAUUUAAACAUUUUUUUAUAAUCUAAUAUAGGGAUUUGAAGGGACACAAAUGCGAGGCAGGAAUCUUAAUGAUUAUAUUGAACUGCAUAUGGUCUAAUGAAGAACGGUGUAAAUUGCCUACAUGGAUAUAUUAAAAUCUAAAGAAUAUGUCAUCAUAUGAUUAUUCUCUCUUUCAGUCCAUAAUAAACUUAUUUAAAAAUCUAAUUCUUUUAUCCAAAUUCGAACAUUUGUAUAAUAUUUAGAAAAUUUUAAAUAAUAAAAUGAGGACAUUUGUGGUAGAGUUUUUUUUUUUUUAACUUUACUUAUGAAGUUAAAAUACUUUAUCAUUAAUAUACUAAAUAAUUAUCUUAAAAGGAUGAAAUCUAUUUUUAAAUAAAGAUUCUAUCAAGUAAGACUAACUUCGAAAAAUUCAUCUAAAACCUCACAAAAACCUAUCUAAUUUCACUUAAUGUGAUUUCUAUGGUUUUGAUGUUUAUCUUCAACUUACAAACAUCUAAUCACUUACUAUAACCCAACAAUAAAACUACAAAAAUUAAUCUGUCCCCCCACGAGUAAGAUUGACGUGAAACAAAAGAAAAAUAGGUGGAAAAAUGUUGAAAUCUUAAUUUUAAGAAUUGAAAUGUUCUUGAAUGAUGAUGAAAUCAAUGAAAAUUGUACUUUGAUGACAUGCGAUUUCAAGAUUGAGAGAGAAUUGAAGAUAAAAUUUCCUGAUGAAUCUCUCAAGCAUGCGUGAAAUGAAGAAUGGGACAACUGUUCCCUCCUACCAUUUUUAACAAAUGGGUUAUUUGCUAAAAUGCCUUUAGUGGGUAAUUACCACGUAAACCUUUUCUUAUAUCCUAAAGCAUGUUUCUAACUUUUAGACAUUUGACGACCCUUAAAUUUACUUUUUAUUACAAAAUAGUCUAUACCUCAAAUUACUAAUUUUAUGAUACUAACAAAUUUAACAAUAAUAACUAAUGAAAAUUUACUUAUAUCAAAUUAUAAAAAUAACACAAGAAUUGUUCUCGGAAAACAUCGCAAUUUAAAUUCUCAAAAUGUCACGAAAUUUUGAUACCAAAAUUUUGAGAUAUUACACAAACAUCUUUGAUCCUUUCUUCUCCACACAAAUGAUUGCCUUUCUUUGUGAGCAAUGUCAAGAGCAGUUAUAACUACAAUCAUAUUUGCCUAUUUUAACCUUAGAUCUCUUAACAUCGCGAAGCCUCUUGCUUUGAUAUGCCUAAGUACUCCACAAUAAUGACACACGUUCCAGUGACUAUGGUUCACUUGCUUGUUUGUAUGGAUCAACAUCGCCUUCUUAGAGCAUUAUCCAUGAUCAGUGUUAUUUGUAGCUUUGACAAACAUUGUAGCAGUCUGUACAACAACCUUUCCUUUCUUUUCGAUGUAUCCUAGGGCAUUCUUUCUUGAGCUUUUCUCUCAACAGUUAGUAUUUCAUCAAGUUUCCCACUACUAGCAUUGAAUUCAUCCAACAUAAACUAAGUUCCUUCCAUGUAGUGUAACACCCCUCGCACGACCCGGUCGUUAGGUUCAAGCUAAAGGAUGCCACAUUCAUUGCCGGAGUAACUACAAUCACAUACACAGUAAGUGACCAUUCAUACAUGCAAUUAAGUGUUAAACACAUUUAAACCAUGUUAAACAAUCAAUUCCGAGUCUUAAUCAAGCUUAUGAAAGCUCUUUUGUCAACCCAAGCUCGAAACAUGACCAAAUUGUAAAUUUUAAAAUUUCAAGACCGAUGUCGUGAUGUCAUCACUUCUAUGUCGGGAUGUCGCCAAAACAAUAUUAUAACACCCUAUUACCCGGUUUGAUCAUCGGGUUCGAGCAAUGGAAUGUAACAUUCAUUGCCUGGGCAAUUUUCAUUAUUCAUUUUGUAAUUAAAUCAAACACACGGAUAUAAACAUACAUACAAAUUGAAUUAGCCUAAAUCUAGCAUACGAUGGUCAAAAUUUGAAGUCUGAACAUGAAAUAGGACUCAAUUGCACAAUUUCAAAACUUUGGGAGCAGGUAUCGAUACUUUGUGAAAGUAUACUUUGUAAAAAGUAUAGAUACUUGGUGCAAAGUAUAGAUAUUUUGUGCAAAGUAUCGAUACCUUGACUUGGUACCGAUAUCAAAUAACAUUAUGUUUGUAUGAUAAAUUGAUUCAAAUGGUUAUGUAUCGAUACCUUUCUAGAGCAUCAAUACUUUCUUGCAAAAAUGGUAAAAAAAACUUCCUUUUACAUGCCUAAACCAUUUUAGUUCAAAUGGUACCUUAUAAACCUGUAAAAACUAGCCAAUUACAUCAACGGAUCAUCCAUUCAUAAUAACACAAACAUGCCAAUCAUUCCAACACAACUAAUUCAUACCAAACCCUCAAUUUCAUAUAUGUAAUCAAUUUCUCAAUCCCAAAUAUGUGAAAGCCUAUUUCAUUACAAAACUGAUUCAAUUACACAUUUACAAUGAUAUAUAAUAAUUUCAAAACUAUUCAGUUUUGUCCUUAUCGCUAACAAUCAAUUCAAAUAAACUCCAUUCAACUUGUUUUAUCAUUUUAAACAUACCUUAUGAACUUACCAUGCAACACAGUUCAUAAGCACAUCAAUUGAAAAGGUUUGAAUUAUAGAAAUACAAACUGUAAACUCCGAGCUAUUUGUCGACGACCUUAUUCUUUCCCUUCCUUUUCAAGAAAUCCAGGUCUUCAUUAGCUAUGGAAUAAAUAAAUAUACAAAAAUUUCAAUAUAUAGUCAAUAAUACACUUAAUUGUAAAUUUACACAAAUUUUGCAUUUUAUUCAACUUAGUCCUUAAAAUCAGGACUAACAUAACUUUCAAGUUAGAACUCCAAAUUAAAUUAUGAUUUCAAUAUAAUCCAUUAGGGGCCUCCUAUUUCCCAUUUAUACAAUCAAUUUUACAAAUUAUUCAGUUCGGUCCCUAAUGUACAAAACUAUCAAUUAACUUUGCAAUUUAGUCCUUUUCACUUCUAAGCUUAAAAUCUAUUGAUUUAGUACCUAAAAAAUUCAAGAAUUCAACCUUGGCAUCGUUUUCAACCUUUAACACUUCCGAAAACUAACACACAUGUUAGAUAGAUUAAGUUCUUGGGAUUUCAAAAACGUAAAAAUUACAAGAAAAUGACUAAACUACACUAACCAAUUGAUAGCUUAAACCCAAUAAUUUUUUUUCCAAAACUAUGACUUCCUCUUUGCCCCUAAUCAUGCUUGGAAAGAUAGAGAAGACAAUGUCUUUCUCUUUCUUUCCAUUUCCAAGAUUUUAUCUUUCUUUAAGCUUAUUUUAAUUUAUUUUAAUUAAAAUUUUCUUGCAAAAUUCAUAAAAACUAAGACAUUACCGUCCAGUAUAGAUUAAGGAGGUAUAAUUUCCUUUUUAAUCCCUUCCAUUUGUUUCUAAUUAAAAUUUCUCAAACAAUUGAACUUUUACUAGUUUUACGAUUUAUCCCGUAUACCUUAAUUUAUCACUAAUUCGAUAAAAUUACUUAUCCAAAAUUCAAUUCACUUCUAAAAUAACUCUAUAAAUAAUUAAUAAAAAUAUUUACGGUCUUGGUUUAAAAAAAUGGGGUCCUAAAAUCAAAAUUUUCAACAUCACUAAUUUUAAGAUCGUUGCACUUGUGUCACGGGGAUAGACCUUUCGUCUCACGAUCCGUGCGGCCUUAGGCGAUUCGUUCAUCCAAACUCCCCUAAGUCAGCCUUUACUCAAGUGAUGAUUCCUUAAGAACUCCUUCAAGGCACCAAAUUGAAGAGCGGAAGCGAUUUAUGCCAAAAGAAGAACAACAAAGAACAACAGAAAUAGCGCACACAAAGUGUUUAAGUAAAUGCUCUCAAUUCUCUUAUUCACAAAGAAUAAUGAAACAAUGAAUGGAGUGUGUACAAAUGAGGGGGAGGCUCUCUAUUUAUAGUUGAGGUCCCCCAAAACCGACGGGCAAGAUACAUUUACCUCGACGGACGAGAUUAACCAUACCCCUUUAUUCUAGGGAUUUACAAGAUGUGCCAUAUCAAAUCUAAUAUAAUCUUUACAAGAUAUGAUUCCCUCAAUAUUCUAAGAUUAGUUACCAAAUUAGCCUAAGUUGCCAUAUCUUCAUUAUCGGGCCAACCAGGCUUCAAUCUGACAGGCUUAUCCAACAGUUCUUUGAAUUGGGCCAGUUCUCGUGAGCCAAAUGAUCACCAUCUAAACGAUAGACCUCCAUUGGAUGUAUUUGGUGCAAUUAUCACUGGAUUUAAACUACGGCCUGUGACACUUGUACCUUAAUUAACUAUCAAUUAAAUAAAAAUACCAAACCAAACCUUAAUAUAUUUCUAUACUAGCCUCAUAAAUAUUAAAUAUUUACGAUUACAAUUUACUAAAAUGGCGUUUUGAAACUGGAGUUUUUGACACCACUGGAAACUAGGUCGUUACAAGUAUGUCAUGUCAUGACGUUAGGCCACUCGAUGUCACGACACCAUUUACUGUCAGCCAACGUUGCUAUGAGGAAAGAUGCUUGUCGGGACGAGGACUCUAUUUUUGGUAAAAAUAACCAUUCGGUACAUAUUUCAAAGCUUCCAACCAAACCUACAACAUUUGUACCAAACACCAAAUGCAAUUGAUGCAAAACAUACCUAAAACCAUACCCAACAAGCUUAAACACUCAAUUCAACUUCUUAACAAGAUAUUCAAUACAUUUUCAUCAAUUAAACUUCAACAUUUCAAUACCAAUUAGCAUAUUAACCAAAACAUUCAAAUGCCUAUUUUUACCUAUACCAAAUCAAUCAACAUAUGCCAUUUCACUUUCAAUACAUACACCAUUCAUUCACCUACACUUUUAUAACAUAAUUUAUGAACUAAAAAUACCAUUCACUAAUAUGUAAAUUAAGCAUAUCAACAAGUUAUACCUUUUCAAUUGGGUAUUAACCAAUUCCAAAUCAUGCAUUUCUAAUUCACAUACUAAUUAUUAGGUUCAUGUUUUAACUUACCAAUGUAUCCAACAUUGCUUAGUCAAUAUCGACCAAUUCACUAGCUAUGUACAUCAUUCAAAUUCAACAUAUACUAAAAUCAUUACCAUGUUCAAUUUAACAAGACUUUUAUACAUUUAAGUAAGUAAGAAGACACCUAUAUACAUGCAAUACCCUAAGGUUUAAAAUGAUCAAACAUCUACCGAUUCGAUGAUAGGAUAGUGUGAGCUUCGAGCGACCAAGCUUGACGCAUUCUGCAAGGGAAUGAUCUACAAGGAAAAGGGAAAAACAACUACGUAAGCAUAUGAAAUUCUUAGUAAGUUUAUAGGAGUUAAACAAAAAACUUACCUUAUCUUUCAAUUGAACACACUAAGCUACUAAUCUUGGACUAAUUUGGCUAGACAUGAUAAUUCAAAACAUCAACAAGGUGAGCUUAAACAUAUAAUCAAACCAUGUAAUAUCACAAGUGUUUAACAUGCCAUUUUAUGUCAUAACAAGUAACAAACUCAAAUCUCAUUCAAUCCAAAAGUAGUGUAAACACAUAUAUAUCAAGUAUUUGUACUCAAAUCAUUCAAUAAUCUUUCAUUUGAACAUUGAGUUUAUUCCAUUUCAUUUCAAUUUCUUAUUUCAAAUAUAAUAUUUUGUUGGAUCUGGUGCCCUGAGUGUAGUAUAUUUGUUUGUAAACUUGUAAUUUUUUCGAGAAAAUUGGUUAAUAAAACAAGUUCAUUGAUUACAUUAAUAAAACUUGUAUAAUUAUCCUCAUAUAGUUUUUGCACGCAAAGUAAAAUGGAAGCAAAUGUUGCUAAUCAAUUGUCUAACAUUUAAACUAAUACUAGACAAUAUUUUGUGGUUGGAUCAUAAUAUGGAAAGAAAAUUUAUAUUAGUAGACGAACCAAAACAUGUACUUAGUCUAAUAAAAAAUAAGCAAACUGGUUGAAAGAUUAAUAUGUCAUCUAUCAAGUCUAAUUGGGAAGAUGCUUUGUCUUGGGCAUUAGAGCGGAUGACUCCUAGAAGAUAAAGACAUAGAUGUGACUGACUGGAUUGCUAGUACAUCUGACUAAUCCGGAGCAUUUAGAUCGGUUUCUAACAUAAAACUAACACUAAAAUCAGUAAGGGUUGAUCACCUAUGGCUUUUGGAAGCAUUUAACCAAAUUAGAAAAAAAUUAGUCAAACAAAAACGAUGCUAGAAAAAAAAGCACUUACGCACUCCGAUUCCUAGAUCUGAGUUUACGAUAUGAACAAAAUUGAACGUACACUUAAACGACGAGAUGAAGGGCUAUUUCAAUAAGGUACCAAUGAGGAAAAAUGAAAGCAAGACUAGGUGGAAAAGGUGUAAAAAAAAACCACUAAUGGUGUUUUAAGGGGCGACAACACCACAAACAAGAGCAACAAUGGUGGUUGUUUUAUGCAGCUAGAGGAGGGGUAAAUGGCAGCAAGAAUGGAGCGAUUAUGGUGCUCAAAAACCAUAGUGAGGUUGCUAGAAAUUGGCUGCAAAAAGGGGAAAAAAUCCAAAAAGGACAAUAUAAGAAAGAAAAAAGAAAACAAAAGAAAAAAAGAGGAAGAGAAAAAAAAGGAAAGACGAUAAAAAAAGAGAAAGAAAAGGCGAAAAAUUGAAAAAAAAUUAAAAUAAAAUAAAAUAUGAACAAAUUAAUUUUCAAAAGCUAAUAAGUCAAUAGAUAAACUAAAGAUAAUUGCUAAAUUUUUAGUUUUUUUUAAUAAAAAUGACCUUAAAAAUUUGAUUACUUACGACAAUUGUGGGCGAAACAAAUGGCCAUACAACAAUUGUACGGUGACUAGGAUGAGUCAUACAAUGAACUUCAGGGGUGGAUUUCAGCAAUGGUGGAGUACGUCCCACGAACUGUCGUGGACUUGCAUACGUUGCCUUAUAGAGGCUCGAAUAGACAACUGGAAUUGGGGAGAAGAGUUUUUCUUCGAUUGUUCUAGACUUUCGGUCUAUGUGUUAAAGCAUUCUCCUACUGCAAACCACUUGUGUAGGUUGACGAAACGUGACUUCAUGGGAAAUACAAGUAGAUACUUUUGAUUACAGUUGCACAAGACGGUAAUUGAAAUUUACUAUUGAUCACUUUCGCCAUUAUGGAGUCGGAGAACUCCGAAUCAUGAUAAUUUUUCAUUAGGAACUUGCAGAGGCAUGUUGUCAGGCAAGACAACAUUUGCAUUGUCUUUGACAGAUCGAAGCGCCUUGUUGCUGCAAUUCGACAAUUUGAGGUUUUGUGGAGGUCCGUUUACCGCAUUCUCCAUAUCACUGUCAACUUCCACAAGGAGUAAAAGAACAAAGACUAACGCAAACAAAUCGUGAACAUGGGUAAACAUAUCAUAUUUAAAUUUGUAUAUGUAAAUAUUUUGAGUUCAUUUACUAAAACGGAUGGUAACAUAUUUUAUCAAAAUACAUACGUAGGGUAGGAGCUGGAACCACACUGAUUCAGACAUAAGCUGGCGAGGUUAAAGACUGAUAUAACGAGGUUCGGUCCUUCUCUCAGACAGUGGUUGGAUAGCAUAGAGCCGUGACAAAGAGUUCAAUGUUUUGAUGAGGGGUACUAAUAUGGUCAUAUGACGAUCAACCUCGCUGAGGCCGUUAAUUCUAUCUUGAGGUGUGUCACUUGGCAAUUUCAUUGAUUUUUUCAACCACAUUUUAUAGGCUGGCAACCUUAAUGCCAGAAAGAAGGUUGAGACAAGCAAAAUAGUUGGAGGCAGGACAUGUGCACGUCGAAGAUGUUAGGAAUUCCAUGAAAGAGAACUCUUAUAGGGCGAGGACGAUGAGUGCAAAACUAUAUUCCUGGAACUUGGAAAGUUUUUGAGUGACAGAGUACAUUGGUUUUCGGUCGAGCAUCCUACCACAAUCCUACAGAGUUGAUAUCCAAAAUAGGAGGUGUGAGUGCGGGAGGUUCCAAGCACUACGGUACCCGUGUGCGCAUGUGCUUAUAGCAUGUGUAACCUUCAAUUUGAAUUCGAAACAAACACGUUAGCACUUAAACUUGGGAAAAUAUUAUCCACACUUAUGAGUUGUUAAAUGUUAAGUAUAAUUUUUCUUAACCUAUUUACAAGUGGCCACGUAUUUAGUUGGUGCCUAAUAGCCGCCCAAAAUGGCAUCCUGUACAUAUCCCAAGACUGCAGCAGCCCCACACAACUGGCCCAAGACUCGUUGAGGCCUUGUUAGAAGUGGCUUACGGUACAAUAUGACCAACACUACUGAUCCCCAACUGUAAGUACCAGUACGAUGGAAAUCCUCCAAUAGAGGCAAGUUCUUUAAGUGGACCCUAUUAGAUGUGUUGUUUGACAAAAGUACCCCCUAAUCAGCUGCAUAAUAUAGGCUCGAGCAGCACACAUCACCUCGUGCUCAGUGACAGUGCUAGAUAACUCCUUGAAAUUUGAUCCCAACCAUGCCAAUGUCAAGCACGUGAAGUUCAGUUCCCCAUCACUAAGGGACCGUCCAAGCAAUCUAUGGCAUACUAUUGUAGGUUCCAACACUUUGCUUCGGCUCGUGACCAUUUCACCGUCAACUCGUAACCCAAGUUCCAUAGUGACGUCUUCCAAUGUGAUUGUGCACUCCUUGCACGACAAAAUGAAGGUGUGGGUCUUCGACCACCACUACCCAACCAAGGCAGAUAUUAGGUUCGCCUUCAAGUCAAACCUCUGGAUCAAUGCGACGUCCCCAAACCCCACAAACUGUAAGUAUGACAUGACCCGCUUUUCUGGAUCAUACUUGGAAAAAUGAAACCGCUACAUCAAAACUCGAUACCCAUCCUGUAUGGUAAAAUUUUUAUAAAAAAUAUGAUAAAUCGAAUAUCUAUAUAAUUUAAACAUGAAUUUGUCAAUGUUUUCAAGUAAUUCUCAAAUCUAUUUGCUUCUUCGUACCUACUAUAUACUAUAUUAAAGUUUUCUUGAAGAGUAGGAACAACCCAAUGGCAUAGAAAACAUUACAAUCACAUUGCUCUUUUUCUAAAAUAAAAAACAUUUCAUUAAAAAAAAUUGUUUGUGCACUAUUUCUUAAAAAAAAUUAAAAUAUGCACAUUACUUUUUGAGAAAAAAAUGCAAAAAAAAACAAAAUUUUAUUUUUUUAAAAGGGUAAACUAGUAAAAUAAUCAGUUUUGUUUGUCUCAAGUUACAUUUUAGUCACUUAUGUUUAAAAUGUUAAGUUUAAGUUACUUACGUUAUUGUGUUGUAACAUUUUAGUCAUUAAGCCGCUAGUUGCUGUUAACGGUGUAACAGUAAACUGAUGUGACACGAUAAAUCAUCAUUUCAAACAAAAAAUUUAGGUUAAAUUAUACAAUUGGUCUCCAUAUUUUUUUCUUUUGAGCAAUUUAAUUUUUUUUCUUUUAUGUGCUUUUUAACUUUUUUUUUCUUUUUUCUUUUCAUUUUCUUUUGCUUUUCCCUCUGUCUUCCUCCAUUCUCCAUCUCUUUUAUGUUCUUUUAACUUUCUUUUUUUUUCUUUUAUGUUCCCUUCUCCCUUCCUUAUAUUCCAAUCGCGGUUUCAAGAGCUGCCUCAAUUGAUUUUCAUGCAACUAUGCCCUUAAAUCUAUCAUAUGGUUACAUGCUACACAUUAACAAGUAACCUUUAAUUGACUGUUCGACAUAAUUUGCAGAUGCAUCAUGUUUGAAAUCCCAAUUUUUUGAAUUAGUUAUUGGAUCAUUGAAGCGAAACAACUUUGCAUAUGCCUCAUGUUUGAAAUCACAUUUCUUUGAAUUAAUUAUGUGGAAAACAAAGAUGAAGAAGAGAGGAAAACAAAAGGAGAAGCAGAAGAGAAUGAAAAAAAAAAGAAGAAAUUAAAAUAACAUAAAAGAAAUUAUUUUUUUCCUUAUUUAUAAAUAACUUUUUUUUUAUUUAUAGAUAAAAUUUUUUUAGUUGAACAAUUAAUUGUAUGUGUGUAUAUUUGCUUCUAUAUUAAUCUUAUUGUAAAAAAAGAAGUUAAAAAAAUCAUGGUAAGAGUUUUUUGAGAUUGUCUCAUCUCAGUUACUUGAUCUACGACCUUAAAUUUUAAGCAUGCAUUACAAAUUCCUUUUUUUUUUUGGGUUAUUCAACUUUUGGUUCGUAGAAAGAUUUAGUGUCAUUUGACUGGAGCAUUCUUUAUUUUUCCUUAUUUAAAUUUGGAUUUCUCAAAAGUCUCUUCAUUCUUUGAAUUUUGGGUAAACUACAAAAUAGUCAUUUUGUUUGCUUCAGAUUACAUUUAGUCACUUAUGUUUGAAAUGUUAUUUUCUAGCCACUUACGUUAUCGUUUUGUUACGAAGUGGUCCAUCUACCGUUAAACUCCGUUACCUCCCUAACGGCAGUCCUGCAUGGUAGUUCAAAUGGGUUUUAAAUGCCAACUUGGAUGUCCAGUUGCUGGGAUGAAAAUAUGUUUUUAAUUAAAUAAAUUUAAUUUGGACUGCCACAUAGGACAUCCAAGUUAGCAUUUAAAACCCAUUUGGACUGCCACGUAGCUCCGCCCUUAGGGAGGUAAUGGAGCUUAAUGAUAGAGUGACCACUUCGUAACAAAAUGAUUACAUAAAUAACUAAAAUGUAACAUUUCAAACAUAAGUGACUAAAAUGUAAUCUGAGGCAAAAAAAAGAGACUAUUUUUAUAGUUUACCCUUAAGUUUUUUAUUGCUUGAUAGCUUGUUUUUCUUUUACUGAUUUUUGUUAAUUAAAUUUUCAUAUGAAAAUAUUUUGAAACCAACCCAUUGUUUCCAUUUUAAUUGAAACAUUAUAUUUAACCAGUUAUAAUGAAAUCAAUUUAUUCAUAAAUUCAUUAAAACCUAAAAGUCAACCAAAUUUUUGUUAUAUGACAAUAUGAUAAUAAUUGCAAUAUGGAUGACCAAUUUUAUCAUAAAGAAAUAUUCAGUAAUAUUGAAUAAUUCAUAGAAUUUAAUAUGCACAUUUCGCACCUCAAAUCUGGUCGGGAUUGUCCGACCCGAAUCCGAAACAUCGCAUUAGCCACUUGCGUAACCUCCUUACCGACUACCAAUCACACCGUAAAAUUACCUUUCACACCUCACAAUAAUUCAUGCAUAAUAAUCAAUUGGCAAUUAAAAACUAACACACAAACCCUAGAAUCAUGCUUUUCUAGCGAAAACUAUUAGAAUAUCAACCGAAUCAUUAUUUGACAUACAUCAUACAAAGAAAUCGUAAACAUUAAAUCAAGCAUAAAUUAAGUUUAUAGAGUAUUAUUUAAAACAAUAUUUCCCUAAAAAAAUAUUUGAAAGAACCAACAAAAGCCGAUAAGUAAAACUCAAGAAAUUUAAAACAAAGGUUCAAGGACUAAAUCAUAAAUUUGGAAAAAUAUUCAAAAAAUCUUUUUGCAAAAUUAAAAGUAGAUUUAUGAAAUUAAACAUAUGAGACUUAAACAUGAAAAAUUUCAAGGCAUUUCAGAGCAUUUGAGGACUCUAAUUACAUAGCAUAAAAAUCAAGACUUAAUUGCAAAACUAGCAAUGCCAUUCAAAACCAACAGUUUGUCACGUCAUGACCACGCGAAACCCUAUGUCGCAACAUGCCCAGACGAUUCCCCUCAUGACGACGAUGCAAGAAAGGGCGUCCCAAAAUUGACCCCUUGUUACGAUGUCAUACCAACGUCGUCACAACAUCACCUGCAAUUUUUGCAGAAACAACCCAAAACCUACAUAUGACACUUUGGCACACAACUUAACAUAUAAUUUCGUGCAUUUAGGCCUAUUUCUCAUUUCUAACAUGUUAUAUAGCAUACAUAGAUCAUAUAAAACAUGACCAAUCACCAUAAUCCGUACAAUAACAUAAUUUUACAUAUUAAGUAAUUGGUUAUGCUAGCAUGCAUUGCUAAAGUCACAAUUCAAUUACUCAACAUACUAAACUUACAUAUCGUGCAUUUUCAAAAGAAAUACCUGUUCAUUUUGUACCAUUUGGUUAAACAUAUCAAAACAUCCAACAUACCAUUUAAGCAUCUAGAUCAUUGUUUUAACUUCAAGUCAUACACCAUUCACCACAAUUAAACAAUCACAAACCAAUUAUAAAUGUCUUUAAAAAUAGUCCAUAAAAUGUCCAUUUACAAACCAAAUAAGUAAUAAAGUCUAAUCCCUCAAGAAUAGUCCACAUUGCCAUCAUUUUCAUAGUUAGAAACCACAUCACAUACUUAAUAGGAUAACCUUAUUUGGAUCACUUGGCUUGCUCACUUCUCCUCCUUGCUAUUGCUACUUUUUUGCAAAGUAAACAUAUAAGAGUGUGAGCUUAACUAAACUUAGUGAAUGCUCAAAGACUGCCACAAUUAAACACAUAAUCCAUAGUUAAAAGAAAGCAUACUAGCAACCGUUCAUGGCAUCACCAUGAAUAUAACAUCAUAUCAUUUCAUAUUGAUAUAUUGACAUCUGGUGACUAUGAAACAUGUAUGAAAUAUAAUGCAUUGGAUAAACGGGUGUCCAAACACAACCAAUGACUCCAAGAGUCUAACAUAUCCCAUGAAGUGUAAUAUAUUGCUAACAAUCUAAGCACAACCAACAUAUCCCAUUGUAUGGAGCUAAGCUCAACAUUCCCUUUUCUCUCCAACAUAUCUCGAGGCCUCAACACCCAAACAUAAGCAUAUAGGUGACUACUCACAAAUCCUAUGACAUGCCAACUAUAUCAAAUGGUUCCAAGAGAUCACAAUGUCAACAUAUCCAUUUAAACACAUAUAGUUACUAUUUUAUGCACACUUUCACUUAUCAUUUACAUAUAAUCAUAACAUUUUUGUAUUCACUUAUAAUGCACUUUUCAAGUGCUAACAUAAUUCUUAAUGAGCCAUAUCAUAUAGAUGUCAUAUAGUGUGCAUAGAACCAACAAGCCUCAUAUCAUAUUCAACCAUAAGAACAUAGCAUUUGCAAUGACAUCUCAAUAUGCAUCACAUGUCAUAUCACAUUUCAUAGGCAUAUUUGCAUAAUAAUAAUAGAUUGAUUAAGGAAACUUAAACUCAAAACUUAGAUUAGAUGUUUAGGCCAACCUAAGCUCCCAUUUAACUUAAGGAAUCGAGCCUAGAAGUAAUAAUUUCAACCACUCACUUGAUUGCUUUCUUUCAAUUGUCAAAGACUAGAUAAGCUUUUCUUUGCCCUUUGAUUUGUUCGUACAGGCUCCCGUUGGAUUAGACAAUUUGCAUACAUAUUUAAAAAAUUACAAACUCAUCAUUUAUAACCUUAAUCACAUUCAAACAACAUGAAGAAUCACAAAUCUAAGCUUUUCCCCUCCUAAUAUUAAAAUCUAACUAGUUAGUCGAAAUAAGAGAUUUUAGUAUUCAAUUUUUGUUUUUAGACCUUAAACUUGUUUCUAAAAUCCUAAACAUUAUUACAGAUCUAAGUUAUCAAAAGCACUUAAUUUAUCAAAUCUAACUUUUCAAAAAUUUAAGCAUGCAAGACUAAUCAAAGAGUAAGUUGAGUUUACAAACCUUAUAAUUAGUUUAGAAUAAGUUGAAAAUCAAUUUAAAAUAUCAGGUUAACUUCAUAUUUCGAGUUUCACCAUCUUUAAGCCAAUUUUCGAUCUGAAAGCUUUAGAUCUAUUGAAAUCUCGUAAGAAUUGAUCAAAUCUCAAAUUAUGAAAACAACAAGCUUAGAUUUAACAAUAUGAAUCAGAACAUUACCUCAAUUUAAGAAGAACGACGAAGUGUAGAUCUAGUUCAGUGAAAAAUGUUUGAGAAACAAUGAAGAAACAAAGAAUUUUCCUUAAGAUUGAAGGAAGAAAUGAUAAUGGGAAGGCUAGAAAAUUAGUAGGGAUGAGUUAAUUUUUAGAGAAAAACUCAGAUUUGGGCUUGUGAAAUUUUUUAAAUGAGGUGAGAAAAGCGGGAAUGUAGGGAGGGGUGUUUAAAUAGCUAAAAAAACUAAUUUUUAAAAAUAGGGGAAAUUUCCUCUUAAAAACUUUCAGCUUUCAGCAUGAACCUUUUUUCAAAUCAGUCCUUAGGUUUUAAUUAAACCCAUAUUUCUAAUUAUUUUCAAAUUCGGUUUUGUUUUUAAAAUCCGUUUUAAGAAAAUUAAUAGUCGAACCCUUAAUUUUAAUUUCCUGACCUAGAUUUUAGUCCCAAUUAUUAUUUUAUAAAAUUUUAUUUAAUAACUAUGAUCCUAAUUUAGGAAUCCAAAUCGAAUAUCCGGUCCACUAAUCCAAUUUUACUAACCCGACUUUUGGGAUGUGACACACUUCUAAUUUAUAUAGUGCUUAAUCAAUAAGAUUACAUUAUAUUGGUGUUAAAUAAUAAUUUUUACAAUGUAAAAAAGUAAAUAUAAAUACUAAACUGAUGACUGAAAAAUAAAAUUUAAUAAAAUAAAAUAUCUAAUUAAUGUAUUUAUAUAACACUAUUAUACACCAUUAGAUUCUGAAUUUAUCUUACCAACAACACCUAAUCUUUUUUUUUUAUUUCACCCUGUAAUUGAAGUCUUAGGGUGAACUUUUUUUUGGAUAAUCUUUACUUUUAAUUUUAAAAUUUUUUUGAGGAAAAAUUGAAAUGGAAAGCAAGAUAUUAGGGUUAUUAUAAAGAUUAAAUUUUUAUGCUUGAAAUUCUUUGAGUACUUGAAAUCAACCAAGAAAAAAUACCAAAAUUUUAUAAUGAAAUGGUUGACCAAUUUUUCAAUCAAUAAAAAUAACUAGCUAAUUGUUGUGCGGAAGGGUGUAAAAGAGAAAAAUUAUUGUACUAAAAAAUCACACUAAGUUCAAUUCCCAGGAAAGAGAGGUGGAUCACAAUGAUCGCUUAAGUACCAGGUCUUUCUUAGCCAGAAUUUCCCUCAAUCGUAAUUUAAUAGCACAAUAAAUCACUACAAUCACACUCACAAUUCAUGCAAAAUAAUACAAUAAAGAACACAAGAAUUUAACGAGGUUCAACAAAUUUUACCUACGUCCUUGGGCACUACCAAAUAUAUUUCACUCUAAAAUACAAGUGAGAAUUUAUAAAGAGAGAGAGAGAGAGAAAACAAUGCCUUAAGUAGAGAAUGGCAAAUUUGGGAUGAUGAAGAAGAGAAAUGAUUAGGCCUAUUUAUAGUUGAGGUUCAGAGAUCAAAAUUGCAAUUAUCUUAUGCCAAAUCUCAAUCCCACUUUUGGUGCCUUAAAUCUCAUAUUUUUGAUACCCAUAUCUUUCUGAUACCUAUAUCUUUCUGAUACCCAUAUCUUUGACUUUCUAUAAAUAUGGAUGAUUUCCAAUAAUCUCCACCUUGAAGAUUUGAUUCGAAUAAUCUUAUCUUCACACAAUUCUCUCUGUAUUUGUCAACAACACUUGAUAGUGCCUUCUUCAACUGUUAAACAUGCCCUUUCAUAAACUGAUCAAAUCACUUGUACCACUUCCUCGGAGAUGUUUCAAUCCAUAAAAUGACUUUGCCAGUUUGCAAACCCAAUUUUCUUUAUCAGCAACCUUGAAUCCAUCUGACUGAGUCAUAUAGAUUUCCUCUUCCAAAUCAUCGUGUAAAAAUGUGGUCUUCACAUCGAGCUGAACUAGUUCAAGGUCAUAUUGUGCAACCAAGGCUAGCAAAAUCCGAAUAGACGAAUGCUUCACAACUGGAGAAAACACUUCAUUGUAGUCUAUUCCUUCUUUCUAAGCAUAACCCUUUGUUUCCAAUCUAGCCUUGUAUCGAACUUCAUUUUACCAGGAAAUCAUUCAUUCUUUGUAUAUACACAUUUGCAUCCAAUUGCCUUCUUUCCAUUGGGUAGUGUCACCAACUCCCAAGUCCUAUUUUCAUGAAGAGACUUUAUUUUUUCAUUCAUAGCUUGCUUCCACUUUACACCAUCAGGGUUACUUCUUGCUUCUGUGUAAGUAGAAAGAAUAUCAUCAUCUGCAAUUGGAAGUGCAUAGGCCACCAUAUCAUCAAAGCGAGAAGACAUACGAAUCUCUCUUCUUGGCAUCUUAUUUGCAAUUGAAUCAUGUUGCUGUACAAGUUCUUGGGUUGAAACUUCUUCAUCAUUUGUUCCUUCAAUAUUAGUUGGAUCAUCAUUAACCUUUUCAAGCUCCACCAGCUGCAAAGUGCCACUGGUUUUGUUAUCCUUUUGUGAAUCCUUGUUCUUCAUCAUGGUUGAUUCAUCAAAAGUCACAUCUCUACUGAAAAAAAUAUUUCUUGUAUCAGGACACCAGAGACGGUAUCCUUUUACUCCACCAGUUAUACCCAUGAAUAAUGCUUUCUUUGCUCUUGGGUCUAACUUAGAUUCUUUUACAUGAUAAUAUACAGUGGAACUAAAAACAUGUAAAGAAUCAUAAUCAAUAGCAGGUUUACCAGCCCACCUUUCCAUAGGAGUUUUUCUAUUUAUUGCAGCUGAUGGCAACCGGUUAAUUAGAUGACACGCAUAUGUAGCUGCCUCAGCCCAAAAUUCCUUACCCAAUCCAACAUUGGACAACAUACAUCGAACUUUCUCCAAUAUAGUCUGAUUCAUACGUUCUGCCACCCCAUUCUGUUGUGGUGUAUCUCGAACAGUGAAGUGUCGCACAAUGCCCUCAUCUUGACAUACUUGUAGAAAUGGAUCAUUCUUAUACUCAAUACCAUUGUUUGAUCGAAGUCGUUUGACCUUUCGACCAGUCUGGGUCUCCACCAUCUUCUUCCAUUUCAGAAAUGCAUCCUAAACUUCAUUUUUCCUUUUCAUUAGAUACACCCAUACUUUUCAUGAAUAAUCAUCAAAAUAAGUAACAAAAUAGUUCAUACCUCCCAAAGAAGCCUCUUUAGUAGGUCCUCACACAUCACUGUGAACGUAGUCCAGAAUUCCUUUUGUAUUGUGAAUUGCUGAACCAAAUUUUAUCCUCAUCUGCUUGCCCAGAACACAAUGUUCAAAGAAUUCCAAUUCGUAAGAAUUUGCACCUUUCAACAAGCCUUGCUUCGCCAAACUCUGCAAAGCUUUUUCACCAGCAUGUCCCAAUCGCAUAUGCCAUAACCUGGUAGCCUCUGAAUCUGCAUCUUUCGCAAAAGUUGUUGAUGUUGAUCUAAUAACUGUACUUCUAUAUAAAUAGUACAGGUUAUUCCUUCUUGUUCCUUUCAUCACUAUCAAUACCCCAGCUACUACCUUUAGUAAUCUAUCUCGUAAAGUGAUUGUGAGCCCUUUAGAUUCUAGGACCCCUAAUGAGAUGAGAUUUCUCUUCAAGCUAUGUAUGUAGCGAACAUCUGCAAGACUUGAAUUGAGCUGUCGUGAUUCUUCAAUCGGAUUGUACCUACUCCCAUUUUCUUACAAGCAUUGUCAUUGCCUAUAAAAACAACUCCACCUUUUAUUUCUUUAAGACUAGAAAACCAGUCCUUAUUAGGACACAUAUGGUAAGUAUGUCCCGAAUCCAAAAUCCACUCAUCUGUAUGACAUGCCAUUGCCAUGCCAACCAAGCUAAAGUCUGACUCAUCAUGCUCCGCUACACAUGCAUAAAAAAUAGCCUUGCCCUUUUGUAACUUAGGACAAUUCUUUUUCCAAUGCCCUUUCUCAAGACAAAAAGUACAUUCAUCUUUGGCAGGUCUCCCUUUGGACUUACUCCUUCUACCAGAUUUGUUGCUGUGUGAAUGACCUCUUACUUUUAAGACUUCUGUAGUUGUAUCUCUGUAAUCUUUUUUAUCUUUCUUUCGAGUCUUAUAUCUAUACAACGUAAUAUAGACUGCAUCAAAUGUGAUUGUAUCCUUCCCAUGAAGCAAUGUGGUGGUAAGAUGAUCAUAUUCAUCAGGAAGUGAAUUCAACAACAAUAAUGCCUUGUCUUCUUCCUCAAAUUUCUCAUCCAAAUUUAGUAAGUCUGCUAAAAUUUUAUUGAAUGAGUUCACAUGGUCAUUCAUCGACAUACCGGGUGCAUACGUGAAUCGAUAAAGUUUCUUUUUCAUAUAAAGCCUAUUUUCAAGACUUUUUUGUUAGAAACUUUUCUUUUAGUGUAUCCCACAACUUCUUCGCUGAUGUCUCUCUUAUGACAGAGUACUUCUGCUCUUUGGCCAAACAUAGACGAAUUGUUCCACAUGCCUGUCUAUUGAUCUUGGCCCACUCCUUGUCAUCCAUCUUGGUAGGCUUUUCUUCAAGGGCUAUAUCCAGCUCUUGCUGACAUAAGACAUCCAGGAUCUCAUAUUGCCACAUACCAAAAUUAUUGGUACCAUCAAAUUUCUCUACUUUAAAUUUUGCAUUGGUCAUAGUAGUCUUUGCUGAUGACGAUGCCUUUUCCAUUUUUCUUGUCAAUCCUAACUAUUGUACGUGAACAGUACCGUGAAUGAUCGUAUUCCCCAAGUACGAAUCUAGCUCUGAUACCAAUUGUUGUGCGAAAGCGUGUAAAAUAGUAAAAUUAUUGUACUAAAAAAUCACACUAAGUUUAAUUCCCAGGAAAGAGAGGUGGAUCACAAUGAUCGCUUAAGUACCAGGUCUUUCCUUGCCAGAAUAUCCCUCAAUCGUAAUUUAAUAGCACAAUAAAUCACUACAAUCACACUCACAAUUCAUGCAGAAUAAUACAAUAAAGAACACAAGAAUUUAACGAGAUUCAGCAAAUUUUGCCUACGUCCUCGGGCACUACCAAAUAUAUUUCACUCCAAAAUACAAAUGAGAAUUUACAAAGAGAGAGAGAGAGAGAAAACAAUGCCUUAAGUAGAGAAUGUCAAAUUUGGGAUGAUGAAGAAGAGAAAUGGUUAGGCCUAUUUAUAGUUGAGGUUCAGGGAUCAAAAUUGUAAUUAUCUUAUGCCAAAUCUCAAUCCAACUUUUGGUGCCUUAAAUCUCAGGUUUUGAUACCCAUAUCUUUCUGAUACCUAUAUCUUUCUGAUACCCAUAUCUUUGACUUUCUAUAAAUAUGGAUGAUUUCCAAUACUAAUACCCAAAUUAAUUAAUCUUAAUAACCCUAAUCUCUUGGUUCCAUGUCAAUUGUUUUGCUCAAAAAAAAAAGAAAUUAAAUCUAAAACCAUAAUACUUUAAUUACAUGGUGAAAAGGAAAAAAAGGGAAAAAUUAGGUGUUGUUUGUUUUUAUUUUAAUAAUGUAAGAUAAAUAUAAAAUUUAAGGUUCAAAACUAUUUAUUUUGAUCUAAUGACUAAGAUAUUUUGAUUCUCAUGAUAAUAGAAAAUGUUGAUUAGAAAAUUACGUAAUCAAUUGAAGUUUUUCCUAAAAAAAGUUUUAUUUCCAAUGAAUAUAUUAAAUUUAAUAAAAAAUUAUGAUUAUCUUGAAAUUAAUGUUAUUUGUAAUUAUUUGUCUGCCUCAACAAAUUAUAAAGACAAACGACAUUAUUCUAAGUAUCCUACAUAAGCAAGGUUUGCUUAUUUGGAGAGAUCCGCUUUGGUGUAUAUAUAUAUUAGAUUAUAAAAUUUUCCAAUGUUUUAUUUAUUUAGUUAUUUUAUUUUUCAACCCUAUCAAAUAAUAAAAUUAUUAUUAUUUCUUUACAUUUUCUCAUCUUUCUUUUCUUUAAUCUUCAAUUCUCCACCUUUUUAAUUUUUGUCUAUUUAAUCAUAUAAUCUGAAGUUUGAUUUUUACUCAUAUAAUUGAUCAUUAUUAUCGAUAAUAAAUACCUAAAUUGUGACAAGAAAAACUUUAAUUCGGGCCCGCGAGGGUGAAGUAUUUAGCCAUUUAAUCAAAAUAAUAUUGCAUGGACCAAUUAAUGGUGUUUCGAUCAAUCACAAUUAAGCAAUUAUGUGGUUUUCCAAAUUACAAUAUAAUUAUCUAAAAGGAAAUUCUAAAUCUAUAGGAUCAUUUUACCAAUAAAAGCCUAUUUUCAAUUUUAUUUAUGGAAAGGGACCGAAAACUACAAAACACAUCCACGUAAGAGCGUUUUAAGGAGAAAUUUCAGCAAAUCACGUCCUUGAGGGAGCGAUUUUGCCAUGUCAGCACAAAAACGAGCUGACAUGGACGCGCUUUCCUGACGUGGCAAAAUCGCUCCCUCAGGGACACGUUUUAGCCCAUGUUUUUCCAGGGUUAGGGCUAUUUGCAUGUUUAGUGCCUAGGGUUUGUGGGGGGUUUUAGGAUUGUAGUGUUAGUGUUUUGUUAAAAUAAUUUAGGGUUUUAUUUAUUUAGUGUUUAAAAAUUUUAAAAAAUAAAUCAAGGUUUAGAGUUUUUUUAAAUAAUUAAAUUAGGUUUUAGGGGUUUUAAAUAAAUAAAUAAAAUCAGGGUUUAGAUUUUUUAAGAAAAUUAAUUAAAUUAGGGUUUAGUUUUUUAAAUAAUUUUGUGUUUAGGUUAAGAGUUUAGCAAAAAAAAUUGACAAGAAGGAUUUUAUUUUUUUUACAGUAGUUCCUAAAAAAAUUUUUUUAAGAAGAUGGUUCUAAAAAAAUAGUUUCAAAAACGCUUCAAGCAGGAUGUAUUGUCACAAAAUUACUGAAAAAAGAUCCCACGUGGAUGCUCUUUUUCUAUAGCAGUUCCUGAAAAAAUAAUUUUGAGAAGACGGUUUUAAAAAAAUAGUGUCAAAAACGCUUCAACCAGGAUGCACUGUCAGCAAAAUUACUGAAAAAAGCUCCCACGUGGACGCUAUUUUUCUACAGUAGUUUCUAAAAAAUAAUUUUGAGAAGACGAUUCCGAAAAAAUAGUGUCAAAAACGCUUCAAACAAGAUUCACUGUCAGCAAAAUUAUUGAAAAAAGCUCCCACGUGGACACUUUUUUCUACAGUAGUUUCUGAAAAAAUAAUUUUGGGAAGACUGUUCUAAAAUAAUAGUGUCAAAUAUGCUUCAAACAAGAUGCACUGUCAGCAAAAUUAUUGAAAAAAGCUUCCACGUGGACGCUUGUUUACUACAGUAGUUCCUGUUUGACCUUAAGUUAUAAAUGAAUCAAAUUUCAUUCUUAUGUUGCAUAAGUUAUAGCAAGAAAAAUUAGAGAGACUAAGCAGAAUAGAAAUUAAAGAUGAGUGAACGUAUUAAUGCUGUUAUUUACUAUGAUGGUGAGGUCCAUGACACCGAGAACGACAUUGUUUUUUUCUAUCGGAGAACACAACGCGAUUGGUUUUUAACCAGAACAUAGAUUUGACAGAACUUCGUAAAAGACUUAGGCGCAAAAUCUUCGGAAUGACACCAAUGAGAGUUUCAUCUAUUAAGUAUCAAUUUUGUGCUUCGGUUGAUCCCGUGACAUAUGACUCAUUUGAUAUCAAAAGUAGUCGUAGCUUAGAGGCGAUGGUACAGACUCAUCUCGUUAGUGGAUCACCCUAUCUAGAGUUAUAUGUACAAUUUUCAUCGCCAAAUGAAACAUUUACGACUUCAACAUCUACUGCUGUUCGAGAGGAAUAUAGACCCCCUACUCGACACUCCAUUAGUGGGAGGCAGAACACGGAAACGCCCAUGUUUAGUGGUAGUAUGAAAUAUAUAACUCAUGCACGACACUUAGUUAGUGGAUGAGACAUGUACCUUGAUGGGUCGAUGUUCGAUGCUGGAAAUAUGUACUGGGGGAAUGACAUCAACUUCUAGUGGUUGGCAAUCCACAUCUGAUUGGGGAUGUUACGAAACAUCCACAAGUAGGGAUGAUAUACUCCUUACGACGUCUACCGACGAGGAGACCUCGUACGUUGCAGAUGAUGGUGGGUUAGAUGAUGAGUCCGAUAUGGAUUCACCUCGAGAGCCCAACCCUGAUAGUGCAGAAGUUGCAUUAUUUUCUAAACUGUAGCCUGUUCCAACCGAACCUGAAGACAGUGAAAGGGGUUCAGAUGAAGAAGAAGAGAAUUCGUGAUUCAGGGUGUACUCGUCUCCAGCCCAAAUGCAUAAUAUUGAUCUAUCAGCAGAUGAUGUGUUGGAGUUUCUAGAUCUACCACACAGUAGGCGUGACCGUAGAAGUUCUUCAUUAGAUUCGGGUGAAUUGGAAGUUGGUAAGGAGUUUUCCAGUAAGGAUAGUUUUCUUGGUGCAUUGAAACAACAUAGCAUCAUGAAUGGGGUUGACUACCAUGUGGUUAAAUCCAAAUCUGAGAAGUUUGAGGCCAAGUGUGCAGUGCAAGACGGUACAUGUUCAUGAAAAAUCAUGGUUUCAGUUAGGAAAAAGAUAGGCUUGUGGGAGAUAAAAAAGUACAAAGGUCCAUAUACCUGUGUUGCCGGUACAGUAUCACUAGGGGACCGUCCAAGCAAUCUAUGGCAUACUAGUAGUGUCAGGUGCUGGAGAGGUACGUUCUAGGUUGCAUAAUAGACCUUAAAACAGGCCCUACGUACUUCAACGACCGAUUGCUCCAUGGAUGCCAAGUGUUCAAGCGUUUGUUCUAGAGUUUUAAGUAAUGUCAGAACGUAUUUGUGUAUUGCAAGCUGUUGGUACAAAUUGAUGGUACCUUUAUGUAUAGUAGAUAUACCCAUCUGCUAUUGCUACCUGUGGCACAGGAUGGCGGUGGGAGAAUCCUUCCAAUUGCAUUUGCAAUAGCACCAGAGGAGUCAAGUAAUGACUGAGAUUUCUUUCUUUCUAGGUUAAGGAGGCAUGUCUGUCCCUAACUUGAUAUCUACGUUAUAUUGGAUCGGGGGCACUAGAAUACUAGUGGCAAUUGAGUGGUAGGGAAGCCUAUGGGAUUGCACACACCAUUAGUAUUGUCUAAGACACAUUGCGUCCAACUAAUACAGGUAAUAUUGGUCUACCACUGAACGACGACAAGUGACCAACAUGAGUAUUUAAUAUCUAUUAAUAUAAUUUCGUUUGUAAUAGUCAAUUUAUUCUGAAUGGAAGAAUGGUAUGUAAUUUUCGCUAUCAACUUAUAUUGGCAGGGUAAGAGGUCAAUAAGGACCGUUUUCAUGAGAUGUUAACGAUUUUAAGGUUAGUUAACAAACAAGGUGUAGACUAACUUUGUAACAUAUCUUUCAAUCAGUGGACACAAGCAUACGAUGAUAGCUUACGAUAUGGUCAUAUAACCUCAAACCUGGCUGAAUACAUAAAUUUUAUUCUAAAAGGAAUAUGUCAUUUUCCGAUAACCUCGGUUGUGUGAGAGACAUAUUUUCUUUUGUCGGCACUAUUUCCAAAGCAAGCAGCGAGUUAUAAAUGCCAAAUGCAAGGAGGCCAUGUGUUGUGCCGAAAGGUAUUGUAAGAAAUUAACAAGGGGAAUGCAUGGACAAUACUAUGCAUACAGUGUGUCAUGGUCGUGACAACCUAUGGUUUCAUGUGACGGAGUUUGACAGACCGAACCAAGUUAUUACUGGCGGACAAUAUCCUGCACACUUGAGAAAUAGGACUUGCGACUGUGGGACGUUUGACGCACUUCGUUAUCCAUGCGCUCAUGCAAUUAUAGAUUGUCAGAAUCUCCGUUUGGAUCCCAUAAGCUAUGCGAUGAAGUGUACAAAAUAAAAUACAUGUACAAUGUGUGGAGACACGUAUUCCCACCGGUCCUAGAUGAGUGUAAGUGGCCUUCUGUAUCGCUUGCUUCGUUUAAGUUGUUAUCGGAUAUAGAAUUGCUUCGCAAACCAAAAGGUCGACCUUGCUUGAGUAGAAUACAUAAUAAUAUGGACAUCCGAGAAAGAACAAACCAAUAGAAGUUGUGCGAAUGGUGUAGGAACCCAGGUCAUACAAUUCAAACAUGUCCAAAUCGAAAUAGUUCAUAAUUGUUUAAAUGAAACUAUGUUGAAUUAUUUCUAUUGCCUUAUUCAAAAAAACUUCUAUUUUAUUAAAUAGGGCAAAAUAUAAAAAUAAUUUACUAUUAAAAUAUUUAAAACAAUUUUUAUUUUAUUAAAUGAAACAAUAUAAAAAAAUUGUACAAAUAUAUUAAAAAAAUUAAUGUAUGUGCCAGUUGGGAUCAGUGCGACAUGGGGGUGGUUGAUGGUUACGCGAUAGAUUCCUCCUUGGUUCAGCUUCCGGCGAGGGUUGUGGUUACUCCGACGGAGGGUGUGGUUGUUUUGGUUUUGGGUGUUGGGAGGAUGACCCACCUUGAUAGACUAAAGAAUGCAGAGGUGUUUGCAUCACCCACGACGGAAGUGUUUGAAUCCAAUAAGGUAAUGGGGAUUGGUAAAGAGUGAGCUCUUCGACGGUGCCUUGUGCGAUCCCUCCUGCGAUGAUGACUUAUAUAUCCUCGGUUGAGUCGGAGUUAUCGGGAAGUGAGAUGCACCGAGUCAUGCGUUCCAACCUCGCAUAGGAGUGGAAAAAGGAAACAUAUAAAGGUUAGGAUACAUAUAAGGGCUAGGAUACGCACCUGGCAUAAUCUGAAGGGGUUGUGGUAUGGCUGUCGUCGCUUGAGGUGUUGGGCUUAGUGAUUGUGUGGACGCUUUUGAUGGGCCCGUGUUGUCAUUCCUUCUCAUUGGAUUUAAAGGGCCUCGUCUUUCCUUUUUAACAUGGAUUUGCCGAUACCUCUACUCUUUCGACAGUAAAUAUGGCUUGCCAUAGAUCUUAAACCAUGGCAUGUAAUCUGGUGCGCACGCCAACUUUGGAACGAUGAUUAGUUCGCGAUUAGGUAUAUAACCAUAUCGAUUUUUCCAAAUUUCAAUAUAUUUCGAAAGAAUACCAGCCAAUUCAUAUUCGAUUACCGUAAGUCGAUUUUAUGCUCAUCAUCGAGCACCUUAGGUGUCACGGGAAUCGAUUGUCAAAAUCUAAAUUGUGGCAACACUCUAUCUGUCUGGUGCAUCUUGACAGUAGCAUAGUUGACAAAUGAGACCUUAACAUGCCAAAUGUUCAAAUUUUGAAAGAAUUCAUCCGCAAUUACUGCCCAAAUUAUCGGAUCCUUGUAUGGUGUUCAUUGAAACUAUAUGAACAUGAUAAAAAUAGUAGUUAUAUACAUAAUACUAAAUAGUAAAUAUGAAACAACUAUGUUAUGUAUGUGUAUUUUAUUUAAUACUUACAUGCGUUUCCGACCGUUUAUCUAAUAGAAGCUGUAUAUCUUCAAGAGCGGUAGGGAUUCUGACAUAACUCGUCGAAUGGUUCCACCUAAUUAAAUAAACUUUUAGCAUAAAAUUAUAUUUUAAAUAUAUGUAAUAAUUGUAAAAUCUAAUAUAAAAUUUACCUCGUUAUGACUGGAAAUGUAUAUGAGUGGUUCACUCGAGGACAUAAAAAUGGAAAGCAAAACCUAGCCCAUGAUUGUAGUAGUGAUAGGCAACCUCUGAUUUUGGCUUUAUUUGGUUUCGUCGCUUCCUACAUUUCUCGGUACAAUGUUGCCAACACGGCAGACCCCCAACUAAGUUCGCCAGCUGCUCUAAAAUCAACGAGUUUCAGAAGUCACCUUAGAUGUACCAGGUUUCGUGACAAGUCUGACAUCAGAUAACCUCCAAUCAUCUCAAGGAAGUAUGCCCGAGCAUAUCGUACUUUCUACUUCAGUCGAAUCAUUCCCUGACUCUGGGAAUGUGUCUCGUAACUAGCCCAUCUCGAUCUAACCAAGUAAAUAUUAUCCAGAAUCGCACCCAAAAGAUCGUAGCAUAUGACUCUCCAAUUAGCACAUUGAACGGACCCGGUGAGUACGGACCCAUCCACCGGUAAUCCCAAUUGUAACUGCACGUCCUCCAAAGUGAUGGUACACUCUCCACAUGGAAGAUGAAAUGUGUGCGUCUCGGGUCUCCACCUUUCUAUUAACGCGCUUAUGAGUUUUGGGUCUAACUUGCACCCUCGGCCUAUAUUGGCCACGUGCCAAAAACCCGCUUCCCUCAAGUAAUUUUCUAUCAACGAUGAUGGAGGACCAGACAUAUUACGAAUAUAACAUUGUAACAACCGAUCUAUGGACUGUUAUAAAAAAUUAUAAAAUAAAAAUGAAUUAAAAUUACAUAAAUGAAAAAGUAUUAAAUAAUAUUCAAAAAUUAAAAUUAACUCUUACCAUUUUCAUUUGUUCGACGGAGAUAUGUUUAUGAUCGAGACGAAUUAAUUCUCUGGCCAUUGCUAACACGAUCAAAUAUUUUUGAAAUUAUAAAAAAAUAAUACUAAUUUAGAAAAAAAAUUAAAGAAAAUAAUUAAUUAAAGAGAGCUUUGAGAAAUUUAGGGAGAAAUUUGAGAGCUUUUUUGAGAAAUUUGGAAGAAAUGUUGUGUGAAAAAAAAAGGAGGGCGGGUUUUUAUAGUUUUUUUUGACUGUUGGACCCCCAACGGUUAAAAUUUUAAAUGACUGUUGGAAAAAAACACAAGCUAAAUCACGUCCCUGAGGGAGCGAUUUUGCCACGUCAGCAAAGCGCAUGCACGUCAGCACGUUCUGUGCUACAUGACAAAAUUGCUCCCUUAAAGAGGUGCUUUGCUGAAAUUUCCCUUUAAAACACUUCUACGUGGGUGCGUUUUGUAGUUAUUGGCCCAUUCUGGUAAAUAAUGAAAAAAGUGACCCAUUUCCGUAAAUAAAGUUAGAAAUGGGAUUUUAUUGGUAAAAUGCUCAAAUCUAUAUAUAUACUAUAAUAAUGGUUUAGAAGAAAAUUUAGUCUAUUUUAUGUAAAACACAAGAGUUAACAAAAACCAAUUAAUCUUAAUAUUUUUCUUGUAACAGUAAUUAUUUUUGAAACCUUAGUUAAUUUAUUUAUUCUUCCAAAUUUUAUUUACACACUGAACAGCGUUAAAGUGAUUUUUACUUAGUUUUAAUAAAAUCUAUAAUUCAUGCAUAUUUGAUCAUCGUUAAAAAAACAAAAUUUAAAAGUCAUGCAUGCUAACAAAACAAAACCCUAAGUCCCAUGCCACGGUUAAAAUAAAACAAUAUAGUUUUUGCAUAAUAAAAAUAACAAACAGUAAUUUUAAAAUAUUUUAACAAAUAAGAUCAAGCCGAGACUCUCCAAAUGCCAUGUCCGCAUCCUAACCUGGUGGGUUAUCUGUAAAGAUGGAAAUUAAAAAGGGAGUGAGAUAUGAAGGUCAGUGUGAGUUCAGUCACAAGAAAAUCGGAACAUAACAACAAACAAACAAAGCACAUGGAUUAGAAAUUCUGAGAUUAAAUGCAACCAUAAAGCACCUCAGAUUAAUAGCUUUUCAAAUAAAACACAUCACAUUCAAAGUUUUAUAUGCACGUGCUUAUGAAUGCAAUGCAAUUUCAAUUUAACAAAAAAAUCCUAUCCAACUUCGCUACACUCCUCAUUUAUGAGUUCCCUAGAACUCAUCUACCAUAUCACUCUGGAUCGUGGACGAGCCACCGCUGAUUUGCAGAUAAAUUGCCACUUUGUAAAGAAAAAACGUGGGUAAACCACUAGUAUUUUAGAUAAAAACAUUUGCCGUUAUUGUCACUUGUUGUGAGUGCACAACAUGGUUGUAGAUUAAACAAACUUCCGCUGGAUUUUGUUGACAAGCCACCACUUGUUUGCAAAUUUAAUAAACUGCAACUUCCUUUGUAUAAUUUCCCGCCCCAUGUAAUGCACUAUGUCAUGCUUUGUAUUAUAAAAAAUCAAUUAGUAGUAGACAUAACAUGUACUCAAUUCAUCACUAACACUUAACAUGCUUAUCGAAAAACUGGACUUUUCAACUUGUACUCAAUUCAUCACUAAAACUCAAGCGCGAAGAACAUGAUAAGCAAGAAUUAAUAUCAGUUUUCAAGAUUCGUAAAGAUUUUUGGAAUUAUCGACAAGAUUCGUAAUAGAUCGUUUAAUUGAUCUUAAAAUUAACAUGAAUAAAAAUUCUACAGCUAUUUGAGAUUUAAACAUCGAGAUUUGGAAUUUCUUACCUAUCUUGGCAAUGAUAGAGAUGAAAUUUGACGACGUUACACUAAACCAAUAAGAAGAACGAUUGAGUAGAGAUCGAUUUCGAGUUCGGGAUCAAAAUAAAAUUUUAGCAAUGAAAGAAAAAAAAUAUUUGCAAAAGAGAGCAUGAAAAAGAAAAAAGGGGAAGAAAUAGGAAAAGAAAAAGAAAGCAAAAUUUUAGUUCAUUUAGGAAAGAAGACUAGAAUUCUAUUUUGAUUAGAAUGAGAUUAAAUACCUAGUUUUUCAAAAUUUGAGAGGCUUCUUGGGCAAUUAACCCUUCUUGCCGAAACAAUAAAGGGGAAAGGAAAUAGGGAAGUGUUUGGCAUGACUUGAACCUUGGAAGGAAUGCAAAGGCCUUACCAUUUAGGCUACUACCCAUACUUAGAAUAUUUCUACCGCAUUUAAUAUAUAUUUUAGUUGGGUUUUGUUCAUUGGUUGCUAAAAAAUAAAAUAGAAGAAAAUGAGAAGAGUGUGGCUUGAACCUAAGACUUCUAGGGAGUAUACUAAGCUCUUAACAAUUUAGUAUAUAUCUUAUUUUUUGGUCAUUCUUUUCAUUUAACCCCUAAUUUUUGGGGAGUUACAUUGUUGAUCUAACAAUAGCUAGAUAUUUUUAACCUCGACUUCCUAUUCAAAUAUUUUUUUUAAAAAAAUUGGCCUAAUUAAAUAAUAUUAUGAUAAUUAUAUUAUAAUUAAUUUUACAUUAUUACGAGUGGGAAGGUAUAAGGGUAGUUGGCUUGGGGAUGUAAAAAGGAUAGCUGGAAUCAUGCCCAUGGCUGUAAAAGUAGUAUGCAACAACCAAUUUUAAUUUUUUGUGGUUGCAUUGCUUAACACAUCUCUCAGUACAACACCGCCAACAUGGCUGACCCCCAACUGAGUUGGCUCGCUUCUUUCAAGUCGACGAGUUGUAAUAGCCACCUUAAAUGUAUGAGAGUUCGAGAGUUAUCAAGGAUUAGAACACCUCUAGUUAACCUCAGUAUGUACAUUUGGGCAUGUUGAUCUCUUUCAAGGGGACUCGAACUCCCGUAGAGAUUUUGGAAAUUUUCUUGCAACCAUUUUAUCUCUAUCUGGCCACUGAAAAACUUUUUCGACACCUUACCUAACAGUAUCUUGCAAAUGCUACUCCAAUCGCCGAUGACCACUGAUCCAAUAACGACUAACCCAUCCAUCGGUAAACUGAACUAGAAUUGAACAUCCUUGAGUGUGAUUGUACACUCAUCACAUGGAAGAUAGAAUGUGUGUGUCUCAAGUCACCAUCUUUCCACCAAUGCGCUGAUAAGUAUGGGGUCCAAUUUACAAAUAAAGACAUGUGCAAGAACCUCGCAACGUCCAAAUAAGGUUCAAUCAUAUGCGAUGGCCUCGUAGAUAUAUUGUGUAUACAUGUCUCCAAAAUCUGAUCUUCGGCUUAAUUAUAAAAAAAAAUCUUUUUAACAACUUAAUAAUGAAGUUAAAUAAAUUUAUAAAAAUUAGUAAUAUAUUUUCUUACCAUUUGCAAUUGAAUCGCGGAAAUGUGAUUGUUAUCGAAAGGAUUAAGAGUAUUUUUCAUUCCAAAUUGAAUUAAAACAAAUGAAAAUCGAAAGACAAAAUUAAACCAAGACGAACUUGAGAGAAUUUUAAAUAAAUUUUUAGAACUAAAUUCUUGAGAGGUUUGAGAGAAUUGAUAGAAAUGAAUUUGAAUAAAAAAAUGAGGAAAAAGUUUGGGUUUAUAUGGAAAAAAAAAAGACAAAUUUUUAUGGUCGUUGACAAUUCGAUUGUUGAGGGAAAAUUUGUCUAACUGGAUGGGUUUUUUGCUGACGGUGCAGGAAAGCAUGCUCAGUGGGACGUGUUUUCUCCUCUCUCUUCAAGAUUGACCUAUUCUAAUAAAUAUGCUCCAAAUGAAUCUAAUCACUCAAUUAAUUAUGAAAUUUGGCAUUUUUGCCUAAUUUAGCCUACAUAUCUACCUAACUUUACUUUUAGUGUUUAAAGUUUUUUUUUGAACUUAAGAAUUUAUAUUUGAUCGUUUGAAAAUUUAUAUAUUUCGAAUAAGUUAAAUGGUAUUAUUUUAUAAAAAAAUAAAAACUGAAAAUAAUUUAAUUUUAAAUCAUAUAACAUUACCUAAUUAUGUGAUAUUCCAUAAAUUUUGUGGGGUUGUGAAUUUAAAAUUUAUUAGAAGGUUGAACCGAAAAAUGUAGUGAGAUUAAUAUUUUCUUUUCGUUAGCCAUUCAAUUGAGAAAUUAAUCAAAUAAAUUUGUUAAAGGUUUUUUUUUUCAAUGAAUGUGUUAAAUUUCAAUUCAUAUCCAAUUUAUUUAUUGUGGGGGAAUUCAAUGUCUAAACUAUAGGUUAGGCAGUUAUUCGGUGGCUAAUCAACUUGAGUAAAGCUCACUUUAUAAAUCGCAAAUGUACACGAAGGUUUUAGGGAUAUUAUUAAAUUAGUCCUUCUACUAUUAAAUGGAUGAAUUUAGUCAUUGUUAAAAAGAAGGUUUAAUGAUUUUUUUGGUUCUACAACUUUAUAAAGAAAGUCAUUUUAGUCCUUAAUUUAAUUUUUCGUCUUUAGUGACCCUUAAACUUACAUUUUUUUUAUCAAAUCACCUAAAAUAGAAGAAAAUGUUAACAUUUUUUUACUUUAGUGAUGUGACAUAGAUAUAGAUUGCUGACAUGGCAUGUAUGUGUAUUAUCACGUGGAUGACACAUCAACAUUUAAUUAAUUUUUUAAAAUUUUAAAAAUAAAAAAAAAUAUUUUUAAAAAUUAAAAAGUAUAAAAAAUAUUAUUUUUAAUAUUUUUAACUUAAAAAAAAUAAAUAUUGACAUGUCAUUCACACAUCAAUCCACGAAUGCCAUGCCAUCAAAAUUAACAUUUGUUAAGUACUUUUUCCAUCUAUUUUGGUGUCAAUAAAUUAUAUUUUAAAUUAAAAAAAUUAUAUUUGAUGGUUUGAAAUUUUAUAUAUGGUAAAUAAAUUAAAUUAUAUUUAUUUUAUAAAAAAUUUAAAAAUACAAAUGAUUUAAUUUUAAAUUAUAUGACAUUACAUAAUUCACUGAUAUUCCAUAAAUUUUGUGGGGUAUAUAACAUAUGGAAAAUGUAGUGAGAUUAAUAUUUUCUUUUCGUUAGCCAUUCAAUUUAGAAAUUAAUUAAAUAUAUUUUUUAAAAGUUUUUUUUAAUGAAUGUGUUAAAUUCCAAUUCAUUUAUUGUGGGCGAAUUCAAUGGACUAAACAAUAGGCUAGGCAGUUAUUCGGUAACUAAUCAAUUUGGUAAAGCUCACUUUAUAAAUAGCAGGCUAUCACACAUUUAUUUCCAUUUCUUGGAGAUCCUAGUCAUCAGCAUGUUACGAUUGAAAUGGACUGGUGAAUACAACCUUAAUGCCUUACACAAUGCUCCAUGGAGAUAAACUAAAUUCUUUACCUCAUCGACAUUGAAUAGCCGCCUCCUUCUGGUUUCUCCUAUAGGUAUUUUUUAUUCAAGUUCUUCUAUGAUUUUGUUUUCCACUAUUGGAUGCUUGGAAACUAGCCAAGUGAACCAAGUAAGAGCAGUGCUCGUCGUGUCCUUCGCAGCAAUUACCAUAUUUAGAGCGGUGUCUCUCAAGAACUUAUCAUCACAUUUCAAACCUGUUGAUUCCUUUUCAGUUAUGUAAGAUGUUUAAGAUAUCCACACCAUCUUCUGAUACCAACUCCUGGUUCAGCUUGUUCGCUUCUUUUCUUUUCUGACAUAUAUAUUCAGCUAAUACAUCAUCAAGAACUUUCCAUGCCUUCUUGUCCUAUGUUCAACCACUUGAUCUGCAACUUAGUAAAGCUUCGUGGUCUAACAUGCCGAUAAAAUAUUGCUUGCUCGACAUCAUCCACGGCCUUGGAGAAAAGAACUUGAGGGAGUUCAAGGGAGAGGCAACUAGGAUCAUAACCGAGUUGAACAUGGACAGUUCAAAAAAUGUUAAAAACCGGACCGAACAUAUAUCACCCAUAUUAUUAGUAAUCAUAUUAUCAAUUACCCAAUGUUUUUUAAAUUGGACAGAUGGUCAAAUUGGUUAGCCCAUCGGUUCGAUUAAAAAUUAUUAAAAACUCAUAAAAUUUAAAAAAAUCUGGUUCAACCGAUUUUUAGUCGGCAGAAUUGAUUUUUUAGUCAAAUCAACCAAUUCGCAUCAGUUUCUAGUCGAAUCUGUUCAAAGCCACUCACCAUACCGGUCCCCGACUGGUUCCUGGUCCGACUAGUCGGUCCGGUCUGGUUCAAACAACAUUGUUAAUUACUUUCUUGGACAAACAUAUUACAUAUGAUUACUUAAUUUUAUUUUUUGUUGCUCAUUUAGAAAUUUUUAUUAUAUCGAUAAUUUUUUAUGAUAAUUAACAUUUUUUUAAAAGUAUAAUAACAAUUUUUAAUAUCACAUAUGACAUAAAAAAUUAUAAUAUAAUUACAACCUAUCAAUCAAACACGUUUAAAAAAUUAUAUUUAUUUUGUAAUUACAAAAGCGCAAUUACUAUCAUUAUAAUUGCACUUGUUAAGUAUGACUCCUAUUUUCAGUCAAAUUUGAAAAAUAAUCUUUUAGUUAAACUCUAUUUAUUUAUUUCAGUCAAACACUGAUUAGUUUAGAUUAUUUUAUUAUUAUUUGACAUAUGAAUUUAGCCUAUAAAUAGGCUCUUGUACAACCUUAGAUACUACACCCAUUAGAGAUUAGAACUCAUAACACAUUCAGAGAAUUUUGUGUUUACGUUUUGAGGGUUCUUUGUUUUUCGGGUUUUCGGGGUUUAGUUUUAUCUCCAUCUUUUGUACUCUUCAUUCUUUUGCCAUUAUAGUAAAUUAUCUUUGCCAGUGGUUUUUUUUAUCCUCUUUGGAGGGGUUUUUCCACGUUAAAUUUGUGUGUUCAUAUUCUCAAUUUCUUCUGCUAUUUUUACUUGUUUGUUGCUUAAUCGGGUCGAUACCUAACAAGUGGUAUCAAAGCUAGUUCAAAGAUCAGUCUAUUCAGAUAUGACAACAACAAGGUUUGAAAUUGAGAAGUUCGAUGGUGAGACAAAUUUCAAUCUGUGACAAGUUCGGAUGAUGGCAAUUUUAGUUCAAUCCGGUUUGAAAAAGGUUGUUACCGGGAAAAAGCCUGAGAAUCUAAAUAAAACAGAAUGGGAAGAGUUUGAUGAAAAUGCUUUGUCUGUAAUCCAGUUGUGCCUCGCGAAUACGGUAUUGCAGAAGGUAUUGAUGGAGAAGACCUCAUUCGCCUUGUGGAAAAGGUUAGAAACUCUUUAUGCGACUAAGUCUCUGGCUAACCGUUUAGUGUUGAAACAACGUCUAUUUACGUUUCGCAUGAACGAAGGUGAGCUUCUUAGAGAUCACAUCAGUCAAUUCAUUACUCUUUUAAAUGAUUUAAAGAACGUUGAGGUUCAUAUUGAUGAUGAAGAUCAAGCUAUGCUAUUAUUGUGCUCUUUACCCCCUUCAUACAAGUCUUUCAGGGAGACCCUGAUUUAUGGCAAAGACAAAAUCUCGUUCGAAGAUGUGAAGGGUCAUUUGUUGACUAGAGACAAACUCGACAAUGAGCUUCAUUUGGAUAGUAAGGCAGAUAGGCAAGCUUUCGUUUUGGUAGCAUCAAAGAAACGAGACAAAAUGUGUCGCUAUUAUAAAAAGUUAGGUCACUUCAAAACAGAUUGUUAUAAACUGUGAAAUAAAAGAGCUGCUGAGAGUAACGAGGAAGAUGUAGCUAAUGCUAAUUUGGCCGAUGAAAGCGGUGAUGAUUUCUUGUUAGUGUCAAUGAGCGAUAACUCCAAGCUCACGUUCGAGUGGAUCCUAGAUUCGGGAUGUUCUUUCCACAUGUGUCCCAAUAGAGAAUGGUUCUCUACAUACAGUUCGGCUGAAGGUGGAGUUGUGCGCAUGGGAAACAAUUCAUCUAGUAAGGUAAUUGGUAUUGGUACUGUUAAAAUUAGGAUACACAAUGGGACGAUUAGGACACUCUCAGAUGUCAGGUAUGUACCUGAUUUACGAAAGAAUCUCAUCUCCUUGAGUAUUUUAGACUUGAAAGGAUGCAGAAUCAACAUCAAGUCAAGCGACAUUAAAGUAUCUCGUGGAGCUCUCGUUUUGUUAAAAGGUAAAAGAAUUGGCAGUCUUUAUAUUCUGGAAGGUUCUACAGUGACCGGUGAAAUCAGAUGUCCCUCAUCCGUUACAGAGUCAAAGUCAACUCGUUUGGAGCGGACGCAACUUGGUCAUAGGAGGGAAAAAUGUAUGACCGUUUCGUUGAAGAGAGGUUCUCUUUUGGAUACAGGUUUUGAAAAGUUAGGGCACUGUGUUCGUGAAAAUCAGACCCGGGUUAGUUUUGAUUUGGCAGUGUAUAAGUCGAAGACUAGAAGUCUUCCAGUUUCUAAGCAUAGAUUCGACUCAGUUAAUUCCCUGCAUAGUUCAAGAUAGGCUCGUGGCGGGCUUUGGCAAAGAUGGCGUUGUAGAAAUAUGAGUCAAGGUGGAGAUUUGUUAAGUAUGACUCCUAUUUUCAGUUAAAUUUGAAAAAUAAUCUUUUAGUUAAACUCUGUUUAUUUAUUUCAGUCAAACACUGAUUAGUUUAGAUUAUUUUAUUAUUAUUUGACAUAUGAAUUUAGCCUAUAAAUAGGCUCUUGUACAACCUUAGAUAAUACAUCCAUUAGAGAUUAGAACUCAUAACACAUUCAGAGAAUUUUGUGUUUACGUUUUGAGGGUUUUUUGUUUUUCGGGUUUUCGGGGUUUAGUUUUAUCUCCAUUUUUUGUACUCUUCAUUCUUUUGCCUUUAUAGUAAAAUUAUCUUUGCCCGGGGUUUUUUUUAUCCUCUUUAGAGGGGUUUUUCCACGUUAAAUUUGUGUGUUCAUCUUCUCAACUUGUUCUGCUAUUUUUACUUGUUUGUUGCUUAAUCGGGUCGAUCUCUAACAGCACUUUUAUUCAAUUUCCUUGUAUUCGUUGAUUAUACCUUAAUUCAAUCGAAUCACUUAUGAAAAAAGAUUAUUGUUACUAAGUUUUCAUGUUUUAUGCCAUGCGUAGCCAUGUUUUUAAUAAAGGGUUGAAGACUUGAAUGACAAGUUAGCGUAAAGCAUUUUUUUUCUUUCAUGUUGGCACAUUUGAUGCACUAUGUCUUCGUCUAUUUUUCAAACAUACUGUUGGAAGAAUUAUGAUUCACGUGUUGUUUAAGAUCAAAAAGUGCAUGCCUAACUAAUACUUAUCAGAAACAAAUAAUGCAAUGAGUCACGUUCGUUUUCACCUUUAAUAAACGUGAACACAACAACUCCAUCCAUGGCCUGGUCUUCAUCUGGAAUGUUGCAUUACUGCAGUAGUUAUAUUUGUUUCUUUUUGCUUCUGUAAAAUUAAUUUAUUCAAAUAGUUCAUUAGUUUAAUUUGAAUUGGUUUUUAUAAUAUAUAUAUAUAUGCAUGACUUAAAUGAAGCUAAACCUGCUAAUAAUGGUUAAUUAAACUUUGAAUAAUGAGAAAGAAUAACAAAACCUGGAAACCUCGACUAGUGAAGACAAAUCCUUAAAUUCAUAAAAGGCAGGCAGGCAAGGCGAUCUUCAAAUGAGAAUUUGUUAAAUGUGUGAUGAGCUAACUCAAUUGGGAUUCCCUCUAGCAUUGAUAUUCAAAUUCAAGGGUGGAAUUUCAAUUUUUCUUGCCGUAAGGAGCAAGAAAAAGAUUCAAAAAGGGCACAGCAAUUAUUUUAGAAUGUAAAGGCAAAAACUGAAAACAUACACUCACUCACAUGCACAAAGCCAAAAAAAAAAAUUUCCAGUCUCACCUUAAACAACUGAUGGUGGUUGUGGCAUGUGGAACCGUGGUCGUGGCCUCAUGGGACAAAACAAGAAGUAAAAAAUGAGGAAACAAUUGGAAGGGGGUCGUCAGGCGUGGGCAAGGAAUCAAAGUCUUUGAGUAAAGGGCAAGGAAUCAAAGUCUUUGAGUAAAGGAGAAAGGAAGAAUGGAGGGAGAAUUUGGAACGACGGGAAAGAAAUAAGCUGUAAGGCUGAUGAAAAAAAUAUUAAUUUAAAAAUUAAAAUUUAUCAAAACCACAUAGUUUUGCCCUUUCUUAUUCAGGUUUUAGGAUAACUCGAAUUGUGUAAUUCAUAUCCUAGUUAAACCGAAAAUUUUGAAUUCUUUUUUGAGUCAAUCCCAAUAACUCGAACUAUUUAGUUCAAAAUUUGAAUUUUUUAUCGAAUUUUUCGAAUUGAGUUGGAUUUUGCUCACCCCUACUCGUGAGUAUGAAAAUAGGAAUAUGAAUGUUAUUUAACCCAUUUAGGUGAUGAACGUGAUUUUGAUCAUAGUCAAAAAAAAAUUGAUAAUGUCCAUGGUGAAGGGUGAAAAAAUGUGUAAUUUUAUAGUCAUUUGAUUGGACAAUUGAUGGUCCUCUAAUAUGACUAUAUAUGUUACACCCUUGUAUAUUUGUGGUGUGUUAAGAAAUAUAAUGUUAUUUAACUAUGAAUGCAAGAAGUUUUAAAGUCAUUGAUACGACCCGCCCUUGGGAACGGCCAUUGCAUCAGCCUACAAGCGAGGCUCGUCGUGUUUGCAAGCUGGACGUAGCUCAAUCUUAUUUUGUGGAGCUUCAUUUAGCUCGUUUCCAGCUCCUUUCAAGCUCAAUGAGCUCGAACUAGCUCAAUUUCAUUAAGACCUUAUUAUAGUAGCUGAAAUAAUUAUUUGAGUCAUUUAAUUAGUUUAUUACAGCUCAAUUAAUAUUCAUUAUUUAUUUGGUUUAAAAUCUGGUUGGAUUUAAUUAUGCAUGAUUAAUUGUGUUUUUCUUACAUGUUAUUAAGUCAAAUUAAAUUCCUACAGCUUAUAAAUAAGUCUUAAUACAUGUUUUAAUGUGUCGUGUCCAAACUGAAUUAAUUAGACUUAGUUUAAUUAAUUGAGUUUUGUUUUAAUUAUUUGGAUUAAUGUUGUCUAAAUUUCGUUUUUAAUAUGAUUCAGCUGAAUAAUGAUCAACAAUGAUAUGAUCUCGGUUUAGUAGUUGAGUCCGAGUCGUUUGAUUCCCGAUCGUAAACGAAGAAGUAGAUUAGACGAGAAGGAGUUAGAAUAUAUUUGUGUACAAAGAAGUAAGAUAAGUUCGUGCAAAGUUGGAUGUAGAUUUGGUUUAAGUCGAAAUGGUAUGAAUAGAAUGGAAGAGUUCGGUUUAGGAUAAUUAAAAAAUGGUAUUUGGUUUUGGUACGUUGCUGGAAACGAGCUAAAUGAAGCUCCACAAAAUAAGAUUGAGCUACGUCCAGCUUGCAAACACGACGAGCCUCGCUUGUAGGCUGAUGCAAUGGCCGUUCCCAAGGGCGGGUCGUAUCAGUCAUGUAUUGACUUUGAAAAGAAGAUAUGAAAAAUAGAAAAUAUAUUGUCUAGUUUCACCAAAGGAUUCGAGGCCUCUUUACAACAACUUACUCGGUGAAAUAAACAUGAUGUAUGGUUUCAUAUAUAUGGUGACUGUGAAAUUAAUUUCUUGGAUAUCAAGAAAUAAAUAAAGUAUCCAAAUAUGAAAUUAUCGUGAUAAGAAAAGAUAAAGUGAUCAUCGUAAUUUGAUAAUAGUAGAAAGGAUAUCCUUGAUAUCAUUCUUUUGUGAAAGAAUGGGUAAUUGAACAUGGUGGGGAUGUUGGACUCGUGAAUUUUCAGGAUAAAAAUAAAUAUAAAUUUUUACCAUGUGGUAUAAAUAAUUAAUAUAGCUAUGUUGAAAAUUUGGAAAUCUAGGGAUGAGGUACAAACUUUAUAAUAUUUGUGUCACCCAUGAUGGAAACUCAACUCAACACUUGGAAUAAUGUCAAGUUUUGAGUUCAAUAAGACAAAGGACAACAUCAGUAUGUGACUACUAGCACUAUAAAAUAAUAUAUAAUAUAUCAUCCUAAGGGAAAAAGUGCUAGGUACUCGCAGUGAUAAGGAAAGUGUGAGAGUAUUAUACUUUUAAUAAGCCCAUAACAUAAAUAUGUUAAAGUACUAUAAUUACGGGAAUAUCUUGAUGGGAUCUACCUAUGUGAGUGGAAGUGUGGAUGUUUCAAAGAGCUCAAAGGACUUGGCUUUGAGAGCGCUCAUGAAAAGAGGUUACAAACACAUGGCCAUAAUAAUCUCCCUGGAUACUAUGCAUUUACUGGUGUUGAAAUCAUUGUGUGAGAGGUGUUCAGUUAAUCAAAUGGAAUAGUUGGUUCAAAGCAUAGUCUAUCAUGCAAUUUCGAUUAAAUUUAACAUGUUUUCACUAAGUGAAAGUUCAAUUAUAAGAGACCUUCAUUUAUGCAAUUGAUUUUUAAGAUUAUCAAAAUCUAGAAUAUUUUGAAAAUGGGGGUGGACUGUUGGAACAUUUUCAAAAUAUAUAUAGUGUUCCAAUAGUUGCAAAUGAAAAAUUAUAAGUAAUUAAAAGUUAAGUCACUUGAUUAUUAAAAAAUAGUCAUAAUUAUUCAAGUAGAUAUCUAUUGAAUAAUUAUGUCUAUUGCUAAAGGUAUGACUAUCCAUUUGGGUAGUUAUGUCCCUAAGAAGACACAUGAGACCUCUUAUAAAUAGGAGAUAAAUUUCAUUUGUAUGACACAUCCAAAAAUGUAGAAACAAAGUUUCUUUCUAUUCUCUCACCAUCUUUUAUAUUUCUAGAUUGUUUUAUAAUGAAUUACUAUAGAAAUUUUUAUAGAAAUUAAUAUUCUUGCUAUGCUCUGCUUAGUGAACUGUUUUUGUGAGUGUGGAGCGUAAACAAUCAUUGGGCUUCAUUGCAUCCUCGAGGUUCAAUUGUCAGUAACUUUUUUGCACACCAUAAUACAGGUGGGGGCAAAUAGAACAUUAAAGAAAGUAGCAUUAAUAUACGCCUUGAAGCCUUCGUUAAUUUUUCAUUUGUUUAUUUUUAUCCCUACGCAUCAAGAUAUCUGGACUAAGAGCAUGUUUUAAUUUUUCAAUUUUUUAUCCUAGAAUAUGUCAAAACAAAUAAUCAAUCCAAUCGAAAUGUGGCAAAAAACCUUGCUAAUUUUUAAUAUAGAAAAGGGUUUAGGGAUUUGAAAAAACAAAAUUAUGUUCAAACAACAGUACAUAUCUACAUAAUUUUAGUUUUAGUAUUUAAAGUUUUUCUUUUAAUUUAAGAAUUUAUAUUUGAUGGUGCAAAAUUUAUAUACUGUCAAUAAAUUAAAUGAUAUUAUUUUAUAAAAAUUAAAAAAUACAAAAGAAAAUUCAUUUUAAAUCAUAUAACAUUACAUAAUUCACAGAUAUUUCAUAAAUUUUGUGGGGUUAUAAAUUUAAAAUUUAUUAAAAAGUUGGACCAUAUAUGAAAAAUGUAGUGAGAUUAAUCUUGUCUUUUUCGUUAGCCAUUCAAUUGGGAAAUUAAUCUAAUAAAAUUUUUAAAGGUUUUUUUUUUAAUGAAUGUGUUAAAUUCCAAUCCAUAUCCAUUUUAUUUAUAGUGGGCGAAUUCAAUGGACUGUUAGGCAGAAGUUGGGUGUCUAAUUUAUUUGGGUAAAGUUUACAUUAUAAAUGGUGAAUGUAGAACCUGAUUAAUGAGUCUGGAUUAAUUUUUUAUAAAUAUGGGUAAAUUUUGAUAAAAUUUUAAAACUUAUAUUUCGGGUCAAGUCAGAUUUGAAUAAGCAUAAAAUAUAUUAAUAUUAUGUUUAGACUUAACCCGAACCCGACCAAAUUCACAGCAUGAACACCUCUUAUUUCCUAUUGUUGGGAUGAUGCCUCAGCUUCACCUUGACAUUCAUAGGCUCCAUGACUGAAUUACUGAGACUCUACAAGGAUGUAAUGACACUAUUCUUUUUCGUGGCCCUUGGUUUGCUAGGAUUAACAUGUUGCUGACAUGCAACCUUAUAAAAUAAUAAUUUUAGUUCUUAACAUUUACAAUAUUUUUGGUUAAUUUGGUUAUUACCUUUUAAAACUAUAUAAAAAUUAAAAAAAGAAAAAAAAUUUAAAUAAAAGGUUAUAAUUAAAAAUUAUAAUUUUAAAAUUAAAAAAAUGAAAAUAAAAAUAAAAAUAAAAAUAAAAAGUCUUUAAAAUUAAAAAAAAUGAUUUUACAAAUAUAAACAAAAAUUUCAAAAUUCAAUGUAGACUAAAUCGGACCAAAUCGAGUGAUUAGAUUAGGAACCAAUUGAGGUAUCGGUCCGGUGAGAGGUAAAAAAACGAAAUGACCCACAAAUUUGUACAGAUUGGUUGAACUGAGCUAGAAAAUCGAUUGAACCAACAAUUGAAUUGAUUUCGGACUAGUUUGACUAAUUGGUUCCCAGAACAACUGCUCUAACUGGUUCAAAGAAAAUAAUUUAUUAAAAAUAAAAAUAAAAAUAAAAAUAUUUAAAAAAUUAUCAAAAUCGAUUCAAUUUUCAGUUCAACUAUUUUUUUGUCCAGUUCGUAUCAAUUCGCGAGUCUACUGGUUGUUAAAAUUUUAUAACUUUAUUAGAACUCAACUUUUAUCUUUUUUUGUCAAUUUGGUCAAUACCUUUUAAAAGUACGCAAUUUAAAAAAUAUAUAUAUUAAAACUAUUUUUUAUUUUAAAUAAAAAACAUUAAAAUUGUAAAUAUAUAUAAUUUUUUAAAGAAUAAAAAAUGAGAAAAAAACAUCUUUAUAGUUUAAAAAUAAAAAAUAAAAAGAUUUUAAAAUUUUAAAAAAUUCCAAAAUUCAUUUUUAUCUAAACUAGACCAAACCAUUUCAAGAACAAGCUAGGGUAUUAGUCUGGUGAGAGUUAAAAAAUUGGUUGACGUUAAGAACCGUACGGACUGGUUGAACCGAGCUAAACAACUAGUUGAACUAACAAUUGAAUUGAUUUUUAUAUAUUUUUAAUAUCUUUAUUUUUAAUUUUUAAUAAUUUAUUUGCUUUGAAUCGACGGAUCGAUCGCUCUGGGAACCAAUUGGUUAGACCAGUUCAAAGUCAAUUCAAUCGGUUUUUUAUCUCGAUUUAACAAGUCCGUACUAGUUCACGGGUUAGUCGAUUUUUUAGCUUGUGCUGGAUCGAUACCCUAACCUGUUCUUACUUUGAUUGACUGGUCCAAUCUAGUUUAAAUAACAUUAAAGUUUGAAAUUUUUGUUUAAAUUAUUAAAAUCAUUUUUAUUUUUAAAAUUUUUAAGAUUUUUUAUUUUUUUUAUUUUUUAAAAAAUUUAAAAUUUUCAUUUUUAUGUUCUUAUUUCAAAGAAAAAAAAUUAAAUUCUAAAAAUUUUAAAAUCUUAUAAGUAUUUUUAAAGGGUAAUGACCAAAUUAUAACAAAAAAUUAUAUUAAUUAAAUCUUAAAAAUUUCUACAGUUCUAAUAAAAAGCAUAUUAUAAAAGUAAUUUGUGUGUUAUAAAAAUAUUAUAAAAAGUAUUAUAAUAUAUUUAUAUAAAAAGUUAUGACAAAAAAUAUGGACAUAACUUAUUUACAUAUUCAUGUUAUAUAUUAUAUAAAAUAAUAUACUUAUUUAUUUAAAAAAUGCUAUAAUUUUUUUACCAUAUUGUAGGAUACAAUACCAAUUGAGAGAAUGGAGUCAGAAACAAACACUAAAGAUGGCUCAUGAAUUCUUUAAUUUAAGAAAUUUAUAUGUUAAAGAGGGAAUAGCCUAAUAUAUGGAAUGAGAGAGCAAUUAGAUAAAAUUGCAUAUGAUGUUUAUCUUUUCAUUAUUUUUAUUAGUUAGGGCUAAGCAAAAAAACUAACCAAAUCAAAAACCAACCAAACCUGAGGUAUUUGGAUGAUGUUUGGAAUGCAAGUUAAAAAAAUCAUGGUUGCACAAAACUGAACCAAAUUCUGUUUUGUAUUUAAUAUUUAAUUAAUUUGAAUUUUUUAUAAUAUAAAAAUAAAUAUUUUAUAUUUAAAAUAGUGAAAAUAAUUUAAAAGUUCUUGAAAAAAUUUUGUUUUUAGAAAUAUUUAUGAAAAAGACUUCAAAGUUUUGUUAAGCAAUAAUCAAAAGUCAUAAAACAAAGCUCAUUUUAUCAAAAUAAGUCUAAAAAAUUUAAAAUAAAAUUAACCUGGAAAAACCAAGAACCGAACUGAAUUAUAAUGGACAGUUCAAGAAUUCUUAAAAAACCCGACCGAACCGAUAUCACCCUACUAUUAGUUAGGGGUGAGCAUUCGAUCGAAUAGAAUCGAAUCGAAUAAAAUUUUUUUGAGUUAAUCGAGUUUUCAAAUCUCAUUUUAUCAUCCUAACUUUAUUUGAAGUUUUCUCGAAUCGAGUCGAGUGAGAUGGAAUUCGAAUCGAAUCGAAUCGAAUCGAAUCGAAUAUAUUUGUUCGAGUUAAAUUUUAAAAAAUAAUUUUGGGUCCUUGUAACCACUGUCACCCAUCGUAAUAAAAUUUGUCCACCUUAAUAAAUUUUUUUUAUUAACUUUCAUCACCUCAUAAUUUAUUUAUUAAGUUUUUUAUAUACUGGUUAGUUUCUUUGCUUGCUUAGUUGUUUCAAUUAUCUUCAGAUUCUUGUCACUAUGUAUUUUGGAAUUAAAAAAUAUAUUAAAUGUAAAAAUAUGAUUUUUUAAUAAAAGUUAUUUUAAAAAUAAAAUGUGAAAUUGAUACCAAUAUAAAAUUUUAACACGAAUAUUUUAUGGCAUAAUUAAUAAUUCAAUUUUAAUAUAAAUAUUCAAUAUGACUAAACAAUUCAAUAAUAUAAAUAAUAUAAAAUGUGAAAUUUAAUUUAAUAAUAUAAAGAGUAGAUAUAAAUAAAAUUAUUACUAUUUAUGUUUAGUGAUUUUUUUUUGAUAAUUUUGAUUUUUUAUUUGUGAGUAAAGGGUGAGAAGUAAAAGUUUAGGGGGAAAAUAAAAAGUUUGGGGGAAUAAAAGUUUGAGGGAAAGUAAAUAGGGGAAGUAAAAUUUUGGAGGGAAAAUAUUAAAAAAAAAAUUUGGAGGGGGAGGGUUUGGGGUAGAUGAGAGGUGGGAUGAUAAGGGAAUAAAAGUUUUAGGGAAAAGUGGGAGGGAGUAAAAAUUUUGGGGAAAAAUAAAAGUUAUUGAGGUUUUGGGGAGUAAAUUUGAGAAAAAGUAAAUGGGAGAGUAAAAUUUGGUGGGAAAUGAAUUUUGAGUAGAUUGUGGGGUUGGAGGGAGGGAAGUAAAUGUUUUGGGGGGAAAGUGGGAAGGAGUAAAAGUUUUGAGGGAAAAGUAAAAAGGUUUUGGAGUUUGGGGUAAAAAUGUAAAAUAUUAUAGUUUGAUAUUUGAAUUAUUCGAGUUAUUCGAAUUCGAAAACUCAACUUGGUUCGAACUCGACAUUUGAAAAAAAAAAUCGAGUUGAUUCGAAUAACUCGAUUAACUCGAAUAACUCAAUUCGUUAACUCGAAAUUCAAAAUUUUUUCGAUUUUUUCGAGUCGAAUCGAAUUUUGCUCACCCCUACUAUUAGUAAUCAUAUUAUCAAGUACCAAGGUUUUUUAAACCAGACCGAUGGCUGAACCGAUCAGUCUACUGGUUCGAUUAAAAAUUUAUUCAAAGUUAAAAAAAACUAAUAUUAAAAGAAAAAACAAUUCAAUCGGUUUUUUAGUCGGAUCAACCGGUUCAAAUCAAUUUCCGACCUAAUCUAUUUAAAGCCACUCUUCAGACUAGUCCACCGAUUGAUUCUCGGUCCAACCGGUCCGAUUGGCCAAUCUAGUUCGGUUCAAACAACAUUGCCAAUUACUUUUUUGGAUUAACAUAUUAUAAAUGAUUAUUUUAUUUUAAUUUUUGUAGCUCGUUUAAAAUUUUUAUCAUAAUGGUAAUUUUUUUAUAAUAAAUAUUGUUUAAAAAAAUGAUGAAAUAUGUAGUUGUGUAAUAACAAUUUGUACUACUAAAUAUAAAAUAGAAAAUUGCGAUGUAAUUACAGUAUAUUAGCCAAACACAUUCACAAAAUUAUAGUUAUUUUAAUACUACUCAUAGAAUUACACUUUUAUUCAAUUACAUUGUGUUGUUGAAUCCUACCUUAAUUCAAUCGAAUCGCUAACAAAAAUAUUAUUGUUACUAAGUUAUGUUUUAUGCCAAAAGGUAGCGAUGAUUUUAAUUAAGGGUUGAAGUAUUAAAAUAAUAUUAGUUAUUGAAUUGGUUUUAAAGGUAAAAAAAAACAUGAAAAGAAUAAUCGAGUCUUUUAAAAAACGCACUUUAUUGAAUUCUUAAUAACUAAAAAAAAUUAAUUAGGCUCUUUCGUUAACGGAAACCAUUAGUUGAUCGAUUAGAUUAUUAAAGACGUUGGCGUGACUAACAUAGCCACUAAAAGAUGAAACAUGGCAUGCCACAUGGAAGGAUGAUGACGUGAAAUUUUUUUUAAUAAAAUUAUAAAAUAAUUAAUAAAAAUUAUAUUUCGAAUGAACCUGGACAUAUGGUUGUCUAGGUAUUUUUUUAAUUUGGACAACCUUGUCCAGAUUCGUUUUAGAUGAAUUCAAAAUUAUAAAAAAUUAGAAAUUAUUAUUAAUUAUUAUUUAAAAAUUGAAAAAAAUUAAUUUUUAAUAUUUUUAAUAUUUAUUAAUAAUUUAUAUAUAUAUCCAAAUUUAUAAAAAAAGUUUAAAUUGGAAAUUUGAAUUAAUAAUUUUUUUAUUUGAAUUUUAUAUAUUAAUUUAUUAUUAAAAAGUUAUUUCUCUAUUUCAACUAAAAGGGCUUUGAGACUUUUAUUAACAAGUUCUUGAAACAAAAAUUAUCAAUGUUUAAGUUUGACCCUAGAAAACCAUCGGGGUUGUUCUGUGAAACGGUCGAAAAUUGCAGAAAUUUGAAAGGGUCUGUUGCUGCUGCUUCUUCCUCUACGAGAAUGGAAGCGUUUAACGAGAGAUUGAGAGGCCAAAACAAGAAGUUGAAGAAGAAACUGAAUUGUUGUCAUUUAGGUGGAAAUGGAAAGGAAAAUGUGAAGGUGAUGAACGAUGAGAAAAUAUAGGCUGCGUGACCAGAAAUUAAUCGGUAAAAACACUAGUGUUGCUCAGCCUCGAGGUAAUGUUCACGGUGUUUCUCGACGCAGUGACGUUGAGAGGGAACUUCCCGUUACCGCUAUCACUGCCUUGGGUUCUCAAAGGGUUACUAAUGGUUUGAAACUGAGCUGAAGAGACUAUGUAAAAUAAUCUUUUAUGUUUAACUUAGAAUAUUUUAGAAUAUUCUAACUUAGAAUUUUUUGGAAUUGUUUUGGUGUUUUACUUUGAAUUUCAUCUAUUCAUAGGUGGGUUCAUCUGGCCGAACUCGAAGUUUUGUCCAAAAAUGGGAGGAUUUAAGUAAAAUUAUAGGCUUGAAAAAUAGGUUUGGGUAAAAAAGAAGAGGCCUUAGGUAAGGCUUUUUUGGCCCGAGCUCGGCCUAAAUUUGUAAAAAAAAAAAUUGCUAUUUUCUUGCUUUUUUUACUGUUUUGCCGUUGCUUUCUUGUUGUUUUACUACCAUUUUACUAUUAUGUUGUUACUAUUUGAAUAUUGUAAAACUCUUAUUUUAUUGUUAAUUUUAUUACUAUUUUAGAGGCAUUUGCUUGUUAAGUUGCACCUAUCUUAGUGUUUUUUAACUAUACAUAUUUUUUUAUUUAUUUUCAAUUUUCUGGGAGACAUUUGUUUUCAUAUUUUUAGUAUUUUUGAUGUAUUAUAUAUAUUUUUAAAAAUAUAUAAAAAAAUUAAUACCGGCGGGCCAGGCCAUACUUGAAUUUUAGUAUUUUUAUUCAGUUCGAGUCAGAGCCUAGCAAACGGACCUAAAAUUUUUGUUGGGCUUGACUCGAACCAGACUCAAUCCAUGAACACCUCUAAAUAUCAUCUCACCUUUAUAUAAAUUUUAUUGUAUAUAUAUUUUUGUUAUUAAAUCUAAUCAUCAAAGUCUAACUCUUUUUUCUUAUCAAUAGAAUACAAGAGAAGAAAAAAAAGGAAGGUAAUGAUGUUGAAUUUCUCUUUUUAAAGAGUCAUUUAGGCACAUAUUAGUGCAUUAUAAAUAGACAAUAUAUUUGAAGAAUUGGAAUUUAAUUUGUUCCAUCUAAUUUGUGAGUGAAAUUUUUAGUACAAAGGUAUACUUUCUUUUUUAUGACAUAUUUAAUUUGCGGUAUGAAAUCAUUUCUUUAUUUAGAUCAUAAUAUUAGUAACUAGCAUUUGGAUGAUAUUGAUGAGACAUUAUUUUCAUUUUUAAAAGUGAAAGUUUGUAGAUGAUCAUAUAAUAUAAAUAAUUUUGGUUGUUUUUGUUAAAUAACCUUAACCUAAAUGGGUUUUAUAUAUGAUUGCACAUUUUUAUUCUAUAUUAUAAAGUUUGGACUAGAAGUGGUUUUGACUGGAAAUGGAAUAAGUCAUAUGCGUAUCCAUGGUUAAUUUUUCUAGUUAAUGUAGAAUAACGGAAAGCAUUGGCUUAUAUAAUAAUAAGAUCACUAUUCUAGUAUGAAGUUUUCUAGUGAGAAUAUAUAACGUGAUAAUCAUAUAUUUGAAAUUAAGAUCCUAGUAUGCAUAUUUAUGAUGGUGCAUGCGGUUUUUUAUGACUUGGAUAUGAUCUAUAAUCCGAUGAUUUUAUAAAAUUUUAAGAUGUAAAUUUUGAAAUUUACUUUGGAAGCCAUGAAUAAAAGAUCUCGUGAGUAUGAAAUAGCAAUAUGAAUGUUAUUUAACCCAUUUAGGUGAUGAACAUGAUUUUGAUUGUAGUCAGAAAAUAAUUGAUGAUAUCCAUGGUGAAGGGUGAAUAAAAGUGUAAUUUUAUAGUCAUUUGAUUGGACAAUUGAUGGUCCUCUAAUAUGACUAUAUAUGUUACACCCUUGUAUAUUUGUGGUGUGUUAAGAAAAAGUAUGUUAUUUGACUAUGAAUGGAAAAAAGUUUUAAAGUCAUGUAUUGACGUUGAAAAGAAGCUAUGACAAAUAGAAAGUAUAUUGUCUGGUUUCACCAAGGGAUUCGAGGCCUCUUUACAACAACUUAUUCAGUGAAAUAAACAUGACAUAUGGUUUCAUAUAUAUGGUGAUCGUGAAAUUAAUUUCUUGUAUAUCAAGAAAUAAAUAAAGUAGCCAAUAUGAAAUUAUCAUGAUAAGAAAAGAUAAAGUGAUCAUCGUAAUUUGAUAAUAGUAGAAAAGAUAUCCUUGAUAGUAUUCUUUUGCGAAAGAAUGGGUAAUUGAACAUGGUCGGGAUGUUGGACUUGUGAAUUUUCAAGAUAAAAUAAAUAUAAAGUUUUACCAUAUGGUAUAGAUAAUUAACAUAGCUAUGUUGAAAAUUUGGAAAUCUAGAGAUGAGGUACAAGCUUUAUAAUAUUUGAGUCACCCAUGAUGGAAACUCAACUCAACGCUUGAAAUAACGUCAAGUUUUGAGUUCAAUACUGCCAGCACUAUAAAAUAAUAUAUAAUAUAUCAUCCUAAGGGAAAAAGAGCUAGGUACUCGUAGUGAUAAGGAAAGUGUGAGAGUAUUAUACUUUUAAUAAGCUCAUAACAUAAAUAUGUUAAAGUACAAUAAUUACGAGAGUACUCUUGAUGGGAUCUACCUAUGUGAGUGAAAGUGUGGCUGUUUCAAAGAGCUCAAAGGACUUGGCUUUGAGAGCACUCAUGAAAAGAGGUUACAAACACAUGGCCAUUAUAGUCUCCCUAGAUACUGUGCAUUUACUGGUGUUGAAAUCAUUGUGUGAGAUGUGUUCAGUUAAUCAAAUAGAAUAACUGGUUCAAAGCAUAGUCUAUCAUGCAAUUUCGAUUAAAUUUAACUUGUUUUCACUAAGUGAAGGUUCAAUUAUAAGAGACCUUCAUUUAUGAAAUUAAUUUCCAAGAUUAUCAAAAUCUAGAAUAUUUUGAAAAUGGGGGGAGACUGUUGGACCAUUUUCAAAAUAUAUAUAAUGCUUCAAUAUUUGCAAAUGAAAAAUUAGUAAUUAAAAGUUAUGUCACUUGAUUAUUAACAAAUAAUCAUAAUUAUUCAAGAAGAUAUCUGUUGAAUAAUUAUGUUUAUUACUAAAGGUAUGACUAUCCAUUUGGAUAGUUAUGUCCCUAUGAAGACACAUGAGGCCUAUUAUAAAUAGGAGAUAAAUUUCAUUUGUAUGACACACCCAAAAAUGUAGAAACAAAGUUUCUUUCUAUUCUCUCACCAUUUUUUAUAUUUCUAGAUUGUUUUAUAAAGAAUUACUAUAGAAAUUUUUUUAUAGAAAUUAAUAUUCUUGCUAUGCUCUGCUCAAUGCUCAGUGAAUUAUUUUCGUGAGUGUAGAAUGUAAACAAUCAUUGGGAUUCAUUGUAUCCUCGAGGUAUAAUUGUCAGUAACUUUUUUGCACACCAUAAUAUAGGUGGGGGCAAAUAGAACCUAAAAGAAAGUAGCAUUAAUACACACCUUGAUAAAAAUAAAAAUUUUAAAAAGCAAAACAAAAAAUUUUUUUAAAAAAGGUUAUAAAAAAAUUAAUAAAAAAAAAAAAAAAAAAAAAAAAAAAAAAAAAAAGUCUUUAAAAUAAAAAAUAAAAAAAAUAAUUUUACAAAAUAAGCAAAGUUUCAAAAUUCAAAGUAGACUAAAUCAGACCAAAUCGAGUGGUCAGAUUANNNNNNNNNNNNNNNNNNNNNNNNNNNNNNNNNNNNNNNNNNNNNNNNNNNNNNNNNNNNNNNNNNNNNNNNNNNNNNNNNNNNNNNNNNNNNNNNNNNNNNNNNNNNNNNNNNNNNNNNNNNNNNNNNNNNNNNNNNNNNNNNNNNNNNNNNNNNNNNNNNNNNNNNNNNNNNNNNNNNNNNNNNNNNNNNNNNNNNNNNNNNNNNNNNNNNNNNNNNNNNNNNNNNNNNNNNNNNNNNNNNNNNNNNNNNNNNNNNNNNNNNNNNNNNNNNNNNNNNNNNNNNNNNNNNNNNNNNNNNNNNNNNNNNNNNNNNNNNNNNNNNNNNNNNNNNNNNNNNNNNNNNNNNNNNNNNNNNNNNNNNNNNNNNNNNNNNNNNNNNNNNNNNNNNNNNNNNNNNNNNNNNNNNNNNNNNNNNNNNNNNNNNNNNNNNNNNNNNNNNNNNNNNNNNNNNNNNNNNNNNNNNNNNNNNNNNNNNNNNNNNNNNNNNNNNNNNNNNNNCAAGAACUUAUAAUCACAUUUCAAACCUGUUGAUUCCUUUUCAGUUAUGUAUGAUGUUAAGAGAUCCACACCGUCUACUGAUACCAACUCCUGGUUCAGCUUGUUCGCUUCUUUUCUUUUCUGACAUAUAUAUUCAGCUAAUACAUCAUCAAGAACUUUCCAUGCCUUCUUGUAUUUCCCUUCUUGUCCUAUGUUCAACCACUUCUGCAACUUAGUAAAGCUUCGUGGUCUAACAAGCCGGUAAAAUAAUGCUUGCUCGAAAUCAUCCACGGCAUUGGAGAAAAGAACUUGAGGGAGUUCAAGGGAGAGGCAACUAGGAUCAUAGCCGGUAACCAAGAUGCAUGCAGAAUCAAACGUGAACCUUCGAAAAAUGUCUUCUAGGUUGAUGACCAAGCCAUGUUUAGCAGCAUGGUCAAUGAUGGGCAUCAGCCCCAUUUCCACCUUGUCUCGGGUAGUCCUCAACAAGAAUUGGUGGAAAAGGUGAUGUCUCAUGAAUCCUUGAGCUGCUAUCCGCUGGUUUUUCCACAAAUCCAUGUCGGAGUUGAAAAUCCCGUCUCCUAAGAUAUCGGUCAUCUGCUUGAAUUCAGGCCCUUUGGGGAAGUUGUCAAAGUUGGAACUCAUAACGUAGUGAGCAUUGGCAGGGUCACAUGUCACCACCCAGUUCAUCUUAGCAAACCAAGGGCCUUCCAAAACAAAAGUGCCCUUGCAGCUUUCUAGUGUCUCAGUAGACCAGUCGUGGAGCCGAUGAACGUUGAGGAGAAGCUCAACAAUGCCAGGAAAACUCUUUGGACACCCAUUUUUAUUUCUCAUCAAGCGGUAUAGAAACAGAAAGGAAAUGAGAGCCAAGAAGAAAACUUGAAGAAAACUCUGUAAUGCCAUGAAAUUGAUAUAACCAAGUUU
rnacentral:lncRNA from 1 species